rnacentral:lncRNA from 1 species
UGUUUGCGUUUGCGCAGAUGGUGUCGGAGGCCAUCACCGCCCUGAAGGAGCGGACGGGGUCGAGCCAGUACGCCAUCGCCAAGUUCGUCGAGGACAAGCACAAGGCGCACCUCCCGGCCAACUUCCGCAAGAUUCUGUCGGUGCAGCUCAAGAAGCUGGUCGCCUCCGGCAAGCUGACCAAGGUCAAGGCCUCGUACAAGCUGUCGGCCGCCGCGGCCAAGCCCAAGCCGGCGGCGAAGAAGAAGCCCGCGGCGAAGAAGAAGGCGCCAGCCAAGAAGACCGCCACCAAGACCAAGGCCAAGGCGCCCGCCAAGAAGGCCGCCGCGAAGCCCAAGGCCAAGGCGCCCGCCAAGCCCAAGGCCGCCGCGAAGCCCAAGGCCGCCGCGAAGCCCAAGGCCAAGGCCGCCGCGAAGCCCAAGGCUGCCGCCAAGCCCAAGGGCCGCCCCGCCAAGGCUGCCAAGACCUCGGCCAAGGACGCGCCAGGGAAGAAGGCCCCUGCCGCCGCGGCGCCCAAGAAGGCCGCCGCCAGGAAGCCGCCCACCAAGAGAUCCACGCCGGUGAAGAAGGCCGCGCCCGCCAAGAAGGCUGCGCCGGCGAAGAAGGCCCCGGCCGCCAAGAAGGCCAAGAAGUAGAUCCUUGGAGGGAGAUCCUAGGGCUUGGCGAUAGUUUUCCAGUAGCAGUUUUUCCUGUUCUGUGCUGUUAGUCGAGAUGUCCGGGCUGUGUCGGGGGUGCUAGGCUGUAAAUUUGAAAUCUGGGUUGGGGUGCACUGGUGAUCCUGUGCACCCCUUUGUGUGUGUUGUGAGAAACGGUGGCGACGAUCGCGUUGUAGCAAGCUUAUGUAUUUGUGUAACUGAAUUGGGUAAUUGAAUCUUCAUUUUAGCAACAUCCUUCUGAAACUUGUCACAGUUUACAUUGAUUCCUUUGCCCAAAUAUUGGUGCUGCACAAUUGAAAUUCUAGUGUUCUCUGUUAGUGAUUUCGGUAUGAUACUGCAAAUCUUGUGCUGUUUCGGUGAACAUGGAAUCCAUUUGAGAUCUGAAAUUUACUUGGGUUUGUGUUUGAUGGCAAAUGCCAAGCAAAUCUCGUGUCCAACGUCUAGUAGGUGGCUUUAUGAGCUGUAAAUAAAAUGAAGAGGCUGUUGUAUUCUUCUCUGUACAUGGCAGGUGCGGCCGUCGGUUAGUACACCAGCCGCAUGUGAUUUUUCCAGGAUAGGUUAGGAAUGGACGGUAGUUCAGAAUGAAAGGCGGGCUUGAAAAGCUCGAGAUCGACGAAUGUUUUCAGCUAUGGCGGGAGGUGCGUUUGGGGAUGCUGCGCCAGAAGUACAGGGGCUGCUGCGCCAGAAGAUUCGCAGUAACCGUCGGCUCCGGUGACCUGUCAGGUUAGCAGGACGUUCUUCUCGGUGAUGCCUGCAGUGUUACCGUUUCACAGCUUCAACUCACCAUCACUACGCUACGCAUUCUCACACCAAUGUCACCAUGGUGCUGUGAGUGAGAGCGAGAAGAAGCUUGCAGCAUGUGAAUGUGCAGCAAGCGUGUGUGGGGAUGUACCACCGGAGUGGCUAAACGUGAGGACCUAUGAAUGAUCAAACAUCCAGAGGGUGUGGCAUGAUGCACAAAAUUGGCCCGGCGCCUAAAAUAUUGAGUCACAUGCUUAAAAAGGUAAACCAUCGAAUUCAUAUUCGAAAGAAUUAUUUUGUGAUAUAUAACUUAUAUCACAUUGUCAAAUUGACAAUCUACAUCGGGCUUUACAAUCCGAGAGGGAGGGGCGAACGAGUAAGCGGGUAUCACAACAUAUGCAUAGAUGGCAUCGAUUAUUUACCCCCACCCCAUAGUAAAACCACGGGACAAACCCCUGGAUGAUCACAAUAGUUGCAACACGUUGUUAAGGUAACUGAUGUGAUUCACUAUCUAUUAUAGGCGGUUUGACAAGCUCACUGAGCCGUAUCGAAAGGUUGAGGAAAGAAGGAGAAGAGAGACACCAGAGAGUGUAGCCCCCAUCGUACUCCUAAGUGCUAGGGCAGAGAGACCACUGAUUAAGUAGUGCUUUCCUUCCUCGGCCUUGAACCCAUUAUGGCCCCACUGACUCUGGGGUUGGGCUUCCUCACCAUGGUAGUCUUGGGCCUGAUCACCCUUCGUUUCAUGCUGUCGCUUGGAGUAGAUGCCGUGUCGGGUUUGUUUGGAGCAACAGGGGAAGUAGAGGUAGAAUCAUAGAAGUGUCGCCAACAAUGCCCUCUCCUUGAAAUCCGGCUUGUCCCCAAGCUGGAGCUUCAAGGUGGCCUUGACGUAGCCGACGAGGUCCUCCCGUAUCACCUUGUCCGCCGUGGAGUAAGACCAGUGGACGAGAACUCGUCCAACUGGCUUGUGAUUGGUCUUUUUGUUGCGCCGAUCAAGGGUUUGCAGUGGUGCCUAGGCUGGAGCUCUUGGGAAGCGUCGAUGAAGAUCAUCAAUGUCUUCCUAGGUGGAGGCGCCCUCGGUUUCCCUAGUUCAAGUGGCGAGGCCAUGGCACACCAUUUUGUUGGCAGAUUUGCGCCAACGAUACACAACACUUCCAGGGGUACCUGAAACUCAGGUUCGUUAGUGGGGAGAGGACUCACUAGCUGGUCGACGCGAAGAUGCGCUUUCUUGCGCUGCAAUACAUCGAACACAUGAUGAACAAGCGAACCACCGGUAGAUGAAGCAUGUAAGCCACUACCCCAACUCUAGCUAUGACCAUGAACGACUGGAAGAACUUGAAUGCGAGCUUGUGGCACGCACACUUGGUGACCAAUAAUUGGUUGUAAGGCUGCAGCUCCAGGUACACCUUGUUGGAAAGGUCUCUCUUAGUGAUGUUUAUCUGCAUGGUCCUUCAUCCUUUGUUGUGCUCUAUGCAAGUGUUGCUUGACCAGCUUGUCAACACCUGUCUUUCUUCCAUCCAUGCCCUCACACCCAUAGGUUGGCAAACAUCGACCAAAGCUAGUCCUUGUCAUCAGGCUAUCUGCCAUUGCCAGAGUAGAUUCCUGCAGAUCCCUCGAUAGGGUAUCCCGACGAGGUGAGUAGAUAAGAGGGGAAACAGGAGACCAUGUCAAAUAUCGAGAAGAUAUGUCUAGAUUGGGGUAGGGGGGAGGGGGGGGGGGUAAAUAGACAUUUAGUAAGGCAAAUGUGCAAAACAAUUUCUUGGAAUUUAGGCAGAUUUUAGCACAAGUUAAAUGGGAAUCAAUACUUCCUACACAUGCAUAUCUAGAGAUGAAGCAGCAGAAAGAGAACAACAUGUAAGUGCAAGGAAGUAAAGAGAGGUAGAGAUCGGAAGAUCAAAUGCAAUGAAGACACAAUGAUUUUUGGCGUGGUUCUGAUAGGUGGUGCUAUUGUAUGUCCACGUUGAUGGAGACUUGAACCCACAAAGGGUAAUGGCUGCGCAAGUCCACAGCGGGCUCCACCCACGAAGGGUCCACGAAGAAGCAACCUUGUCUAUGCCAUCAUGGCUUACGUCUACAAAGUACUAGCCUCACUCGAGGUAGAUCUUCAUGAAGUAGGUGAUCUCCUUGCCCUUAUAAACUCUUGGUUCAACUCCACACAAUUUGGAGGCUCACAAGUGACAUCUAACCAAUCUAGAAUACACCACUCUCCAAAAGGUAAUACAUGUUGUUGUUGAUGAUGAACUCCUUGCUCUUGUGCUACAAAAGAUAGUCUCCUCAACACUCAAUCACUCUCACAAAGAUUUGACAUGGUGGUGGGAGAAGGAUUGGAGUGGAGAGCAACUUGAGGGGGCUAGAAAUCAAGGAUCAAAUGGUUGCGGUGGAAUCCCUUGAUCUCAACACAAGUGUAGGUGGUUCUGUCUCAGAAAAUGGAUAUGGGAAGUGGUGGCUUCGUCCUGGCUGCUCUCUCUGAGAGUAGGUGGAGUAGGUGGGGGUAUAUAUAACCUUCACAAAAAAUCUAACAAUUACACACCUUUAUGCACAACUUGGAGGGACCGGGUGUAAAACUCGGUGAUACCGAUUAGUGCAAAAGAUUUGAACUUUAGACGUUUCGAUGGGACCGAUUUGAGAUGACCUCAGCACUAUCAGGAUUUUGGUAAUUCUAAAAUGAAGUUAAUGGGUUACAGAAAGUUUGCCAGUGCACUUCGAUGGAACUGAAUGCCAUCUUGGUGAGACUGAGUUUCUGGGUUUAGGCAGAGGCUCUGUCAAAUGUAUCUCGAUGGGUCCGAGUGUAUGUGUAUCGGUGGGACCAAGAUGAACUUUAGGGUUUUGGACAUAUUGGAAUGUGAGGGCGUGGCUGAGGGUUUUGGAGGAAUAUCUUCAAGCACUUGAGCAAAUGACUCAUGAUCAAAACCUCAUCCCCUUUUAAUAGUAUUAGCUUUCCUAUGGACUCAAUGUGAUCAUUGAUUACUUUUUUUGAUCGUGAACAGCAGGAAAGGCUCCUACUGUGUAAUUAUAUUAAUAAGAUAAAAGAGCACUGUACAAAGUGGAGUAUUUACAUGGGAGGUGGGGGGGGGAGGACUUGACCACUUUGGGCCAAGUGGGGGGAGCAGUUAUACAAAAGUAGUGGUCUAGUGUAAGGAGUUUACAAAAUUGAGCACAAAAGGCCUAUGGACCUCUUUGACCCUAUGUUGGAGGAGCUGAAAAUCUUUCUUGAAUAUGUCUAGCCAGGACCAGAAGGAAGAGUCAAUUGCUCUGAAGUGUUUAUUGUUCCUUUCCUUCCAUAUGCUCCACGCUGCCACAGUGAAUUUUUCAAACAACAUCGGUGUAGGGUGGUUAUUUUUCUGAUCUUCAAUAGCUUGCAUCCGGCCAGAGAAUGGUUCCCAGUUUAUGUCCAGGGCAUGCCAGCAAUGUUUACUGAAAGAGCAAGUGAAAAUCAUGUGCUCAACCGUCUCUUCAAUGUUAAGCCCACAAAGGAGGCAAUUAUGAUCGUCGCCUAUAUUGUAAUGACGUCUCUUGAGCAUAUUCCGGGUAUUGAGCCUCUCGUUGAACAGUAACCAUGCAAAAACCUUCAGCUUCAUUGUGCAUUUGGAUUUCCAAAGCCACCAAAAGACUUGAUGAGAUUGAAUCUCCCUGAAGAAGAACUGGUAAUAGUCCGUGGAUUUGAAAGUGGUUUUGCCCAAACAUAGUGCCAUACGUCCGAAGUUGCAGCCAUUGGUUGGAGGGAGGACGCGAUCGUUUGCAUGUGUCUGACCUCAUCAUGAGCCUAGGGAGAGAGUGGUGGAUGAAAGGCCGCUCCUAGCGAUGUGAUCCCCAAGAAAUCCUUUACGGAGACAUCCUCAUUAGUUGCAUGCGAGAAAGCAUGUGGGUGCGGCUCCAAGAGUAAUUGAUCAGUCCAUAGAUCUUUCCAGAAGAGGGUUGUGGUUUCACACACAAUGUUGAUGUGAGAGAUCCCACGAAAAUGGUUGGUUAGCUUGAGCAUGUCAUGCCACCAGAAGGAUCCCACUGGAUCCAUGGCGUGUGAAAUUUUCUGGUUAUAAUAAGAAUCCCAGGUAAGUUGGACCCAGGGAUAUCCAACUUGUUGUAGAAUUUGUGCAAGAACUUCAUGAGGAGGGCUUCAUUCUGGAUCCUGAGGUUUAGCACUCCGAGGCCUCCCUUGUUUUUGGGUUUACAUACCAUGUCCCAUGCAGCCAAAGAGUUGCAUUUGUCACCUUGGUCUGUCUUUUUGACCCAAAGGCAUCUUCUUCUGAUUUUGUCCAGCAUUUCAAUGAGUUUUGGAGGGAACUUGAGCGUGCACAUUGCAUAUAUGAGCAGAGAGGUAACCGUUGUGUUGACUAAAGUAAGUUUCACUGUGUACGACAUAAGUGAGAGCGUGGAGGACAGGUUCCUUUCGAUGGAGCUGACAAGUGGCAUAAAAUCUUGCAUUGUGGGACGGGAAGUGCCCAGGGGGAGGCCAAGAUAGGUAAAAGGCAUAGAGCCAAUCGAGCAUCCAAAACUCGUAGCAAUGUUGGUGGCCAGCUCCAAAUCCAAGUUGAUGGGUAUGAGCGUUGACUUGUGGAAAUUGAUUUUCAGACUGAUGGAUUGGGCAUAGUCAGACAAUAUGUUUUUAAUGAUUGCAGCUUGUCUAGGGCAGGCGGGCAUGAGUAAAAGCGUGUCGUCGACGUACUGGAUGAUUGGGUAGUCCAUAUUCCCGUUGGAGGGAAAUGGCAGCUCAAUUAGACCUCUCCUGUAGGCAUCGUUGAUGGCUGAUUGGAGGAGAUCCGUCGCCAUAUCAAAGAUGAGAGGGGAGAGUGGGUCCCCUUGACAAACACCUCUGCGGCAGUGGAAUUGUUGGCCUGGGACUCCAUUAAGCAAAAUAGAAGAUCGCCCAGCAGAAAAAAUUGAUUGAAUCCACGAUAACCAUUUGUCAUUAAACCCCAUGUGUUUCAUAAUGUUGAUCAUUGAAUCGUGUUCAAUCGUGUCAAAGGCUUUUGCAAAAUUCAAAUUUAGGAGGAUUAUUUUCCGCUUGGAGGCUUGGCACUGAUGGAUGUAUUGGAAUGUCCAGGCAAGGCAGUCUUGGAUUGAUCUCCCUCGAACGAAGCCAUAUUGGUUGCAAUGUAUAAUUCUUAGGAUAACUUUUUGCAGACGGUUGGCAAGGAGCUUAGUAAUGAGUUUGAGGCAACAGUUGAGUAAUGUGAUCAGACAGUAAUCAUUGACCAUGGAGGGGGACCCUACUUUUGGACUGAGGGUUAUUAGCCCAUCAUUUAUGCUUUGGAGGUUAAGAUCCUCUGCAUGGAAUUGAGCGCAAAGUGUAUAGAAAUCCUCCUUGAUAAUUGGCCAGCAAGCCUUGAUAAAUAAGCCGCUGAAACCGUCCGGCCCCGAUGCACGGUCGGCAUGCAUUUCUUUAAUGAACGAAUCAAUUUCCUCGUUUGUGAAUGGUAGCGUGAGGUGGUCAAGAUUCUCUGUCGGUCGAAUCAGUGAUGGUAGAUCAAACUUCAUCUGUGUAGGAUUGAAAGUACCAAGUCUUUCGGUAUAAGCUUGGAAAAGAAGGGCUUCUUUACCCGUAUGAUCUUCCACCGUCAGCCCAUCCAGAGUUUGAAGGAUAGUGAUGUUGUUUUUCCUGUAUCUUUCUGUUACAACGGCUUGGAAGAAUUUAGUAUUCUCAUCUCCGAAUUUAACCCAACGAAUGGUGCAUCGCUUUUUCCAAUAUUGCUUCUAAUAAUCCAGCAGUCUCAGAAGAUGAUUCUUGAUGAUCUUGCGAAAGUUGGAUUCAGGGAUAGUGAGAGGUCUUCUAUUCUCAAGAUCAUCCAAUUCGGUCAAGGUGUUGUUGGUAUUCUCAAUAGCCACCGUUAACCGAGAAAUAUUCUUGCUCCACGCUUUUAAUUCUUGCCGCAAAAGCUUAAACUUGCGACAAAGGAUCGUGGCAGCAUUUGUUGGGUUGAUAGGUCGAUCCCAUACUUUUUUGACCACGUCCAUAAAGCCGGGGUGUAACAACAAAUAUGAUUCAAAUCUGAAAAGUUUGGUACGUUGUAUUUUUGUUUCAAUGCUUACCACACAAGGAGUAUGAUCCGAGACCGGUUUACAAAGUGGUUUAACUGGCGUGUUGGGGUACACAUGUGUCCAAUGGAGCUAAGUAAAGAACCAAUCAAGUUGUUCAAGUAAUGGGUCUUGUUGCAUGUUGCUCCAGGUGUAAAGUCAUCCCUUAAGUGGCAGCUCAAUUAAAUUGUGUUUGCGGAUGAUGUCAUUAAAAGUAGACAUGUCAUUAAAGUCUCCUCCGGGCUUAUUGCGGUUCUCUGGACCACGAAUGUAGUUAAAGUCGCCAAGGAACAGACAAUCAUGUCCGUUUGGAUGUCCAUAUCAUACACCCAAUUGGUAAAAUCAACCCUGGCAGGACCCGUGCAUGGGCCAUAAAUAUUAUAUAAGGUCCAGGAUUGUGCAGAGAGUGUACUGGUAAAUUUGAUGCCCAAAACGAAAUCCUCAGAAACAGACACAUCACCAGAGAAAACCGAGCUAUUCCAGAUGGUAAGCAAGCCACCUGAAGCACCUCUAGAUGGGACAUAAGCAAAAUUGUCAAACCUCCUAGGGCAACAAGUUUAAAUAAAAGCAAGGUCGAUAACAGGUUUCUUAGUUUCCUGCAGACAAACGAUAGCACAACCACUAACAAAGAUUGCAUUAGACAAGGCUAGAAGUUUUUUAUUUGAAUUUAACCCACGAAUAUUCUAGCAAAGAACAUUCCAAUUGCGCAAAAGUGGCAUAGGACAGACGCCAAGUUACUCCGAGGAGGAAGAUUCUUCCCCCAUGCCGAUGGUCUGAUCUUCAGAAGCUUUAGUGGCCGGUAGAGCAGCUUCAGUCAGCUCCUGAGGUGGGACAUCGCAUCGAUUGAUAGCAAUGUCCUGCAUGAUGCGAAGUGGAGUAGGCAGCGGCGCUUGAUCUGCUACAGAUGUUGAGGAGCUCGGGACCGCUGAUGGAAUCUGUCUUGGUUUGACCUUGGAGGUAGGAGCACGAAUGUCAGUAAUUUGAGGCACUCUGAAGCCAUCAUAGCGAGUGGAUCGGGUUCUGCGGCAAACUUCAAUGGUCACCAGAGGCACUUGAUAUUUAGAGCGGCGCGGGCGUGCAGGAGAUGGGCCAGGGGCAGUGGGUAACACCUGGGCCAAGCCCAAAUCAGAGGAAUCUUCAGUAUGCUGAACCAGGGGUUGUGGCCCAACGUUUGAAUUGUCACUUGUCGCCAGAGCCUGCAUUUCCUCCUGCAGAAGAGAGCUGUCAACCUCACCGAGGGAAGCAAGGGAAGGCAGGACAUCAGUUGCAGCAUCAUUUAUAGUGGAAUCAACAUGAGAGUUCUCCACACUAGUGACUUGAUUGAGCGCAAUAUCUUCAAACACAAAUUCAGAAAUCCGGACAGCAGAUGGCCUGGGUGUUUCAUUCAGAACACAAGGAGAAAAACACACCAUAAUGGCAGCCUCUUCAUUGUCAACUCGAAAGCUUGUGUAUGGAGAUGCCACUUGCAAGUCCAAAGGAGGCAAACCAUAACCAGAUCUCCACGGGCCAUAGGCAGCCACCACACUCAUAAUAGACCUUGAGAGGUAAGCAGUGAAGGUGUGGCGUGGUAUCACAUCAUUGACAAGCACGUUGGUGAGUUCAUUACCUUGGACAAAGAUGCUCACAUACAGAUUAACAGCAGAAACCGCAACAUCGACAUAAAUAACUUCUUGUCUAGUGGGAGCAACAAAAAGAGUAGUAGCAGGGAGGGCAAGAGCUUGAGAAGACCCAUGUGUGCUAGCAGUUGAGCUAGAAUCCCAUGCAGAGUUGAGGCUGUCAGUCACAUUGUCUUCAGGUAAGAUGCCAUCUUGAACUCUUAGACCUUGAGCUGCCAGUCAGGACUGAAAAUUAACCAGGGCAGUAGGCAUUUGUGGAACUUGCUGUGCGGGCCAAGCAUCCCAUUGAGCAGGAUGAGGAUCAUCUUGUUGGGCUGCAUUGUGCGGGCCAUGAUCAUUUCCAAUCCCAUUCUGAAGAAGCCAAUUCUGCAGCUACUAUUGAUACAGUUGUUCUGCCGUGAGUCCCUCACCAAACAUGGGAUGGGGGAUGCCAUUCGCCAGAGGCGGCUCCUCAUCCGCUGUGGGCACUUCAGGGUCAUGUGCGUUCCAAUCUGCACCCCUCAAAAUGAACACCGCAACAGUCCAGCAGGCUCUAUCUCCACCGAGAUGACGAACAACGAUACUUUUGGGGAUCAGCCGCAUGUGAAUCACCCUGACCUUGAUCAGCACCACUCGACGAUCAAUGUUCGGAUUAUUCCAGGAAACCAGUCUACCAUAAUCAUCUACAGAGCGCUGAAGAUAAAAGUCUUUCUGAUAGUCAUCUGGAAAACCAAUAUACAUCAGCCAAACCUCUGGCCCAUAAGUAGUGUUGCGCAUGUUAAGAGCAGCAUUGUGUCUAACAAAUGUGUCGGUGGAAACGACACCUAUGGGAUCACGGGGAAUCCCUUCUACGGUCGGCGGGCGCAGGGCUCUGGAAAGAGCGGGUUUAAGAGAUCAACACGGGAAAUUUAUCCAGGUCUGGGCUGCAAGUGAUGCGUAAUACCCUACUCCUACUGGCUUGUGUUUAUCUCGUGUUCUUGGACUAGCUACAAAGCGCGCAGGGUCCAAAAAGUCCGAAUCCUCUCUCAGUAUGCCGCGGGCUUCCUUUUAUAGUCAAAGGGGCUGCCAGAGUGGCACACAGGAGGUGAAAAGUUGUACAGUAGUCAAGUUUAUCUCUGGCACCAUAGGACAAAAUGCAUUAAAUGCGCUACUUAGGUGUCCUCUUACUUUAUCGGGUACGAUAACGAAGCCCGUCCCGCCCGUCGCCGCUUCGCCUUUCUCCCACACGCGUCCAGGCCAACGAGGCAUGCAACACCAUGUAGGCUGGCAGGCUGCUGAGUGUGGCACCCCGGCUCAGAGCGACCGGUUUACCCUGCAUUGCCAGCCCAGAGAUCAUGUCUUCUGGCAACACACAACAUAUUGGUACAGAAAACAACCGCUUUAUUAAUGCUAGCGGAACAGAGUUCAUAUUACAACAGUGGUCGAGGCCAAGCGGCACACUCGGUGUGGCGGAACAAUAUGUACAUUAUUUAGUGAACAUAAAAGGGCCUCGACUCGAACAACUACGUGGCAGCGGAAUAACGUCGUAGCGGAAGCUCCAUAUCACAGGGACACUGACGUGGACAUGAUCUAGACUCGAACAGCGCUCCUUUCCAACGAGACUUUCCUGAAAUCUGGCAUGACACGCCAGGUCAGUGCAUUGAAUGUACUUGCAAGCUCACAACAAGCAUAAUCAUAAUGACAAACAAUAUCAUGAUAUUUAACCAAUUAUUAAUAAUGCAACCUUAUAUGUCAACAUGCUGUGAUCAAGCCCGAACGUCCCUUAGGACAGCUUACCAACUGUGACCAUCUCUGGACCACAAACACACCACCAUAGUGGUCUUUCUCAAGAACAACUCAUGAUCCUUACGGCGAUCACAACCACGACCAUCAUUUGGUCCCAAAUACCUCGAUGGCCUUUCUGCCAUCCAUUGACAAUGCAAAGUUCAUAGCUUAGUGUGCAAUUUUUAUUAAACGUUGACUCAUGGUGGGACCUAGUACGAGGUGUCCGUAACCGUGGACUCGGCUAUCGAUAGAUUAUACACUCAGCAGAGGUAGCACACUGUACCCACACCACGGAACCCAUGGCCUCGCAUUCCCAUUCGGGUGGACCAAUGACAUUCUGACAAAACCCCUCCAUUGCCACAACACUCUCCCGGCCACUCCGACCCAAAUCCCCAACGGGCUGGUCCUGGGUGGCCCCGUGUCUACCAAAGACACCCCGACCACCCUCGUGGUCAAAACACUCCCACUCGGGGACUCGGUACCAUAAUCUCAUCAACGAGCACACAAGAUUAUGUGUGCUUAUCGGGCCAGGGCAAGCACGACAUAAUCUUCCCUAGAUGGAGGCACCGACCAGAGGCCGUGUCAAUGGACCGAAUCAAGGCCUCCCACAAGGCAAAUGUGGUUGCACUGGAAAGAAACUCGAUUCAGUGGCACCAUGACCCAGUCAACGGUAUAUUCAAGUUGAAUUAUAUUCAGGAUUAAUCUCUAAACUAAAAAUGACCGGUGUCAUAGCAUGCCAUGAAAUGCAAAACAACACAUGCAUCACAUAUUGAUAAAAAUGACCGACGUCAUCAAUAUGCACACCAAGCAUAAACUUCAACAACUCAUAUUACUCUACUUGCUCAAAAUGACUCACAACUUAACCAAAAUAUUUUGCAACAAGUUUUAUUAAUUUCCUACGCAAGAAAGUAACUCCGAUAAAUCUUUCAUAUGCUUGACCAAAAGAUAUCAUUAUCAACAACUAUUAAUUUCUUUAUCACUAAGUUGGGUUCAAACAUUCUGUAAGACAAGUAUAUGAUUAAACAAGUAUUUAACAAAAUAUUUUCUAACAAAGUUUUAUCAAUUUAAGAAUGCAAACACAAAGCUUUACAUAAUUACUAACAUGCAUAACAAAAUUAUUUCUGACAUCACCUCAAAUAAAUUUUAACUUCCUUUACUAGUCUCAACUAUUCUGUAAAUCAAGCAUAACAACUGACCAAUACUUAACAGAAUAUAAAUAAUUCAAUAAUUAUUUACAUGCAUGGGUUAAUCAUUUCAUUUAAGUGAGAAAAUCACAAAUAUUGAAAUGGCAUCAUAAAAAUGUUGCUGUGGCUUGCCUUAGUACAGAUGAGGUUCACAAGCCUCCUGGUGAUCCUCAAGACAAGCCUCACCUUCUGAAAAUAAUUUUAAACACAAAAAGAGAAUAUCAAGAACACUUCUGAAAUUCACCAGAAAUUCUAAACAGCUCAGAAAAAUCUUACCUUUGGUGAGCUGUUAGAUUUCCUUUCAAAGAACACANNNNNNNNNNNNNNNNNNNNNNNNNNNNNNNNNNNNNNNNNNNNNNNNNNNNNNNNNNNNNNNNNNNNNNNNNNNNNNNNNNNNNNNNNNNNNNNNNNNNNNNNNNNNNNNNNNNNNNNNNNNNNNNNNNNNNNNNNNNNNNNNNNNNNNNNNNNNNNNNNNNNNNNNNNNNNNNNNNNNNNNNNNNNNNNNNNNNNNNNNNNNNNNNNNNNNNNNNNNNNNNNNNNNNNNNNNNNNNNNNNNNNNNNNNNNNNNNNNNNNNNNNNNNNNNNNNNNNNNNNNNNNNNNNNNNNNNNNNNNNNNNNNNNNNNNNNNNNNNNNNNNNNNNNNNNNNNNNNNNNNNNNNNNNNNNNNNNNNNNNNNNNNNNNNNNNNNNNNNNNNNNNNNNNNNNNNNNNNNNNNNNNNNNNNNUUUCGCACGUGUACUGAGUGGCUGACUAGCGGGCCCCGCUAGUCAGGUGGGGGAAGAGGGAGAGAGAAACAGAGAGGGCCGCGGCUUCGCUGGAGCUCUCGCCGGCGACGAGGGCUCCUUGGCCCAAACGAGAGGGAGGGAUGGCAAGAGGAGGUCGAGGCGCACCUACCCGUACCCGUAGCAUGGCUAGGGGUGGUCGGACGGCGUCGGAAUCUAGCUCGCGAGCGGAGGCAGAACGAGGAGGUCGUCGGAGUUGAGGAAGGCGGCGAGCAGAGGCCGCUCCAGAGGCUCCAAGCGGGCGAGACGGCCUCACCGGAGAGAGGCGGAGGCCCUGGAGGGGUCGCCCAGGCCUGGGAGGGGCUGGAGCUACCGCGGCGACCAGAGGGGAUCGCAGGCGAGCUCGAGCUCGGGGACGGCGGCCCGAGGCCUGCCCGGCCGGGCUACGGCUUCCUACUCGACCGUGGAGUGUGUGUGAGUGCUGGAGGAUGCUCAAGAAGGCUGGGGGUGGCUCUAUUCAUAGGCGAGCGGCGAGGGUGCUUCGGGCUCCGCCGGUGGACACCUGUCCAUGGCGCCUGGCGACGAGCGGCGUCAGUGAGAGGGGGAGAAGGCGACGGAGGUCACGCGGCCACUGUGGGCGAGCGGGACGAGCACAUGAUCAAGGGGGUGACGACGAGCACAGUGCGCCCGCACUGUUGGGCUGGCCGGACCUUGCCCGUGCUCGUUGCGGCGAGCUCCGGUGUCGGCGAGUGCCAGGGUGGAGUUAAGGACGUCGAGACGAUGAUGGUGGCGAGGUUUGGCAUGGUUGGGCAGGCGGGGGAAGCAAGCACGCGCGAACAGAGCGUUCGGCGGCACCCAGAGCGCGUCGACACGCAUGCCUGGCAUCAUGGACACGCGUGGUCACCGCGCGAACUCUCUCCUCCGGCCAGCCUUCGUCCAAAAAUCAUGUCUGGCAUGUUGUUCAUGGUAGUUUUGAAGUUUACCACGGUUUGGUUUGGAUCCAGGUGCAGUAGAGAAGAUUUUACAAGCCAGGUAAGUUUCUGGUCAGUAACUUUGUGAUGUUACUGUGGUCAAAUGGCUGGGAGUUUGGGGCUGUGCUUUGGAGGCUAGUAAUAAGUUACUAAGGUAAAGAUGCACAAGAAAGUUCAUGUCAAAUGGAGCAAGUAAAAUGGUAGUUGCUGUAGAAACUACCAUUUCUGUCCAGAACAAAAAAGAUUUUCUGUAGCAAAAAUAUUCCAAAAAGUGAUGAAAUAUUUUUGCUCAGGGAGGUGCCCUAGGGUCCCUAGAAUAUUUGUGAAUUAUCUUAGAAUUUUCUGAGCCAUAAAAAUUAGGGUUGCCUUGAAGCAAACAGAUCUGGCUUAGGGUUUUUGAGAGAAAACGAUUAUUUUUCAUUUAAGAAAAAUAUUCCAAAGGUUAUUUUGUGGUGGAUCAGAAGUGAAGUGAUGGUUUGGGAGAGAAGUGAACACUUGGGUGAAAGCCAAGGAUGCCCAAGUGUUUAAGUCCAAAUGAAAAGAUUCAGAAACUCCAAGUUUCAAAAACUCCAAGUUUCAAAAACUUUCAAAUGAAAUUUCAAGCAAAUAAGAAAGGGCAAAAACCAGGCUGUCACAAACCUCCCCCAGUUAGAAUGAAUCUCGUCCUCGAGAUUCGGUUGCUUGGGAAAACCACUCUGGAUACUGACUCUUAAGGAACUCUUCCUGCUCCCAAGUUGCUUCUGACUCGGUGUGAUGCUCCCACUGAACUUUGAAAUUUUUUCUGACUUUGCUGCGAGUGACCCUUUCCACUUGAUCCAAAAUUUUGGACGGUCUUUCUUCAUAAGUUAAAUUCUUUGCCAAUUCUAUCUCAGCCGUUGCAGUCCUGUUCUUAGGCGGGGAUAUGCAUCGUCUCAAUUGCGAAACAUGGAACACAUUAUGUAUUUCUGACAACUCCGGGGGUAGUUCCAGUUGGUAUGCAACCGUACCCACUCGAGACAUAAUUGGGAAUGGACCAAUGAAUCUGGGUGCCAGCUUUCCACGAGUCUGAAAUCGCUUAACUCCUUUCAUAGGAGUGACUCGGAGGUACACAUGUUCUCCGGGUUCAAAACUGAACUGCCGGUGCUUUGCAUCAUAAUAACUCUUCUGACGGGAUUUGGCCAAUUGCAGUCGGUCUCUGAUUUCCCUAACUUGUUUCUCGGCUUCCAUCAUGAGAUCGGUUCCGAAGAUAUGGCUAUCUCCAGCUUGAGACCAAUUUAGAGGAGUGCGGCACUUACGACCAUAUAGAGCUUCAUAGGGUGACAUCUUUAGACUGGUCUGGAAACUGUUGUUAUUUGAGAACUCGGCGUAUGGCAAGCAAUCUUCCUAGUUCGCCCCGUUGGCUAGCACACAGGCUCGCAACAUAUCUUCGAGUAUUUGAUUUACUCACUCUGUCUGACCGUCCGUCUGGGGGUGAUAAGCAGUACUAUAUUUUAGUGCUGUCCCCAAGGCUUGAUGGAGGCGGGACCAGAAAGCGGAGGUAAACAAAGAACCUCGGUCGAAAGUGAUAGUCCGGGGUACCCCAUGCAAACUGACGAUUCUGGAUACAUACAGUUGCGCCAGUUCAUUUGCUCUGUAUCUGGUGCUGACCGGGAUGAAAUGAGCAACCUUGGUUAGGGUGUCCACUAUAACCCAGAUUGCGUCUUUGCCUCGCUGAGUCCUAGGAAAUCCGGUGAUGAAGUCCACGCAAACAUCAUCCAAUUUCCAUUGUGAAACUGGCAGUGGUUGGAGAAGUCCGGCUGGCUUCUGAUGCUCUGCUUUCACCUUGUUGCAUAUGUCGCAACAGGCUACAAAAUAGGCAAUGUCUUUCUUCAUCCCAUUCCACCAAAAUAUUUGUUUAAGGUCUUCAUACAUUUUCGUACUUCCUGGAUGAAUGGAAUAUGAGGAUUCGUGUGCUUCUGACAAGAUUUUCCUCUUCAAGUCCGGUUGAUUUGGUACACAAAUUCGUCCACGGAAUCGGAGGGUACCAAAGUUGUCCUUGAAGAAAUCUGGGGGCUGCCUUGCAUGUUUUUGUAGCUUGGCGUCAUCUGGCUGGGCCUUGCGGAUUUCCAUCUCAAGUGUGGGGGUAACUCCCAAAAUAUUAGUGAGGACAGCAUCCACGAUGACCAAGUUGAACUGAGCGAUCUCCUCCUGAAGUUUGGUAGGCAAAGAUUUUAACAUGACAUUUAAGCUGACGGGCUUUUGACUGAGCGCAUCGGCAACGACGUUGGUCUUGCCUGGAUGGUAAUUUAUUCCAAGGUCAUAAUCCUUGACCAACUCUAACCAUCUUCGCUGACGGAGAUUUAAAUCUGGCUGAGUGAAGAUGUACUUGAGGCUUUUGUGGUCGGUAAAAAUUUGGCACCUUUUUCCAAUGAGAUAGUGUCUCCAAAUUUUUAAUGCAUGAACCACUGCAGCCAAUUCCAAAUCAUGAGUAGGAUAAUUUCCCUCAUGUGGUCGUAGUUGUCGUGAUGCAUAGGCUACUACCUUGCCGUCUUGCAUCAAUACACAACCAAUACCUUGUCUGGAGGCAUUGCAGUACACGUCGAAGCUGCGAUAAAUGUCUGGAAGAGUCAAUACGGGUGCGGUUGUCAGACGCGUCUUUAGCUCAUAAAAACUCUUCUCACAGUCCUUGGUGCACUCAAACUUUGUAUCCUUUUUGAGCAGUUCCGUCAUAGGUUUAGCAAUUUUGGAAAACCCUUCAAUGAAACGACGAUAGUAUCCAGCUAAUCCAAGGAAACUCUGGAUCUGUGUUACAGUCGUGGGCGGUACCCAAUCGAGCACAUCCUUUACUUUGCUCGGGUCCACGGCUAUGCCUUCGGCGGAUAGUACAUGCCCGAGAAACCCAACUUGCUUGAGCCAAAAUUCGCACUUACUGAACUUGGCGUAUAGCUGAUGGUUGCGGAGCCGUUGUAGCACUACCCGGAGGUGAUCCUUAUGCUCUUCUUCACUCUUGGAGUAAAUGAGGAUGUCGUCGAUAAAGACUACCACAAAUUUGUCGAGGAAGUCCAUGAACACCUUGUUCAUCAUAUGCAUGAAGAAGGCAGGGGCAUUGGUGAGACCAAAGGACAUCACAAUAUAUUCGUAAAGACCGUAUCGUGUAGUGAAUGCGGUCUUAGGAAUAUCUUCCCUUUUAAUCUUGAGCUGAUGAUACCCGGUCCGUAAAUCGAUUUUUGAGAAUACUUUAGCCCCACUGAGCUGAUCGAACAGAUCAUCAAUCCUUGGCAGUGGGUAUUUAUUUUUGAUGGUGACCUCAUUCAGCUGGCGAUAAUCUAUGCACAUACGGAGACUGCCAUCCUUUUUACCCACGAAGAUUGCAGGUGACCCCCACGGUGAAGAGCUGGGACGAAUAUAACCUUUCCGGAGUAAUUCGUCAAGCUGUUUCUUUAGUUCCACUAAUUCUGAUGAGGGCAUCCGGUAAUACUUCUUGUAUAAUGGUGCGGUUCCGGGCACAAGAGCUAUGGUAAAUUCCAGUUCCCGAUCUGGUGGCAUGCCUGGCAGUUCUUCUGGAAACACAUCAGGGUACUCACUGACCACAGGAAUAUAUUUCAAUUUGACCACAGCAGUGCACACUAGUUCUGGCUUGGGUAUAUGCUUGCGAGCAUAGAAUUUGGUGAGCUGCCCAUUCAGACUGGUUAAAUUGACUUCUCGGGUUGCGCAGUUUAUACAAACUUGAUAUUUGGUUAGCCAAUUCAUUCCCAAUAUAAUAUCCAACUGUUCAGACUCAAUGAUUAUCAGAGAUGUUGGAAAGUGGACCCCGUUGAUAUUGAUCUCCAGAUCGCGGCAGACUAGAUUGCUCUUGAUUAUAGAUCCCGGGGUUUGUACCAGCAUAUUUUUGCCCAAAAUUGUGCAAGGAAAAUUGUUUUGGGCGGCAAAACUCCGAGAAAUAAAAGAAUGGGAAGCCCCAGAGUCAAAUAAAAUUACUGCAGGUAUGUCAUUAACAGAAAACAUACCAAUGACGACUCCUGGCUUCUCUUGGGAUUCAUCGGCGGAGAUAUGAUUCACGUGCCCAGUGAAGUUUUUCUGGGUUGGCCCUGACUCCAUAAAGUUGACUUGUGGCCUGCUCAGCGCAUUCACUCUGUGGUUCUUGGGGCACUGUUUGGCAUAAUGUCCGGGCUGCCCGCAAGUGAAACAAGAAUUAUUGCGCUGCCGCUCCUCAUGCAUUGGAUUGGCCACAACAUUCUUGACUUGAGUGGUGGUCUUGUUAACAUUCUGCUGCCAAUUUGGCCGGUAUUCCACCUGAGCCUGCUGCCAGGUACGAGCCUUUUGCAUAGGUUGCCCAUCCUUCCUUGGCUCAAACUUGCGCUUGUUGUCGUUAACAGGCCUAUUAUCUGAUAUAAGCUUGUGUUCCCGUUCAGCAAUGAAUGCCUUGUCUACCAGAGUUUGGAAAUCCGUGAAAUCAAACAUACUGAGAGCACACCGAAGUUGCGGAUUUAAACCUCCAAGAAAUCUGUCCAUCUUCCUUUCUUCGGUGGCUACGUCAUACAGAGAGUAACGGGCCAGAUGAUUGAAUUUUUGCAGAUACUCAGCCACAUAUUGAUUUCCUUGGACAAGCGCGAGAAAUUCACGCUGCUUGGCCUUCAUAACUCCAGUAGGGAUGUGAUAUUUGCGGAACUUAUCCUUGAAUUUUUCCCAGGUGACUUCCUCAUUAAUCGGCCACAUGGCUUUUGUAUUUUCCCACCAUAUGGCAGCUGCGCCUUCAAGGUAAUGGGUUGCAAAUGGGACUUUAUCAUUUCCUUCAGUACGGGCGAUCUCAAGCUUUUUCUCCAUGGUGCGCAACCAAUCGUCUGCAUCCAAUGGGUCAGCAACCUGACUGAAAUUGGGUGGAUUGGUCCUCUGAAAAUCUGACAGCUUUGAGUGAUGACCAUUCUGAUUUCCAUUUUGUCCAACUAUAGCUUGCACACUUCUCAAUAUUUCAAUCAGAUCAUUGUUCCUUUUUUCUUCAAACAUACGCAGAACUUGCUCGGUGGAGGGAGGAUCAGGCGGAGGAGGUGGUGGCUGAACGUACGGCUCGGGAGAAUAUCCUGCCUGUCGUGCGGAACGACGAAUGAGUUCCCUCACGAACGUUGCUACCGCCGCCUCCCCGCGUCAUCCUAUUGAGUAUUUUUCCCAAGGCAACGAAAUCGAGAUGAGAGACAUCCAAGAAUAAAAUUGGGGAAAAGCCAGCAACAAUUCUCAAAAAAAAAAACAAAAGAGCGAAGAGAAUACGGCGAUUAAAGUCCCAUCAUAAUUAUACAUAGACUCAUACAUGAAAAUUUAACAUCCUGACUGGUUCCACUACUCUCAUACAUGAAGCAUCAUAACUCGUACAACUACAUCCGUACACCAUCUAGACGACUGCGAAUACUCAAAAACACUACUGCUCUGCUGGUGCUGCGGUGUCCUCCCCUGAAGCGGUCUCAAAUCCCGAACUGACGUGGUUAACGGAAACCUCCGGGUUAAAGGUAACACGACGACGCUGCCUCGAGGGCUCUCCCUCAGGGGCAGGGGUAGGAUGAAGCAUCGGGACUGCAGGAAUAGCAAGAGGUGAGACCCACUCGGCAGGAGUACUGAGAGGGUUCAUGGCCGGAACGCCUGUGCUACUCGGGGGAGUAACCGGCGAAAUAGGGGAGCUAGAGCUAACUGGGACAUAAGGGGUAAAUCCCAGUGAGGAUGGAGUAAUGGUGGAUCUAGUAGUGAUCAAGGUAGCGGCUAAAGCAGUACGGGCACGAGUCAGCUCUCGAGCCAGCUCGUGGAUCAUCAGAUAGCUAGCAGUGAUAUAGCGAGCAAGAUGGCUAGCAGCACUAUCAGACUCCGGGUUAACGAGAGGAAAACGGACACGACCGUUGUCGUGCAGAGAUGGGUAGUAGUAGAAUCCUGGGUGAUGCUGCAUUUGAACCUCGGUAUAACGAAGCUCGACAAGGAUCUCAAAUGCGGCAAACUGACAGCCUGAGAAGCGGUGGAGGCGUAACCGCUCCGAGAAGUGCGAGUGUAAGAGCCGGAAUCGGAACUGGUGCGCAGAGUAACCACUGCGUGAUACUCAUACACUGAGUCUGCUAGACGCUCCCGGUACACACGGUAGACUGGUUCGCCUCCGUGAGGGUACAACCGAUGCCACACGUUGUGGAGAAGGUGCGGUGACGUGUACGGCAUCAACUGCAACUGGCACGGAUACGGCACCGGAGCCAUCUACACUCACAACCAUUAACAGGUUAGCAUAAAAAUAAUAAUCAAAUGACUACAAUGCAACAACCAGCCAUAACUGCUACCGACACUCACAUUUACUCGUGUCUAGCUUCCAGUUAACACGUCGUAGUCUAGCGUGGCCUACAGUCAGCGCGGCUCUGGUACCAACCGUUGUGGCACCCCGGCUCAGAGCGACCGGUUUACCCUGCAUUGCCAGCCCAGAGAUCAUGUCUUCUGGCAACACACAACAUAUUGGUACAGAAAACAACCGCUUUAUUAAUGCUAGCGGAAUAGAGUUCAUAUUACAACAGUGGUCGAGGCCAAGCGGCACACUCGGUGCGGCGGAACAAUAUGUACAUUAUUUAGUGAACAUAAAAGGGCCUCGACUCGAACAAUUACGUGGCAGCGGAAUAACGUCGUAGCGGAAGCUCCAUAUCACAGGGACACUGAUGUGGACACGAUCUAGACUCGAACAACGCUCCUUUCCAACAAGACUUUCCUGAAAUCUGGCAUGACACGCCAGGUCAGUACAUUGAAUGUACUUGCAAGCUCACAACAAGCAUAAUCAUAAUGACAAACAAUAUCAUGAUAUUUAACCAAUUAUUAAUAAUGCAACCUUAUAUGUCAACAUGCCGUGAUCAAGCCCGAACGCCCCUUAGGACAACUUACAAACUGUGAUCAUCUCUGGACCACAAACACACCACCAUAGUGGUCUUUCUCAAGAACAACUCGUGAUCCUUACGGCGAUCACAACCACGACCAUCAUUUGGUCCCAAAUACCUCGAUGGCUUUUCUACCAUCCAUUGACAAUGAAAAGUUCAUAGCUUAGUGUGCAAUUUUUAUUAAACGUUGACUCAUGGUGGGACCUAGUACGAGGUGUCCGUAACCGUGGACUCGGCUAUCGAUAGAUUAUACACUCAGCAGAGGUAGCACACUGUACCCACACCACGGAACCCAUGGCCUCGCAUUCCCAUUCGGGUGGACCAACGGCAUUCCGACAAAACCCCUCCAUUGCCACAACACUCUCCCGGCCACUCCGACCCAAAUCCCCAACGGGCUGGUCCUGGGUGGCCCCGUGUCUACCAAAGACACCCCGACCACCCUCGUGGUCAAAACACUCCCACUCGGGGACUCGGUACCAUAAUCUCAUCAACGAGCACACAAGAUUAUGUGUGCUUACCGGGCCAGGGCAAGCAUGACAUAAUCUUCCCUAGGUGGAGGCACCGACCAGAGGCCGUGUCAAUGGACCGAAUCAAGGCCUCCCACAAGGCAAAUGUGGUUGCACUUGAAAGAAACUCGAUUCAGCGGCACCAUGACCCAGUCAACGGUAUAUUCAAGUUGAAUUAUAUUUAGGAUUAAUUUUAAACUAAAAAUGACCCAUGUCAUAGCAUGCCAUGAAAUGCAAAACAACACAUGCAUCACAUAUUGAUAAAAAUGACCGACGUCAUCCAUAUGCACACCAAGCAUAAACGUCAACAACUCAUAUUACUCUACUUGCUCAAAAUGACUCACAACUUAACCAAAAUAUUUUGCAACAAGUUUUAUUAAUUUCCUACGCAAGAAAGUAACUCCGAUAAAUCUUUCAUAUGCUUGACCAAAAGAUAUCAUUAUCAACAACUCUUAAUUUCUUUAUCACUAAGUAGGGUUCAAACAUUCUAUAAGACAAGUAAUAUGAUUAAACAAGUAUUUAACAGAAUAUUUUCUAACAAAUUUUUAUCAAUUUAAGAAUGCAAACACAAAGAUUUACAUAAUUACUAACAUGCAUAACAAAAUUAUUUCUGACAUCACCUCAAAUAAAUUUUAACUUGCUUUACUAGUUUCAACUAUUCUGUAAAUCAAGCAUAACAACUGACCAAUACUUAACAGAAUAUAAAUAAUUCAAUAAUUAUUUACAUGCAUGGGUUAAUCAUUUCAUUUAAGUGAGGAAAUCACAAAUAUUGAAAUGGCAUCAUAAAAAUGUUGCUGUGGCUUGCCUUAGUACAGAUGAGGUUCACAAGCCUCCUGGUGAUCCUCAAGACAAGCCUCACCUUCUGAAAAUAAUUUUAAACACAAAAAGAGAAUAUUAAGAACACUUCUGAAAUUCACCAGAAAUUCUAAACAGCUCAGAAAAAUCUUAUCUUUGGUGAGCUGUUAGAUUUCCUUUCAAAGAACACAAUGCAAAAAGAAUCAUCUCAUUUGGACUUAUGGUUAAAAAGUUAAAUUGUUUGAAGCUCUCUAGAAUAUAAAUGAAUUUGAAUAANNNNNNNNNNNNNNNNNNNNNNNNNNNNNNNNNNNNNNNNNNNNNNNNNNNNNNNNNNNNNNNNNNNNNNNNNNNNNNNNNNNNNNNNNNNNNNNNNNNNNNNNNNNNNNNNNNNNNNNNNNNNNNNNNNNNNNNNNNNNNNNNNNNNNNNNNNNNNNNNNNNNNNNNNNNNNNNNNNNNNNNNNNNNNNNNNNNNNNNNNNNNNNNNNNNNNNNNNNNNNNNNNNNNNNNNNNNNNNNNNNNNNNNNNNNNNNNNNNNNNNNNNNNNNNNNNNNNNNNNNNNNNNNNNNNNNNNNNNNNNNNNNNNNNNNNNNNNNNNNNNNNNNNNNNNNNNNNNNNNNNNNNNNNNNNNNNNNNNNNNNNNNNNNNNNNNNNNNNNNNNNNNNNNNNNNNNNGGUGACGUCGAAGGUAAAGCCCAGGGGCGCCACCACUCGUACCGUUUCACACGUGUACUGAGUGGCUGACUAGCGGGCCCCGCUAGUCAGGUGGGGGAAGAGGGAGAGAGAAACAGAGAGGGCCGCGGCUUCGCUGGAGCUCUCGCCGGCGACGAGGGCUCCUUGGCCCAAACGAGAGGGAGGGAUGGCAAGAGGAGGUCGAGGCGCACCUGCCCGUACCCGUAGCGUGGCUAGGGGUGGUCAGACGGCGUCGGAAUCUAGCUCGCGAGCGGAGGCAGAACGAGGAGGUCGUCGGAGUUGAGGAAGGCGGCGAGCAGAGGCCUCUCCAGAGGCUCCAAGCGGGCGAGACGGCCUCACCGGAGAGAGGCGGAGGCCCUGGAGGGGUCGCCCAGGCCUGGGAGGGGCUGGAGCUACCGCGGCGACCAGAGGGGAUCGCCGGCGAGCUCGAGCUCGGGGACGGCGGCCCGAGGCCUGCCCGGCCAGGCUACGGCUUCCUACUCGACCGUGGAGUGUGUGUGAGUGCUGAAGGAUGCUCAAGAAGGCUGGGGGUGGCUCUAUUUAUAUGCGAGCGGCGAGGGUGCUUCGGGCUCCGCCGGUGGACACCUGUCCACGGCGCCCGGCGACGAGCGGCGUCAGUGAGAGGGGGAGAAGGCGACGGAGGUCACGCGGCCACUGUGGGCGAGCGGGGACGAGCACAGGAUCAAGGGGGGUGACGACGAGCACAGUGCGCUGGCCAGACCUUGCCCGUGCUCGCUGCGGCGAGCUCCGGCGUUGGCGAGUGCCAGGGUGGAGUUAAGGACAUCGAGACGAUGAUGGUGGCGAGGUUUGGCAUGGUUGGGCAGGCGGGGGAAGCAAGCACGCGCGAACAGAGCGUUCGGCGGCACCCAGAGCGCGUCGACACGCAUGCCUGGCAUCAUGGACACGCGUGGUCACCGCGCGAACUCUCUCCUCCGGCCAGCCUUCGUCCAAAAAUCAUGUCUGGCAUGUUGUUCAUGGUAGUUUUGAAGUUUACCACGGUUUGGUUUGGAUCCAGGUGCAGUAGAGAAGAUUUUACAAGCCAGGUAAGUUUCUGGUCAGUAACUUUGUGAUGUUACUAUGGUCAAAUGGCUGGGAGUUUGGGGCUGUGCUUUGGAGGCUAGUAAUAGUUACUAAGGUAAAGAUGCACAAGAAAGUUCAGGUCAAAUGGAGCAAGUAAAAUGGUAGUUGCUGUAGAAACCACCAUUUCUGUCCAGAACAGAAAAGAUUUUCUGUAGCAAAAAUAUUCCAAAAAGUGAUGAAAUAUUUUUGCUCAGGGAGGUGCCCUAGGGUCCCUAGAAUAUUUGUGAAUUAUCUUAGAAUUUUCUGAGCCAUAAAAAUUAGGGUUGCCUUGAAGCAAACAGAUCUGGCUUAGGGUUUUUGACAGAAAAUGAAUAUUUUUCAUUUAAGAAAAAUAUUCCAAAGGUUAUUUUGUGGUGGAUCAGAAGUGAAGUGAUGGUUUGGGAGAGAAGUGAACACUUGGGUGAAAGCCAAGGAUGCCCAAGUGUUUAAGUCCAAAUGAAAAGAUUCAGAAACUCCAAGUUUCAAAAACUUUCAAAUGAAAUUUCAAGCAAAUAAGAAAGGGCAAAAACCAGGCUGUCACACUGAGCUGGCGUGGUGGCAGCGUCUUCACGAAGAUCUGCAUGCCACCACAUAGGUGCUUGACUAGUUGGCUUAGGAGCCACGUACUGCCACGUGGGUACCUGCUUGGUUGGUUGGUCGGCCGCUGAGCUGGGGCAGCGACGGGGCGGAAAAACCUUGCCGCGGUCUUGUUGACAUUCCCGGCAAGACCACUUGCCGGGGUCUUGUGGGCGCCCUCGGCAAGAGUCUUGCCGGGGCCUCGUGGGUAUCUUCGGCAGGAGCCUUGCCGGGGCCUCGUGGGCAUCCUCGGCAAGGAGCCUUGCUGUUGUCUUGUUUCCUGGUUCCUAUCUAGGCCUUGCAGGCCCUUUGUCUUCACAAAGAUCUGCAUGCCACCAUGGAGGCGCCUCCCGAGCCUUGGUCCCAAUGUGGUUGAUGGCGUUGGAACCCUUAGACUCAAGGGUGGCGGCCUCGUUGGUGUUGGGCAAGCUGCCCCGGCAAGGCUCUUGCCGGGGCCGUGAAGGCCGUCCGUGAACAAGUAAAGGGGUGCAAAAAGGACCCCUACUUUUGCAAAAAGGGCACAAGUAAAGGGGGGGGGGUGUCUCACCUCGCCCCUCCGCUCUUCAUGCUUCUGGUCUUGAGCACGACUCUGGUAGUCUUGUGUCUUUGCUUCCUCUUUUGUCCCGCUAAGCGCGGCUGCGGGUGUGUGGCUGCGACUGCCCGCGCACAAGUAAAGGGGUGCAAAAAGGACCCCUACUUUUGUACACCGACAGGAGCCCCCGGGCCUGGGCCACAUAUAAGUGCGGGGUGUCAUUGAGCCAGGCCCACAACGGUGCGCGGGCGUGCGCGCGGCGGAGUUUUAUCGCAGUAACUCCCCCGCCGGUUGCGCUUCCCCACGACCUGCGUUGAAUGCAUGACGUGGGGGGUCGCGCGUGGAAUGACCGUAGCAUGAUCGCGUCAUCCCGCGGUGAAUAGUAAAGAGGCCGCUUGCGUGUCCCUUUAAAACUGCAGGGCUGCUGCUCAUUUACUCUCUCUGCCUUGGAACCGUCGUUCCAGUUUCCCACUACGCCUGCCCCUUGCGCCACAUACAUGAUGACCCACAAGUAUAGGGGAUCUAUCAUAGUCCUUUCGAUAAGUAAGAGUGUCGAACCAAACGAGGAGCAGAAGGAAAUGAUAAGCGGUUUUCAGUAAGGUAUUCUCUGCAAGCACUGAAAUUAUCGGUAACAGAUAGUUUUGUGAUAAGGUAAUUUGUAGCGGGCAACAAGUAAUGAAAGUAAAUAAGGUGCAGCAAGAUGGCCCAAUCCUUUUUGUAGCAAAGGACAAGCCUGGACAAACUCUUAUAUGAAGGAAAACGCUCCCGAGGACACAUGGGAAUUAUCGUCAAGCUAGUUUUCAUCACGCUCAUAUGAUUCGCGUUCGUUACUUUGAUAAUUUGGUAUGUGGGUGGACCGGUGCUUGGGUACUGCCCUUUCUUGGACAAGUAUCCCACUUAUGAUUAACCCCUAUUGCAAGCAUCCGCAACUACAAGAGAAGUAUUAAGGUAAACCUAACCAUAGCAUGAAACAUAUGGAUCCAAAUCAGCCCCUUACGAAGCAACUCAUAAACUAGGGUUUAAGCUUCUGUCACUCUAGCAACCCAUCAUCUACUUAUUACUUCCCAAUGCCUUCCUCUAGGCCCAAACAAUGGUGAAGUGUCAUGUAGUCGACGUUCACAUAACACCUCUAGAGGAAAGACAACAUACAUCUCAUCAAAAUAUCGAACGAAUACCAAAUUCACAAGACUACUUAUAGCAAGACUUCUCCCAUAUCCUCAGGAACAAACGUAACUACUCACAAAUCAUAUUCAUGUUCAUAAUCAGAGGGGUAUUAAUAUGCAUAAAGGAUCUGAACAUAUGAUCUUCCACCAAAAAAACCAACUAGCAUCAACUACAAGGAGUAAUCAACACUACUAGCAACCGACAGGUACCAAUCUGAGGCUUUGGGACAAAGAUUGGAUACAAGAGAUGAACUAGGGUUUUAGAGGAGAUGGUGCUGGUGAAGAUGUUGAUGGAGAUUGACCCCCUCCCGAAGAGAGGAUCGUUGGUGAUGACGAUGGCGAUGAUUUCCCCCUCCCGGAGGGAAGUUUCCCUGGCAGAGGUUCUGCCGGAGCCCUAGAUUGGUUCCGCCAAGGUUCCGCCUCGUGGCGGCGGAGUUUCUUCCCGAAAGCUUGCUUAUGAUUUUUUGCAGGGUAAAAGACUUCAUAUAGCAGAAGAUGGGCACCGGAGGCCUGCCAGGGGGCCCACAAGGCAGGGGGCGCGCCCAGGGGGUAGGGCGUGCCCCCCACCCUCGUGGAUGGUGGGUGGCCCCCUCUGGUACUUUCUUCGCUCAAUAUUUUUUAUUAAUUCCAAAAAUAACUUCCGUGGAGUUUCAGGACUUUUGGAGUUGUGCAGAAUAGGUAUCUAAUAUUUGCUCCUUUUCCAGCCCAGAAUUCCAGCUGCCGGCAUUCUCCCUCUUCAUGUAAACCUUGUAAAUAAGAGAUAAUAGGCAUAAGUAUUGUGACAUAACGUGUAAUAACUGCCCAUAAUGCAAUAAAUAUCAAUAUAAAAGCAUGAUGCAAAAUGGACGUAUCAACUCCCCCAAGCUUAGACCUCGCUUGUCCUCAAGCGGAAGCCGCUAACGAUAAAUAUGUCCACAUGUUUAGAGAUAGAGGUGUCGAUAAAAUAAAAUACGGACAUGAGGGCAUCAUGAUCAUUCUUAUAACAGCAACAUAUAUGGAUAUUGUCAUAUGAUUUCUUAUGCUCAAGUAACAAUCUAUUCACAAUGUCAAGUAUGAAUCAGAAACUUCAUUGAGAACUAACAAACUAUGAUCUCGGUCAUUGAAGCAAUUGCAAUUUAUCAUAACAUUGGAAAGAGUCAAUAUAAGAGCUUUUCAGCAAGUCCACAUACUCAACUAUCAUUUAGUCUUUCAUAAUUGCUAACACUCAUGCAAUACCUAUGGUAUGGAGUUUUAAUUGGACACAAAGAAAGAUAUGGGCUUAUAGUGUUGCCUCCCAACCUUUUACCUCAAGGGUAAUGUCAACAAUAAUAAUUCAUGCUAACUUACAUCCUAUUGGAUAUAUAUAUCAGGAUCUUUCCAACACAAGGUGCUUGCCAAAGGAUAGAAUGUAAAAAGGAAAGGUGAAGAUCACCAUGACUCUUGUAUAAGGUAAAAGAUAGGCCCUUCGGAGAGGGAAGCAGAGGUUGUCAUGUGCUUUUAUGGUUGGAUGCACGAAAUCUUAAUGCAAAAGAACGUCACUUUAUAUUGCCACUUGUGAUAUGGACCUUUAUUAUGCAGUCCGUCGCUUUGAUUGCUUCCAUAUCACAAGAUCGUAUAAAGUUUAUUUUCUCCACACUAAUAAAUCAUACAUAUUUAGAGAUAAAUUUUUAUUGCAUGCAACAUGACAACUUACUUGAAGGAUCUUACUCAAUCCACAGGUAGAUAUGGUGGACUGUUAUGGCAAAACUGGGUUUAAGGGUAUUCGGGAGCACAAGUAGUAUCUCUACUUGGUGCAAAGAAUUUGGCUAGCAUGAGAGGGAAGGCAAGCUCAACAUGUUGGACGAUCCAUGACAAUAUACUUUAUUUCAGAUAUAAGAAAACAUAACCCAUUACGUUGUCUUCCUUGUCCAACAUCAACUCUUUAGCAUGUCAUAUUUUAAUGAGUGCUCACAAUCGUAAAACAUGUCCAAGAUAGUAUAUUUAUAUGUGAAAACCUCUUUUUUAUUACUUCCUAUUAAUUACAACGAUGACCAAAACUAUGUUUGUCAACUCUCAACAACUUUUAUUCAUCAUACUCUUUAUAUGUGAAGUCAUUACUCUCCAUAAGAUCAAUAUGAUCUCUUUAUUUCUUUUUAUUCUUUCUUUUAUUCCCUCAAGAUCAUAGUAAGAUAAUCAAGCCCUUGAAUCAACACUAAUCUUUAUUAUAUAUAGCUCACGGACUCGAUUACAUAGAAGGAUCAUAAAGCAAAACUCAAAACUAAAUCAUACUAAAACUUUAUUACUAGAUCAAGAUAUUACCAAAAGGAUCGAACUAAGAAAAAUGGUACAGAUUGGAGUGUGAUGGUGAUACGAUACCGGGGCACCUCCCCCAAGCUUGGCAGUUGCCAAGGGGAGUGCCCAUACCCAUGUGAUUAUGUAUCCUUCCUCGAAAGUGGUGGUGAUGGGGUUGUUGAUGAUGUAGGCUUGUCGUCCAUCUUCCAAGGCAUAGGCUCACCAUCAUAGAAGGAUGAUCGAGUCUCCGGGAUCCUUAAAUUUGCAGCCAAACUCAUCCUCUUGAAUCUAUAUUCAUACUCACAGUUUUGGUUUUGCAGGUCAUAGAUCUGGGCUUGGAGGUGCUCGAUAUUCUCGUGAAGCUUGAAGAUGGCCUCCCUAAUGUCCUUGGCGUCCAGCUUGUGGUUGUUGGUGAACUCCAUGAUCAUUAUGUGAUUGGUGUCGAGUCCACGCUCCACCAUCUCCUGACACUUGAAAACUUGUUGCUCCAUUGCUUCAAGCCUUGUCUCCACGCUUUCGGUCCUCCUUGGUCCCUCAACAUCGCGGAUGUGCAGCACCCCCUCAUGCAUCUCAAUGGUUUGAGGAUGUUGCAACACUUCCGCGAGGUAGGGGUUGAUAACCUUCUCAAAGAACUUGUCCUUGGGGGCACUUAGAGACGUCAUGGCGAUCUAGAUCUGUCAGAAAAACAGCUCGAAACAAAAACAAAGGAUAAUUGCGUGAUACGGUGGUUGAUACGUCUCCAACGUAUCUAUAAUUUAUGAAGUAUUCAUGCUAUUAUAUUAUCUGUUUUGGAUGUUUAUGGGCUUUACUAAACACUUUUAUAUUAUUUUUGGGACUAACCUAUUAACCGGAGGCCCAGCCCAAAUUGCUGUUUUCUUGCCUAUUUCAGUGUUUCGAAGAAAAGGAAUAUCAAACGGAGUCCAAACGGAAUGAAACCUUCGGGAGAGUUAUUUUUGGAACGGAAGCAAUCCAGGAGACUUGGAGUAGACGUCAGGGAAGCUUUGAGGAAGCCACGAGGCAGGGAGGCGCGCCCUACCCCCCGGGCGCGCCUCCACCCUCGUGGGCCCCUCUUGGCUCCCCUGACCGACUUCUUUCGCCUAUAUAUGUCCAUAUACCCUAAAAACAUCAGAAAACAAAAUAGAUCGGGAGUUCUGCCGCCGCAAGCCUUUGUAGCCACCAAAAACCAAUCGGGACCCUGUUCUGGCACCCUGCCGGAGGGGGAACCCUCACCGGUGGCCAUCUUCAUCAUGUCGGCGCUCUCCAUGAUGAGGAGGGAGUAGUUCACUCUCGGGGCUGAGGGUAUGUACCAGUAGCUAUGUGUUUGAUCUCUGUUCCUCGUGUUCUUGAGGUGGUGCGAUCUUGAUGUAUCGCGAGCUUUGCUAUUAUAGUUGGAUCUUAUGAUGUUUCUCCCCCUCUACUCUCUUGUAAUGGAUUGAGUUUUCCCUUUGAAGUUAUCUUAUCGGAUUGAGUCUUUAAGGAUUUGAGAACACUUGAUGGAUGUCUUGCAUGUGCUUAUCUGUGGUGACAAUGGGAUAUCACGUGAUCUACUUGAUGUAUGUUUUGGUGAUCAACUUGCGGGUUCCAUAACAUUGUGAACUUAUGCAUAGGGCUUGGCACACGUUUUCGUCUUGACUCUCCGGUAGAAACUUUGGGGCACUCUUUGAAGUACUUUGUGUUGGUUUGAAUAGAUGAAUCUGAGAUUGUGUGAUGCAUAUCGUAUAAUCAUACCCAGUGACAUUGGAGUAUCUAGGUGACAUUAGGGUUUUGGUUGAUUUGUGUCUUAAGGUGUUAUUCUAGUACGAACUCUAUGAUAGAUCGAAUGGAAAGAAUAGCUUCAUGUUAUUUUACUACGGACUCUUGAAUAGAUCGAUCAGAAAGGAUAACUUUGAGGUGGUUUCGUACCCUACCAUAAUCUCUUCGUUUGUUCUCCUCUAUUAGUGACUUUGGAGUGACUCUUUGUUGCAUGUUGAGGGAUAGUUAUAUGAUCCAAUUAUGUUAUUAUUGUUGAGAGAACUUGCACUAGUGAAAGUAUGAACCCUAGGCCUUGUUUCAACGCAUUGCAAUAGCAUUUGUGCUCACUUUUAUCAUUAGUUACCUUGCUGUUUUUAUAUUUUCAGAUUACAAAAACCUAUAUCUACCAUCCAUAUUGCACUUGUAUCAUCAUCUCUUCGCUGAACUAGUGCACCUAUACAAUUUACCAUUGUAUUGGGUGUGUUGGGGACACAAGAGACUCUUUGUUAUUUGGUUGCAGGGUUGUUUGAGAGAGACCAUCUUCAUCCUACGCCUCCCACGGAUUGAUAAACCUUAGGUCAUCCACUUGAGGGAAAUUUGCUAUUGUCCUACAAACCUCUGCACUUGGAGGCCCAACAACGUCUACAAGAAGAAGGUUGUGUAGAGACAUCAAGCAGUUUCUGGCGCCGUUGCCGGGGAGGUGAGUGCUUGAAGGUAUAUCUUUAGAUCUUGCAAUCGAAUCUUUUAGUUUCUUAUUUUAUCACUAGUUUAGUCUAUAAAAGAAAACUACAAAAAAAUGGAAUUAAGGGUGCCUCAUAUGCUUCAUCUUUUUAAUGUCUUUCGUGAAAAUGAUGGGAAGGAAAAUUGUGCUCAAGUACUAGAAGAAGAAUUACAUAGAAUGCUUUGCAUAAAAUAAGGGAAUGAUGAGCAUGAUUGCAAUGUUGUUAGUAUGAAUUAUUUGAAUACCCAUGAUGCUAAUGACAUGCAAAGCCACAAGCUUGGGGAUGCUAUGUUUGAUGAAGAUGAUAUGUUUUGUCCCCCAAGUUUUGUUGAGCAAAUUUAUUACGAUGAAAGCAUGCCUCCUAUUUAUGAUGAUUAUAUUGAUGAAAGUGGGUUUGUAAGAGUGUCAACUUUAGGAAGUAAUGAUCCCACUAUUUGGGAGGGUGUUGAAUCUUAUUGUGAUAAUUAUGAAAGUGGAUUUGGAGAGGUCAUGACUUUAUUUAGUGAUGAAUCCACUAUUUCGGAAGAGGUUCCAAUUGAUUAUGAGAAAAAGUUGCUAUCUAUGAUGAUUAUUGUGAUGACUUGUAUGCUAUUAAGAAUAAUGAUAACCAUGAAACUUGUCAUCAUGAUUUUAAUUUUCAAUCGGAUUAUGCCUCACAUGAUAGUUAUUUUGUUGAGUUUGCUGCCACUAUUAUUCAUGAGAAGAAAUUUGCUUAUGUGGAGAGUAAUAAAAAUUCUAUGCUUGUAGAUCAUGAAAAGAAUGCUUUAGGUGCUGGUUAUAUUGUUAAAUUCAUUCAUGAUGCUACUGAAAAUUAUUAUGAGGGAGGAAUAUAUGCUUGUAGGAAUUGCAAUAAUAUCAAGUUUCCUCUCUAUGUGCUUAAAGUUUUGAAGUUAUGCUUGUUUUGCCUUCCUAUGCUAGUUGAUUAUUGUUCCCAUAAGUUGUUUGCUCACAAAAUCCCUAUGCAUAGGAAGUGGGUUAUACUUAAAUGUGCUAGUCAUAUUCUUCAUGACGCUCUCUUUAUGUUUCAAUUCUUAUCGUUUAUGUGAGCAUCAUUGAAAUCAUCAUGCCUAGCUAGGGGCGUUAAACGUUAACGCUUGUUGGGAGGCAACCCAAUUUUAUUUUUGUUCCUUGAUUUUUGCUCCUGUUUAGUAAUAAAUAAUCCAUCUAGCCUCUGGUUAGAUGUGUUUUUAUGUUUUAAUUAGUGUUUGUGCCAAGUAGAACCUUUGGGAAGACUUGGGUGAAGUCUUUAUGAUCAUGCUGUAAAAAGCAGAAACUUUAGCGCUCACGAGAUAUGAUGCCAUUUUUUAUUGGAGAGUUAUUUUAGGUUGAUUCUUUUUGCAGAUGAUUAAUAGACAAAUUACUCAGGUCCAACAAUUUAUUUCAUAAUUGUUGGAGUUCCAGAAGUAUACGUUUGAUACAGCUUACUACAUACUGUUCUGUUUUUGACAGAUUCUGUUUUCUAUGUGUUGUUUGCUUAUUUUGAUGAAUCUAUGAGUAUUAUCGGAGGGUAUGAGCCAUAGAGAAGUUGGAAUACAGUAUAUAUUACACCAAUAUGAAUUUAGAAUGAGUUCACAACAGUACCUAAGCAGUGAUUUAUUUUCUUAUACUAACGGAGCUUACGAGUUUUCUGUUGAGUUUUGUGUUGUGAAGUUUUCAAGUUUUGGGUAAAGGAUUCGAUGGACUAUGGAAUAAGGAGUGGCAAGAGCCUAAGCUUGGGGAUGACCAAGGCACCCCAAGGCAAUAUUCAAGGACAACCAAGAGCCUAAGCUUGGGGAUGCCCCGGAAGGCAUCCUCUCUUUCAUCUUCGUUCAUCGGUAACUUUACUUGGAGCUAUAUUUUUAUUCACCACAUGAUAUGUGUUUUGCUUGGAGCGUCAAUUUAUUUUGUUAGGAUUUGCUUUCUGUUAUUUAGAACAAUGUUUUGCAUCUUUUAUUUCAAUAAAAGUGGCAUUGAUAGCCUUUACUAUGCCAAUUUUACAAGUCUUCAUGUUGCUGUUUGAAAACAGAAAGUUUACCGCUGUUGCAAAAAUUCCCUAGAAAAGUCAGAAUGUGAUAAAAUGUUGAAACCUUUUGCAUAAUAAUCUAUGAUAAAUUUACUACAGUGGGAAUUUUCUUUCAUAAUUUUUGGAGCUAGGGAAUUAUGGAUCUUGCUGCAUUCUUUACAGACUGUCCUGUUUAGGCAGAUUGCUGUUAUGUUUGCAUUGUUUGCAUAUGUUUGCUUCUUUAACGAUUCUAUGUGAGGACAAGACUUCUCCCAAUUCAAGACAAGGUUAGUUUCUUCACAUCUCUGCAAAACUCGAUCAAGGUUGCUCAAUCAAUCAUCAAAAGAAGUUCCAUAUACGGAGAAAUCAUCCAUGAAAACCUCAACAAUCUUUUCACAAAAAUCAGAGAAUAUAGCCAUCAUGCAUCUUUGAAAGGUAGCAGGUGCGUUACAUAAACCAAAAGGCAUACAUCUAUAAGCAAAGGUACCCAAAGGGUAAGUAAAAGUGGUCUUUUCUUGAUCCUCUAUUGACACAAGUAUUUGAGAGAAACCAGAAUAACCAUCUAGAAAGCAAAAAUGCGUAUGUUUGGAUAAUCUUUCUAGCAUUUGAUCAAUAAAAGGUAAAGGGUAAUGCUCCUUUUUAGUAGCUUUAUUUAAUUUUCGGAAAUCAAUUACCAUUCUAUAACCUGUAAUAAUUCUUUAUGGGAUCAAUUCAUCUUUAUCAUUAGGAACAACGGUAAUACCUCCCUUCUUAGGGACACAAUGGACAUGACUUACCCACUGACUAUCAGCAACGAGAUAAAUAUACCUGUCGGCGUUCUGGGAACGGGGGUCCCCAGACUUGCCUGCCUGCGUCCCACGGCGUGGCUAAGCAAGCAGGCCGUACGGCCCAUCUUCAUCAACAAGGCAUCCAAGACCCUCGCGAGGGUCCAAGCCUCGCGAGGCGGACGACGCAAGACCUCCUCUGGAGUAGCCUAGCCAGGCAGGCUCACGAGGAGUGGAGAUAUCAAGGCGGGGCAAAACCUCACGAGGCUCUCGUGACGUGAGCCAUGACGAACGACACCAGGCGGGCGCCAGCGCGCGCAGCGUCCUUAUUUCCUCUUUGGUGCUAAGGAGGCCAGCGCAGGCGAGGAGUACCGAGGCAUCAGGCAAAGGUUGCUAUAUUGGUGUAACGAGACCAAGACCAGGAGGACGGCAAGACGGAGGUCAUCGUGAAGCCCAAGACGGCGUCACCACCAGAGCUUUUCGCAGGCGAAGACCACUUUUGUCAGGAUAGCUUGUACUAGCUGCCCCCCUUUAAAUUUGCCCGCCGUUGUUGGCUCCCUUCCCGCUCGAUAUUUGGGAAGAGGACCAGGGCCUAUAUAAGUAAAGCUAGCCACCAUAGUAGAGGCAUCUCAUCUUAGCUUGAUCCAACCCGAUCGAGAGCCUACCCUAGCCACAAGAACACCUCAACCUCAGGAGGCUGUUCUUCCCUUGUACUGUUCAUCAUCAGCCCUAGAGGCAAUCCACCACCACCACACUGGAGUAGGGUAUUACACCACAACGGUGGCCCGAACCAGUAUAAACCUCGUGUCUUUCUGUGUUGCGAGUUCGUCGAGUUCGUCCGCGAGAUCUUAGCGAGCUAGGGCAUAGAUCGGUAGGUGGGAAAGACUUCGCGCGCACCCCAGUGUUCGAACCUUAAGGGUUUGCCGGAACCCCACAUCCGACAUUUGGCGCGCCAGGUAGGGGUGCGCCGUAGCUUCCCUUCCAUCAGUUCGUCGCUCCGUCUCUCCGUCGUCUCCAUGGCGGACGCUCGCCGUGCUCGAGCUGAGCGUCGGGCUGCCCUCACCGCCCGCGUCGCUCAGACGGCUCCCGUUGGCGGGCCACCUCGUCGUUCUCCGUCUCCCGCCGCCAACGCUGCCACUGGCUCGGCGGGGAACGAGCAGCAGGCGUCCUCGCUGCAUCCUUUGGUACGACAGGACGGCCGCACCGCUACUCCAUCACUGACCGCUGCCGGUUCUUCGUCUCACGCGUGCCGCGCUCCCAUGGAGGCACGGGCCGCGCUCCCAUGGAGGCACGGGCCGCGCUCCCAUGGAGGCACGGGCCGCACUCCUCACGGCGAACGAACUCCUGCGCUACCGCCCCGUCGACGACCUCUAUGAGGAGUGGCUCGACCGCGUCGCCGAGCUCGUCCGCGCCGCAGGGGGCUCUCCGGCGCCGUCCCUCUCUCUGCCUCCCCCUCAACCAGCCAUGGGCGACGAGGCUCAUGGCGUGCCUCCACCACCUCUGCCCCAAGACGGCGCCUUGGCUCCAAGGCGCACGGCUCCGCGGCGUGAUCCGCCGCGCCCGGUGCCCGCGCGCGAAGAGAGAAGCUGCCAAGAAAUCCCGCGGUUGCGAGAAGCUGCACCUGCGCUCCCCGCGCCACCUCCUCAAGACCGCGCACCGCCUGCAGCGGCGCAACGCGGACCUCGUCAAGACCAAGCUCCACCUCUGAAGCAGGCCCCGGCAACCACGGCCGACUGCCGUGCCUUCACCCCCGAGCUGCGUAGCGUCGCCUGGCCAGGCAAGUUCAAGCUGGAUCUGCCUCCUCGCUACGACGGCACCGCCGACCCCGCGGAGUUCCUGCAGCUCUAUGAGCUGAGCAUCGAAGCGGCCAACGGCGAUGAAAAAGUCAUGGCGAACUGGUUUCCCAUGGCUCUCAAGGAUGGAGCUCGCUCCUGGCUCCUGAACCUGUAGCACGGCACGAUCUCCUCCUGGGACGAGAUGCGCGACCACUUCGUCGCCAACUUUCAGGGCACUCGCGACCGCCCACCGGCCGCGGGUGAUCUACGCCGCAUCAAGCAGCAACCAGGAGAGACCCUCCAGAAGUACAUCCAGCGCUUCAACAACACCCGCCUCAAGAUCCCCAAGGUCACGGACGAGGCCAUCAUAUCCGCGUUUUCUGACGGCGUCCGCGACGUCAAGAUGAAGGAAGAGCUCGCUAUCCACGAGGAGCUCUGCACAUCUCAGGAGCUGUUCAACCUGGCGACCAAGUGCGCAAGAGCUGAGGAGGGGCGCCUGUCUCUCCUCGAGCUACCAGCUGCAGGAGCGGAGGAGAAGAAGGCCAAGGCCAAGGACGUGAAGCGCAAGGAGGCAGUGGUGCUCGCAGCGGAGCCCGACACCAAGCGGGCCAGAGAUCAGCCCGAGUCAUCCAAGAACGGCCAACCGUUCUGCGCCUUCCACAACCUGAACACCCACAACGCCAGCGACUGUCAAGAGCUCAGAGCCAUACGGGAAGGACGCUUCGGUCGACGCCCCGAGCGCAACGACUGGGGCUACAGCCAUGGAGGAGGACGAGGAGGCGGACGCUGGGACGACCAUGGCCCGUGCCAGGAGUGGCGCGACCGACCUCGUGAGGACCGCUGGCAGGACCAACCUCACGAGGGCGCCUGGAGGGACCCGCCUCAUGAGGAUCGCCCCCAGGGCAACACCGGUCGUCCCCCGCUGCCGCCACCAAGAAGGAACGAUGACCACCACCAGGACGAGGGGGCUGGGGGCUUCUAGGAGCCAAGUGCAAUCUCCUGCAUUUUGGGCGGCGCCCAGGCCCCAGCCUCUCAGCGCAUCUUCAAACAGUUCGCUCGCGAGGUGAAUGCGGUGCUCCACAAGCUCGAGGCCACGCGCCCGCUCAAGUGGUCCCAAUGCGCCAUCACUUUCAACUCGGCGGAUCAGCUCAAGUGCGCAGCCACCGCUGGCGCCCUCCCUAUGCCGUGUUCCCCAGUCAUCAACAAUGUGAGGUCACCAAGACCCUCAUCGACGGCGGCGCAGGGCUCAACGUCCUGUCCGUCGACACGUUCGACAACCUUCAAGUGCCAUAUGAACAGCUCCAGCCCACCAAGCCUUUCUCAGGAGUGACCGACGGUUCCACCACACCGAUAGGGCAGGUCCGCCCGCCUGUCACUUUCGGGGAGCGCAAGAACUACCGCACCGAGCUCAUCGACUUCGACGUCGCGCACAUCCGCCUGCCGUACAAUGCCAUCCUUGGGUAUCCAGCCCUGGCCGAGUUCAUGGCAAUCACUCAUCACGGCUACAACGUUCUCAAGAUGCCGGGAAGCGGAGGAAUCAUCACGGUCCCGUGUGAAGAGAGGGAUGCGGUGUGCUCCCUCGAGCACGCCUUUCAAGCCGCAGCAAUCGACGACCCCGACAGCAGAAGUGAAGGCCCUCCGGAGGCCAUCCCCAAGAAGAAGCAGCCGCACCACGUAGGACCUCAGGAGGAUGGCGUCGCGGCAGGGGCCUCAUCAGGAUCGGCGCCCAUCUCAAGGGCGCCUCCCUCCGUCGCAUAGGAAAGCGCGCCCGGCGCCCUCCUCGGGCAGGGCUCAGGGGCUCUCUCCUGGAGGGCCUCUGACCUUGCCAACCUCACGAGGGAGGCGCUUGGGCACCACUUGGAAGUGUGCUUCGCGGCACAUGUUCCUCAAGAGAGCACAGGGCAGGGAGUGCUCACCACUCAGGAGUUCGUCACCAAGACCACCCAGGAACUGCAAGACGCAAGAGCCAUGCGCGGCGACCGCCGUUCACGAGGCGCAGCUCCCCAUCCUGGCGAGGAUGCUGGGCUGCGUGUCUGCAUCGACGUCCCAGGGCUCAACAGGGCCGCAUCUCAGGAGCGCUUCUGGCCAUCGCAUGUGGGCCGCUGCAAGGGCCCACCACACAGCUACGUUCGCAUGCCCUUCGGCUUGCUGAGCGUGGCGUCAGCCUAUCAACGCGACCUGCAGCGUGUCCUGGCGGCUCAGGAGGCCAGGUACCAUGCCGUCCUGGAGGAGAUGGAGACGGUCUUCAGGGAACCUCCCGAGCCCCCAGAGCCUCCCGAGGCUCAGGGUCCCAGUGGCUCAUGAGGAGUCGUUUCUUCGACGCACGCCUUCAGCUGCACCAACUCUACUUCGUCUACAGAACCAGGUGACAUCUUCCAAGCUCGUUUAGCUGGGAGCGCCCCUCGGGCUGCAUUAUUCCCAGGCCACAUGGGUCCGUCCCUGUGGCAUGUAUCCCUUUUGCUUAUGUCUUUAGCUUACCUUGCUGGGGGCGCCCUCGGGCUGCAUCAUCCCCAAGCCGCUCGGGCCGAACCCAGUGGCAUGUAUCUUCCUGCAUUUAUCUAAGUUGAUCUGCUCUGCAUGCUUGGCCUACUCACGGCUAUCGCCUGCUCAAUCGCCGCCCGCCACGGGUCUGUUCAUCCUAUGCAAUUCGCUUGCACGUUAAAAGGGGGGCUCCUGAGCAUCGCAACUCAGGAGCUCUUACUGGCUCUCCAGCCCUCACCCCCUGGCCUUGACCACGGCAUCGCGAUCUGGCAUACCAGCGGCGGCUGAGCUCGCUCGAGGGCCGGGACCUGAGGACGUAGAGUGCUUGCAUCUAACCGCCUUGCAGGAACAUACAGUCACCAAGACUCAAGACCAGGCGCAACCCGCCUUGAGGUAGGGCCUCAUGAGUCCCGCGCUGGCUCACGGGUGCCCAGAUACACCUCGCAGCCCUGCCGUGCAAGCCACGUGUCAGGGCGGGGCUGUACACGCCCCGGUGGCUCCUCCCGGAGGGGGCCCCAUCCCACGCCCAAGUGGAAGCACCAUGCUCCGCACUGGCUGUCGACACUGCUGAGGAGCGGCUAUGCCCAUGCACAAGCGGAAGCACUAUGCUCCGUGCUGGUGAUAAACAACUGAGGGCGGCCCCAUGGUCGUACCAACCUCAGGGAGCCCAGAGUUCAGCGCCCAGCCUCACCACAACGCCUCCCCUCAGGAGAGCCGCACGAGGGGGCUGGGCAUGGGGGCUGCGCUGGCUGCGCUCGGGUCACGCCCAAGCGCAUGCCACCCAACCAGGUCCCCCGGACCUGGGCGUCGCGCGCCCCUCCCAAGGCCUCGGCGAGGGCAUGUAUGGAAAUUGUUUGCACAUCAAGGGGGACUCCUGAGCAUCGCGACUCAGGAGCCUAACUGGUCACGUAGCCCCUCACUCCUUGGUCCGUCCUGGUCUCCGGUCGGCCCAAUAGCGGUUGAGGUAUGCGCGGGGCCGGGCUCUGCCGACGUAGAACAUUAAUCUAUCCUCACGAACUCUCCCUAUAUGCUAUUUGUGCGUCAAGGGGGACUCCUGAGCAUCGCGACUCAGGAGCCUAACUGGUCACGUAGCCCCUCACUCCUUGGUCCGUCCUGGUCUCCGGUCGGCCCAAUGGUGGUUGAGGUAUGCGCGGGGCCGGGCUCUGCCGACGCAGAACACAAAGCAAAUAGGAAGGAAAUCACAAAAUCUCGAAGCAAAUAUUACAAACACAUUGUCCUCACGACAUCAAAUGAAAAGUCUAAACGCCUCCACGAGGCCUGAUACAUGUUGGAGGAACGAAACGGGAGAAACAGCUGCAGGUCACCCCUGGACGUCGCCAUCGCCUGCGGAAGGCGCUUCCCCGUGGGCAACAAUGUUCUCGCCUUCACCACCCGCCGCAGGAUCGGCAGCGUCGCCGGACAGAGGAGCGGAGACAAAGCCGCGGAACUUCUUCAGCAAGGCCUCCACCUGACCUCGCACGGCUGCGGCGGCGGCCUCACAUUGAUCUUCAGCAACAGGCUCCAGCAGCUUGUCAAGGCACGCGCUGGGGCCGCGAAGGUGCAGAUGGCUGAAGACGCGAGUCAGUGCAGCCGAAGACAGGACACGAGCUUCUGCCUCCGCCAUGGGACCGAGGCCAUCAACGACCUCCUCAAGCGCCUUCACCAAGAGAGGAAGCAGCCGGGCGGGGCUGUCCUCAUCAGUGGCCAGCGACUUCUCCAGGCCGUGCUCGUAGAGCGUCUUCAGCGCCUUGCGAGACCUCUCCUCAAGGUCGGCGAAGGCCGCGCGAUCUUCGGCCAGGACACGCGCCUUGGCGUCGAGAUCGGCCUCCCUCGCCUUCGCCUUCCGCUCCAGCCCUUCCAACCGGCUCCGCUCGGCGGCCUGCGUCUUCUCCAACUCGCCAGCUCGGCAUCGCGGUUCUUCACGGUGUCCUCUCGGGCCUUCACCUCCUCCUCCUUCACUUGGCGGCAGCGUGCUUCUUCGGCGUGCUGGUCGCGCAGGCUCUGCAACUCGUCCUCAAGUGCACGGCAGCGGUCGCGGGCGGCCUUGGCGUCUUUCAGCGCCGUCUCGCGAUCGGCUGCAGCGUUGGCGGCGCUCUGCUUCUCCUUCUCAGAAGCCGCGGCGGCCUGGCCCAGCGCCGCGUGAAUAGCCAAGUCGGAGUGGAGCCAGCCUAAGGCCAGCUCCAGGCGCCCGGCCACAAGACAUGGGUCCGCGCUCAGGAGAUCCGCCUGCAGCCGGGUCAUCUCCGAAAGAGCACGCUCCAGAGCAACAGCAGGAGAAGAACCUGGGAGUGGAGGUGCAGCAGCGGGAGGAGGCGACAUCAUCACCAGGGCUUGGGGGAUCGCGGGCUCCGGAGCAGCUGGGACCUCAUCAGCCGCACCAGGCGCCAGCACCUCUGAAGCCAGCGGGACCCUGGGGGCUGACUCCACGCGGCGAUGCUCCUCUUGGCCUCGCGAGGACGACCGGGCUGGGGAGACUCGGGCGCUGCUGCCUCCUUUCUCUGUGGGGGGAGGCACGGCCGCUGUGUCUUCCUUCUUCUUCUUCGCCGAAGAUGUCGGCCUAAUCGACCAAGGGCGAGCGUCAGGAAAUGACGAGUACAAACAAGGACAAGGCGAAGCUUAAGACACUUACUGGUGCACCGCAACAUACUUCCGCUUGGGGAGCUUGAAGCCUGACAGCUUCGGGACCUGAGGAGCAGGCGUUCGGGCUCCGGCGGCGCCAGGCGGUGCGGAGGCAGAAUCGGAUCCAGCCCCAGGAGGUGUCGAGGUGGAGGUGGCACCACGGGCCACCAGCGACGACCUACCCCUCAUCGGGACGAGGGGUUGCUCCCUCUCCCCUUGGUAGGCGUCGGCCUCGACAUCAUCAGGAAGGGCGCGGGGAAUCUCGGCCUUGCUCAGAGGAGAAGUCUCCCCACCUCUUCCAGAGUCUUCUCCGAGUCCACCUCCUCUUCCCCCUCUCCGCGGGACUCGCCGGAAGACACCUCCACCGGUUUCUGUGCCGUAGAAGCUCCCGGAAGCGCCGGCGGCACCAGCCCACGCGCACCAAAAAUCGGCCUGGAGGCGACGAAUUCCUCCCGGUCCCUGCGUUGGAACAGGGGAACGAAGGCGCUAGGCGGGUACUCCUGGUUGUCCCUGACUAUGAGGCACAGGACGGCGUCCAAUUCAUUGCCAGGCAGGUCCCCCGGCCUUAGGCGGGUCUUGUUUUCCUCUUCUUCAAGCUCCCAGAGGGGGCGUGCGCGCGCCUGGAGUGGGGCAACCCGCAGCAUCAAGAACUCCCUCAGGAGCAUCGCCACCGUUACCUUGGCCGCCCUCGCGUUGCCCGGCUUCAAGUCGGUCAUCAUCUGCCCCAACACUGACGAUGCCCGCUCAUCGACAAGCUCCGCCUUGGGCCACCCCCCGUUGGAAGGGGGUGCCGCCGUUGGCAACGCUAGACGCGGGUCGGCGUGCUUGGCGUCCAUCAUGACCCAUUUGGAUCGAAUGUUAUUGGCCCUCUUCCCGGUGCUCGAGAUCGAGUUGGCCUUGCCGCAUGCGACGAAAUUAGCGCACCCGGAGAUGUGCGUCUCGCUGACACGGAGGAAGAAGAAAUGGCGCAGGAGCGCCACAGACGGCAUCACGCCUAGGUACGCCUCACAGUAGUAGGCGAAGAUGGACAGGAGGAGGACAGAGUUGGGAUGGAGAUGCAACGCCUGCAGACCGUAGUGGUCGAGGACUUCAUAAAAGAAAUCGGAGAAAGGGGGACCAACCCAACGGCGACGCUGCUCGAGAAGAAAGGGAAGAAGGUGCUCCCCUCAGGCUCCGGCUCGUCGGAAGCAAGCCGGAAUUCCGUCUUCCCCCACUCAUUGCUCUCCCCGGCCGUCAGUAGACGCACGGAGGCGAGGCUCUUCUCUGUGAUGGUGGGCGCCUCAAGAGCGGGCUCGUACCAAGCCGGUGCUGAGGAAGUCUUGACCUUGCGCGGCACCAUGGGCGGCAGAUGCAGAGCAAGGCUGGAGCAGGUCUGGAGGUAGCGGCGAUGAAGAGCGAGAAAGGGGAUCUGGAGUGAGGCGAUGAAGAAGCAAUGAAGGCAAGAACUGCCCGCGCCAGCCUUUUGUCAGGACAAGCAGUUGCCGAGGCAGCGUGGGGAAGCGGAGACGCCCACGUCCAAUCAACCGCCACGCAUCAACCGAGGCCGCAGGCUUUUGGGGCCCGCGGUGCUCGGAACUUGACCCUUGGCUUCGCCGCGAAGCCAAGCCCGAGCGCACCUUGGGCCCGGGGGCUACUGUCGGCGUUCUGGGAACGGGGGUCCCCAGACUUGCCUGCCUGCGGCCCAUGGUGUGGCUAAGCAAGCAGGCCGUAUGGUCCAUCUUCAUCAACAAGGCAUCGAAGACCCUCGCGAGGGUCCAAGCCUCGCGAGGCGGACGACGCAAGACCUCCUCUGGAGUAGCCUAGCCAAGCAGGCUCACGAGGAGCGGAGAUAUCAAGGCGGGGCAAAACCUCACGAGGCUCUCGUGAUGUGAGCCAUGACGAACGACACUAGGCGGGCGCCAGCGCGCGCAGCGUCCUUAUUUCCUCUUUGGUGCUAAGGAGGCCAGCGCAGGCGAGGAGUACCGAGGCAUCAUGCAAAGGUUGCUAUAUUGGUGCAACGGGACCAAGACCAGGAGGACGGCAAUACGGAGGUCAUCAUGGAGCCUAAGACGGCGUCACCACCAGAGCUUUUCGCAGGCGAAGACCACUUUUGUCAGGAUAGCUUGUACUAGCUGUCCCCCUUCAAAUUUGCCCGCCGUUGUUGGCUCCCUUCCUGCUCGAUAUUUGGGAAGAGGACCAGGGCCUAUAUAAGUAAAGCUAGCCACCAUAGUAGAGGCAUCUCAUCUUAGCUUGAUCCAACCCGAUCGAGAGCCAACCCUAGCCACAAGAACACCUCAACCUCAGGAGGCUGUUCUCCCCUUGUACUGUUCAUCAUCAGCCCUAGAGGCAAUCCACCACCACCACACUGGAGUAGGGUAUUACACCACAACGGUGGCCCGAACCAGUAUAAACCUCGUGUCUUUCUGUGUUGCGAGUUCGUCCCCGAGAUCUUAGCGAGCUAGGGCAUAGAUCGGUAGGAGGGAAAGACUUCGCGCGCACCCCAGUGUUCGAACCUUAAGGGUUUGCUGGAACCCCACAUCCGACAAUACCUGCCUCCACUAGCUUUAGUAUUUCUUUUCUUACCACUUCUUCCAUCUUAGGAUUUAACCGUCGUUGGUGAUCAACAACUGGUUUAGCGUCUUUCUCCAAUUUUAUUUUGUGCUGGCAUAGAGUGGGACUAAUUCCCUUAAGAUCAUCAAGAGUAUAUCCAAUAGCAGCACGGUGCUUCUUCAGAGUUUUCAAUAAUUUCUUUUUUUCAUGCUCUGAAAGGUUAGCACAGGAUAUAUCUUUUUCUCAUCAAGAUAAGCAUAUUUAAGAGUAUCAGGUAAUGGUUUAAGCUCAAACAUGGGAUCACCCUUGAGUGGAGGAGGAUCCCCUAGGAUUUCAACAGGCAAGUUGUGUUUCAAAAUAGGUCCUUGUUUAAAGAAUACUUCAUCUAUUUCCCUUCUUUCAUUCAUAAACAUAUCAUUUUCAUGGUCUAGCAAAUACUAUUGUAAAGGAUCAUUAGGAGGCACGGCAAUAGAAGCAAGACCAAUAAUUUCAUCUUUACUAGGCAAUUCCUCAUCACGGGGUUGUCUACGAAAUUUAGCAAAGUUAAACUCAUGAGACAUAUCCCCCAAACCAAUAGUAACAACAUCCUUUUCGCAGUCUAUCCUAGCAUUAACAGUAUUCAAGAAGGGUUUACCAAAUAUGAUGGGACAUAAGUCAUGUUGUGGGGACCAAGAACAAGAAAAUCAGCAGGAUAUUUAACUUUCCCACACAAGACUUCAACAUCUCUAACAAUCCCAACUGGUGAAAUAGUGUCUCUAUUGGCAAGCUUAAUUGUAACAUCAAUUUCCUCUAACUCAGCAGGUGCAAUAUCAUGCGUAAUUUCUUUGUAUAAGGAAUGAGGUAUUGCACUUGCACUAGCACCCAUAUCACAUAAGCCAUGAUAGCAAUGAUCUCCUAUUUUAACAGAGAUAACAGGCAUGCCUACAACAGGUCUAUGUUUAUUUUUAGUAUCAGGUCUUGCAAUUCUAGCAGCUUCAUUACAGAAGUAAAAAAGCAUGCCCGUCAAUAUUAUCAGCCAAGAGAUCUUUAACCAUAGCAAUACUAGGUUCAACUUUAAUUUGCUCAGGGGGUUUGGGUGUCCUAAUAUUACUUUUGUUGACCACAGUUGAAGUUUUAGCAUGAUCCUUUAUUCUAACAGGGAAAGGUGGUUUCUCAAUAUAACCAGUAGGAACGAUAGGAUCAUUAUAAGUGAUAGUCUUUUCUUCAACUUGAAUAGGUGCAACUACUUUUACUUCAAUGGGAGGAUUAUAUUUAAACCACUUCUCCUUAGGGAGAUCAACAUGAGUAGCAAAGGAUUCACAAAAAGAAGCUACUAUCUCAGAUCAAGUCCAUAUUUAAUGCUAAAUUCACGGAAAACAUCGGUAUCCAUAAAAGAUUUAACACAAUCAAACUUAGGUGUUAUACCUGACUCCUUACCUUCGUCAAGAUCCCAAUCUUCAGAGUUGCGUUUAAUUCUUUCCAAUAAAUCCCAUUUGAAUUCAAUAGUCUUCAUCAUAAAAGAGCCAGUACAAGAAGUAUCGAGCAUGGGGCGAUUAUUGAGAGAAAGCUAAGCAUACAAAUUUUGAAUAAUAAUUUCUCUUGAGAGCUCAUGAUUGGGGCAUGAAUAUAACAUUGACUUAAGCCUCCCCCAAGCUUGAGCGAUGCUUUCUCCUUCGCGAGGCAAAAAAUUAUAUAUAUAAUUACGAUCACGAUGAACAAGAUUCAUAGGAUAAAACUUCUGAUGAAAUUCCAAUUUCAAUCGGUUGUAGUUCCAUGAUCCCAUAUCAUCACAUAGCCUAAACCAUGUCAAUGCCUUUCCCUUCAAAGAUAAAGGGAAGCCCUUCUUCUUGAUAACAUCCUCGGGCAUACCUGCAAGCUUAAAUAAUCCACAAACUUCAUCCACAUAGAUUAGGUGCAAAUCGGGAUGUAAUGUUCCAUCACCUGUGAAAGGAUUAGCUAGCAGUUUCUCUAUCAUACCCGAAGGAAUUUCAAAGUAAACAUUUUCCGUAGGUUCAGUAGGUUGAGGAGAAACUCUUUGCUCUACUGGUCGGGGUGAAGAUACCCCGAACAAGCCCCUCAAAAUAUUAUGUUACAUAGUGACAAGUGACAGUAAAUUUCAGCACACUAUAUAAAUUUUUCCUUACCAAAUUCCACCUACCAAAGGCGCUUCACUCCCCGGCAACAGUGCCAGAAAAGAGUCUUGAUGACCCACAAGUAUAGGGGAUCUAUCGUAGUCCUUUCGAUAAGUAAGUGUGUCAAACCCAACGAGGAGCAAAAGGAAAUGAUAAGCGGUUUUCAGUAGGGUAUUCUCUGCAAGCACUGAAAUUAUCGGUAACAGAUAGUUUUGUGAUAAGGUAAUUUGUAGCGGGCAACAAGUAAUGAAAGUAAAUAAGGUGCAGCAAGAUGGCCCAAUCCUUUUUGUAGCAAAGGACAAGCCUGGACAAACUCUUCUAUGAAGGAAAACGCUCUCGAGGACACAUGGGAAUUAUCGUCAAGCUAGUUUUCAUCACGCUCAUAUGAUUCACGGCCGUUACUUUGAUAAUUUGGUAUGUGGGUGGACCGGUGCUUGGGUACUGCCCUUUCUUGGACAAGUAUCCCACUUAUGAUUAACCCCUAUUGCACGCAUCCGAAACUACAAGAGAAGUAUUAAGGUAAACCUAACCAUAGCAUGAAACAAAUGUAUCCAAAUCAGCCCCUUACGAAGCAACUCAUAAACUAGGGUUUAAGAUUCUGUCACUCUAGCAACCCAUCAUCUACUUAUUACUUCCCAAUGCCUUCCUCUAGGCCCAAACAAUGGUGAAGUGUCAUGUAGUCGACGUUCACAUAACACCACUAGAGGAAAGACAACAUACAUCUCAUGAAAAUAUCGAACGAAUACCAAAUUCACAUGACUACUUAUAGCAAGACUUCUCCCAUGUCCUCAGGAACAAACGUAACUACUCACAAAUCAUAAUCAUGUUCAUAAUCAGUGGGGUAUUAAUAUGCAUAAAGGAUCUGAACAUAUGAUCUUCCACCAAAUAAACUAACUAGCAUCAACUACAAGGAGUAAUCAACACUACUAGCAACCCACAGGUACAAAUCUGAGGCUUUGGGACAAAGAUUGGAUACAAGAGAUGAACUAGGGUUUUAGAGGAGAUGGUGCUAGUGAAGAUGUUGAUGGAGAUUGGCCCCCUCCCAAAGAGAGGAUCGUUGGUGAUGACGAUGGCGAUGAUUUCCCCCUCCCAGAGGGAAGUUUCCCCGGCUGAACAGCUCUGCCGGAGCCCUAGAUUGGUUCCGCCUCGUGGCGGCGGAGUUUCUUCCCGAAAGCUUGCUUAUGAUUUUUUCCAGGGUAAAAGACUUCAUAUAGCAGAAGAUGGGCACCGGAGGCCUGCCAGGGGGCCCACGAGGCAGGGGGCGCGCCCAGGGGGGUAGGGCGCGCCCCCACCCUCGUGGAUGGUGGGUGGCCUCCCUCUGGUACUUUCUUCGCUCAGUAUUUUUUAUUAAUUCCAAAAUAAAUUCCGUGGAGUUUCAGGACUUUUGGAGUUGUGCAGAAUUGGUCUCUAAUAUUUGCUCCUUUUCCAGCCCAGAAUUCCAGCUGCCGGCAUUCUCCUCUUCAUGUAAACCUUGUAAAAUAAGAGAGAAUAGGCAUAAGUAUUGUGACAUAAUGUGUAAUAACAGCCCAUAAUGCAAUAAAUAUCGAUAUAAAAGCAUGUUGCGAAAUGGACGUAUCAGUAUGCCGCAUGCACGGCGUGGGGUAGGUGACAGACGCACGGGAUAUGGGAAGGCGCGCGGUGGCCGAUACUUACGCGCCUUUGAUUAGGCGGGGAGGGCGGUCGAUGGCCUUGCUCGUUGCCACUUGAUGAGCCGGUCCUGAACGGGCUCGUCAGAGGCGUAGAGCUAGUCUUUUAGCCUCCCCCGCUUAGCUAUAAAAAGGGGACUCAGGGGGAGGAGGAGGAGGAGCACCUCCUCGCGCCUUCCCUUCGUCUUCAUUCUCCAUCCACCGCCAUGGCGAGAGGGCGUGGCCGCGGCCGUUCUUCCGCGGAGGCGACCAGGUCCUCCUCCCGCCAAAGAGCCGCGUCAGUCAAGGAAGAGCCAGCCGCCCAAGGCGAAGGCCAUGCUCGAGGUGGGGGUGCCGGACAGGGCCGCGGUCGGCGAGGCGGUCGAAGCAGGGGCGGUCAAGGCCGAGGCGGGCGCGGAAGGGGGACACCCGGGUCAUCGCCAUCUCCGCCACCGGCUCCUCCUGCUUCGUUGAGCGGCCACGUCAGGGACACGAUGCUGGAGUUCACCCUGCAGCUGUGCGAGCCGCCGCGUAGCCGCCUUCGCCUUCUCGAGGCAUUCACGAGGGUGCUGGAGAUCGACCAACCAUCGAGGUUGAGGCUCCACAUGACGGGGUGUUGCAACGGCGACAUGUGGGUGAACACAGGGUUCCCCGUCCCUCAUGUGAUUCUCCUUCGCCGGGGGUGGAAAUCCUUCGCAUGAGCCCAUUGCUUGAUGAAGGGGCACGUUCUCUGCUUCAAUUUGGUGGAGAGUGACCUGCUCUCCGUCAAGGUCUUCGGGCGCUUGGGACACAUGCUAGGGUGCUGCGUGGAGAGCUCGACCGACAACGAGAGCUCCUCCUCGAGCGACGGCGACGGGGAGAGGACCGGCAGGGAAGACGACGUGGACGGGUCCAACUAGGCAUCGGACGCCCCGUCCCUAGGCGAUGCCGGCAGCAGCACCACCUGCACCUGGCCUUCUCCCCGGCAGGACGAUCUGUCGGGGGCGGGGUAGUUCUUGGAGGCGGCUCCUCGAGCCGGCUCCUUGAACUUCUAGGGCCGCUGCUUCUGGCGGCUGGCACUGGAGGGCCGGAGAAGACGAAGAAGGCGGGUGGUGGGCCGUCAACUAGGAGUACAAUGGCACCAACGCCUUCGUCGCGUAUUGCCGGCCCGCUGCCUCAUCUUUUGGCUUCUUCCCCGGCACCGUCAUCACCAGCCUUCUCUUGGUGUCUUCUGCUGCUCGUACCUCGCCUAGGCGCUUCUUUUGCCCUCCUGUUUGUCCUGGUCUACUUCCUGAGGAGAGGGACAAGAAAGGGAUUACGGGCAUCUUAUCUUUUUUUAAGCCUGCGGGCACUUGUUGAAUUCUAGACUUUGUAACCCCUUGCUUGUGCUCUUAUCCCGUACGAAUUGUGCUUGUUUGAUUAACGUAUUAAUGAAAAAGGGUGUUUGCCGGGGUCUUUUGUGCGUGAGCGAGGCUCACACCAAGGAGUGAGUCCUUGUUAUUUUAAAUAAACAAUGUCGCCCGGCAACAAACCUUGCCAUUCUCCUGCCUUAUACCACACUUGAACCCACGCCCUUGGCGGGGAGCAGGGGUAGAGUAGGAUCGGGCUCCUUGCUUGUUUCCGCUUCCACCGCAACUACAACCAGACUCCGGCCUGAAAGGGAUUUCGGGCAUGGGGAGGAGGGAGCACGGUGGCGCAGGAACGAGCGAUGUUUCAUAUGUUCAAGUUUCAUACGGAAACACAUAGCAGGGGAGAGAAAACUCAUCUGAACUUGCAGCCCCCCGGCAACCUUGGCUUGUCGGGAUCAGGGUGUCGAUCCAUCUUCUUUUCUCCAAAUGGUUCUGCAGGAAUGCCUGCGUAGCCUGCGAUCCAAAGAAGAUGACUAACAAAGACAGAAGAACACGCACUCGACCUCUAUGCUAGGGAUUAGUUGCUGCCAAGCACUAUCAACCCUAACAGAGAGAGACUCAACGUAGCAUGCAUGCUAAUCUAGAGCACCAGCGCUUCAUUUAUUUAUGCUCAGGGUCUGCGCCUAGCUUUGUACAUAGGGUUACAUGCCUUGCCGGUAAGGCUAGUACAAAAUGGGGGUUGCCGGAGCUCCCAGCAACCGCGCCUUAGGGGUAAAACUUGCGAAGGUGUUCGAUAUUCCAGGAGUUGCUCACUGGAAUGCCAUCUUCGGUCUCCAGGCGGACUGCGUCGGGCCUGGUGACUCGCAUUACCCGAUAAGGGCCCUCCCACUUCGGCGUCAACUUGUUUGAAUUCUUGGCGGAUUGAAUCCGCCGAAGAACAAGGUCGCCUUCCUCAAGGCUUCGGGCGUGAACCUUGCGGCUAUGAUAGCGGCGCAAGGCCUGCUGGUAGCGAGCGGCUCGCACAGCAGCCCGAAGACGAUCUUCCUCAAGGAGCUUCGCAUCCUGUUGGCGCAACUGUUCUUGCUCAAGCUCAUCAUAAGCGAGCACUCGAGGUGACCCGUAUAUGAGUUCCGUGGGGAGAACUUCCUUUGCCCCGUAAACCAGGGCAAAUGGUGUCUGGCCAGUAGCUCGAUUUGGCAUCGUUUUGAUCGACCAAAGAAUUGUUGACAACUCAUCAACCCAGCGCCUUCCGCACUUGUGCAGCUUGUCAAAAGUCCUAGUCUUGAGGCCUCGCAGCACUUCUGCAUUCGCCCUUUCGGCCUGGCCGUUACUCCUGGGAUGGGCAACAGAAGCAAAACAGACCUUGCCACCGAGGUCUUGAAUGUACUGCAUGAAGGUGAGGCUCGUGAACUGUGUGCCGUUGUCGGUGAUGACUCUGUUGGGCACACAAAAACGGCAGACUAGCCCCUUGAAGAACUUGACGGCUGACUGUGCUGUCAUCUUUCUCACUGGUUCCACUUCCGGCCACUUUGUGAACUUGUCGAUCGCGACGUACAAGUACUCAAAGCCCCCGACAGCACGGGGAAAGGGGCCCAGUAUGUCGAGCCCUCAGACAAAAAAUGGCCAGGAAAGAGAGAUUGUCUGAAGGGCUUGGGCUGGUUGAUGAAGCUUCUUUGAAUGGAAUUGGCACGCUUCACACUUGGUUACUAGGGCAAUCACAUCCUGGAGGGCGGUGGGCCAAAAGAAGCCUUGCCGGAACGCUUUGCCGGCAAGGGCUCUCGACCCUAUGUGGGAGCCACACAUGCCUCCGUGUAUUUCUGCCAACAACCUCAGUCCAUCUUCCCGAGGAAUGCACUUCAACUUCACACCGUUCGAUCUCCUUCUUUACAGGGCAUCAUCCACAAACUGGUACAUGCUGGACCGAUGGGCUACUUUCUCUGCUUCUUCUUGUUCCUCAGGAAGCUCCCCUGUUUGGAGGAAACGGACGGUGGACUGCGCCCAUGCCGGAGCCUGGGGCUCGACGGCAAGGACUAAAGGCACAUCUUCGGCCCUAGGGGCAACUGCCUCUAUGGCCAGGGCCUGAGGCCCUGCCGAGGGUUGUUGCUCUCCGGCAGGCUUGGGACACCCGACAACGUCCUUGCCGGCGGCUCCUAGGAGCUCGGCGGGAAAGUACUUGCCAGGGCCUGCCUUCCUUCGCUUGUUCGGUCCUGCUGAUGGCUCGACAGACGUUGAGUUAAUUGAAGCACAACGGUACCUGGUUCCAUAGGCAACUUCAGGGCAGCGCGCUUUGACAGGUCGUCAGCAAUGCUGUUCUCCGCUCGGGGGACAUGCUCUGCUUGCAAUCCGUCAAAACGCUCUUCCAACUUUCCCACUUCAUCCACGUAGGCUUCCAUCAAAAGGGCUCUGGUAAUCCUUGUCGAUUUGCUUGACGACGAAUUGUGAAUCACCCCUGACGAUGAGCUUCCCGAUCCCAAGGUCUGCCGCGAUCCUGAGACCGGCAAGCAGUCCCUCGUACUCCGCCGUGUUGUUCGUCGAUUUUCCCGGGGAAAGUGCAUCUGGAAUACGUACUUGAGGUGCUCUCCGGUGGGCGCGACGAGUAGUACGCCGGCACCAGCACCUUGCAAUGAGAAAGCUCCAUCAAAGCACAUAAUCCAAUUGCGGCACGUUUCCUUGCCGGGAAGGGUGGUCUCUUGAACUUCUUCGUCGGGCGUUGCGGUCCAUUCUGCUAUGAACUCUGCCAAGGCUCGGCUCUUGAUCAUUGAAGUACUUUCAAACUUGAGGCCAAAGCUUGACAACUCCAAUGCCCACUCCACAAUCCUUCCAGUUGCAUCUGGGUUGUGCAAGAUUCGUUUCAACGGGAGGCGGGUGACAACGGUGAUCUCAUGUGCUUGGAAAUAGUGGCACAAUUUUCUCGAGGCCAUGAGGAGGCCGAAAAGUAGCUUCUGCAUACCAGAAUAUCUCGACCUAGCCCCCUGCAAGAGGGAACUGACAAAAUAAACUGGGUGCUGCACCAUCUUCUUCUUCUGCUCAACUUCGCCCAUCUGCGCAGACUUCGCCUCGCCGGGACCAGGCCUUGCCGGGGGUUCUGCCUCGCCGGUGUCAAGCCCCGCCGGGGAGAGCCCCAGCCCAUCAUCUGACGGCUCCGCUGCUACUGCCGCUUCUCCCUCGAGUUCCCUCUGCACCACUAGCGCAUCACUGACACUUGGUUCGUUGCCGCUAAGUAUGGCAGCAACGGCUCUUGUGGUUUAGGUGCGACUAGUAUCGGCGUGGAGGAAAGGUACCUCUUCAAAUCUUGUAGUGCUGCCUCUGCCUCCGGAGUCCAUUUUACUGGACCCGCCUUUUUCAAAACUUUGAAUAAGGGGAGGGCGCGCUCAGCAGAUUUGGAGAUGAACCUACUCAGGGCAGCAACGCAGCCAGCAAGCCUACGGACGUCCCUGACUCGCUUCGGUGCCUCAAUCUGCUCAAUGGCCUUGAUCUUGUCAGGAUUUGCUUUGAUUCCGCGUUGAGACACAAAGAAACCAAGAAGUUUGCCAGAUGGGACACCAAACACACACUUCUCUGGGUUGAGCUUGAGGUUGAUGCGCAGAUUUGCAAAUGUUUCUUCUAGAUCUUGUACGAGCGUGGCCCUGUCCUUGGUUUUGACCACUAUAUCAUCCAUAUAGGCUUCCAUAUUUCUAUGCAGCUGGGGCUCAAAACCAAUCUGGACCGCCCGAGCAAACGUCGAACUAGCGCUCUUCAACCCGAAAGGCAUUCGUACAAAACAGUAGGUACCGCAUGGGGUGAUGAACGCGGUCUUCUCUUCGUCUUCCUUCAUCACGAAGAUCUGGUGGUAUCCUGAAUAUGCAUCGAGGAAUGACAGCAGGUCACACCCGGCAGUGGAGUCUACAAUCUGGUCGAUGCGUGGCAGAGGGAAAGGAUCCUUUGGACAAGCUUUAUUGAUAUCUGUGUAGUCAAUACACAACCUCCACUUUCCAUUCGCCUUAUGCACAACCACCGGAUUGGCCAACCACGUGGGGUGGAGUACUCCUCUAACCAGGCCUGCCGCCUCCAACUUCCUGAUCUCUUCAAUGAUGAACUCUUGUCGCUCCUAAGCUUGCUUCCUGACCUUCUGCUUGACGGGCCGCGCAUGAGGACAGACAGCAAGAUGGUGCUCAAUCACCUUCCUGGGAACGCCGGGGAUGUCAGGUGCUUGCCAUGCAAAUACAUCGACAUUCGCCCGCAGGAAGGCGACGAGCACGCUUUCCUAUUUGCUGUCGAGGGUGGAGCUUAUAGUGAAAGCCCCGCCCAUGCCGUCCUCCUUGACGAACACCUUCUUAGUUUCUGGUGGUGCAGCCUUGGACUUCUUGCUCUUGCCCGUGGAGCUCUCUGGCACAUCCUCAACGGGAGCACAACACUCCGAAGAGGUGCGCUUGCCUUCUUCCUUCCCGGGGCUUCAACGGCAGGAGCAAGUGCCUUGGCGGCAGUUGCUGCAACUGCCUCUCGGUAGAGUUGGUCUGCGCAGAUGAGCGCAUCUUCCUUGUCAGAGGGGACGGUGAUGAUGGUUAGCGGCCCCGGCAUCUUCAAUGUGUUGUAGGCGUAGUGUGACGCCGCCAUGAACUUGGCCAGCGCUGGGCGGCCAAGGAUCCCGUUGUACGGCAAGGGGAUCUCGGCGACAUAAAAAACGAUCUUCUCCGUCCUGUAGUUCAGCUCGCCCCCAAACAUAACGGGCAGCGUGAUUUUACCUUUCGGUUGACUCCUUCCCGGGUUGACCCCUUGGAACGUGCCCGUCUCCUCGAGAUCUCCAUCAGGAAUCUGCAGCUUCUUGAUCACAGCGGGCGAGAUCAAAUUCAGACCGGCCCCACCGCCAACCAGCACUUUGGUCACCUUGAGGUUGCGUAUUGUUGGUGAUACCAACAAUGGCAAACACCCGACCACAGUCGUGCGAUCAGGGUGAUCCUCGGUGUCAAAAAUGAUGGGCGUGCGGGACCACUUCAGUGGCUUCUGGGCAUCGAACGAUGGCUCUGCCGCGGUGACCUCACGCGUCCACUGCUUUAGUUGGCGGUGAGAGGUGUGCAGCGAGGCACCACCGUCGACACGCAUGGCCUCCAUAGCCUUCUGGAAUUCGUGCUUGCCGGACUCGUCGUCCUCGUCAUGAUCAUCAUCUUCUUCCUUCUUGUCACGGCCCCGAGCGUGCCUCUCUUGUUGAUUAUCUUUGCUGCGGCGACCUCCUUGGCCGCCACGCUUCUUGCCGGACCCCUCAGCACCAUCCUGACCCUUCUCCUUGUCCCGCCUUUCAUAUUCAGCUUUCUGCUUUUCAGCAAGCAGCUCAACCUGUCGGCAGUUCUGGAGGUCAUGGCCCUUGGUGCGGUGGAUCUUGCAGUACUGCUUGUCGGAGCCUCCUGGCUUGUCGGCGGCCACCAAGGCCCGGCAGGCGGUGCACCCGGAAACCUCCUUGCCGGGGUCGUCAGCCUUGGCCUUCUUGGCGGCACUGGGGUCGCCGGAUCCCUCAACGGCAAGCACAAUAUUGCCCUUAUGUUUCCUGUUACGGUGCCGGCCCUUCUUUGUCGGGGCGGCGGCGUCUUCGUCCAUGGAGUCGGUUUCCGCGCCGGCGUCUUCGCCGGGGUACUUCCUUCCUUCCUCGGCCCAAGCACACCUAUCCGCCAGAACAUAAAGUUCAGCUACAUCCUUGACCUUUCAUCGCCAGCUCUUCACGCAUCUUGCGGCUGCGUACGUUCUGAUGGAACGCACUGAUGACAGCGGCGGGAUGAACGUCUAGGAUGGUGUACUGCACAUGGAUGAAUCUUUGUAUGUACUUACGCAGGGACUCACCAUCCUUCUGGGGGAUGACAUGCAAGUCACUUGCCUGGCCAGGAGCUUGGUGGCCUCCGGUAAAUGCGCCAACAAACUCGUGGCACAGGUCCGACCAGGAAGAGAUGGAAUCCACCGGCAGGUGCAUCAACCACGACAUGACGUUGGGCUUAAGUGCCAACGGAAAGUAGUUGGCGAGCACCUUAUCGUCGCGAGCCCCGGUGGCUUGCAUCGUGAUGGUGUAGAGGAACUCCAACAGGUGAGUCUUGCUGUUGUACUUUUCCACAACAUCAGGCUUGAACGUGCGGUAGGAGGGCCACUGGAAUUGUCGCAGCUCUCGGGUAAAGGCUGGACAACCCACCUCAUAAGGCAGGCCGCCAGGGCCCCCCGGCGCUGGGUGGUCCAUAGCAGGCCCCGCAUGCCGAUCUGACUGAUGGUGCGCCUCCCGCCGUCGCUCGAUGGUAGUUCGAGCGUCUUCCUGAGCUCGCUCUCGAAGAACUCGAUGUUGGUCUGUAACGCCCCGGUUCCGAUGCGCCAGGUGUCACCCAGUUAUUCGCCGUCCUUGCCUUGUCAUCUGCUUGCGUGUUGCAUUUUGCCAUGUCAUGCAUCCCAUAUCAUGUCAUCAUGUGCGUUGCAUUUGCAUACGUGUUCGUCUCAUGCAUCCGAGCAUUUUCCCCGUUGUCCGUUUUGCAAUCCGGCACUCCCAACUCCUCCGGCGCACCCCUCUUGUUUCUUUUCGUGAGCGGGUGUUGAACGUUCUCGGAAUGGGCCGAGGCUUGUCAAGUGGCCUUGGUAUACCACCGGUAGACCACCGGUCAAGUUUCGUUCCAUUUGGAGGUCGUUUGGUACUCCAACGGUUAAUCGGGUAACCGCAAAGUCUGUUUGUGUGUUGCAGCAAAACCCCUCUUCAAACAGCCCCAAAACCCCUCUAAGUCUCCGCCAUGCUCUCGGUCGUUCGAUCACGAUCGCGUGGGCGAAAACCGCACCUCGUUUGGACUCUCCUAGCUCCCUCUAUCUAUAAAUAGGCCAUCCCCUUCCAUUUUCGCGGAUGAAACCACCCCUAACCCUAGCCCAUCUCCUCCCACCGCGCCGGACACGUCCGCCCCACCGCCGGACGCGUCCAUCGCCGCCUCCCGCGCCAAUGGCCUCGCGCCACCUGUNNNNNNNNNNNNNNNNNNNNNNNNNNNNNNNNNNNNNNNNNNNNNNNNNNNNNNNNNNNNNNNNNNNNNNNNNNNNNNNNNNNNNNNNNNNNNNNNNNNNNNNNNNNNNNNNNNNNNNNNNNNNNNNNNNNNNNNNNNNNNNNNNNNNNNNNNNNNNNNNNNNNNNNNNNNNNNNNNNNNNNNNNNNNNNNNNNNNNNNNNNNNNNNNNNNNNNNNNNNNNNNNNNNNNNNNNNNNNNNNNNNNNNNNNNNNNNNNNNNNNNNNNNNNNNNNNNNNNNNNNNNNNNNNNNNNNNNNNNNNNNNNNNNNNNNNNNNNNNNNNNNNNNNNNNNNNNNNNNNNNNNNNNNNNNNNNNNNNNNNNNNNNNNNNNNNNNNNNNNNNNNNNNNNNNNNNNNNNNNNNNNNNNNNNNNNNNNNNNNNNNNNNNNNNNNNNNNNNNNNNNNNNNNNNNNNNNNNNNNNNCCGUCCCGCCGCCAUCCGGCGCCCCCUCGCCGGGAGGCCUCCUCCCCGAGCCUCGGCGAGCUCCCCCGGCCGGAUCCGCCCUCCCUCGCCCUCUCCGGCGAGCUCUCCGGCGAGCUCGCGCCCCUGCCUCGAUCCACGCGCGAGGAGCCCUAGAUCCGGAAUUCUCUGAGGUUGAUUUUUCCACCAAGUCUUUUUUGAUGUUAUUAUCAUGCCCUGUUCAUCAUGACAUAUUUCCUCAUCCGCUGUUCCGUUUUGCGUGCAUAAUAUAUCGAAAUGUUCGUCUCGUGAUGCUCUACAUUUUGUUCCAUUGCACCAUGUUCAGUUGAGUCCAUUUUGAUUCCCAAAUCUCUGGUGCAAGAGUGCUAGUUGCUGUUAACUGCUGUUACUUAUCAGAACUUGGUGAUUUGUUAUUUUUGUUGCAUUUAAUAUGUGCAUCUUAUGGGCAUGAGCUCUACAUGUGUUUUGUUGUAUGCCAUGCCAUCUUUCCAGUGGUGUAUGCCAUGUAUUUGUUUGAUCUCUGUGGUGACUAGCACAAGCAUGCAAACUAGGCCCCGUAAUGUUUCUGAUUUCAGAGACUUAGUGAUUUCUCUAAGUCCUUGUCUGCUGUUAUUUUGUUGCCAUGUAAACUUGAUGCUACAGAGAUAUCCAUGCAUAUUUUGGAGAUGUUCAGUAAGGAUGUUUUGUAGAUAUUGUUGUAAUGGAUCCAUUCAUGCCCCUGUUUGCAAUUAUGGAGUGCCAUAGCAUGACUUAAUCUUGCUCUACUUUUGCUAUAAAAUGUUCCUGGCAGAUUGUUUACGUGUUAUUCAAUUUUACCAAGCUUGUUGUAGUUGGCCCAUACAUGCUAUGUACUUUAUCUUGCCAUGGUUAGCUUCAUAAACAUGCCAUCUUGCUGUAGGUAUGCUUGUUUUGUCAUGCAUUUCUUUGUGAUGAGUGCUUCAAGCUCACAAAGAUGCCUUCAUAAUGUCUGUUUCUGCCAUGCUCUGUUUUCUGCCAAGUCUGAAACCUGAUAACGAAACUUGCUAUGUUCGCAUGGUUGCCAUCAUAUAUUCUGUGCCUUUUUGGCUUAUGAUCAGUAAGGGAAUUUUGUCAUAUGCGUUGAGUAAAUUCAUGCCAUGCCUUUGUUUGCUAUGAUCAGUUCCUGUAGCAUAUUGUUUUUGUGCUCUGAACAUUGCUACCUGAUGUUAUUUCUGCCAUGUCCAGUAAUUCUGCUAAGUCUGUGAACCUGUUAUUAUUUUGCAAUCUCGCCAUGUCCUUUUGAGUUUGUUCUAGUGAUUUCUGGAGAUAGCUCAGUGUUCAUGUUUUGUUGUGCUUUACCUCUACAUCAUGUCCACGCCUUUUGUUUUCAUGUUGAGUUGCUGUAACAUAUUGUUUUGAUGCCUGCUAGGUGCCUAGUUGCUGUUUUGGACAGAUUGUUGCUAUAUAUUGUUUGGAGUGUAUGUGUUGCACCGUUGCUCCGUUUUGAGCAUGCUCUAUAUGAAACUUGCUUAGUUUUGCAUGUAGUCUCAUAUUAUCAUGUUGCACCCUUGUUUUGAGGUGUUUGCUUGAUGGUUGCAUGCAUUUUGCAUCAAUGCCAUGUUUAACUUGUUUUGCUCUUAUCUUCUAGGCCGUAGCUCUGAAUCUAAUGAACUUUAUAUGUAACUUGACUAGAAUUUCGUGUAUAUCAUCUUGGUGCAUCUUAACUUGCUGUUUGACAACUUGAACAUAAGGUGUUUUCAGUUCUGGACCAAUUUCGAAAUUUGCAUAUGAGGACUUACCGGAUUUGUUAUAUGUUGUUUCCGGCCUCAUUUAAACUUGCUUUGAUGUGUUGUUCUUGUAUGCAUCAUCUCUUGUCAUGAGUAGCUUCAUGUAGCCUUGUCAUGCAUCAUUCUUGAUUGAGCAUCAUGCUUUGUUCAUGUGUGGUGUGUUUUACCUUGUUGUGUGCUUCUUCUCGAUAGUUCCCGUGUCAUUGCGAUCGUGAGGAUUCAUUCGUCUUCGUGGCUUCAUCUUCUUCAUGGACUCGUUCUUCUUCCUAGCGGGAUUUCAGGCAAGAUGACCGUCACCUUGGAUCUCAUUACUAUCAUUGCUAUGCUAGUUGCUUCGUUCUAUCGCUAUGCUGCGCUACCUAUCACUUGCUGCUCAAGCCUCCCAAAUUGCCAUGAACCUCUAACCUUUGUCACCCUUCCUAGCAAACCGUUGUUUGGCUAUGUUACCGCUUUGCUCAGCCCCUCUUAUAUCGUUGUUAGUUGCAGGUGAAGAUGAAGAUUGCUCCAUGUUGGAUUAUGUUCAUGUUGGGAUAUCACAAUAUCUUUUAUAUUAUUAAUGCAUCUAUAUGCUUGGUAAAGGGUGGAAGGCUCGGCCUUAUGCCUGGUGUUUUGUUCCACUCUUGCCGCCCUAGUUUCCGUCAUACCGGUGUUAUGUUCCCGGAUUUUGCGUUCCUUACACGGUCGGGUGAUUUAUGGGACCCCCUUGACAGUUCGCUUUGAAUAAAACUCCUCCAGCAAGGCCCAACCUUGGUUUUACCAUUUGUCUCACCACCACCUACUUUUCCCUUGGGAGUCGCUCUCUCGAGGGUCAUCUUUAUUUAGCCCCCUGGGUCAAUGCUUGUCUAAGUGUUGGUCCGCACCAGAGCCACUUGCAGAGCCACCUCGGGGAAACUUGAGGGCUAGUUUUAGUUGUACGUAGUGUUCAUCCGGUGUUGCCCUGAGAACGAGAUAUGUGCAGCUCCUAUCAGGAUGUCGGCGCAUCGGGCGGUCUUGCUGGUCUUGUUUUACCAUUGUCGAAAUGUCUUGUAACCGGGAUUCCGAGACUGAUCGGGUCUUCCCGGGAGAAGGAAUAUCCUUCAUUGACCGUGAGAGCUUAUAAUUGGCUAAGUUGGGACACCCCUGCAGGGUAUAAACUUUCGAGAGCCGUGCCCGCGGUUCUGUGGAAGAUGGGAAUUUGUUGAUAUCCGGUUGUAGAGAACUUGACACUUGACCUUAAUUAAAACGCAUCAACCGCGUGUGUAGCCGUGAUGGUCUCUUCUCGGGGAGUCCGGGAAGUGAACACGGUUUCUGGGUUAUGUUUGCCGUAAGUAGGAGUUCAGGAUCACUUCUUGAUCAUUGUUAGUUUCACGACCGUUCCUUUGCUUCUCUUCUCGCUCUCAUUUGCAUAAGUUAGCCACCAUACAUUGCUUAGACGCUGCUGCAACCUCACCACUUAUCUUUUCCCUACCCAUUAAGCUUUGCUAGUCUUGAUACCCAUGGUAAUGGGAUUGCUGAGUCCUCGUGGCUCACAGAUUACUACAACACCAGUUGCAGGUACAGGUUUUGCGAUGAUCAUGACGCGAGAGCGAUGUUUACUGGUGUUGGAGUUCUUCUUCUGCUUCUUCUUCGAUCAGGGGAUAGGUUCCAGGUCGGCAGCCUGGGCUAGCAGGGUGGAUGUCGUUGGAGUUUCUGUUUGUGUUUCAUCCGUAGUCGGAUGUUGAUCUCAUGUAUGAUGUAUUGAUGUAUUCUUGCGGCACUUGUAUGCCUUGUAUGUAUCCCCAAAUAUUAUGUAAUGUUGAUGUAAUGAUAUCCACCUUGCAAAAGCGUCUUCAAGAUGCGCUUCUAUUCUUGGUGGGACCUUCGAGUUCCUUUAGGAUAGGGUCGCAUCUUGGGCGUGACAUGGUCGCAGCGGGUUCGCGGGUCGGACGACGCUGUGGAAACGUUGUCACAGGCGUCGUCCCGACGGGCCGGUGGCUGCUGGCGCGGCCGCGGGGGAGGAGAGUGCAUCGUGGUCGCAGCGUCUCCGGUCCCCCCACCGCCGGCAUGCACCGGCUCGACAGAACGCCGGCGUGAGGGCCCCGUUGGGAGUGGCUCGUCUUUGUUGGCGAAGCUGACAAGGCUUCGGAUGGUGGCCCUCCACUCAUCGAGCUUCUCCGCANNNNNNNNNNNNNNNNNNNNNNNNNNNNNNNNNNNNNNNNNNNNNNNNNNNNNNNNNNNNNNNNNNNNNNNNNNNNNNNNNNNNNNNNNNNNNNNNNNNNNNNNNNNNNNNNNNNNNNNNNNNNNNNNNNNNNNNNNNNNNNNNNNNNNNNNNNNNNNNNNNNNNNNNNNNNNNNNNNNNNNNNNNNNNNNNNNNNNNNNNNNNNNNNNNNNNNNNNNNNNGUGCGAGCGCUUCUACUGGCGUGGGCGGCGGCGAGAGCUGCGUAGACCGUGACGCGCUCCGACUUCUAACCAGGUUAGAAGGGGCUUUGUCACGGUCUCGCGGCCGCACGCUGCUUCCGCCGGCGUCCGAGCGCGCACGCCGGCCUGGUGCGUCCUGCGAGUGGCGCAUAGGGCUCUUUCCGCGGCGGUGCCCGGGGGCUCCAGCAUCGCGGUGUCGCUCAUCGCGCGCGGCCUGGGAAGGCCGCGGUGCUGGUGCCAGCUGGGGCGCCGUAGAGGUUGCCGCGCCGCCCAUGGGUAGCACGGCCCCGCCCUCGGACCCAGCGGCGUGCGGCUCGUCGUCUCGAAUUCGAACAACGCCGCUCGCCUGGCUCCGAUCGCCAGAGUGUCAUGGAUGCUCGCGGGCCACGUCUCCGGCCCCAUCCAUGGCCACCCGGUCGCCUGCCCACGCUGGCACGGACGGGCCGGCUCCGGGCGACCCGAUCGCUGUGAUCCCCUUUCUCUUGGGGGCCAUGGUGAUGAUGAAGUCGAUGCGCUGACCUUCAAACCGGAUUUUCACAGCUUGCGCCCCCUACCUGGCGCGCCAAACAUGUCGGUGGAAAUGACACCUAUGGGAUCACGGGGAAUCCCUUCUACGGUCGGCGGGCGCGGGGCUGUGUAAAGAGCGGGUUUAAGAGAUCAACACGGGAAACUUAUCCAGGUUCGGGCCGCAAGUGAUGCGUAAUACCCUACUCCUGCUGGCUUGUGUUUAUCUGGUGUUCUUGGACUAGCUACAAAGCGUGCAAGGUCCAAAAAGUCCGAAUCCUCUCUCAGUAUGCCGCGGGGCUCCUUUUAUAGUCAAAGGGUCUGCCACAGUGGCACACAGGAGGUGGAAGGUCUGUUCGACGUAUUUUUGUGAUUACCAUUUUCAGAAGAUAUAAGUAUAAAUGUAUUUUUUAAUUGCAAGUAUACACAUCUAUGUUUUAUAUUGGGUGUAUACGUACACACGCGCAUUAGGCGAUCCUCGAUGCAAUGGUACGUGCAUGCAUGCAUUUUGAGUUUGCUCACGUACUAACCAAUGUAUACUUGCACUUGAUGCUCCAUGGCAUAGACUUAUACACACAUGCAGAUUACAAUCAGAAGGCUGAGUCCACAUCUAUGACACGACCACAAGAUAACAUAACCGUAUGCGUAUUUCUUUAAAUACCCGUAUAUACCGGCCGGCGAGCACGUGUAUACGUACUUGAAUACCUGAGGUUGUUUCAACCAGCAAACCCCGGAGAUAAGAUGAAGAUGGCGAUCGAAUGAACCAGGCCCACCGGUCAGUCGGGUAGCUAGGUACGCACGAGUUGGUUUUCGUUUUCUAUGUGCAGGCGUACGCGUCAAGAAAAAAGAAGAUAAACAUCAGCGAGACGAUAAGAUCCGAGGCGAGAUUGCAUCCAUAUCUAGUCCAAGAAAAUCGGGACGUUUGGCCCGUCUCCAUCCGCCGGGUCGCCCAUCUCCAGCCUAUAAAUACACACACCUAGCUACGCAGAGGGGACUCACGUACACACCCAUUCUCAAGGCACCUCACGCACGCACCCAUCCAUCGCAUAACACCUCCAGCACCCAUCCAUCGCACAACACCUCCAGCACCCAUCCAUCCACCACGCAGCACUCCAUUCAUUCAUCACGCAAGCCUGCAGAGGAACUCCCUCACGCACCGGCUCGCACCUACCCGGCAGGAGGAAGAAUGCAGGCACCCGAGCCGGCGUACAUGGAGAGAGGAGGCCGGCGUACAGGGAGCUCGGCGGCUGUGACAUGGACGCGAAGCUCACCUUCCCCGAGGGUAAAACUUUGAUCUAACCCAUCCCUUUCCUUGUUCCUUCUUUGCAUAUAGCAUGCACGCACACAGGUCGGGAGCGUUGCCGAAAGUAAUGUUCGCAUGAUCGGACCCCCGUCGGAGAUGGAGCCGCCGGACCGAAAGAUGAAGUCGAUGUUGCCGGAGAUGGUCUUCACCAAGCCAGCGCCACAAAGAACGACGAGGAGGUCGUCAUCACCACCUGCGGUUCGCCUCGUCACGACGGUUCGGCCAGGACGAUGACACGGAGCACGCCACGACGCCGCCCACCGUCGAGGUCGCCAGGUCGAUGCCCCGGAGGUCGACCCCACGGUGGCCACCCCACUCAUCACCGCUCGACGAUGGCGACGCUUCUCCGGAGCUCAUCUUCACCAAGCCCGCGCUAUGGACGCUGACGCCACCGAGGUCGGUGUCACAGAGGUCGACGCCACGGUGGCCGCCCCCACUCAUCACCGCUCGACGAGGGCGACGCGUCUCCGGAGCUCAUAUUCAUCAAGCCAGCGCUAUGGACGCUGACGCCACCGAGGUCGGUGUCACAGAGGUUGACGCCACGGUGGCCGCCCUCACUCAUCACCGCUCGACGAGGGCGACGCGUCUCCGGAGCUCAUCUUCACCAAGCCCGUGCUAUGGACGCUGACGCCACGGAGGUCAAUGCCCCGGAGGUCAACGCCACGGAAGCCGCCCCCUGCUCAUCACCGCUAGACGGUGGACGCCACGGAGAUCGCCAUCAUCACUCGCGACCGCUUUAUCACGAUGGCGCCGCGGAGGACGACGAUAUGGAGCACGCCACGAAGAUCCUGUCGUCGAUGUCGUCAAGCCGGCCCCAUGGAAGCUGACGACACGGAGGUCGCCGAGAUGUCAUCCCCUUCGUCACGGUGGCUCCAUGGAGCUCGACGGCACCGAGGGCCCCAUCACUCCUCACGUCUACUUCAUCAUGAUGAGGCAGCGGAAGACGACGAAGUGGAGCAUGCCACGACGUCGCCCGUUGUCGAUGUUAUCAAGCCGCCGCCAUGGAGUGGAGGUCGAUGGCACUGAAGUCGCCAUCACCGUUCUACGGAGCCCGUGUCUACUUCAUCGCACAAGAGAAACAUCAUCCAAGAAGAAGCACACCUAUCACACCGUGCGUUCCUCCGUGAAGACGGAGCACUUGCCGGCGGCUCCUUGAGGUGGACUCAUUGAAGACAUCGUGCAACCCGUGAUAUCGCCGAAGCACUCGCCGGCGGUUCUUCCUCGGCACCUACCAGCAACAUCGAGCAACAGUGCAACCAAUGUUGUAACGGAAGCAAACGAUGCCCUACCUCUGAGCCGACGCCUCGCCGGGUCCGCCUUUUCCUCGUCACAGCAGGAGCAUCCGGUUCGACGGCCGGCUUCCCAUCACCGAGAGACCACCUUGUGCCACAAAGUGCCCCUAAACUAUCGCUAAUGGUGUAAGCGAAUUAGUAUGCACACUAUACCUCACGUGCACGUGCAUGGGCCAUGCAUGUACGUGCAUGUUGGCUGUAUGGCAACGUACGCGUUCAUUGGAUUCACAAAAAGAAAUGCAUGAAAGAAGCUACACAUGAGCUAUCACCGAAGACGACGCCAAUGAAGCUGUUCGACACACACUACUUCGUCAUGCUCGGUGUCGCCAAAGAUGGAGACGUGCAGCACCCCACCUCCUGCUUGUCCACCCCGUCUUACUGUAGAGCUCUGAAGAUGAACAUGUGAGCACGGCGACGUCCACUCCGCGCCCGGACGCGAAGUGAAGGCUGGGGUCCCACACCACGAUGCCAUGAUUCAGAUGGCCUCCUACCCCCGUGUCGCUGCUACCGGCGCCACACUCAUUCGGAGGCCGAAGCCGAGCAAGUUGGCGCCGCCCGAGGACAAGGUGCGGCCGCAGGGCGACGCGACUUCAACAACAACACCGCUCCUCUAUGAUCUCGUGAGAUGAUGCCUUGACUACGCCGACUGCCGUGGACUCGGCGUCUGGCCGGGACGAGGUGUCGACCACUCAGGCCAUGCUGGCACGAGCAACGCGACGAUCAUACAACGACACCGGUCUCCAUUGACAAUUACUCCCGCAGGGUGUAGACCCUUGUACACCCGGAGAAGCUACUGGUCGUCGAGAAGUCCGAGCCGAGCGUGAUCCAUGCUACCCCAACAACAACUCCUCCAACGCCGUCAAGACCGACGAGACACGACGGCGAGGGAGAGCGUGGCCACUGCAAAGGCUACGCUACACGCGGCGCGUGUACCGACGAGGACACGGGCUCUGCCGCCGCCCACACACACACAUCACCAUCAUCAUGCAUGGAGAACGCGAACCGAAGACGACGAAGACGACCACACAGCUCAAUCGGAGGUAUCUCGCGGAGCAACCCGCGGGAGUAAUUAACCGGGAGUCUUCCGAGGCCCCGAGAACCAGGAGAUCACACAAUCGCCACAGCCAGCUUGGCCGUGCUAGUAGGCCACGGAGCGCACCUUUUUUAUGGGAUAUUGUAAUUUUAUUUCUCCAAUGAGAUUAAUGAAAUACAUGUUCCCGUAUCUCUUUUUCUUUGGGUACCACGGUACACUGGCACGCCCACAUACAAGUUUUCUUUCCCCGGCGUCUGAGAGAAACACACUCCCUUCUUCCCUUCUCCCCGGAGUCCUUAGAUGUUUUUCUCGUGUCAAACAAAGUCGUACAGUAGUCAAGUUUAUCUCUGGCACCGUAGGACAAAACGCAUUAAAUGCGCUACUUAGGUGUCCUCUUACUUUAUCGGGUAUGGUAACGAAGCCCGUCCCGUCCGUCGCCGCUUCGCCUUGCUCCGACACGCGUCCAGGCCAACGAGGCAUGCAUUGCCAUGUAGGCUGGCAGGCUGCUAAGCUGGCAUGGUGGCAGGGUCUUCACGAAGAUCUGCAUGCCACCACGUAGGUGCUUGACUAGUUGGCUUACGAGCCACGUACUGCCACGUGGGUACCUGCUUGGUUGGUGGGUCGGCCGCUGAGCUGGGGCGGCGACGGGGCGGCAAAACCUUGCCACGGUCUUGCUGAUAUUCCCGGCAAGGGUCUUGCCGGGGUCUUGUGGGCACCCUCGGCAAGAGUCUUGCCGGGGCCUCGUGGGUAUCUUCGGCAGGAGCCUUGCCGGGGCCUCGUGGGCAUCCUCGGCAAGGAGCCUUGCUGUUGUCUUGUUUCCUGGUUCCUAUCUAGGCCUUGCAGGCCCUUUGUCUUCACAAAGAUCUGCAUGCCACCAUGGAGGCGCCUCCCGGGCCUUGGUCCCAAUGUGGUUGAUGGCGUCGGAACCCUUAGACUCAAGGGUGGCGGCCUCGUUGGUGUUGGGCAAGCUGCCCCGGCAAGGGCCUUGCCGGGGGGGGGGGGGGUGUCUCACCUCGCCCCUUUGCUCUUCAUGCUUCUGGUCUUGAGCACGGCUCUGGUAGUCUUGUGUCUUUGCUUCCUCUUCUGUCCCGCUAAGCACGGCUGCGGGUGUGUGGCUGCGACUGCCCGCGCACAAGUAAAGGGGUGCAAAAAGGACCCCUACUUUUGUACACCGACAAAAUGAGACUACCAGAUCCUCAUCAUCAAGUUGGAAGGUGGUGUUUACCGCAAUAUCUCUAAUGAAGGAGUUGGCAAAUGCAAACAUACCGAUUCCGAGUGGGUGGUCUAAAGCUUCUAUUGUGUGCAACCCAGAUUCAUGCAAGAGACCUUCAAUGGAGUCGCGGAGUCCCUCCCUGAGAUGCAGCGGCACAAAUCUGCUUGCCUCAUCAAUGGCAAGGAAACUAUUGUUGAGCGGGGGGAUGGGGUUGACAGCCAUAUCCGCUCGCACCUUCUGGUCAGCUGGCCCCUGAUACGUCUCCAACGUAUCUAUAAUGUUUGAUUGUUCCAUGCUGUUACAUUAUCAAUAUUGGAUGUUUUAUAAUCAUUUUAUAUCAUUUUUUUGGUACAAACCUAUUGACAUAGUGCCAAGCGCCAGUUGCUGUUUUCUCCAUGUUUUUUACAUCGCAGGAAAUCAAUAUCAAACGGAGUCCAAACGCAAUGAAACUUUACUGAGAUUUUUUUGGGACGAGAAGGAACAUAAUGGGCCCUGGCUGCGCCUGGUGUCGGUGUCAAAACCGGUGGAUCUCGGGUAGGGGUCCCGAACUGUGCGUCUAGGAUCGAUGGUAACAGGAGACGGGGGACAGGAUGUUUUACCCACGUUCGGGCCCUCUCUAUGGAGGUAAUACCCUACUUCCUACUUGAUUGAUCUUGAUGAAUAUGAGUAUUACAAGAGUUGAUCUACCACGAGAUCGUAAUGGCUAAACCCUAGAAGCCUAGCCUGUAUGACUAUGGUAAUGAAUAUAUCCUUUCCGGACUAACCCCUCCGGUUUAUAUAGACACCGAGGGGAAUCUAGGGUUACAUGGAGUCAGUUACAUAAGAAGGAAUCUUCAUAGUCGGUCGCCAAGCUUGCCCUCCACGCCAAGUAGAGUCCAAUCCGGACACGGGUACAGUCUUCGGCCUUCAUGUCUUCACAGCCCAUCAGUCCGGCCCAAUGGAUAACUUACCGGACGCCCGAGGACCCCUUAGUCCAGGACUCCCUCAGUAGCCCCCGAACCAGUCUUCAGUAGCGAGGUGUUCGGCACACAAAUUGUCUUCGGCAUUGCAAGGCGGGUUCCUCCUUUAAUGAUCUCCAAGUGAUGUAUUCGGUCAUCGGUUCAAUGUCGCUCCCCUCGGCUUCUGCGCGUUAAAUAACUUCGCCUUCCACGUGUCGAGCGAAGGUGGAAGGUCAUGGUAUCUUUGCAAAUAACACCCCGUCCAUGCAAGGAAAAGCGCCUAUUAAAGAGAUUGGAUGCUAGAUCCAUUCGGCACCACGCAGAGGAAAUCCCCGGAAACUGCUUAGGAGAAACCAUUCCAGCAUGACUAACGCCCCUAGCUCAUCCACCCGUUCCGGCCCAGAGAAAGGCGAGUGGGAGAGGUGUUCAGUGUCCCACAGUCAAUUGACGAAGUUGCAGACGCAGGGAUUUCUUCCCCCCAUAGAUCUAGUUCCUGUUCGAGCGGGGCUAGAUUCCUUCAACGGUGAGAUUCAGGCAGAGGACUUUCCCAAUCCAUGAGGGGGAGAGCGAGUAUGUUUCGUCCCCUACUUGCUAAGGGGCGUUGGAUUUCCCAUUCAUCCGUUCCUCCGAGGGCUUCUGGAAUACUACGGCCUCCAGCAGCACAACUUCACCCCUGCCUCCAUUCUGCACAUCGCGGGCUACGUCGCUUUAUGCGAAUUAUUCCUGGGUAUCGAGGCUCAUUUCGAGCUGUGGAGGAAAUUGUUCUGUCUUGUCCCACGUAAUCACGAGGGGUCAAUAUUCGAAGUGGGCGGGGCCGAAGUAUGGCGUAUCGCCGAUACUGGAUAUCUGUCCGGCACACCAAGGAAGGCACCCGAAGAAUGGCCUUCCGAAUGGUUCUAUAUCGAGGACAUCGCGCUUCCUGACCCAGUUCGAAAGGGUCUUCCUGAAUUUGCGAGCGUUCCGCUGAAGAAACGCCACAGUUGGCGUCCCCGAAGUCUUGAAGAGGGUGAUAGCACAGAAGUUCGCCAGCUUAUGAGCAAGAUAAAGAUGCUCGCUCAGUCUGGACUCACAAUAAUCGAGGUAAUGGCGACCUCCAUAGUGCGAGGGGUUCAGCCGGUACAAUACAGAGGGCUGCCCAUGUGGCACUACAAUGGAGAGGAUGACGCCUCCCGCUAUGGCCGGAAGGGUCCGGAUACCCCCACCGCUCUGGCCAAAAUAGUGGCCGAGCUGUUUAAAGGGGAGGAAGAGGCGUUUCUUCGCAUUAAGCACAGAGAUGGGUAUUCUAUGUAUGAUCCUCCCAGUUGGGUAAACCUUAACCCCUCUAUUCCACUCAUUCCACUUCCGGAUUAUUUUUGAUAAAUUUCAAGUCUGUUUGUUAUGACAACACUGGCGGAAGGUCACCGAAGGACUUCAUAGUCUUGCCCCACAGCCGGAGAUCCACAACCGGGAGCUAGAUCCUGGGUUUGAAGAGGAUCCGGAUAUAUUCGUGGUGCUUGCGGAGGGAGUGUUUUACCAGACAAGCUAUGACGACAUUGAAGUGGCCGUCACCGCCGACUACCCUGGCCUUCUUCCUGCUUCACAUGUAAACAAUUAAGAAACACCCUCUCUAAAAGAGUGCUCUUAUUCUGCCUCACCCACCGCACUAUAUCAUGCUUCGCAGGGGAGACGUUCGGCAAUUUCGAAGAGAUCGGCUCCCGCACCGGGCAAGCCUUCGAAGAGGAAGGCGGGUGAAGACACAACCAGGCCUUCAUCGAGGAGGUACGGAUAAACAUGCUUUUCAGCGGCCGCAUCCGACUGUGACUUGGGUGUUUGUUUGGUUGCAGGAAGAGGGUUCGCCGAACUAUGUCCGGGGACCCGGUCGGUGGUGUUCCCAACAACCGGGAUUUAGAUCCAAUCGGGGUGACUGGGGCCGGUGCAGGAACAGCGCCGGACUGCCCUUCGGCCGAGGGUUCGGAAAAUAUGUCUGUCACCAACUCGGAGGUAGAGAGUGCCAUGAACCAUCGGCACUGCAGGGCUGUCUUGCGAGACCCCAAGUUCUCGGAGGAGGCUUUUAAUGCCUUUAGUUCGGGCGACGCAUACAUCCGAGCUGCUCGAGAUGGGCUUAGAAGAGCCAUGAAGCAAUAUCUGACAGAUGUGCAGGUAAGUUUUCUUUGUCAAAAAAGGAUAACCAUAUGCCCGUAGUCCCCGAGACUGAAAGCAGUUGGCACAACUGAUUUAAGGAUCGUUGUACGACCAGGUCCUUACAGAGAAGAAUUGCUUGCUAGCCCAGGAGCUGGAGCUGUGCCGGGCGCAGCUAAAUGCUGCUACUGCCGAACUGGAAAACGUCAAGAAGUCGUCUUCUGGUAAUGUUCCCCUCCACCGAGGACCAAUAAUUGUAUACCAACUGUGCUAAUUCUGCUGCUGAUCACAUAAUAGGGUCGUCUGAUCAACUUGAAGAGAAGUUGAAGAUCGCCCAAGAGGGAGAAAAAGAGGCAAAAAGGCAACACGCCGCAGGCGAGCGUGUGCUAACCCGCGUCAGAGACGAGAAAAACAAGCUACAGGAUUCCCACACUACAUUGGGUGAAGAAUUGAAAGAUGUUCGAGCCCAGCUAGCCGAUUCCGUGAAGGAGAACAAGAAGCUGCGGGGCGGCAUAUUCAGUAUGUGUCCGAACUAUUUUUAAAGUAGUUCAGAGAUAAAAGGGACUCAUAUAGUCAUGUUUGCAGGUAUAUUGACAGGUCGUCCUGAAGAGGAGGUGUCCGGAUCAUCGAGUGAUCUGCUGCAAAGACUGUCGCAAGUGCAUGAGCAUGCCCAGCUGGCCAUGCGGAGCGUUGCCAAGCCCUUAUGGCCAUCCGCCUCCCCUCCAGGAAGUAUGGAGGAGCUUGUAGAGCUGUUCAAGGGAGCGCGGCAGCGUAUCCGACUAUGGAAGAUAUCGGCCUGCCGAGAGGGCGCGCGAGAGGCCUGGGCCAUGGUGAAAACGCGAUAUACCAAGCUGGACCCAAAUCACAUGGCCCGGGUUGGACCUUUAGGGUCAAAUGGGGAAGAAAUUCCCGUUAGUUUAGUAUAUGACCAAGUAGAGGUGGCCGCCAAAUAUUCUCAACAGGAUUGUAAGUUAGACUGCCCGUUGGAAGGUGUAGAGGAGGAGGGGUUCGAGUCCAAGUGACUUUGUACUUUCCUCAUUAUGUGGAAGUCUGGCUGAACUGUAUAUCAUUUGUCAUGGCAGACCUUUUCGCUUCAACCUCCGGACCCGAAGGUGCGGAGUGUUUCUGAAUACCGUCGUGGCCGAAUAGGCCGGGGUAUGCCUGGAAAACUAGGCGUAGGGGUCAUAGUUGCUUGAACAGACAAGUUGUAUCCGGCUAGCUAUGUUAUAUUACAUUGAUAUCGUAAGAAACAUCUUCCAGAGAGAAUAGUUCCGUUAAGGGUUACUUUCCCUGGGUGUGCAUGCAUUUAAUGUACAUGUCCGAAUUGUGAUGUGAGCACCACAGUUUGUAUAACUUCUGGGGGUGCACAAUGGAGUGAGUUUAAAAAACAUCUUUAAUUCACCGACCGAAUAUUCAUUUAAGAACGCUAGCUUUCGGCUUCAGCCAGUCUGAGGUACACAUCCGGAUGACCCGGCAGUAACAAUCGUAGAGGUGCUCCCUUUAUGCCCUAACCGAACUAAUGGGAACGUAGGGCAUAAGCAUAGGAGCCAGGCAACCCAGCUUGGCCAAAACUUAAGUCAUAUCGAUGCAUAUGGUGGCAAAGAAAAGAUACAUAUGGAAAAACACAUAUGUGAGGAGCUUGAUGCUCAAGGAAUGACAAGAACCUCUGUUCAAGAAGCUCCCAGGUACAAGUGACGUACAUAUUUAAAGAUGUAUGCGUCAAUGGUGUGCGGUCUAGCCGUACCAAAGCUUUAAAGCGAGAAAGAAGAAAGUAAUCGGAAAAGAGAGAAAAAAUAAUGGAAACUACAUGGGAGGAGGAGACGAACAAGGGGUUUGGCACUAGGCAUAGAAUCUUCGGAGUCUGGCCGCGUUCCAGGGGUUCGGCUCGAGGCGAUUGUCUGAUGCAUCGCGAAGACGGUACGCUCCUCCGGUGAGAACUUCGUCAAUUAUGAAGGGACCCUCCCAUUUGGGCUUGAGUUUGUCCUUUUUCUUCUCCGGCAGGCGUAGAACGAGUUCGCCAACAUUGUAAGUCUUGGCCCGUACUUCUCUGCUUUCAUAUCUUCGAGCCUGCUGUUGGUAAAAUGCUGAAUGGGCUUUUGCGACAUCGCAUUCCUCCUCCAGGGCAUCUAGGCUGUCCUGCCGAUCAAGCUCGGCUUCUCUCUCUUCGUACAUACGCACUCGAGGUGAGUCGCGAAUAAUAUCGCAGGGCAAUACGGACUCUGCGCCAUACACCAUGAAGAAAGGUGUGUAUCCGGUAGUACGGUUGGGCGUGGUCCGCAGCCCCUAGAGUACGGAGUCGAGCUCCUCAACCCAGUGCUUGUCUAAUUCUUUCAAAGACCACACUAGUCUGGGCUUGAUGCCGCUCAUGAUAAGACCGUUGGCUCGUUCGACUUGACCGUUGGUUUGUGGGUGGUAGACGGAGGCAUAAUCGAGUUUAAUACCCAGAUUAGUACACCAGGUUUUUACCUCGCCGGCUAUGAAAUUAGAGCCGUUGUUAGUGAUGAUGCUGUGUGGGACACCAUAACGGUGCACAACACCGGAUAUGAAGUCUAUCACCGGGCCGGACUCAGCCGUUCUGACCGGUUUAGCCUCUAUCCACUUAGUGAAUUUGUCCACCAUAAGCAGCAGAUAUUUUUUCUUAUGGCUUCCCCCUUUAAGGGGUCCAACCAUAUCCAGUCCCCAGACCGCGAAAGGCCAAGUGAUGGGGAUAGUCUGUAAGGCAGUUGGGGGCAUGUGGCUUUGGUUGGCGAAGAGUUGGCAUCCGACGCAGCGUUGGACGAGGUCCUGUGCGUCUGCUCGGGCUAUCGGCCAAUAAAACCCAGUACGGAAGGCCUUGCUAACAAGAGCCCGAGCUGCGGCGUGGUGUCCACCGAGACCGGCUUGAAUUUCCGCUAGAAGCUGCCGCCCCUCUUCUUCGGAGAUACAUCUUUCAAGUACUCCGGUGGUACUUUUCUUGUAGAGCUCUCCGUCAUGAACCUUGUAGGCCUUCGAGCGCCGGACAAUGCGGCGAGCCUCAUUCUGGUCAUCGGGGAGCUCCUUCCUAUUAAUGUAGGCCAAGAAAGGUUCGGUCCAUGGAGCAAUUACUGCCAUAAUGAGAUGGGCCGAUGGUGUUACUUCGGUGGCUGAGCCCCCGAUACUAUCGGUGUGUUCGGGAUUUGGAGUUGUAUUCGGAUCUGGACUAUUGUUGCCGCCCUCCCCUUGCCACACCAUAGAUGGCUUGAAAAGCCUUUCCAGGAAGAUGUUGGGUGGGACGGGGUCGCGCUUAGCGCCGAUGCGAGCAAGGACGUCUGCCGCUUGGUUACUUUCUCGGGCGACGUGAUGAAGUUCCAGCCCCUCGAACCGAGCCGACAUUUUUAAUACGACAUUACGAUAAGCUACCAUCUUUGGAUCUUUGUCGUCAAAGUCGCCGUUUAUUUGAGAUAUGGCGAGGUUUGAGUCCCCGCGCACCUCCAAGCGUUGUAUGCCAAUGGAUACGGCCAUCCGAAGACCAUGCAGUAGGGCCUCGUAUUCGGCUGCGUUGUUAGAGUCUGUUUAUAAUAUCUGGAGUACAUACUGGACGACGUCUCCAGUGGGGGAUGUUAACACGACUCCCGCUCCCAGCCCUGCCAACAUUUUGGAGCCGUCAAAAUACAUAACCCAAUUGGAAUAUGCGCCGUACUCUUUAGGGAGUUCGGCCUCUGUCCAUUCGGCGAUGAAGUCGGCCAGUACUUGGGAUUUGAUGGCUCGUCGUGGCUUGUAUGUUAUGUCGAAUGGAAGUAGCUCUAUGGCCCAUUUGGCGAUCCGUCCCGUGGCAUCGCGGUUGUUUAUUAUGUCAUUGAGUGGGACCUCAGAAGCCACCGUACUUGAACACUCUCGGAAGUAGUGUCGUAGCUUGCGGGAUGCCAUGAAGACCGCGUAUGCUAUCUUUUGGUAGUGGGGGUACCGGGAUUUGCAUGGUGUGAGGACAGUUGAUACGUAGUAUACUGGUUUUUGGAGCGGAAAUUUGUGUCCGUCCUAUUCUCGUUCGACGACGAGCACGUCGCUCACCACCUGAUGUGUUGCCGAUAUGUAUAACAACAUCGGCUCGCCCGUGUUUGGUGCGUCCAGAAUUGGGUUGCUCGCUAGGAGGGCCUUUAUUUCCUCCAGUCCGGCAGUCGCCGCGUCUGUCCAUUCGAAGUUAUCAGUGCGCCGUAAGAGGCGAUAGAUUAGUGCCUUUUCUCCUAGUCUGGAGAUAAAGCGGCUUUGCGCUGCCACGCAUCCAGCUAGUUUUUGGACCUGUUUGAGGUCUGUUGGUGUAGCCAACUGUGACAGAGCUCAGAUUUUAGCUGGAUUUGGUUCGAUUCCUCUAUUGGAAACGAUGAAGCCCAGCAGUUUUCCAGCGGGGACGCCGAAGACACACUUUUCCGGGUUGAGCUUAAUGUCAUACGCCCGGAGGUUGUCGAAUGUAAGACGUAAGUCGUCUAUUAGUGUUUCGACGUGCCUAGUUUUGAUGACGACGUCAUCGACGUAAGCUUCUACCGUUUUGCCGAUCUAUUUCUCCAGGCAUGUUUGAAUCAUGCGUUGGUAUGUGGCGCCGACGUUCUUGAGCCCAAAGGGCAUGGUGUUGAAGCAGAAUGGCCCAUAUGGGGUGAUAAAUGCUGUUGCGGCUUGAUCGGCCUCCUUCAUUUUGAUUUGAUGGUAUCCGGAAUAUGCAUCGAGGAAACACAGUGAGUCGUGUCCUGUAGUGGCGUCGAUGAUUUGAUCAAUGCGGGGGAUGGGGAAGGGAUCCUUAGGGCAAGCCUUGUUGAGGUCUUUGAAAUCGACACACCAGCGCCAGGAUUUGUCCUUCUUUGGUACCAUCACCAGGUUUGCCAGCCAGUCCGGAUGUUUGAUUUCUCUAAUGAAUCCGGCCUCGAUGAGCUUGGCCAGCUCCCCCCCAUGGCUUGUCGCUUGGGUCCGGAAAAGCGCCACAGUGUUUGCUUAACCGGUUUAAAUCCCUUUAAUAUGUUGAGGCUAUGUUCGGCCAGCUCGCGUGGGAUCCCUGGCAUAUCUGAAGGGUGCCAGGCGAAUAUGUCCCAGUUUUCGCGCAGGAAUUCUCGUAGUGCAGUGUCAACUGUUGGGUUUAGUUGAGCUCCGAUAGAUGCUGUCUUCUUGGGGUCCGUUGGGUGGACCUGGAAUUUGACUAUUUCUUCUGCUGGUUUGAAGGAGGUGGAUUUAGGGCGUUUGUCGAGGAUCACGUCGUCCCUGUCCACCGUGGAGUGUAGUGCGGUUAAUUCUUCGGCCGCGAGGGCUUCGGAUAGCGCCUCCAGGGCCAGGGAUGCGGUUUUGUUUUCAGCGCGGAGUGCUAUGUCCUGAUCACUGACGAGAGUGAUUAUACCGUUUGGUCCGGGCAUUUUGAGCUUCAUAUACCCGUAAUGGGGUAUGGCCUGGAAGUGUGUAAAAGCAUCCCGCCCCAACAGGGCGUGAUAUCCGCUGCUGAAAGGGGCCACUUGGAAAGUUAUUUCUUCGGACCGAUAGUUCUCCGGCGUGCCGAAUACUACGUCAAGUGUGAUUUUGCCCGCGCACCGCGCCUCCCGACUGGGAAUAAUUCCUCGGAAGGUUGUGUUACUUUGCUUGAUGCGGCUCUUGUCUAUUUCCAUUUUAUGGAGUGUGUCCUCAUAAAUGAGGUUUAGUUCGCUGCCGCCGUCCAUGAGGACCUUGGUAAGUCGAAACCCGUCCACGAUGGGAUUGAGGACUAACGCGGCUGGCGCUCAUACUGUUCUGUACUUUGGCUCGUCACUGGCGUUGAAUGUUAUAGCCGUGUCAUUCCAGGGGUUUAUUGCAGCAAUUUGGCAGACUUCGGCGAGCUUGCGAAGUGCCCUUUUGUGCUUGUUGUUUGAAGCAAAUUACUCAAAGACCGUCAAUACUCUUGAGUUAUCGUCUUCUGGGGGAUGCCGUUCUGGGUCGUCCUUGAUAAGGAUGUCCUCGCCGCUCUUGGCUACCUGUCGUAGUAUCCAGCAUGCUCUAAGGCUGUGGGUUGCCACGGUAUCUGGUGUUGUAUGUAUUUUGCAUGGGCCAUCGAGCCACCCCUCCAGAACGGUGCCGUGCCGCAUAGCGGUUUUGUGCUUCUUGACUGUUGGACUGGGCGUGCCACGAGGGUGCGCCCUUUUCGCCUGUAGGGGGAGUUGUGUUGGGACCGACGGUUCCCAGCAAGUUGCCUGAGUUUUCCAGGCGCUCUCCAUCGCGCUGUACUUUUGUACGAUGGUUGCUAAGUCAGCGAAUUUCAGUUUGCGGUGGCGGUUGGUGGCGUUGAGGAUUCCUUCGUCCGCGCAAUUGUUGCAGAACACUGAUAUUGCGUCCUCGUCACGACAAUCUUUUACCUUGUCCUUGACAAGGAGGAAUCUGGCCCAGAAGUGAUGGACCGUUUCCUGAGACUGCUAUUUUAUGCUCAUGAGAGCAUCAAUGUCCGGGUGGGUGGGUGGGAUUAGAUCCGAACCCCGACCUAACCGAUUAUCCCGAGUCUGACGACGUUCCGGGCUUAACAGUCCAGGUUCCGGAGUAUCUUCUGAUUGUUUAGGACCGCCGUCCGAUGCUAUGUUCGGAGGGCUGGUCGCAUCCUUUCGCGGGUGAGUAUCCGGCUCUUCCUGAACGGCGAUCCGAACAUAGUCCGUCUUUGAUAUAGAAGAAGACUCGCAGUCCUGCUCCACGACUACCGCAAUUUGGUGGGUGACCGGUGGGGCCUUGAUUUCUCCUUGACCGGUUUUAGGCCCGAUCCGAUCGUAGUCUGUGGCGAUUCCCAAAGCGGCGAUGCGAUCUAGGAGUUCGUUCAAAGACGAAAACUCUGCCGGAUCCAUUUGCUUGGAGUGCUCGGAGUUGAUGCGAAGGGGGUUUUCGAUGGCCCGAGAGGUCAUCGUCGGCUCAACGGCCGAGCGGGCGAUCAUAGUAAAGCCGCCAAGCCGGAGGGUUUGGCCUGGGGCCAGAGCUCCCCCGGAGGUGAUGUUGUGUUUAAGGACAAGGUGAGCCAUCGAGCCUUUCGUCGACGGCACAAUGGAACUCUCAAUGAAAGCACCAAUGUCGGUGUCAAAACCGGCGGAUCUCGUGUAGGGGGUCCCGAACUGUGCGUCUAGGAUCGAUGGUAACAGGAGAAGGGGGACACGAUGUUUUACCCAGGUUCGGGCCCUCUCUAUGGAGGUAAUACCCUACUUCCUGCUUGAUUGAUCUUGAUGAAUAUGAGUAUUACAAGAGUUGAUCUACCACGAGAUCGUAAUGGCUAAACCCUAGAAGCCUAGCCUGUAUGACUAUGGUAAUGAAUAUAUACUUUCCGGACUAACCCCUCCGGUUUAUAUAGACACGGGGGGGGGGGGGAUCUAGGGUUACAUGGAGUCGGUUACAUAAGAAGGAAUCUUCAUAGUCGGUCGCCAAGCUUGCCCUCCACGCCAAGUAGAGUCCAAUCCGGACACGGGUACAGUCUUCGGCCUUCAUGUGUUCACAGCCCAUCAGUCCGGCCCAGUGGAUAACAGACCGGACCCCCGAGGACCCCUUAGUCCAGGACUCCCUCACCUGGGGGGUGCUCCGAGGAGAUCACAAGCCACCAGGGCGUGCAAGGAGGCCCAGGCGCGCGCUGGUGGGUUGUGCCCACCUCGGGUGCCCCCGGACCGCCUCUUUGAUCUAUAAAUACCCCAAUAUUCCCAAAACCCUAGGGAGUCGACGAAAUAUUGAUCCAGCCGCUGCAGAGUACAGAACCACUAGAUCCAUUCUAGACACCAUCUCGGAUGGGGUUCACCACCUCCAUUGGUGCCUCUCCGAUGAUGCGUGAGUAGUUCUUUAUAUACCUUCGGGGUCCUUAGUUAGUAGCUAGAUGGCUUUCUCUCUCUCGCUGAAUUCUCAAUACAAUGGUCUCUUGGAGAUCCAUAUGAUGUAACUCUUUUGCGAUGUGUUUGUUGGGAUCGAUGAACUUUGAGUUUAUGAUCAGAUCUAUCUUUUUAUAUCCAUGAAAGUUAUUUGAAUUUCUUUGAUCUCUUAUAUGCAUGAUUGCUUAUAACCUCGUAUUUCUUCUCCGAUAUUUGGGUUUUGUUUGGCCAACUUGAUCUAUUUAUCUUGCAAUGGGAAGAGUUGCUUUGUAGUGGGUUCGAUCUUACGGUGCUUGAUCCCAGGGACAGAAGGGGAAUCGACACGUAUGUAUAGUUGCUAUUAUGGAUAAAACGAUGGGGUCUGUCUCUACAUAGAUAGAUCUUCUCUACAUCAUGUCAUCGUUCUUAUUGCAUUACUCCGUUUCUCCAUGAACUUAAUACACUAGAUGCAUGCUGGAUAGCGGUCGAUGUGUGGAGUAAUAGUAGUAGAUGCAGGCAGGAGUCGGUCUACUAAUCUUGGACGUGAUGCCUAUAUAAUGAUCAUUGCCUGGAUAUCGUCAUUAGUAUUUGAAGUUUUAUCAAUUGCCAAAUAGUAAUUUGUUCACCCACCGUUUGCUAUUUUUCUCGAGAGAAGCCACUAGUGAAACGUACGGCCCCCGGGUCUCGUUCUCAUAUUAUUUGCCUUUGCGAUCUACUUUUCCUUUGCAUUUAUUUUCAGAUCUAUUAAACCAAAAAUACCUUGCUGCAAUUUAUUCUUAUUUUAUUUGGGUUCGAUCUAUCAAUCUACUACAAUUUUAUCUCACGUCUGUUUGCCUACCUUGAGGCGUCGUACCCGAAAGGGAUUGACAACCCCUUUUAGACAUCGGGUUUCGAGGAUUUGUUAUCUAUGUGCAUGGGCUGUUUACGUUGUGUUGCUUGGUUCUCCUACUGGUUCAAUAACCUUGGUUUCAUAUCUGAGGGAAAUACCUACCACCGCUGUGCUGCAUCAUCCCUUCCUCUUUGGGGAAAUACUGACGUAGCUUCAAGCGACAUCAAAAGGAAUAUCUGGCGCCGUUGCCGGGGAGGAUAAAGUCAAGAUAGUCUCCCGGCCACGUGCCAAUUUCUGGCGCCGUUGCCGGGGAGGAUCUUAAACAUAUAGCAGGUUCCUAAUCACAAAUCUCAUCUCCUCGCAAUUUACAUUAUUUGCCAUUUGCCCCUCAUUUUCCUCUCCCCCACUUCACAAAAAUUUGCCGUUUUAUUCGCACUCUUUAUCGUUCGCCGUUUUCUUGUCAGAUCUUAUGUUUGCUUGUGUUGACAUGUGCCUUCUAUUUGCUUGCAUCUUUGCUUGCUAAAAAUCUAUUGAUAUGGAUCCUCAUCCACUUGCUAAUCUUUUUAAAAGAUCCAAUUAUGAUGAACCAAUUUCUAGUGACUUGAGUUCUCUAGAUUAUCUUUAUGAAGUUUUGCUUGAGAUCCGUGAAUCUGAAAAUUGCGAUGAAGUGCUAAAAGAGGAAAUUUAUGAAGCGAUUCACGAUAGAUUCCUGAAUGAAAGGCAUGAUUGCAAUGGUGUUAUUAUAAAUUCUAUUAAUGUCAAUUGUGCUAAUAAUAUGCAAAACCCCAAGCUUGGGGAUGCUAAUUUUGCUAUGUCCACUACUUGUUGCAGUGAUCAUGAUUGGGGUGAUGAUUCUUAUGAUCUUAAAAUUUUAUUUAAAGCUCAUGAUGAAUAUGCUUGCGAUAAUAUUAAAAGUGGGUUUGGAAGAGAGUCAACUUUAGGUAAAAAUAAUCCCACAUAUUUGGAGAAUGUUUAAUCUUAUGGAAUUUUUGAUGAAAGUGGGCUUGGAGAGGUCAUUACUUUAUUUGAUGACAAUCCCACUAUUUUGGAAGAGUGUCAACUUUGCAUGCAUAUGGAUCAUAUAGAGAAUAUGUUAUGUGAUAGAUAUAUUGUUGAAUUUGAGUAUGACCCCACAUGUAAUUAUUAUGAGAGAGGAAAAUAUGGUUGUAGAAAUUGUCAUGUUACUAGCUAGAUUACCUCUUGUUAUGUUGAGAUCGUCAAUGUUUUUUUCCUCUUCUUUGAAUGUGCUAGUUUUUGCUCACCAUGAUAAUUUGUUUGCUUAUAAAAUGCCUAUGCAUAGGAAGUAUGUUAGACUUAAACUUGUUUUUCACAUGAUGCAUGAUGCUCUCUUUUCAAUUGCUAUCUUUCAUGUGAGCAUCAUUAAAAAUUAUCAAAUGCAUAGCUAGGGGCAUAAAAUGAUAGCGCUUGUUGGGAGGCAACCCAAUGAAUAAAAUUUAUUUUUGCCUUUUGCUUUAUGUUCUUGAGUGUUUGCACAAUUAUGCUUCUAUUAUGAUUGUGUUUUUUGUGUUUUAAUUAGUGCUUGUGCCAAGUAAAGCCUUUAGGAUCUUCUUGGGUGAUAGUUGUUUGAUCUUGCUGAAAAAACAGAAACUUUUGUGCUCACAAAAAAAUUCUCAUUUUUUACCAGAGCGUGAUGAAAUACCAAUUCUUUUUGAAGAAGAUUAAUAUACAAAUUUCUCAGUUCGUCCUAAUUUUUCAGAAUUAUUGGAGUUCCAGAAGUUUUCUAAAUAGUCAGAUUGCUACAGACUAUUCUAUUUUGACAGAUUAUGCUUUCUUUGCAUUGUGUGCUUAUAUUGAUGGCUCUAUGGUUUUCUUUGAUGAGUUUUUUCCAUAGAAAUGUUGGAAUAUAGUAGAUAUAAUUUAAAAAUAAAUUAUGAAUUGGUUUGGUACAGUACUUAUAGUAGUGAUUUGUUUUCUUACACUAACGGAUCUCAAGAAGGUUUUGUUGAGUUUUGUGUGAUUGAAGUUUUCCAGUUUUGGGUUAUCUUACGAUGGAUGAAGGAAUUAGGAGUAGAAGAGCCUAAGCUUGGGGAUGCCCUGGCAUCCCAAGCUAUUAUGCAAAAAUGAUCAACCAACUAAGCUUGGGGAUGCCCCCGAGUGGCAUCCCCUCUUUCUUCUAAUGACGAUCGGUAUUUUACUCGAAACUACAUUUUUAUUCGUCACAUACUAUGUGUUUUUCUUGGAGCGUCUUGUAUGAUACGAGUCUUUGCUUGUUUUAUUUUGUGUUUUAAGUCUUGAUUCCUUGCUGGACACACCUAUUUGAGAGAGCCAAAAUUAUGUCAUGACUUGUUAGAAUUGCUCUCUAUGCUUCACUUCAAUUUUUAUGAGCUAAGGACUUGCUCUAGUGCUUCAUUUAUAUCUUUUUGAGCACGGUGUGCUUUAGUAUUUUGAAGAAAUGCUCUCUUGCUUCACUUAGAUUUAUUUGAUAGUUAGUAAAAUUUUCAAGAAAUUCUCUCUUGCUUCACUUAAAUUAAUUUGAGAGAAAUAAAUAUUAUGAUCAUGAUCUUCACUUAUAUUUGGUUGAGCUUAUGAAAAGCAACACAUGAAAAUUAGUCCCAAAGUGAUAGAUAUCCAAGAAGGAUAUAAUAAAAACUUUGAUGAAGAUCAUUGGACAAAAUAAACUUGGUUCUUAGUUAUAGUUUUGAGAUAUGAUGAUGUGAUAUGUGAGUUAUGUUGAUGAGUAAUUGUGCUUUAGUAAGAAUAUUGGUGUUAAGGUUUGUGAUUCCCUAUGCAAGCACGAAAGUCAAUAGUCAUGCAAUGAAAUUAUAUCCUACUUGUGGUGCAUUAUUUGGUGUUAAUUAUGCUUAAUGCUCGCUUAUGAGAUUAUCCAUUUCUUGGUUGGUCGCUUCUCAAUAUUUUGCUAGCCUUCAUUUUGCACUAAGUACGAUCUCUACUUGUGCAUCCAAAAAUCCUUUAAACCAGUUUUGCCACAUGAGUCCACUAUAUCUACCUAUAUGUGGUAUUCUUUUGCCGUUCUAAGCAUAUUUGUAUGUGCCAUCUCUAAUUUUCAAAAUAAACUUCUCUUUUGUGUGCUCGUUUCACUCGCGGAGCGGUGAGGGGUGGCUAAUAUUUAACAUGCUAGAUGUGUUAUUCUCAAGAUGAGUGUUUAUUCACUUGUCAUUGCAAGAGAGUAAGGCAAAGGUAUUAGGGAUGCCGAGUCCCAAAAUGAAAAAUGAAUUUACUUUAUGUUGUCAAAUAAUAAAUUCCUUGGAAAGUGUUGGUAUGGAAGGCACCCGUGGAUACGGUUAGCCAUGGAAAGUGAAAUUAUGGUUGAAAAAGGAAUAAACUUUAAUUUCUGUUUGGGAACCGUCUAUGAUAUAUCUAGCAUGGAAAGUUUUGGGAACUCUAAGUCAUUUUCGUUGGUGGGAUGGAUACAACUCCCAAAAUGUUUUUAUCUCUAAGUUUUUCGCUUUGAGCUCUGGCACCUCUACAAAUGCCUACUUCCCUCUGCGAAGGGCCUUUCUUUUACUUUAUGCAAUUUUUAUUUUUGAAUUUGAGCCUCCAUCUUCUCUUACAAAAGCAACAACUAGGAGGCAAUAUGAUUGUACUUGAGUAUUGGGUGUAGCUAAUAUGCGAGUGUGUUUCAUGAAUGGAUCAAUGGUUGAGCAUGAUGGGCUAGGGAUAACUUAUUUUAGCGUUGGUAUUUUGAAAGACAUGGUUGCUUGUAGAUAUGCUUGAGUAUUUAAAUUAUCAUGUCAAAACUAGACUAUUGCUUUGAACAAUAUAAAAGUCCAAAUGUCCAUGCUAUAAAGGAAAGAAAUAUGAUAUGACAUGUUAGGCAGCAUUCCACAUCAAAAAUUCUGUUUUUAUCACUUCCCUACUCGAGGACGAGUAGGAGUUAAGCUUGGGGAUGCUGAUACGUCUCCAACGUAUCUAUAAUAUUUUAUUGUUCCAUGCUGUUAUAUUAUCAAUCUUGGUUUUAUAAUCAUUUUAUAGUCAUUUUAUAUCAUUUUUUGGGUACUAACCUAUUGACAUAGUGCCAAGUGCGAGUUGUUGUUUUCUCCAUGUUUUUACAUCGCAGGAAAUCAAUAUCAAAUGGAGUCCAAACACAACGAAACUUUACGGAGAUUUUUUUGGACCAGAAGGAACAUAAUGGGCCCUGGCUGUGCCUGGGGGGUUGCUACGAGGAGAGCACAACCCACCAGAGCGCGCCAGGAGGCCCAGGCACGCCCUGGUGGGUUGUGCCCACCUCAGGUACCCCCCGAACCACCUCUUUGCUCUAUAAAUACCCCAAUAUUCCCAAAACCCUAGGGGAGUCGACGAAAUAUUGAUCCAGCCGCCGCAGAGUCCAGAACCACAAGAUCCAAUCUAGACACCAUCUCGGAUGGGGUUCACCACCUCCAUUGGUGCCUUUCCAAUGAUGCGUGAGUAGUUCUUUGUAGACCUUCGGGUCCGUAGUUAGUAGCUAGAUGGCUUUCUCUCUCUCGCUGAAUUCUCAAUACAAUGGUCUCUUGGAGAUCCAUAUGAUGUAACUCUUUUGCGGUGUGUUUGUUGGGAUCGAUGAACUUUGAGUUUAUGAUCAGAUCUAUCUUUUUAUAUCCAUGAAAGUUAUUUGAGUUUCUUUGAUCUCUUAUAUGCAUGAUUGCUUAUAGCCUCGUAUUUCUUCUCCGAUAUUUGGGUUUUGUUUAGCCAACUUGAUCUAUUUAUCUUGCAAUGGGAAGAGGUGCUUUGUAGUGGGUUCGAUCUUACGGUGCUUGAUCCCAGUGACAGAAGGGGAACCGACACGUAUGUAUCGUUGCUACUAAGGAUAGAACGAUGGGGUCUAUCUCUACAUAGAUAGAUCUUGUCUACAUCAUGUCAUCGUUCUUAUUGCAUUACUCCAUUUCUCCACGAACUUAAUACACAGAUGCAAGCUAGAUAGCGGUCGAUGUGUGGAGUAAUAGUAGUAGAUGCAGGCAGGAGUCGGUCUACUAAUCUUGGACGUGAUGCCUAUAUAAUGAUCAUUGCCUGGAUAUCGUCAUGAGUAUUUGAAGUUCUAUCAAUUUCCCAACAGUAAUUUGUUCACCCACUGUUCGCUAUUUUUCUCGAGAGAAGCCACUAGUGAAACCUACGACCCCCGGGUCUCUUUCUCAUAUUAUUUGCCUUUGCGAUCUACUUUUCCUUUGCAUUUAUUUCCAGAUCUAUUAAACCAAAAAUACAAAAAUACCUUGCUGCAAUUUAUUCUUAUUUUAUUUGGCGUUCGAUCUAUCAAUCUACUACAAUUUUAUCUCACGUGUGUUUGCCUAUCUUGAGGCGCCGUACCCGAAAGGGAUUGACAACCCCUUUUACACGUAGGGUUGCGAGGAUUUGUUAUCUGUGUGCAGGGGCUAUUUAUGUUGUGUGGCUUGGUUCUCCUACUGGUUCGGUAACCUUGGUUUCAUAUCUGAGGGAAAUAUCUACCGCCGCUGUGCUGGUUCGAUAACCUCUUUGGGGAAAUACCGACGUAGCUUCAAGCGACAUCAGCCCCGGCUCAACAGACCAGCCCGCCGGCAGGAAGGGGAUGGGAUUCACCGGAAAGUUCGCCAUGGUGGUGGCAGCAACGGAGCGAGCAGCGUGGUUGGGGGGGUGCAGUGGGAGCGUGGGCGGUGGUGGAGGAGCUAGAGCAGAGUGCUCUGUUCCAUUGGGAAGCAGGGUAGGCAGGGAGGGGGAAUGCGAGUCGUUCGGGGUGGAUGGGAGGGUUUUUGGUCGCCACUGCCACUGUUGAGCCUGGCGACCCCGCCAGCAGGAGGGAGCCAGGUGUCCAUAGUGACCACAGAUAUUGCAUCGGACGGCUGAGGCAGGGCGGCUGAUCGGUCGAAUGAGAGGGCAAGGGCGAGUCAUUGAAGGAAGUCUAUUGAUUUGCUGCCCAUCGUAGGCUGAUAUGACCGGACUAUGGAGAUCAUCAGUCAUAAAAGAGUUACUUAAAGAAGCAGAGCUUUUUCGGGUAGGGCAAUUAAUGCAUUUGUGUCCCAGAGCCGAGCAAUUUAGGCAGAUAAUCCGUGCCUGACAAUUAAUCUUAUGAUGGCCCCAUUGUAAACAUUUGGAGCAAAGUGUACCCCAAGAGUUGACAAGAUCCGAGACUUCCUUUUGAGAAUAUCUCGCACGCAACAAAUUGGCAAUAUGAGGUUUUGAUAAUGAAGGGGGCGAAGAUUUGUGCACGGGGGCAUACCUUAGGGCGGAGGUAAGGAAACGUUGAGGUAAUUUAGGAUAUGCCAAAUUGGUGGAAAACCGGAAACUGCCAAUCACAAUUGAAUGCUCAGAAUAUUCCAUUUGCUGUGAGGAACAUUGCAUGUCCCCAUGCAAGGGAUCCGUAAUGAUCGUAUCGCUUGUCAGCUGAGGCACACUCGAGGGAAGCGAUGAGGAACAUGAAGCUUCAUUAAUGUUUUUAUCAUGAAAAUAUGGAGGCUAUAGGGAUUAGAUCAAACUUACUCAACUCCUUGGAAGAAUCACUACCCAUAGUCAUAUCCUUGAAAAUUGGUUUGCUAUACCACAGGGCCAUAGGGGUGCGGCUAGCAAUGGGCUCAAGCCGUUCAUCCGCAUGCCAUUGCUUAUCAAAAUGCUUGUAACCAUUGAAACGGCCAUUGAACACGUGAAAAUGACAGAUGAAAUCCGACCAAAUGCGAUCUUUGAGGCCAUGAAUGAAAUGACCCACUAAUACGUCCAUUUUGCAUCAUGUUUUCUUACUUUUAUUUACAAUGUUUUUAUCCAUAAUAAUGCUUUUUGGAGUAAUUCUAAUGCCUUUUCUCUCAUAAUUUGCAAGGUACACACCAAGAGGGAGGAUUCUGGCAGCUGGAAAUCUGACCUGGAAAAGCUACGCCAGGCCACCUAUUCUGCACAACUCCAAACAAGCUGAAACUUCACGGAGAUUUUUUAUGGAUUAUUUAAGAAUUAUUGGAGCAAAUAACUACCAGAGGGGGCCCACCAGGUGGGCACAACCCACCUGGGCACGCCAGGGAGCCCAGGCGCGCCCUGGUGGGUUGUGCCCUCCUCGGCCCACCUCCGGUGCCCAUCUUUUGGUAUAUAAGUCAUUUUGACCAAGAAAAAAUAAGAGGAGGGCUUUUGGGAUGAAGCAUCGCCGCCUCGAGGCGGAACUUGGGCAGGAGCACUUUUGCCCUCUGAUGGAGCGAUUCCGCCGGGGGAACUUCCCUCCCAGAGGGGGAAAUCAUCGUCAUGAUCAUCACCAAGAACUCUCCCAUCUUGGGGAGGGCAAUCUCCAUCAACAUCUUUAACAACACCAUCUCCUCUCAAACCCUAGUUCAUCUCUUGUGUUCAAUCUUGUUACCGGAACUAUAGAUUGGUACUUGUGCGUGACUAGUAGUGUUGAUUACAUCUUGUAGUUGAUUACUAUAUUGUUUAUUUGGUGGAAGAUUAUAUGUUCAGAUCCAAUAUGCUAUUUAAUACUCCUCUUAUCAUGCAUGUUUACAAUUUGUGAGUAGUUACCUUUGUUCUUGAGGUCACGGGAGAAAUCAUGUUGCAAGUAAUCAUGUAAAUUUGGUAUGUGUUCGGUAUUUUGAUAGUAUGUAUGUUGUGAUUCCCUUAGUGGUGUCAUGUGAACGUCGACUACAUGACACUUCACCAUAUUUGGGCCUAAGGUAAUGCAUUGUGGAGUAGCAAUUUGAUGAUGGGUUGCGAGAGUGACAAAAACUUAAACCCCAGUUUAUGCGCUAUUCCGUAAGGGACCGAUUGGAUCCAAAAGUUUAAUGCUAUGGUUAGAAUUUAUUCUUAAUACUUUUCUCGUAGUUGCAGAUGCUUGCCGGAGGGUUAAUCAUAAGUAGGAGGUUUGUUCAAGUAAGAACAGCAUGUAAGGACCGGUCCACCCACAUAUCAAAUUAUCAAAGUACACGAAUUAAACCAACAUGAUGAAAGUGACUAGAUGAAAUUCCCGUGUACCCUCAACAACGCUUUGCUUAUCAUAAGAGACCGUUUUUGCCUGUCCUUUGCCUCAAGAGGAUUGGUCUACCUUGCUACACUUUUUUUUACUACUAUCGUUACUUUCUCGUUACAAAUUAUCUUGCUAUCAAACUACGCUGCUACUUAGAAUUUCAGGACUUGCGGACAUUACCUUACUGGAAACCACUUGUCAUUUCCUUCUGCUCCUCGUUGGGUUAGACACUCUUACUUAUCGAAAAUAUCUACAAUUGAUCCCCUAUACUUGUGGGUCAUCAUCCACUUUGUUACCAGCCACAGAGAAACGAAAGGAUCUAUCACAGAGCUUAGAAACCUUAAAUCCCUUUGGAUGUCCUCCAAUGCAACAUUGCAAAGCCACACCCAUAGAUUCCCCCAAGAGGGAAAUGAAGCUAAGGAGAAACAAACCACCAAGAAAAAUUCCUUGGUGCUGCGAGAUGGUGGGAAAUGGACCGUUUCUCCAAAUCGUCGACGUACCUGAUCUGCAACAACCAGGCCAGGCUUGAAAUUCCAAUGCAAAAGGCCAUCCAUGAUGAUAAUUAGGAUCUAGAUCCAUGGUUGGUGGAGAGCAGGUGGGAGGAGGGGAGAGGAGAGGAGGAGAGCCAUAGGACGAGAUAAUAUUGUGGUUUGCAUCACUUAAGCAAACAUGUAGAGUCUGGAAGCUUUUUCUAAUGCUUGUCCUUUGUACCUUAAGGGGUCCACAUCUCCAUCCAUCUUCUUGCCUAGGUUGAACUUUUCUUGAAAUAUACUUGAGGAAAACAUUAGUCCAACAAAUGUAUGUGUACAUGAAUUACCAAAACCACCAAGGGAGCAAAUGCGCUUUCAAUCUCCACCUUCUUGGUAUUGAUGACUGAUACGUCUCCAACGUAUCUAUAAUGUUUGAUUGUUCCAUGCUAUUUUAUUAUCAAUCUUGGAUGUUUUAUAAUCAUUUUAUAGUCAUUUUAUAUCAUUUUUUGUACUAACCUAUUGACAUAGUGCCUAGUGCCAGUUGCUAUUUUUUCCAUGUUUUUACAUCGCAGAAAAUCCUUAUCAAACGGAGUCCAAAUGCCACGAAACUUUACAAAGAUUUUUUAUGGACCAAAAGGAAGAUAUUGGGCCCUGGUUGCACCUGGGCGGAGUUCUGAGGAGGGGACAACCCACCAGGGUGCGCCAGGAGGCCCAGGCGCGCCCAGGUGGGUUGUGCCCACCUCAGGUGCCCCCGGACCGCCUCUUUCCUCUGUAAAUACCCCAAUAUUCCAGAAACCCUAGAAGCAUCGCCGAAAUAUUCAUCCAGCCGCCGCAGACUCCAGAACCACCAGAUCCAAUCUAGACACCAUCUCGGAUGGGGUUCACCACCUCCAUUGGUGCCUCUCUGAUGAUGCGUGAGUAGUUCUUUGUAGACCUUCGGGUCUUUAGUAAGUAGCUAGAUGGCUUUCUCUCUCUCACUGAAUUCUCAAUACAAUGGUCUCUUGGAGAUCCAUAUGAUGUAACUCUUUUUGCGGUGUGUUUGUUGGGAUCUGAUGAACUUUGAGUUUAUGAUCAGUCAUAUCUUUUUAUAUCCAUGAAUGUUAUUUGAGUUUCUUUGAUCUCUUAUAUGCAUGAUCUCUUAUAGCCUCGUAUUUCUUCUCCGAUAUUUGGGUUUUGUUUGGCCAACUUGAUCUAUUUAUCUUGCAAUGGGAAGAGGUGCCCGGUAGUGGGUUCGAUCUUACGGUGCUUGAUCCUAGUUACAGAAAGGGAACCGACACAUAUGUAUCGUUGCUACUAAGGAUAAAAAGAUGAGAUCUAUAUAUACCGCAAUAGAUAAAUGGAUCUUGUCUACGUCAUGUCAUCAUUCUUAUUGCAUUACUCCAUUUUUCCAUGAACUUAAUGCACUAGAUGCAUGCUGGAUAGCGGUCGAUGUGUGGAGUAAUAGUACUAGAUGCAGGCAGGAGUCGGUCUACUAAUCUUGGACGUGAUGCCUAUGUAAUGAUCAUUGCCUGGAUAUCGUCAUAAUUAUUUGAGGUUCUAUCAAUUGCCCAACAGUAAUUUGUUUAGCCACCGUUUUCUAUCUUUCUCGAGAGAAGCCACUAGUGAAACCUACGCCCCCCGGCUCUUCUUUCUCAUAUAUUUGCUUGCGAUCUACUUUUCCUUUGCAUUUUUAUUCAGAUCUAUUAAACCAAAAAUACCUUGCUGCAAUUUUUCCUUAUUUAUUUUAUUUGGCGUUCGAUCUAUCAAUUUGCUACAAAAUUAUCUCACGUCCGUUUGCCCAUCUUCAGGCGGCGUACCCCGAAAGGGAUUGACAACCCCUUUAACACGUCGGGUUGCGAGGAUUUGUUAUCUGUGUGGAGGGGCUGUUUACGUUGUGUUGCUUGGUUCUCCUACUGGUUCGAUAACCUUGGUUUCAUAUAUGAGGGAAAUACCUACCGCCGCUGUGCUGCAUCAUCCCUUCCUCUUUGGGGAAAAAACCGACGUAGCUUCAAGCGACAUCAAAAGGAAUUUCUAUCGCCGUUGCCGGGGAAGAUCUUCAACAUAUACCAGGUUCCUAAUCACAAAUCUCAUCUCCUCGCAAUUUACAUUAUUUUCCAUUUGCCUCUCGUUUUCCUCUCCCCCACUUCACAAAAUUUGCCGUUUCAUUCGCAAUUUUUUGCGUUUGCCUUUUUCUCGUCAGAUCUCAUGUUUGCUUGUGUUGCCAUGUGCCUUCUAUUUGCUUGCAUCUUUGCUUGCUAAAAAUAUAUUGUUAUGGAUCCUCGUCUACUUGCUAAUCUUUUCAAAAGAUCCAAUUACGAUGAACCAAUUGCUAGUGAUUUGAGUGCACUAAAUUAUCUUUAUGAAGUUUUGCUUGAGAAUCGUGAAUCUGAAAAUUGUGAUGAAGAAAUGUAUGAAGUUAUGCAUGAUAGCUCCUUGAAUGAAAAGCAUGAUUGCAAUGAUUUUACUAUAAAUUCUAUUGAUGUCACUUGUGCUAAUAAUAUGCAAAACCCCAAGUUUGGGGAUGCUAAUUUUGCUAUGUCCACUACUUGUUGCAAUGAUCAUGACUGGGGUGAUUCUUUUUAUGAUCUUGAAAAUUUAUUUAAGUCUCAUGAUGAAUAUGCUUGCGAUAAUAUUAAAAGUGGGUUUGGAAGAGUGUCAACUUAAGCUAAAAAUAAUCCCACCUAUUUGGAGAGUGUUCAAUCUUAUGAAAUUUUUGAUGAAAGUGGGUUUGGAGAGGUCAUGACUUUAUUUGAUGAUAAUCCCACUAUUUUGGAAGAGUGUCAACUUUGCAUGCAUGUGGAUCAUAAAGAGAAAAUUUUAUAUGAUAGUUCUAUUAUUGAAUUUGAUUAUGAUCCUACAUAUAAUUAUUAUGAGAGAGGAAAAUAUGGUUGUAGAAAAUUUCAUGUUAUUAAAUUUCCUCUCGUUGUGUUGAGAUUGUCAAUGUUUUAUUCCUCUCCUUUGCAUAUGCUACAUGUUCUUGUUUUGAUAAUUUGUUUUCCUAUAAAAUUCCUAUGCAUAGGAAGUAUGUUAGACUUAAAUGUGUCUGUCACAUGUUUCAUGAUGCUCUCUUUGUGUUUCGAUUAUUAUCUGUUGUGUGAGCAUCGUUGAAAUAUUAUGCCUAGCUAAGGGCGUAAAACUAUAGCGCUUGUUGGGAGGCAACCCAAUGAAUAAAUUUUCUUUUUUCUUUUUGCUUUAUGUUCUUGUGUGUUUACACAAUUAUGCUACUGUUAUGAUUGUGUUUUUUGUAUUUUAAUUAGUGUUUGUGACAAGUAGAACCAAUAGGAUCUUCUUGGGUGAUAGUUGUUUGAUCUUGCUGAAAAAGACAGAAACUCAGCACUCACGAAAUUAAUUCUCAUUUUUUAUCAGAAAAAGAUUUUCCCCUGAUUCUUUUUGCAGAAGAUUAAUAUAUAAAUUGCUCAGGUCGUCCUAUUUUUUCAAAAAAAUUGGAGUCCCAGAAGUUUUCGUUUAAGUCAAAUUGCUACAGACUGUUCUGUUUCGACAUAUUCUGUUUUCUUUGUGUUGUGUGCUUAUUUUGAUGGCUCUAUGGUUUUCUUUGAUGAGUUUUUGCCAUAGAAAAGUUGGAAUACAGUAGGUAUAAUACAAAAACAAAAUAUGAAUUGGUUUGACACAACACUUAUAGUAGCGGUUUACUUUCUUUCACUAACGGAUCUCACGGAGGUUUUGUUGAGUUUUGUGUGAUUGAAGUUUUCAAGUUUUGGGUUAUCUUACGAUGGAUGAAAGAAGGAUAGAAGAGCCUAAGAUUGGGGAUGCCCCAGAAUCCAAAGAUAUUUUCCAAGAAUGAGCAACCAACUAAGCUUGGGGAUGCUCCCCGAGUGGCAUCCCCUCUUUCUUCUAACGACCAUCGGUAUUUUACUCGAGGCUAUAUUUUUAUUCGUCACAUAAUAUGUGUUUUGCUUGGAGCGUCUUAUAUGAUAUGAGUCUUUGCUUGUUUUAUUUUGUGUUUUAAGUCAUCAAUCCUUGAUGGACACACCUAUUUGUGAGAGCCAAAAUUAUGACAUGACUUGUUAGAAUUGCUCUCUAUGCUUCAUUUAAAUUUUUUUGAGAAUUGGACUUGCUCUAGUGCUUCACUUAUAUCUUUUGAGCACGGUGUGCUUAGUAUUUUUGAAGAAAAUGCUCUAUUGCUUCACUUAGACUUAUUUUAGAGUUAGUUAAAUUUUGAAGAAAUUCUCUCUUGCUUCACUUAAAUUAUUUUCAGAGAAAGAAAAAUUGUUAUGCUCAUGAUCUUCACUUAUAUUUGUUUGAGCUUAUGAAAAGCAACACAUGAAAAUUAGUCCCAAAGUGAUAGAUAUCCUAGAAGGAUAAAGAUAAACAAAGUGUGUCAUGAAGAUCAUUGGACAAAAUAAGCUUGAUUCUUGGUAAUAGUUUUAAGAUAUGAUGAUGUGAUAUGUGAGUUAUGUUGAUGAGUAAUUGUGCUCUAGUAAGAAUAUUGGUGUUAAGCUUUGUGAUUCCCUAUGCAUGCACGAAAGUCAAUAAUCAUGCAAUGAAAAUUAUAUCCUGCUUGUUGUUCAUUAUUCGGUGUUAAUUAUGCUUAAUGUUUGCUUAUGAGAUUAUUCGUUUCCUGGUCGGUCGCUUCCCAAUCUUUUUGCUAGCCUUCAUUUUGCACUAAGUAUGACCUCUACUUGUGCAUCCAAAAUCCUUUAAACCAGUUUUGCCACAUGAGUCCACUAUAUCUACCUAUAUGCGGUAUUCUUUUGCCGUUCUAAGCAAAUUUGCAUGUGCCAUCUCCAAUUUUCAAAAUAAACUUCUCUUUUGUGUGUUUGUUUCGCUCGCGGAGCGGUGUAGGGUGGCUAAUAUUUUCCAUGCUAGAUGUGUUAUUCUCAAGAUGAGUGUUUAUUCACUUGUCAUUGCACGAGAGUAAGGCAAAGGUAUUAGGGAUGACCAGUCCCGAAAUGCAAACAAUUGAAUUUACUUUAUGUUGUCAAAUAAUAAGUUCCUUGGAAAGUGUUGGUAUGGAGGGCAACCGUCGAUACGGCUAGCCAUGGAAAGUGAAAGUAUGGUGGAAAAAGGAAUAAACUUUAUUUUCUGUUUGGGAACUGCCUAUGGCAUAUCUAGCAUGAAAAGUGUUCGGAACUCUGAGUCAUUUUCGUUGGUGGGAUGGAUACACCUCCCAAAAAAAUUUAUCUCUAAGUUUUUCGCUUUGAGCUCUGGCACCUCUACAAAUGCCUACUUCCCUCUAUGAAGGGCCUUUCUUUUACUUUAUGCAAUUUUUAUUUUUGAAAUUUGAGUCUCCAUCUUCUCUUAUAAAAGCACCAACUAGGAGGCAAUAUGAUCAUACUUAAGUAUUGGGUGUAGCUAAUAUUCGAGUGUGUUUCAUGAAUGGAUCAAUGUUUGAGCAUGAUGGGCUAGGGAUAACUUAUUUUAGCGUUGAUAUUUUGAAAGACAUGGUUGCUUGUUGAUAUGCUUGAGUAUUUAAAUUAUUAUGUCAAAACUAGACUAUUGCUUUGAAUCACAUAAAAGUCCAAAUGUCCAUGCUAUAAAGAAAAGAAUAUGAUAUGACAUGAUAGACAACACUCCACAUCAAAAAUUCUGUUUUUAUCACUUACCUACUCGAGGACGAGCAGGAGUUAAGCUCGGGGAUGCUGAUACGUCUCCAACGUAUCUAUAAUUUUUGAUUGUUCCAUGUUGUUUUAUUAUCGAUCUUGGAUGUUUUAUAAUCAUUUCAUACUCAUUUUAUAUCAUUUUUUGGUACUAACCUAUUGACAUAGUGCCAAGUGCGAGUUGCUGUUUUUUCCAUGUUUUUUACAUCAUGGAAAAUCCUUAUCAAACGGAGUCCAAAUGCUACGAAACUUUACGGAGAUUUUUUAUGCACCAGAAGGAAGAUAUUGGGCCCUGGUUGCACCUGGGGGAGUCCCGAGGAGGGGACAACCCACCAAGGCGCGUCAGGAGCCCAGGCGCGCCCUGGUGGGUUGUGCCCACCUCGGGUGCCCCCCGGACCACCUCUUUGCUCUAUAAAUACCCCAAUAUUCCAGAACCCUAGAAGGGUCAACGAAAUAUACAUCCAGCCUCCGUAGACUCCAGAACCACCAGAUCCAAUCUAGACACCAUCUCGGAUGGGGUUCACCACCUCCAUUAGUGCCUCUCCGAUGAUGCGUGAGUAGUUCUUUGUAGACCUUCGGGUCCGUAGUUAGUAGCUAGAUGGCUUUCUCUCUCUCACUGAAUUCUCAAUACAAUGGUCUCUUGGAGAUCCAUAUGAUGUAACUCUUUUUGCGGUGUGUUUGUUGGGAUCUGAUGAACUUUGAGUUUAUGAUCAGUCAUAUCUUUUUAUAUCCAUGAAAGUUAUUUGAGUGUCUUUGAUCUCUUAUAUGCAUGAUCUCUUAUAGCCUCGUAUUUCUUCUCCAAUAUUUGGGUUUUGUUUGGCCAACUUAAUCUAUUUAUCUUGCAAUGGGAAGAUGUGCCCGGUAGUGGGUUCGAUCUUACGGUGCUUGAUCCUAGUGACAGAAAGGGAGCCGACACGUAUGUAUCGUUGCUACUAAGGAUAAAAAGAUGAGAUCUAUAUAUACCGAAUAGAUAAACGGAUCUUGUCUAUGUCAUGUUAUCAUUCUUAUUGCAUUACUCCAUUUUUCCAUGAACUUAAUGCACUAGAUGCAUGCUGGAUAGCGGUCGAUGUGUGGAGUAAUAGUAGUAGAUGCAGGCAGGAGUCGGUCUACUAAUCUUGGACGUGAUGCCUAUGUGAUGAUCAUUGCCUGGAUAUUGUCAUAAUUAUUUGAGGUUGUAUCAAUUGCGCAACAGUAAUUUGUUUACCCACCGUUUGCUAUCUUUCUCGAAAGAAGCCACUAGUAAAACCUACGGCCCCCGGAUAUUCUUUCUCAUAUAUUUGCUUGCGAUCUACUUUUCCUUUGCAUUUUUAUUCAGAUCUAUUAAACCAAAAAUACAAAAAUACCUUGCUGCAAUUUUUCCUUAUUUAUUUUAUUUGGCGCUCGCUCUAUCAAUUCACUACAAAAUUAUCUCACGUCCGUUUGCCCAUCUUCAGGCGCCGUACCCCGGAAGGGAUUGACAACCCCUUUAACACGUCGGGUUGCGAGGAUUUGUUAUCGGGGUUGUUUACGUUCUGUUGCUUGGUUCUCCUACUGGUUCGAUAACCUUGGUUUCAUAUCUGAAGGAAAUACCUACCGCCGCUGUGCUGCAUCAUCCCUUCCUCUUUGGGGAAAAAACCAACGUAGCUUCAAGCGACAUCAAUGACAACUGAUACGUCCAUUUUGCACCAUGUUUUCCUACUGUUAUUUAUUAUUAUUUUAUGCAUGAUAAUGCUUUUUGGAGUAAUUCUAAUGCCUUUUCUCUGAUAAUAUGCAAGCUACACACGAAGAGGGAGAAUUCCGACAACUGGAAAUCUGUACCUGGAAAAGCUACGUCAGGCUACCUAUUCUGCACAACUCCAAACAAGCUGAAACUUUACGAAGAAUUUUUAUGGAAUAUAUGAAGAAUAUUGGAGCAAAUAAGUACCAGAGGGGGCCCACCGGGUGGGCACAACCCACUUGGGCGCGCCAGGGAGCCCAGGCGCGCCGUGGUGGGUUGUGCUCACCCAGGCCCACCACUGGUGCCCAUCUUCUCGUAUAUAGGUCAUUUUGACCUAGAAAAAAUAAGAAGAGGACUUUCGGGACAGAGCGCCGCCGUCUCGAGGCGGAACUUGGGCAGGAGCACUUUUGCCCUCCGGCGGAGCGAUUCCACCGGGGGAACUUCCCUCCCGGAGGGGGAAAUCAUCAUCAUCAUCACCAACAACUCUCCCAUCUUGGGGAGGGCAAUCUCCAUCAACAUCUUCAACAACACCAUCUCAUCUCAAACCCUAUAGUUCAUCUCUUGUGUUCAAUCUUGUUACCGGAACUAUAGAUUGGUGCUUGUGGGUGACUAGUAGUGUUGAUUACAUCUUGUAGUUGAUUACUAUAUGGUUUAUUUGGUGGAAUAUUACAUGUUCAGAUCCAUUAUGAUAAUUAAUACCCCGCUGAUCUUGAGCAUGAUUAUCAUUUGUCAGUAGUUACUUUUGUUCUUGAGGUCACAGGAGAAAUCAUGUUGUAAGUAAUCAUGUGAACUUGAUGUGUGUUCGAUAUUUUGAUAGUAUGUAUGUUGUGAUUCACUUAGUGGUGUCAUGUGAACGUCGACUACAUGACACUUCAUCAUAUUUGGGCCUAAGGGAAUGCAUUGUGGAGUAGUAAUUAGACGAUGGGUUGCGAGAGUGAUAGAAGCUUAAACCCCAGUUAAUGUGCUAUUCCGUAAGGGACCGAUUGGAUCCAAAAGUUUAAUGCUAUGGUUAGAAUUUAUUCUUAAUACUUUUCUCGUAGUUGUGGAUGCUUGUGAGAGGGUUAAUCAUAAUUAGGUGGUUUGUUGAAGUGAGAACAACACCUAAGCACCGGUCCACCCACAUAUCAAAUUAUCAAAGUAGCGAACACAAAUCGAAUCAACAUGAUGAAGGUGACUAGUUGAAAUUCCCGUGUACCCUCAAGAACGCUUUGCUUACUAUAAGAGACCGUUUUGGCCUGUCCUUUGCCUCAAAAGGAUUGGGCUAUCUUGCUGCACUUUUGCUACCAUUAUCAUUACUUGCUCGUUACAAAAUAUCUUGCUAUCAAACUACUCUGUUACUUACAAUUUCAGCACUUGCAGACAUUACCUGGCUGAAAACCACUUGUCAUUUCCUUCUGCUCCUCGUUGGGUUCAACACUCUUACUUAUCGAUAAGAGCUACAAUUAAUCCCCUAUACUUGUGGGUCAUCAAGGCUAUUUUCCGGCGCCGUUUCCGGGGAGUGAAGCGCCUUUGGUAAGUGAAAUUUGGUAAGGAAACAUUUAUAUAGUGUGCGGAAAUUUACUGUCACUUGUUACUAUGGAAAACAAUCCUUUGAAGGGUGCGUUCGGGGUAUCUUCACCUCGACCGGAACCACAAUUAGCUACCCCUUAACCUACUGCACCUACUAAUAAUAUUGAAUAUGAAAUUCCUUCGGGUAUGAUAGAACAACUGCUAGCUAAUCCUUAUGCAAGAGAUGGAACCGAACAUCCUGAUAUGCACUUGAUAUAUGUGGAACAAAUUUGUGGAUUGUUUAAGCUUGCAGGUUUACCCGAAGAUGAUGUUAAGAAGAAAUUUUUCCCUUUAAUUAUAUUUGAAGGGAAAAGCAUGGUCAUGGUAUAGGCUAUGCGAUGAUAUUGGAUCUUGGAAUUGGAAUCGAUUGAAAUUGGAGUUCCACCAAAAAAAUAUGCCAUGCAUCUAGUUCAUCGUGAUCAAAAUUACAUAUAUAAUUUUUUGCCUCGUGAAGGAGAAAGUAUCACUCUAGCUUGGGGGAGGCAGAAGUCAAUGUUGUAUUCAUGCCCCAAUCAUGAGCUCUCAAGAGAAAUUAUUAUGCAGAAUAGUUAUGCUCGGCUUUCUCAUAAUGAUCGAUCCAUGCUUGAUACUUCUUGUGCUGGUUCUUUUAUGAAGAAGACUACUGAAUUUCGGUGGGAUCUUUUGGAAAGAAUUAAACGCAACUCUGAAGAUUAGGAACUAGACGAAGGUAAAGAGUCAGGUAUAAAGCUUAAGUAUGAUUGUGUUAAAUCUUUUAUGAAUACCGAUGCUUUUCAAAAGUUUAGCACUAGAUAUGGACUUGAAUCUGAGAUAGUAGCCUCCUUUUGUGAAUCAUUUACUACUCACGUUGAUCUCCCUAAAGAGAAGUGGUUUAAAUAUCACCCACCUAUUAAAGAAGAAAUUAAAGAACCGGUACUAGCUAAAGAAGAAACUAUACUUUAUAAUGUUGAUCGAGUUGUUCCUACUGCUUAUAUUGAGAAACCACCUUUCCCUAUUAGGAUAAAAGAACAUGCUAAAGUUUCAACUAUGGUCAAUAAAAGUUAUAUUAGAAUACCUAAACCCGAUGAACAAAUUAAACUACAACCUAGUGUUGCUAUGGUUAAGGAUCUCUUGGAAGAAAAUGUAGAUGGGCAUGUUAUUUACUUCUGUGAAGAAGUUGCUAGAAUUGCCAAACCUGAUAAAAAGAAUAAACAUAGACCUGUUGUUGGCAUGCCCGUUGUCUCAGUUAAAAUAGGAUACCACUGUUAUCAUGGUUUAUGUGGCAUAGGUGCUAGCGUGAGUGCUAUUCCUUAUUCCUUAUAUCAAGAAAUUAUGAAUGACAUAGCUCCCGCAGAGAUAGAAGACAUAUAUGUUUCUAUUAAACUUGCUAAUAGAGAUACCAUUUCGCCAAUUGGGAUUGUUAGAGUUGUUGAAGUCUUGUGUGGGAAAAUAAAAUACCCUACUGAUUUUCUUGUUUUGGUUCCCCACAAGAUGACUUUUGUCCCAUUAUCUUUGGUAGACCUUUCUUGAACACCGUUAAUGCUAAAAUAGACUGUGAGAAACAAACUGUGGGUGUUAGUUUUGGUGAUGAGUCUCAUGAGUUUAAUUUUUCCAAGGUUAGUAGAAAGCUUCAUGAAAAAGAAUUGCCUAGUAAGGUUGAAAUAAUUGGUCUUGCUUCUAUUGCUGCGCCUCCUACUGAUCCACUAGAACAAUAUUUGCUAGACCAUGAAAAUGAUCUACAUAUGCAUGAAAGAAAUGAAAUAGAUAAGAUUUUCUUUGAAUAACGUCCUCUGCUUAAACACAAUUUGCCUAUUGAAACUCUAGGCGGUCCUCCUCCACCUAAAGGUGAUCCUGUGUUUGAAUUAAAACAAUUGCCAGACACUUUGAAAUAUGCUUAUCUUGAUGAAAAGAAGAUAUAUCCUGUUAUUAUUAGUGCUAACCUUUCAAAACAUGAAGAAGAAAUAUUAUUGAAAGUUCUAAGGAAGCACCGAGCUGCUAUUGGAUAUACUCUUGAUGAUUUAAAGGGCAUUAGUCCCACUCUAUGUCAGCACAAGAUUAAUAUAGAACCUGAUGCUAAACCCGUUGUUGAUCACCAACAUCGGUUAAAUCCGAAGAUGAAAGAAGUGGUAAGAACGGAAAUAUUAAAACUUCUGGAAGCAGGUAUAAUCUAUCCUAUAGCUGAUAGUAGAUGGGUAAGUCCUGUUCAUUGUGUUCCUAAGAAAGGAGGUAUUACUGUUGUUCCAAAUGAUAAGAAUAAACUUAUUCCACAAAGAACUGUUAUAUGCUAUAGAAUGGUAAUUGAUUUUAGAAAAUUAAACAAAGCAACUAGAAAAGAUCAUUACCCUCUGCCUUUUGUUGAUCAAAUGCUAGAAAGAUUAUCUAAGCACACACAAUUUUGCAUCCUUGAUGGAUAUUCUGCUUUUUCACAAAUACCUGUUUCUCAACCUAAUCAAGAAAAGAUCACUUUCACUUGUCCCUUUGGAACUUAUGCUUAUAGACGUAUGCCUUUUGGUUUAUGCAAUGCACCUGCUACCUUUCAAACAUGUAUGACUGCUAUAUUCUCUGACUUUUGUGAUAAGAUUGUUGAGGUUUUCAUGGAUGACUUCUCGGUUUAUGGGAAGUCGUUUGAUGAUUGUUUAAGCAAUCUUGAUCGAGUUUUGCAGAGAUGUGAACAAAUAAAUCUUGUCUUGAAUUGGGAGAAGUGCCACUUAACGGUUAACGAAGGUAUUGUCUUCAGUCAUAGAAUUUAUGAACGAGGUAUUGAAGUGGACAAAGCUAAGGCUGAUGCAAUUGAGAAAAUGACAUGUCCUAAAGAUAUCAAAGGUAUUUGUAGUUUCUUAGAUCAUGCCGAUUUCUAUAGGAGAUUUAUCAAAGACUUUUCUAAAAUUUCUAGGACUUUUACAAACCUUUUGCAAAAGGAUGUUCCUUUUGUUUUUUAUGAUGAUUGUUUAGAAGCCUUCGAAACACUCAAGAAAGCCUUAAUUUCUGCACCUAUUGUUCAACCACUUGAUUGGAACUUGCCUUUUGAAAUUAUGUGUGAUGCUAGUGAUUAUGUUGUUGGUGUUGUUCUAGGACAAAGAGUUGAUAAGAAACUGAAUGUUAUCCAUUAUGCUAGUAAAACUCUAGACAAUGCACAACGGAAUUAUGCUACUACUGGAAAAGAAUUCCUAGCACUGGUUUUUGCUUGUGAUAAAUUUAGAUCUUACAUUGUUGAUUCAAAAGUAAUUGUUCACACCGACCAUGCUGCUAUUAAAUAUCUUAUGGAAAAGAAAGAUGCUAAACCUAGACUUAUUCGAUGGGUUCUCCUGCUACAAGAAUUUGAUUUACAUAUUGCUGAUAGGAAAGGAGCUGAGAACCCCGUAGCUGAUAACUUUUCUAGGCUUGAAAAUGUGCUUGAUGACCCACUACCUAUUGAUGAUAGUUUUCCUGAUGAGCAGUUAGCUGCAAUAAAUGUUGCUCAUAAUACUCCUUGGUAUGCUGACUAUGCUAAUUACAUUGUUGCUAAAUAUUUACCACCUAGCUUUACAUACCAAGAAAAGAAAAAAUUCUUCUAUGAUUUAAGACAUUACUUUUGGGAUGAACCACAUCUUUAUAAAGAAGGAGUAGAUGGUAUUAUUAGACGUUGUGUACCAGAGCAUGAACAGGGACAAAUACUACGGAAAUGUCACUCCGAAGCUUAUGGAGGGCAUCAUGCUGGAGACAGAACUUCUCACAAGGUAUUGCAAUCUGGAUUUUAUUGGCCUAAUCUCUUCAAGGAUGCCCGUAAGUUCAUCUUAUCUUGUGAUGAAUGCCAAAGAAUAGGUAAUAUCGGUAAGCAUCAAGAAAUUCCUAUGAAUUAUUCACUUGCUAUUGAACCAUUUGAUAUUUGGGGAUUUGAUUACAUGGGACCUUUUCCUUCCUCUAAUGGGUAUACACAUAUUUUGCUUGCUGUUGAUUAUGAUACUAAGUGGGUAGAAGCUAUUCCAACCAGUAGUGCUGAUCACAACACCUCUAUUAAAAUGCUUAAGUAAGUUGUUUUCCCAAGGUUUGGAGUCCCUGGAUAUUUAAUGACUGAUGGUGGUUCACACUUUAUUCAUGGUGCUUUCCAUAAAAUGCUUGCCAAGUGUGAUGUUAACCAUAGAAUUGCAUCACCUUAUCAUCCUCAGUCUAGUGGUCAAGUUGAACUUAGCAAUAGAUAAAUAAAAUUAAUUUUGCAAAAGGCUGUCAAUAGGUCCCGGAAGAAUUGGUCUAAGAAAUUGGAUUAUGCACUUUGGGCAUAUAGAACAGCAUAUAAAAAUCAUAUGGGUAUGUCUCCUUAUAAAAUGGUUUAUGGAAAAGCUUGUCAUUUGCCUCUUGAGUUAGAACAUAAAGCAUAUUGGGUGAUCAAAGACCUCAACUAUGAUUUCAAACUUGCCGGUGAAAAGAGGUUAUUUGAUAUUAGCUCUUUAGAUGAAUCGAGAACCCAAGCUUAUGAAAAUGCCAAGUUAUUUAAAGAAGAAGUUAAAAGAUGGCAUGAUAAAAGAAUUCAAAAGCAUGAGUUUAAAGUUGGAGAAUAUGUUCUUUUAUACAACUCUCAUUUUAGAUUCUUUGCAGGAAAGCUCCUCUCAAAAUGGGAAGGACCCUAUGUUAUCGAGGAGGUUUAUCGGUCUGGAGCAAUCAAAAUAAAUAAUGCCGAAGGUACCAACCCGAAGGUUGUUAAUGGGCAACGAAUAAAACAUUAUAUCUCAGGUACGGCCAUUAAUGUUGAAAUUAAUAUUAUCCAAACUUUGACACCGGAAGAACACAUAAAAGAAUCCUUCCAGACCACUCCAGAAGCGUGAAAAUAAGGAGGUACGUGAUACGGUAAGUAAACGGACUGUGAAAAAUCCGCGAAAUUUUUUUCUGUGAGUUUUGGAAAUAUUUAGAAAAUUAGGAAAAUAAGAAACUUCCAGGAAGCGUACCCUGGUGGGCACAAGACACGAGGGCGCGCCUGGCAAGGCGCGCCCAGGUGGGUUGUGCCCACCUUAGGUAUCUUCUGGACUUCGUUUUUCUACAGUUUGCUUGUCUCCCAAGAUAAAAAAAUCUUUAUAUACCCCCAAACUUAUUGAUCACCGUAUCGCGGAGAAAUCUUUUGUUUUCUUUUCCUUGUUGUUUUCUGACAGAUUCAGCUAGACCAACAUAGUAACGCCCAGAUAAUUAAGCGACAAUAAAACUCUGCUAAUGAUGCCACGUAAACUCCAUUACUGUUGCUAAUCUUUCGUUAGUUCAAAACCGAUUCAAAAAUCAAUUCAAAAUAUGGAAAACAACAAAAGUUUUCAAACCUUGAAACAAAAAUGUUCGGUGGGUGCCAAAUAUUGCAUUGGUAAUUAUUGUGGAGAAAACAAUUUUUUUAGGAAGUGCCUAAAUAUUUUAAAAUGAAAUAAAAGAGAAAAGAAAAUAAAUAAAAAAGUGAAAAUAAAACAAAAGGAAAAGUAACCCCCUGGACCAGACGGCCCAGCUCACAGCCAGGCCGGCCCACCUGGCCCAUCCGGCCGACCCAGCCCGUUCCCCCGGUCGCUCUCUCCCCUUCCGUGUUCCCCCGACCAGGGUCGGAACAGUGGCGCGUCCCCGCCCGACCGCCUCGCCGGCACCGACGCCGGGAGGGGAUAAGGCCACCACACCCCCGCCUCCUCGAUCCCAUCUCCCACUCGCCUCCGCUCUCCCUCUCGGUCCCUGCGCCUCCCUCUCCCCUCAGAUCCACCUCGCUGCCUCUCCUUCCCCUUUGCAUCCGAGCGCCACCGCCGCCAUGGCUCCGGCCUAGCCACGGCCACCGUGCCCACCUCGCGGCCCCACUGUGUCUCCAAGGGCCGCCGUCAUCCGCUGCUUCGACUAGUGCACCCCGUUGGAGUCCGGAGCCACCGCAACGCCCACGACGUCGCCGUCUUCCUCCUCUGCUCCGAUGAGCUUCGCCGCCGCUCUUCACCAACUCCGGCGACGCCCCUGCUGCUACUAAACCCCCAAGGGCCACCGUGUGUGCCACUCGGUAAGCCCCCACUGCCUCCUCUCUCUCGCGCGCGCCCUAGCUAGCUGUCGCCGUAGCACCCGAACUCAGCGCCGCGGAACUUGUCGCCGACGAGUCUCCGGUAACCAAAUGGUCACGGGCCAGUGCCGGUUCCACUCACCGCGCGCCGUAGACCCUUCCCAGCAUCUCCGUUUGUUCGCUAGCUCGCCGUAGCUCCGAUCUUCUCAAGCUCCCGUACGCGUCGCCGCCCGCGCUCGUCGCCGGCAGCCGUCCGGUGACCCUUUGGUCCCGGGCUCGUGACGUUGUGCUCGCGCGCACACAUAGGCCUCGCCCUGCCCUUCCGUUUGCCCAAUAGCGCGCCGCAUCGCCGUUGCCGUUGCUCGCCCGAAACACCCCACCGCCGGCGACGUCGUACUGCUCGUCUCCGGCCACCGCAGCCCGCGAGACCACCACCAACCGAUGCAUCGUCAUCUUGCCGAUCUAACGCGCCCGGCCGCGAUCAAAAUGGUGCCCUGUGGGCGAUUUCCGACGAUGCCCGAGGACACGCCGCCGCGAACGAGCUCACCCGCGUGAUUCCGACGAGUCGCUGGCCGUCGCUGAGCCGGCCUGAUGCAUGGGCCCUCUUGUGUCGCUGACGGGUGGGCCCCGUUGAAUCAUCGACUCGGUCAGCGCUGACGUGGCUCCCCUGUGUCUAUCACAUGCGGACCCCACGCCAUAAACAAAUAAAAAUAAAUAGAUAAAUUGCUAAUUAAUUAAAUUAAUUAAUUAAAAUCUUAAUCUCUCACUGACUACUGGGCCCCACCCGCUAAUUAACCCAUUUAGUUAGUCUAAACCCCCUUGUUAGUGCCCUGACAAUGACAUGUGGGUCCCACUGGACCCACCUGUCUAGUUUGACUGAUCAACCGACCAGUUGACCUGUUGACAUCACCCUGAUGUCAUGCUUACGUCAUCAUUUACUAUUCUGGAUAAUUCGAAUUUAAAUAAAUAAUUAAAAUCAGAAAAUGAUUAAAACUUUAGAAAAUCAUAUAAAAUAAUCCGUAACUCGGAUGAAAAUACUUUGUACAUGAAAGUUGCUCAGAACAACGAGACGAAUCUGGAUACGCAGCCCGUUCGUCUGCCACACAUCCCUAACAUAUCGAACACGCAACUUUCUCCCUCCGGUUCAUCUGUCCAGAAACGUGAAACACCGGGAAUACUUUCCCGGAUGUUUCCCCCCUUCGCCGGUAUCACCUACUACCGCGAUUGGGCACCACUAGCAACGCUCAUUGUCAUGUCAUGCAUCGUCAUGCAUAUGUUUGCUUUUAUAUUUAUUGCUUCUUUGCCCUCUUCUCUCGCUAGACACCGAGACCGACGCCGCUGCUACCCAAUACGACUACGGUGUUGACGACCCCUCCUUCUCGGCUGAGCUUCCAGGCAAGCCCCCCUUGAUCACCAGAUAUCGCCUAUUCUACUCUCUACUACUUGCAUUAGAGUAGUGUAGCAUGUUACUGUUUUCCGUUAAUCCUAUCCUGAUGCAUAGCCUAUCCUUGCUACUACUGUUGUUACCUUUACCUGCAAUCCUACAUGCUUAGUAUAGGAUGCUAGUAUUCCAUCUAUGGCCCUACAUUCUUGUCCGUCUGCCAUGCUAUACUAUUGGGCCGUGAUCACUCGGGAGGUGAUCACGGGUAUAUACUUAUAUACAUAAUAUAUGAUACCUGUGGUGACUAAAGUCGGGUCGGCUCGUAAGAGUACCCGUGAGUGAUUCACGGAUUGGGACCGAAAGGACGUUUGUCCCGACGGCCCUUUGAGUGAUCCUUUGUGGCGGAGCGGCAGGGCAGGUUGAGACCACCUAGGUGAGAGGUGGGCAUGGCCCUGGUCGGCGUUCGCGGUUACUUCAAAAUAACAUGCUUAGCGAGAUCUUGGUAUUUGAUCUGAGUCUGGCCACUGGCCUAUACGCACUAACCAACUACGCGGGAACAGUUAAGGGCACUCGACGUCGUGGUAUCAGCCGAAGCCUUCGUGACGUCAGCGACUGAGCGGCGCGCGCCGGAUUGGACUGGAACGCCUGCUCUUGUAUUAGGGAGGCUAGGUCUGCUUCCGGCCACGUAUGCAACGUGCAGGUGUGCAAUGGGCGAUGGGCCCAGACCCCUGCGCGCAUAGGAUUUAGACCGGCGUGCUGACCUCUCUGUUGUGCCUAGGUGGGGCUGCGACGUGUUGAUCUUCCGCGGCCGGGCAUGACCAGGAAAAGUGUGUCCGGCCAAAUGGAAUCGAGCGUGUUGGGUAAUGUGGUGCACCCCUGCAGGGAAGUUUAUCUAUUCGAGUAGCCGUGUCCCUCGGUAAAAGGACGACCCGGAGUUGUACCUUGACCUUAUGACAACUAGAACCGGAUACUUAAUAAAACACACCACUACAAAAAAAGACACAUCCGUGACAUUUUGGGCCGAACGAAAAAAAAUUCUGUCAUACAUAUGACACUUCUAUGACGAUAAUUGUGACAAAACCCGGUAUCAUCAUAGAUGUGGUGGGCUCCUACUUCUAUGACAAAAAAUCAUGACAGAAAAUGGGCUUUUUGUCCUGGGCGGGCCGGAGACGCGGCUGCAUGACAUUCUUUGGGCCGUCCAUGACGGAAAAAACCAUGGUAGAAGCAAGGGGAGGAAAAUUUCGGGGAGUUCCCGGUAACGGUGGGAGGUCGGGGGCCGAGCGAUGCGUGUUUCUCUCGUACACGUACGCGCGUGUGUGCGAGGCGUUGGCUCUAACUGAACCCGAGUGAGGCGUUGGGCUCUAACUGAACCCGAGCGAUUGCACUGCAGGCUACGCGUUACUGAACCCGAGCGAUCGAUCGAUGGCUGUUAACUAAACCCGAUCAAGCGAUUCCUUCGCUACUGCUGCUAACUGAAGCCGAUCGAUUGGAUGAACAGUGAGCGUUGCGGGGGGAUGGAUGAACAGUGAGUGGUGGCGUUGCCUCUGGAUGAACAGGACCCUGUGGUUAGGUGGAGGGCUGGAUGAACAGUAGACGGUGGAGGGGUGCCCGUGGAGGGGUGGUUGAACAGGACCCCGUGGUGUGGAGGGCUGGAUGAACAGUAGACGGUGGAGGGGUGCCCCUGGAGGGGUGGUUGAAUAGUAGCCGGUGGAGUAGCGCGCGGUGGAGGCUGGAUGAACAGGAGCCCGUGGAGGCUGGAGGAGGUCGACGGAAGCCCGUGGAGGCUGGAGGAGGUCCACAGUGGAGAUGAACAGUAUCCCAUGGAGUCCCGUUUUGCGGUACGCCACACCCCUCCCGAUGAACAGGACCCCCGUUUCGACCGUAGGAGGUCCGUUUCGUCCGUUUUGCGGUACGCCACACCNNNNNNNNNNNNNNNNNNNNNNNNNNNNNNNNNNNNNNNNNNNNNNNNNNNNNNNNNNNNNNNNNNNNNNNNNNNNNNNNNNNNNNNNNNNNNNNNNNNNNNNNNNNNNNNNNNNNNNNNNNNNNNNNNNNNNNNNNNNNNNNNNNNNNNNNNNNNNNNNNNNNNNNNNNNNNNNNNNNNNNNNNNNNNNNNNNNNNNNNNNNNNNNNNNNNNNNNNNNNNNNNNNNNNNNNNNNNNNNNNNNNNNNNNNNNNNNNNNNNNNNNNNNNNNNNNNNNNNNNNNNNNNNCGUAGGAGGUCCGUUUUGUCCGUUUUGCGGUACGCCACACCCCUCCCGAUCAACAGGACCCCCGUUUCGACCGAAGGAUGUCUGUUUCCUCCGUUUUGCGGUACGCCACACCCCUCCCAUUCUGCGGUACGCCAGGCCUCGUUUCCAUCGCCUGUUCCGUCCAAGCCCUCCCAAUGAACACGACCACGCAUUCCGUUCCGACCCAGCCGGUUGGCUCCCACGCGUUCCGUUGCCUCCCGAUGAACAUGACGCAUUCCGUUGCCUCCCGAUGAACACGACGCAUUCCGUUGCCUCCCCAUGAUCACGACGCAUUCCGUUGCCGCCCCAUGAACACGACGCAUUCCGUUGCCUCCCCAUGAACACGACAAUGACGAUGUUUCUCCGUUCCGACCCAGCCAUGUACGCGAGCCCUUGCCGUACGUAUGCGCGAGUAGGCGUUCGAGACCCUGCCCGUAUGUACACAUAUGUGGCCGUAUUUUCUUUCUUGCACCCUGGCCGUUGUACGUACGUGUACAUGCUACGUGCGCGCCUCUANNNNNNNNNNNNNNNNNNNNNNNNNNNNNNNNNNNNNNNNNNNNNNNNNNNNNNNNNNNNNNNNNNNNNNNNNNNNNNNNNNNNNNNNNNNNNNNNNNNNNNNNNNNNNNNNNNNNNNNNNNNNNNNNNNNNNNNNNNNNNNNNNNNNNNNNNNNNNNNNNNNNNNNNNNNNNNNNNNNNNNNNNNNNNNNNNNNNNNNNNNNNNNNNNNNNNNNNNNNNNNNNNNNNNNNNNNNNNNNNNNNNNNNNNNNNNNNNNNNNNNNNNNNNNNNNNNNNNNNNNNNNNNNNNNNNNNNNNNNNUCCCAGCAGUUGGGGGCGAAUCAUUUUUUUCGGACGCACUUCCUUGCGUGCGAAGAUGUAGCUGGUGGGUCCCAGCAGUCAGGGGGGUGAAUCGUUUUUUUUUCAGACGCACUUCCUUGCAUGCGAAGAUGUAGCUCGUGGGUCCCAGCAGUCAGGGGCGAAUCUUUUUUUACGAAAUACGGUGGCCCGUCCGGUGUGUCCCCGCUGUCAGGUGGAGGAAUAAUUAUUUUGCGCGUAAUAAGGAGGCACUUCCUUGCGGCUGCCGUGGACCCAGCUGUCAGCCUCUCCACGUACAGUCCACGUCCGAUGGAAGUCGUUCCCUGACCACGUUGACCACGCCGCGCCGAGAGCACCAGGGCGGACGACGGCGAGGCCUAGGAAGGGGACGACGCGGAGCCGGGGAAGACGCGGCAGUGGAUGCACACACGGAGAGGAGUACGAGGGUUCACUGGUUCGGUUGCGCUGCCGUCGCCGCAGAAUAACAGGGUGUGUAGGUGAGUGGAGGGAUGGCCUGGCCAGCGGUGGGAGUAGUAGGGGGCGGUGAGGCCUCCGCGGCAGCACAGCCGGCCACGGGAGGCAGGAGCAGGCGGCACCACCGGCGCUGCUUUGGGCGGCUGGAGCAAGAAGGCCAGAGGUUGAAGAAGCACGACGGCCGUUGGAUGGACAUCGUACGGUCACUGCAGCUAGAAUCGUUUAUAUUGACUAAGUUGACAAAGCCCUUGGUACGUCAACUUAGUAGGCCCACAGGUCAGCUUCCAAAACGGUGCGCCCAGAUGUCAGGGGGAGGAAUCAUUUUUUGGGCAGGUGAAGCUAGAAUAUCCGAGAUUGAAGAAGAAGCACAGCAUCCGUUGGAUGGACAUCCAACGGCCACUGCUGCUAGAACCAUGUGUUGACUAUAAGUUGACAAAGCCUUGCAUACGCGUCAACUCUGUUUUUUUAGGGGACGCGUCAACUUAGUAAGGCCAGAAGUGUGUGGCAGAGAACUUAUAGCCCAUUUGAGAUUUGUAAGAAUGUGUAGCCCAUUUUUGAAUUCUAAUGGAAUUUACUACAGCCCAUUUACAGUUUGUUAAAAGUACAGCCCAUUUCAACCAACCGUUCAAAACAGAAUUCAAUAAAAUUUCCCAUAUUUUGAUGGGAUCCGAAAUAUUUUUAUCCCGAAAUUUCUAGUCAGAUUAAAUACAAUUUCAAUAUAAAUUUAUAUUACGUAAAAAUCCAACGAAACAUUGCGCUCGCAACAAUUAAUGAAAUUAAAAUUUUCAAUAUCCAAAAAUAAUAUUUUAUAAAGUAAUCACGUGUUUGGUGCAUUUUUUUAUAGUUACUGCCCAGUUUUUAUAAUUACAUCCCAUUUAUUAUUUCUUAAAGCCCAUUUUCUUGUUAAGCCUAAUGCAUCCCUCCUAGGAAAUAUUUGCAGCCCAGCGGGGCGGAGAAUAACAACUUGACCUUGCCUGGGUAUUCCUAAAAAAAGUAUAGCUGGGCUAGCCAUUUUCAGCUUGAAAAAAAUUAAUAUCUGGGCUGGAUAUCUGGCCUGGGCUAGACGGGCCACAGCCCGCCCAGUUAAUACCUGCAGCGAUGUUUUCGUUGUUGUUCAGAGGAGAAAAAUUAAUAUUUGGGCUAAACAUCGAAAAACUCUGCAGUGCUCACACCUCAAAAACACAAAUACUGCUCGAGCUGCUUGGUCCCAGCUGUCGGCCGCUUCUUGUGCAAUUCUCUCGUUUAUUGACUACUACAUAGGUUGACAAUGGUGUGGGACCGUGAUGUCAGGAAACCAGGAGGAAGCAAAAUAAAUUAUAGUUAUAUAUAUAUAUAUAUAUAUAUAUAUAUAAUAAGGAGGCACUUGCGUACGUGAGGCUAUGGACCUGGUGGGUCCCCAUUGUCAUCCUCUCCAAGUAAAGUCAUCUCCUCGCCCGCGCGCGCUUUCCGCCCGAAACAGUCAGCGUCGCCCGCCCCGCUUUCCGGUGCAGGCGAUUUCUCCGCCUUCAAACGACACAAGUGCCGUCCGUCCGUCCAUCUGCCGCCCACAUUAAUGAUACGCGGUUGCCGAGGCGGCUACUCCGGCGCCACACGUCCGUCCCUCCGCCCGCCCACCAUUGCUAUAUAAACUGUUGCGCCGGCCAUAGCCGCAGUCAUCCGCAUCCGUUUCCUUUCUCCUGUCCACACCAGUACUGCCCACCAUGGCUUCCUCGCGCUCCAGCGCUCUUCGGGACGGGCGGACGACGGACCACAAGGAGAUGGCAGCCAUUGUUGCCGACCAGCUGGCCGGUAGGCAGCCGGAGGACGACGACGUCCUAAUGGAGAACAUGGUAGUCGACGAUCCGGCGCCAACCCCCUCCUCUGCGCCAUCCUCGCUGGUGCAUUGCACCAUGACCAUCAGCGAGGCCCGUGCCCAAUAUAUGGACAGGGUGAGGCAGAUGCGUGAGGAGCAGUUCCGGGAGGCGCAGGCCGACGCCGCCUACAACGACCAUCUCCUCCAGGAGCACCUGCAGGCGGAGGAGCAGAUCGCCGCGGAGCGGGCGGAGCAGGAGGCGUUGCUCGACUCGUACCGCUCCGCCCGCAAGGGCCGCCUCGAGCGCUGGCGGUACCGCAUGCGGGUGGCGGAGGCUGCGGCCGCCUACAAAGAGGCUAGCAAAGAGGGCGAUGAAGCGAGCGAGGCGCUGUUUAGCGAGACUGAGGACGAGGCAGAGGACAAUGCCGGCUCUGAUGAGUCCCCGCUCCGCUAGCGUCGACGAGGCCCUGCUCCGCCGAGGCCCCGCGGCGCCAACAACGAGGCAGAGGACACCGCCGGCUCCGCCGAGGCCCCGCCCCGCCAACAACGAGGCAGAGGACAUCGCCGGCUAAGCCGAGGCCCCACCCUGCCGGCAACGUGGGGGAGGAUUUCCACCGCUCCGCUGAGGCGCCACCCGCCGGCAACGAGACAGAGGACAUCCCCGGCUCCGCCGAGGCCCUGCCCCGCUGCCAACGAGGCCGCGCCACACAGAAAACGAGGAAGAGUAGAACACGGUAGGUCGCCGCCGCUCGGGUCCAAGUAAGGCCACCGCUGCUACCCUCCGGUUGAAGCCAAGCUAGGCGGUUUGACCAUUGACGGUCGGUUAGCUUCUUGGCGGCGACGUGGAGUCGGGGAGCUGCGCUGGAGAAGAACGCUGCUUCUACUUAACUGCCGGUGCAGUUGGCUGACUAACACGUGGGCCCAACAGGCCACAUGUCAGUUAUGCAACUGCACCUGCAGUUAAGUCACUGAAGCUUCUGUUCGGCUCAGCGGGACACAGGUGGGUAGCUUCGGUUAAUUAAUUAUACCUCCAGCGCACCCCUUUUUAGUUGAAGAAUGUAUGAAAUGUAAUGAAAUCCGGCAUGUUUAUAUGAAAUCCGACCGUGUAUGAAUGAAUUUAUUUCGAUUAGUUCGAAUUCCUGUAUCACUGGCAUUGGAUGAUCAUGCAAAACAAUACGUACUAGCAUUAUUCCCAGGGUGAUCACCUCGUUUGCAGCAGUUUCACAUGUACUCCCUCCGGUCCUUUCUAGUCGUGCAUACAAGUUUUGUCUGCAGUCAAAGUAUCUCUACUUUGACCAAUCUUAUACAAAAAAGUAUGCACUUUCACAAUGUGCAAAGUAAAAAGGAACAGAAGGAGUACAAAGAGUUUGAGCAGCUUUUUAGCGUUUUCGUACAUUGCAAUCAAACACACACGCCUGGCAAUUCAUAGAGAACAUUCAAAACAAUCGAUGAUUAUGCAUCUCAGCGACUCACAUGUCAGAGGCAAUAUUUACUUCACAACUAAAGAAUAAAGAAAAAAUUGAUCGACGCUGCUGACAGCAAAGGGCGUCCCAUUCGAAAAUAUCAAACGCAUGUCUUGCUAAAAUCAAUGAGCAAAAAUUGACAAGGUUGUCCCAAUCCAAAAUAUCAAAUGCCUACGAUUGUGGAAUGGGCAGGGUUUGCCAUCAGUUCGGACAUUGACAUGGCACCUCGUGCUAAAUAAACCAUCUGUUCUUUUUGUGCAGUUCCACCAAAAUCAACCAAAUUAGUGCGUAGCUUGUAUGAUUUCGCCCUUAUAUGUUGCAACGCCUUGAACUUAUCGGCACCUCCUUUCUUGUGGUGGAAAUGAAUGAUUCGAUGUAUUCAUGAACAUUUUGUGCAAUUCCCAUUGAAAUCAAGCUGAGCACCCCUGUUUGCACAAAUACAAAAAAGUGAUUAGUAUAAAGCAAACUGUACUAUGAAUUGACCGUUUCAACAGGCACAUACAUGGUCCAUGUAGAGCACACUUUUAGAAAAAUGGAACUCACCAGAAAGAAUCCUAGAACAACAUUGUACUCGCGCAUCACAGCAAAAAAAUGGAGAUUUGUCAGUCCUUCUGAGCUGAAGUUAGUUUGGUCUUGUGGGGAGUAAUGUAACCAUCCUUCAACUGCUCCUUCUGAUGAGAAGAUAGACAGGGCUUCUUCAUCCUGGCAUAAUCGGAACUAGUCACUUCACGUACUCCAUAUUCUUCUUCAGAGGAAGAUGAUCCUAUUGUGCAAAGACAAGAGGACUACUAAAUGCUAGCAUCCCUGUUUGCUCGAAAAAAAGGAAAGGAAAUAUUUAAAAUAGCACAGAUGAAGCACUUCUCAAGGACAAUACCACUUUUUCAUGACAGUAUCUAAACAGUAGCACAACACCAAUAGAGAUGACAAAGCUCAAUCAUAUGGAUGAAAUCUGUGGGCGAGUACCAACCUUUGUCAGGAGGCUUAUUGUGUAGAGCAUACAGAUGAAGCACUUCUCCGGAACCAUCUGUUGCUAUCUACGGUGGUGGCCAUGCUUACUAUAUACUCCUCGAUUAGUUUAAUGUUUCCAACAUCUUCUUGUGCAGUUCCACUAAAAUAUAUGGUAUCUUCAAAGAAGAUCCCUGUUUGCACAAGUAGAGAUAAUUACAUAUUACAUUAAGAGUGGCAUCAAAUCAGUGGCAAAACAAUUGCUCGUUCCAGCCAUAGCAAUAAAUUAAGAUGCAAAACUAUAUCAUUACUUGUGUCAUCACAGUUCCAGUGCUUCAUUAUAGCACCGGGAGUUGAUUUUUGUUUUUCUUCCACUUGUUCUUCCCCUUCAUCACUUGGUUCAAUAACAGACAAGCUUCGCCUUCAAUGUAAGAUUUGGCAUGUCAAUUAGGGAGCACAAGUAUAGUACUAAACUUAAUUUUCUGAUGAAAGUGGCAAAAUACAGGCCAGCAGUUGUGAAAUAUCCUUAUCUUACCUCAAUGGGAUAUUACGGUGCACAUACAGAUUGGAAGUCUUGUCUCCAUUUGUGCAGUUCACUAAAAUGAAGCAACAUUAUCAUACAAGUAGCACAACAUAUGAAAGCACACUGCAGAAUCAUGUGAAAGAAGGCUAGUACUGACCUCUCAUGAUGCGGAAUUCAAACAACUCAAAAGAAGAAGAUCUGAACUAAAUUCGCCUUAACGGAUAGGAAGUAAGAUCUCCUCUUGUGCAGUUCCACUAAGAUCAAGCAAUCAAGCAACGUUGUCAGUGUGACAUUUUGGUUGAACUGCACAAAACACUCUUAAAACAAAAGUGUUUUGUGCAGUGCAACAAAAGGUCACAAUGGCAACAAGGUGAAGUAGAUAACCCUGUUUACACAGAGGUGCAAAGGAAACAAUUAGUGGUCAAUAACGGUGGAUGACACAGAAGCCAACAAAAAGAAGCAUCUACCUUAUCUAAAUGGGAAAGAAAGCAAGACAGUAGCAUUUCUCAAACGGUGGCAUUGAUUAAUAAUAACAUAGAGAUUAUAUUAACAAUAAAAUUCGUUAAACAUGUAAUUUGCUUUUAACUGUGGCAUUGCAUUUUUCCAGCGGCAUUAUUAGAGGGUGUUUGUUUACAGGGACAUUUUGGUGUAGGGACUAAAAAAACUCCGUGUCAGUCCCAUCUAAACCAAACAGGAGGGACUUUUAGGGAGUAAAAGUGGGCAUUUGGGACUAAAGAAAGAAGACCCCAAGGGAGUCUUUUUGGGACUUUUUCCAACAGUUGCCCCUGCCACGCAUCGCGCCUUGUCUCUAUUAGUUCAUUACUAGGGGUAACAUGGUCUUUUAGCAUGUCAUUUAAUAACCCCUAGUCCAUGUUUAGUCCCUGGAACCAAGCAGGUAGGGACUAGGGAGUUUUUAACCAAACAGGGCCUUAGAUUAACAACAGCUAAUGAGUUGCACGGGACAGUGGAUGCACCAGCACCAUGUGCAUCUACCGAUGUACUGUGGUCAUGCACAGUCUGUUGCAACAAAGAACAAACAACCAAGGAGCAUAUUUGUGUUGGUCCCAGUUUUGUUAUCUUUAGACACCUUUCCCUAUGUGAGCGCAGCAAAUCUAGUCCUGCUCAAACUCUACAGCCUUGUCCCUUCCUUUCCUUUUUGAACUAGUACUUUCGCCCCUUCCUUUCCUCUUUGAACCACGUCCUAGAUUUAUGCGAUACAACUUUCCCCACUACUUUCCCCCAUUCCUUUCCUCUUUGAACCACGUCCUAGAUUCAUGCUAUACAACUUUCCCCCUUUUCCUCUUUGAACUACGUCCUAGAUUCAUGCUAUAUACAACUUUUCCCACUACUUUCCCCCACUCCUUUCCUCUUUGAACCACGUCCUAGAUUCAUGGUAUACAUGCAGCUAGAGCAAUGCAUGUGGAGUAAGUAAAUUAUACCUUAAGGUUCUUGGGGCGUGGUUCGGUGGGCGACGGGACAGCGGCGAAGAAGAAGGGGUCGGAGGCCCUCCCGCGCCGCCGCUGGGUGGAAAGUGAACAGCUGCACUGGUAGUCCCUCGCCGACGGCGACAGCGUUAGGCCUCCUUCCCUUCCUGGCAGAUGGAUCCUGCCGGAUCUUUGAGCAGCAGUGAGGGGAGAGAGAGGCCAACGAAGUCUUGUUUAGAUCUGGAGAGGGCGAGAGAGUGUGAAGAGAGCAACUACAAGCGCUGAGGCUCUAGCGAGAGAGGGCGAGAGAGUGUGAAGAGAGCAACUACAAGCGUUGAGGCUCCAGCGUGUAUAUAUACUGGAGAGAGAGUGUGAAGCGUGCAAACCCUAGAAAACAUUUUGACCAGUCAAAGAAUCCUCCUGGCACAAAUUAUGCUCAAGUGUAGUUAUCGAACCCGAGACCUCAAGUUUGAUGAGCGAACAGGCUAACCAGCUACACAACCCUCCCGUUAUGUUCAACGAGAGGGAAAUAACAUUUUAUACAUUCCUACAUUCGUGUGACAAGCAUGCCGUGUUUUUUGUGUGUGUGUGGGAGUCAUUGGGAUUUCAAUCAUAAUCGUGUCAUGUGGCUUUGGUGGUAAGACUAUCCACAGUGGUGCAGAAAUAAUGCAGCCUUAGUCACCUUACCUCUCUCCACGUAGUAUGUUGGGUCCCACCAGUCAGAGGGUGAAACAAACAAAUUAAUAAGAAAAAUUAAAAGCGCCAGCGGUGUAUCUUACCUCACACAUCUCGCUACUGCUCGGAAACACUGUCCAAUUGAUCCCUCUAUUCGCUCACGUACUAUUUUAAGUGAAUCCUUAUUAUAACAUGCACACAAAUUUUGGGCACUUGUAUUCGACUUAAGUCAGUGUGCCACCGUAUCUCGUAUACUUACUCCCUCCGUCUAGGUGUAAUAAGUCACGUUAGAAGGUGCAACGGGACCAAGGUGAGUGUGUGUGUGUGUGUUUAACAGCAUGUGUGUGUUAGAGAGCGACAGAUCGACCUACUCCUACAGAGAGAUGUGUAGUGUACGAUUUUAGCCACGAGAGUCGGUGCAUCCUCUCGUUUUGGGCGUAUCCGGUAGGGACAUGCGGACAGCUGCCACGCCCGCUCCUGACCAGCCUGGCCCACCCAAAGCCCCUCCAUCUCCCGCGCGCGCUUCCCGCCCGAAAUGGUCAGCGCCGCUCCAAAGAAUCGGUGCCGCAUUCAUGCCCGGGCAGAGCGGACGCGACCUCUCACUGGCGCAAGAGUGAUGGUUGCUUCGUCCGUCCAACUUACUGCUGGGUCUAUGUGAUUUGACGGCUCAUUGGUCUUUAUUACUAAGGUGGUAGGACUGCUGGAUGUCCCACGCUUUCAGCGAAAGGAGGUACUACUACUAGAUUACAAUUUUCUCCAUUCUUACAGCGGAGGCGUGCAAGAGCAGUGAAAACACGCAGGCUCAGUGAUUACAUGGCCCACCUCACACUAUCACCGUGCGACACCUAACUCUUUACAUAGUACUCCCUCCAUUCCUAAAUAUUACUAGAUGAGUCCCCGCGCGUUGCCGCGAAACAGCGGUAUAUCGCUCUGCGCAAAAUUAUCGAUUUCAUAGAACUAAAAAAACUCUAUAACCGCAUGACAAAUGUGGUAGCCAAACUAAAUAAACUCCUAUCAUCAUUUAGAUCAUCCCACAUAAGGAAAAAAGAUCAGCCAACUCCUACUGCAUAAUGGGAUUAUAUUUUUCUUUUUGACAUGUUAAUGGGACUUAAAAGCUCACUUACAUGCAUGCUACCGGUGCAUGCUUGCAUGCAGACAUGUUGAUGUGAUUUAAAACCCACUCACAUGCAUGUGCCACGGUAUUUCUGCAUGCUUGCAUGUGGCUUAGUGCGGAGCCUCUCAACGUCUAGAUCAGACGGCUAUUAUGGACUGAUUUACUUCAUCUAACGGCUACAUCAAUUUUGAUGAUGUGGCUCAAGGAGAGGAUAGAGAAUUCCUAGUAGUGGGGGCUAGCUAUUACUAGUAGAUAAGUCUUUGUAGAGAUUCCACUACAUACGGAACAAAAUGAAUGAAUCUACACUUAAAAUGCAUCUAUAUACAUCCGCAUGUGGUUCAUGCUGAAAUCUCUACAAAGACUUAUAUUUAGGAACGGAGGAAGUACUAGUAUAGUACGUACUGUAAUUUAUCAGCGAGAUAAAUUUGUACAAUGCUAUGAAGCUUCUAGCUUCUGUUACAUGUAUCUUGCGUCCAAGGUUGCCCGUUGCAACAUUUCAUCAAAUACAAAGGAGACUAACAUGCAUGCUAUUGCAUCUCAAUGAUUGACAGAUCAUAGCAAAUAUGUACUCCCUCCGUUCCAAAAUAAGUGUCUCAACUUUGUGCAAACUUUAUUACAAAGUUGUACUACUACUAAAGUUGACACUUAUUUUGGAACAGAGGCAGCUAAAGAAAAAAAACGAUCCAUGCAGUCCCUAGCCCUUGAACCGUGAACCCUGACCAGGCUUCAAUUUGCUGGCAACGUUCGAGCUUCCUAAUAAAUGAAGUUUGCAACCUUUUGACCAUCGGAUCAUUUUGUGCAGUUUCACCAAAAUCGAGAUGAGCAUCCCUAUAGCAAAGAAAUUGAAGAAGCGUGAUUAGAAUAAGAUUACUGGGACUAGUUGAUGAGACAUAAACUCAUCACAAAUACAGUACGUAGAAGCCAGUAGAGGUAUGUGCGGGGCAAAGAAGUAGAGAAAUAUCCACAGGGAGUGAUGUGGGCAGCUGGAGCAGUGGUGCAAGUCGGCUGUAAAGGGAGUUGUACCUGAGGGACGUAGCUCAACCUUGAGGAGGGCGGCGGGAGGCGGCAACUGCCCACGUCGCGGCAGUGAGCAAGGGACGAAGGCAACCUCACCGGCUUUGUGAGAGAGAACGGCGGGGACCCCUGAUCGGGACGUGCCGACAGUGGGUUUUCGCCGUCGGCGACGGCCACCGCAUCUACACUAAGCAUCCACCCCUUCCACAAGUGGACGUGAUCCGCCGGGAUGUUAGAGAUGUGGCCACGGUCGUUUUGUGCGAGAGAGUGUGAAGAGAGCAACCCCAGCAAGCAACCGUGUAGGCUGGCCCAUCCUGACUAUGUAUAUAGUGGAGCGGUUUCCUUUUCUCUCCAUAUGAACCUAUCAUAUUGCGUACGUGCCACUGAAGAAAAAAAAACUUUAUUUAUAAAUGACGCGGCACCUACUACUCGUUCUCCUAUAACCUUGCGCUUGGCAUCUCCAAAAUAUUAACCUUGCGAUUGGCUCUUCGCCUCUUCAGGAAGUCGAGCAAUAAUGGUAGUGCAGUAUAUAUCGUUCUGGCUAUAUGAGACCGAAUGAAUUGCUGCACGUUCACCACGUGGGCGAGGGUCGAGGGGCGAGGGAGAGUGCUACAUACGGAGCAAAAUGAGUGAAUCUACACUCUAAAAUACGUCUAUAUACAUCAGUGUUUGGAGUAUGUACUAGUAGUCAUAUUGAAAUCUACUAAAGGACAUAUAUAUUCCAAACAAUAUGAUAUAAUCUCUAUAACCAAGGUAGUAGGGAUGAGGAGUAAACGGAGGGAGUAGUAAAUUUUUCUCCUCGUCCUGCGAGCCACCGCGCGCAUGGGCGAGGGAACGGGCGUAAGGCGGAGCAAGCUUCACCUCAUCCUGCGAGUCACCGCGCCCGUGGGCGGGGGAGACGGCAUAUAAGGAAGCUUCUCCUCGUUCUGCGAGUUGAUGGGACACAUCAAAAGUACUCCAGUGUAUAGAGCCUUGCCUCUAAGGUAGGCCCCACAUGGUUUGCCUCUUUUUUAACAUAACACGUCAAGUCGCAAUUUGUUUGUUCACCCGUGGUAGACGAUCCUCCCUCCACCAAGUGGACAACCAGUACACGUGCCAAAUUACCACGUGGGCUGCCUUUUUCGUACAGAAAUGAGCUCCACCGUGUACCCGCGCGGGUGUGGUUGGGAAAGAGACGGGAGUACGUGCGCCGUGCAUGCACCUCUUCUCUUCGUGCACGUCCCCCACCUACAUGGGUGUGUGUGAGAGAUACAAACCGCGUUCGUGAGUGUUUUUUGUUUUGGGGUGGGGGUGGGGUGGGGUUGAUUUCGUGAAUUAUUUGUGGGAAUAUGUGUCGAUGACAUCUCAAACAAAAUUUUGCAUGCAAUGUGUGUGCAAUGGAGGUCUAUCCAUAUCAUACAUAGAGGGUCGGGCAAUCCACGAGAAGAGAGGGAGCGGUCAUAGCUGUCGAUAGAGUCGAAGAGAGGAUCAAGUGGGUGGGUGCGAGAUCGAUGAAGAGAGCCAUCGAAAUUGUGUGUGUGUGCAAGUCAAAGAUAUAGGGCGACUGGCCUACCGGAACGUUAGAGGGCACAUGUCAAGUUUGUGUGUGGCAGGGAGACAUGACUAGAGCGCUCGAUGUAUCGGUGUGUGUGGGGGGAGCGGGGUGGGGGGAGGGGUAGGCAGAGGCCUAACUAUAGAGGUAGAACGACUCGUAUAUGUGUUGAGAAGGAGAGACCCAGCUAUGUCUUGAGGGAGAUCGGUCGACAUCCAUACAUAACUGAAGGACGGGAAAUAUGAUGGGACAGAGAGAGAGAGGAGAGAGAGAGGGAGGGAGAGGGGUAGAGUGAUGGAUGGGUGAUGGAGUUGCUUCUCGAAGAUGGUGGGAGAGGCCUACUAGACAAACUGAGGGUGGAACUGCAAUGUUAUCAAUAAGAGUGGGGAUGUGUUUCUGUGUGUGCCUGUGAGUGAUAGAUCUGUCGGGACGCAUCCAUGGAUGAUGAAGGGGAACCAUGUGUUUGGUAAGCAAACCUAACUAGAUCGGUAGAUCAAUUGUUGUUUGUCGGAGGAAGGAAGAGACACAACUAAUGAGGUAGAUCGAUUAACGUGUGGGUAAAAACGAGUUAUAAGGACCUAGCUAGCUAUAUGUAUAGCGAGAGAUCGGUCGGUGUACGUACAUUUGUUAGAGGCAAAUAAGGCCCAGCAAGAUGGAUAGACAGAGAGAAUGGAGCUAGGAGGUGGUGCGAGAGGCCCAACUACUAGCUAGAUAGGGGAAGGAGUGUGCGGUUGUGAGAUCGAUGAAAAGAGGGGCAAGAGUUUACAUGUGUGUCUGACCAUAUGAGAGACACGAGGCAAGGACACAUAAAGGAGGAGAUUGAAGGUGUGUGUGUAUGUUGUAGGCAGGCAUCGCUGGAGAGGUUUAUCGAUCGGUGUGUGUCGGAAAGGAGUUGUGGAGACUCUGGGAGAACGACCUAAAGAAAAAAAUGAAUGUUCCCGGUGGAUAGAAUGUCGAGGGAGGGGGAGGGCGAGGAGGGCGUGUGCAUGCACGAGAGAAAGUUAGUGGUAGCUACAAAGGUUAGAGGAUUGUGUGGGUGUAAGAGACUAACAAAGAUCAUAAUUUGAUAUGAAAGCGGAUUCAUAUAUUUGAAUAGGAGAUCAUAGUGUUUUAAACAUUGCAUGCAUGAAUAUAGCGGUGAUACACAUGCUGUGCACAUGUUAUACCAUAAUGUGAUAAUGCAUGGCGUUUGCAACUCACAGCUAAAUGCCGAACAAUCUAAACCAUACUAUACAUCAAACAAUCUCACAUUUUAUUUGAAUUUGUGAUAAUGUGUGGCGUUUGCAGCUUACAACUAAAUAUCGAACAAUUUAAACAAUGCUAUAUAUCGAACAUUCUCACAUUUUAUUUGAAUUUGUGGUACUGUGUGGUGUUUGCAACUCACAUCUAAAUACUUGUAGGCGUAGGGGGCGGGGCACCAUACAUAAUGUGAUAAACACAUUAUACAUAUGAGACAUGGUUUAGAUUAUGAAGAUCUAGCUAGAGCUAGAAAUGUAAUGUGAUUUGAAAUCAAAAUAAAGUGGAUUCAAAAAAUCUAGUUCGAGUUCAUAUAGUACACAUAGUUCAUAUGUAACUCGAGACUAAUCAUGUGGUGUGCUGUGAAGAUAAUACACAAACGAUGGUUUAACUUGACAAUAAUGAUGAUUGUAGAUCUUAUUAAAACAGAGAAACAAAUUCAAAUGCUUUGACUUCACAACAAUCAUUAUUGUAGAUCUUAUUCAAAUAGAGAAACGAAUUCAAAUUUAGUUCAUAUUGAAGCGGUAGUAUAUAUGUAUGGAAUGCACUAAAACGUUCAUUUGAGUAGUAGGUUGCAUGCAUUAUACACGUAGCGAAAUAUUUUAAUUGAACAUAACAUGAAUUCAAAGUUUUGAAUGACAUUUGUAGUGCGCAUUGAUUUGGUACAGUACACGUUAGGCUUGUCCGGAAAUUUCAACCCGCGCCUUGUUAGCCCGAAAUAUUUAAGAUAUAUCUUUGUCUCGUUGUGCUCCGACAACUCCCUCCAUCUCAACCCGCGCCUUGCUAUUCCGAAACUACAACGCGCGCGAAAACUCCCACCUCCUGUAAAAUCCCAACACGCGAAAUGCCCGUGGUACCCCUGAACCGAAAGAACCACCUCAAAUCGGUGGGGGUACUUUCGUAACUUACCCCACAUUUCGGACAAGCGCGUCUCUAAGCCAUGGUUCCCCACUGCCAUCCCAUCCGCCCACCGAUUCGUACACCGAGGCCGCGAAAACCCGCGACAAAACCCCACACCCUGCUCCAUCCGCCACCCAGCCGGAGCCUCUUCCCCGACAACGUCGUCCACAACAACACAUCGACGUCCCUCAUCCACCGUACCGGAUGAGGAUCCGUCGUCGAUCUCGUCAUCCCGCCGGUUCAGCCACCCCGUCCUCCACCUCCAAGGAGCUGCCCCGACGUUCCCCUCGUCUUUCGCUCCACCUCCAUUCCCACACCGCCGUCUUCACCUGCACCACCAGAAGAGCAUCAUCAUCACCGUUUCCUCGGAUGAAGCUGCGGCCUAAUCGGCGCCACCAAAGAGGUUGUACACUAAUCGCCGCAUUUUCUUCUUGAUUCGAUCUCACGGUGCUGCCGGCGCUCGGUCCCGAGCCAACACGGCGCGGCUCCAUCCACGGCGGCGUCGCCGGCCACUUCCUCCACGGCGUCGCUCCCUCGGCGGUGACGUCCACAUCAGUAGGAGCUGCUGCUGCUUUAGCUCUCGCUCGCGCUGCUGCUCUGCUCUUGCUCUCGGUCCCCUGCCUGGUCUGCUCUUGCUAUUGCUCUUGCUCGCGCUGCUGCUCUCGCUCUUGCUCUUGCUUGCGAUGCUGCUCCGAUUUAGCUACACUUCAGUUGACUGAAUCGACUUUUGGGUCAGUCAAUUUUCAGGGGGUGGGGGCUCGCCGGGGUGAAGGAAGAACCAGCCGCAGCGGGGAGGGGGGCUCGCCGGAGAGGUACCCCACUAUCUAUCUUAGGGUUCAGGAUGGGGGCUUUGGUCGCCGGCGUUGGCGGGGCGGUGGCGUGGGGAUUGUCGGAGAAAAAGCUCGGCACGGCGGGGCCUAGAGGGAUGGCCGGGGCGGCGGCGGAUCGGCGGUGGGGAGUGUUUUCGGGGCGGGCGGGGCGGCGCACCGCCGGCCGCAGGCGGCGGGGGGCUGCUGUUUGGCCGGUGGUGGCUGGCGGCUCAAGGGGGUGGAGGUUGAAGAUGAACCGCGGGCCCUUGAUUCGUAUCCAACGGCUGCAAAAUCGACUAGCCAGAGAUGAAAAAGUCAGUCGACCGACGUGUAGGCUCACCUUGCUAGUGCGUUCCGUUUCGACAGCAAAAUUCAGUUUCGACAGUUAAGUUCAGUUUCGACAGUUAAGUUCAGAGAUGAGCGGUUGAUGUAUUUUACAUCUAGCACUUUGUGGUUAUGUAUUUUACGUCAUGUAUUGGAGAUGCUAUUAGAAUUCCACUCAGGUUAACGUUGUUCAUUGUCUCUCUUGUCCUGCUUCCGCCUCGGUGUCGUACAACUCACCGGAGCUGCUCCAACGACGAAACCCUCCAUCACAGCGGAGCAGUACCUCGGGCUCCAUCUCCAGACGCCUAACAUCUUCUUCCCCUCCUCCGACAGCAAAGUCAACCGGAGCAUCCUCACCGGCCAACCCAAUCACACUGAGAUCGACAUGGCUUCGCCAUAGAGGUUGUACACUUGUUGCAUCUCUUUUUUACUCUACAUGUUAUAUAUAUAUUGUCCACUGAGCACACGGAUUUGUUCCUUUAGUGUCUCCUUGAAAGAAAAAAUGUAGGAAUUUUAAUUUUCACUUGUCCUCCUUUUCAAAUUCCUAUUCAUGAAGCACAAGACUAAGAGAUAGUAGCAUAAUAGCAUUAUAACCGUACAUUUUCUUGUGGUUUGACUUAAUCUCACCAUGCUUCUUUGCAUCCUGUGAUCUUCCAAUUGUUGUGAAUCAACCACCCAGAUUGGCAGAAAUCUUGUGUUUUUAAAUUCUCUGUUUUGCACGUGCAUUCCUAUCCUAUUCCUGUCUAUUUCCUAUCCCUGCAUUGUUGGAAUCCUCCAAUUCAAACGAGCCCUUACAGAAUUACUUCUCUUACAGAUAGUUGUCAAAGAAAACCUUGCGUGGUUUGUCCCGCUCCUGCUGCGUCGUCGUCCACCCCAGCUCAGCUGCUCCAACGACAGAAGGGUCCAGCACAGCAGGGAUCCGGCCUCCAGACUGUCUUUCGCCGCCUCAGAUCUUCUUCCCCGCCGCUGGCAGCCAUGAAAACUGCAUUACCAUCAUCAACCGAGCAGAUGACCUCGGGGACUACACGGGUCCGCAAGAGAGGUCGCACUCUUUCGUGUCUUCUUACGUUAUGCAUCGCUUAAUAUUACAUGCUACUUUAUCGUCCUGUUCGCCGAUUAGACUCUGAGUCAGCUCCAAACUAAUGGUCAAACUUGAGUUUUUAAAUGGUUGUGGGGUACAUAUCGAGGCCGCUAUCAAUAGUAGAUAUCUACUAUCUGGUUAAUCUCCGGUGUCUACUAUGAGUUUCAUGUUGGGUGGGAAACAAACAGUAAAGAAGCCAUUAUCUGUAUUUUUUAAUUGAAGCCAUUAUCUGCCUGCUAUUAUUGGUUUUGGGUCUAUCCACAGGUUGCUACCAUCACUCUGGAUUUCUGCAUGCACUCCUUACAUAAUCUCACUACGUUUUAUUCCUAUGCAUGACAGUUAUUGUAAACAAUGGAACUGAACAUGUAGGGCAAAAGAGACGAGCCUUGCGUGGCAAUAAAAUUUCAUGCAGACGUCACUCCAUGGUAGGCGCAAAGGCAGCCCCCCCCCCCUCCACGCAUUUAGGAUUGUAAUCGAGAGGAAGAUAUCUGUUCUGAGGGGGAUUCAGAAGGAGAAGACAACUCCUAUUUACCCCCUGAGGUCUUCGCUCUAACUUGGCAUGCUGAUGUUGGUUAUAUCAUGCAUAUGGUGUCUUGCAUUGCUUACUUUAUACAUCAAAUAUGUCAUCUGCUUAGUUUAGACAUCCUUUGUGCAAAUGCCAUCUGUUUGGUUUAUUCAUCAUUUAUGUGAAUUAUGCAACGCCAUCUUGUUUAGCCAGGCAUCAUAUAUGUGAAUUUUGCAAUGCCAUCCUGCUUAGCCAGUCAUCUUAUAUGUAAAUUAUAUCAGGCCAUCCUUUUUUUCGUUACAUAUUACAUUUGUCAACAAUGUUAGUACAUUCAACUGCUCUUCGUGUGCAUCAGCCAUUUGACACAAUGAUGGCAAAUUCUGGAGUGAAAACAAGGUCUUCAGAGCAGACUAUGCUAUCUGACGAAGCGCAUAUCUCGCUGGUUACGGAUAGCACCUCAGAGGAGGAUUCAAAGACAGAUGACCAGUCCUAUCCCCCCCCCGAGGUGUAUGCUCUAACUUGGCAGGGUUAUGUUGCUCAUAUCGUGCGUAUGGUGUCUCGCAUUGCUAUGUCAUUUGAUUAGUUUAGACAUGCUUUGUGUGAAUGCCACCUAUUCAGUGUCUAAUUACCAUAUAUGUGAAUUAUGCAUUGCCAUCUUGUUGCAAGACAUUAUAUAUGUGAAUUAUACAAUGCUAUCUUGUUGCAAAGGCAUUAUAUAUGUGAAUUAUGCAAUGCCAUGCUGUUUAGCCAAUCAUCAUGUAUGUGAAUUAUAUCAUGCUAUCAUUUUUUUGUAUUACGUGUUCCAUUUGUCGACAACGUUUGUAUAUUCAACUACUAUUCCUGUGCAUCAGCCAUUUGAAGCGGUGAUGGAAGUAUCUGGAGUGAAAACAAGGUAUUCAGAGCAGACAAUGCUACCUGCUGAAGCAGACAUCUUGCUGGUUACAGAGAGCUCCUCAGAGGAGGAUUCAGAGACUGAUGACCAGUCCUAUUUCCCCCCUGAGGUCUAUGCUCAAACUUGGCAGGGUUAUAUUACCCAUGUCAUGCAUGUUGUCUUGCAUUGCUUAGUUUUUACAUCAUAUAUGGAUUGCCAUCUGCUUACUUGCUUACUAUAUAAAUCAUAUAUUUGAAUUAUAUCAUGCCAUCAUGUUUACAUAGUACAUACACAUCAUCUAUCUGAAUUAUGGCAUGGCAACCCAUUUAAUAAAGACAUCAUAUAGUUAUAUCAUCUCAUCAUGUUUAGUGUUUACUGUCAUCAUAUUUUGAAUUAUGGCAUUCUAUCCGUGAAUGUAUGUGAAUUAUGGCAUGUCAACCUAUUUAAUAAACACAUUAUAUAGUUAUGUCAUGUCAUCCUGUUUACAUAGUCUCAUAUUUUGAACUAUGUCUUUCCAUCUUUUUUAGUUAGCCAUCAUAAUGUGAAAUUGUGUCAUGCUAUCCUGUUUAGUUAGCCAUCAUAUAUGUGAAAUUGUGUCAUGCUAUCCUGUUUGGUUAAACAACAUAAAUAUGAAUUAUUUCAUGCCCUCUUUUAUUCCCCACUAUCCAUUGCAUCUGUCUAUCAUACAAUGUCUAUACUUUCAAUUACUUUUCUUGUUUAUCAGCCAUUUGAAUUGGAGAGCGUGAUGGCAGUAUCUAAGGGAGUAACAACACGGUCUUUAGAAAGGAUAGUGCUACCAGUUGAUGCAGAUAGAACCACGGUUGUACUUGCCCAAGGACCAGAUCCACCACACAUAACCCAGACUCUCGCAGAUUGUACCCCUACCCAGUUGGACAGAGAACCAGCUACACCCCUUCUAACCCCAACCCCGGCAGAUAGUAACCCAGUUCCAGUUGACACAGCACCGUCUCCACCACAGAGCACCCAAACACGAGCAGUUAGUAAGGGAACAGCAGUGCCCAAAGCACGAGGACCACCACUCCGAAUCCCAACUCAACGCUUACAGGAGAAGAAGAUUUGUUCUCAGGUCAGGUUCUGUAGCUAUGGUUCAUACUCCUUUGCUCUUGCAUUACUGUAUUUACUCAUACCAACUAUUUUCAAAUUUGAAGGAUGGAAUUGAAACUCCAAUGGCGCAACAGGUAUGUUUUAAACCUGUUUCUUUAACUGGUUUGCUGUUGUAACCUGCUCUAUGUUGAUUUCAGUUUCAAUUGAAUAAACAGUAUGUUCUCAUGUCAUGCACAUUACAAGUGUUGUUAUUGCUCUAUAGUUACCCACACUUAUAUUCUGUCUAUUCUGCUUUGUCUUGAACAAAUAUUAUUUGAAUUGUGUCUCUAUCUUGAUUUGGCAACAAAACUAGAAUGAUAUAGACCAUAAAGUGACCAUGGUACAUAGAUGUAUAUGUUUGUUUCAUGCUGUUAUCCUGUCCACUUUACUACUGAACGCAUUUACCAAAAUGAGUUUCAUAUACAACAUGGUAAACAUGUGAUGUGUCUGCUUGUUUCUCUUUUAGAAUGCGGACAAAAUAUUGGAGAACAGUACCGCGUUGUCCAAUGGUAAAGGAAGUAAUGCAGAUAAGGUUCAAGAUAGUGAGACAUCCCUGUUGGUCUCCAAGAAAGCUGAUAAAAACUAUCUUGACGACAGUGAGGGAACCUAAAAGUCCUGUCUUGAUGUAGUGUUCGAGUUACUGGCCACUACUGCUAGCACAAGCUCUUUGAACUCGCUGCCUGAAUCAGUUCGUCUUCUUGAGUCUCAACUUCAAGUUGAAAGACAUCGAUCAGAUGUGCUGCGACAGGAAGCUAAAGGACCGAGGAAGUCCCUGCAGAAUUCAGAUGCAUAUUUUCUGGUGCAACAGCAAGCGCUGGAGGAUUUAAGCGCCAAACAAGAGAAAGUUAAUAAGCUUGCUAAGCAUCUUGCCAGCAUUAUGGGUACCCAGGAUAUUGUUUCUUGAGAUCUUCUGAAGUGGUUUCAGUUCUGGAUUUGUUUUGCUGCGGCGUUUAUUUGCGCUGGUCGCCAACUUUGACAACCAGUGUAUAUGAUAUGCUGCUUUGUUCCCUAUAUUUGCACUGGUGGCGAACUUUGAUGCCCAGUGGAUGUAAUAUGUGUAAUAGCCGUGAUAGCCUAGCAUUAGUUGCUUGUUUGUUUAUUUCCUUGUUGUCAUCUUUAUUUGUUUGCUUGUAGUCAUUGCAGUUCUUUUUCUGCGGUUAGCUAGUGGCUGCAAUAACCUAUUUUUUAAAACUAGGCCACAAUAACCAUGGGCUAAUAUUUACUGUAGUGACACUGGGCCUCCUACUGGCCGUAGAAACAGUGGGCCUUCUAUGGGCCGUAGAAACAAUGGGCCUUCUACAGGCCGUAGAAACAAUGGGCCUUCUGCGGGCCGUAUCAUCAAUGGGCCUUAUACGGGCCGUAUGAUCGAUUGGCCAAACAUGGGCCAAACAGACCGCAUUAUGGCCGUAAAUGGGCUAGAGUUGGAAUCGUUCGUUCAUGGGCCGACCAUAACGGGCCAUCGUUAAUAGGCCGUAUUUGGUGAUGCUAUGAAAAUGGCCCAACAGACUAACGGUCCACAAACGGGCCGACUGUAACGACGGGCUGAAUUUGGCCCACAAGUAGAAAAUGACAGUAACGGGCCGUAAGUAACCGAAUGCUGCAAAUGAGCCCAAGAAUAAAUGGGCCCUUAGAAGGCCGAAAGUUAAGUUGGGCUGGAAACGGCCCAACGGAAUAACGGGCCGUUAAUGGGUAUAAAGUGAUACACUGUUCAUUACGGGCCAGUUUCACCACGGUCCAUUAAUGGGUGUAAAGUAAUACACUGUUCAUUACGGGCCAGUUUCAGCACGGGCCGCUAAUGGGCCAAGAGUUACAAAGGGCCUCAUAUGGGUCGAAAGACGUCAUGGGCUAUACAUGGGCCAGAAGUGAAAAUGGGCUGGAAUCAUAUUGGAUGGCCCAGAUGACGCUACUGGGCCUAAUUCGGAUAGGGCGUAACGGGCCUUGGGUUAGCGGGCUGUAAAUGGGCUAUAUGCGAACAGGCCGUUAACAGGCUUUCCAUGGGCCGGCCCGCCAGCUUUUGACCAAGUCAAACGGGCCACCUUUUUCACAGGAAUGGGCCACUAUUGGGCCGUGCCACGUUCGACGUAUCAUAGGCGCCUUCUGUCCAGUGAGUGGAUGACAUCUGUCCCAACGAUGAGCCGACACGUGUUUCCUCUAGCCAAUGAUGAUUUUACACGUGGAAAAUCCCCAUUGGUCGGGGCUGUUAACGGGUUAUCGGAUCCAAAACCCGACCUGAUAGCUUAACGGCGUUCCGUUACGGUGGAUGCCACUUGUCGGUCACCCUUGACGAAAGCACUUCUGUGACGCGCGAUUUAUCGUCAUGGAAGUGGACACUUCCGUGAUGAUAAUUUUGGUAAUGUCAUGGAACACUUCUACGACAGCACAGGUAUGACUAUCUUGAUUCUGUCAUAAAUUUGUCAUGGAUGUACAUGCAUGACAAAAAACGCGACCUACUGUGACAAACACGUAUCAUCACGGAAGUGUAUUUUUUUGUAGUGCACCCUUCCAAGUGCCAGAUACAACCCGGUGAUCGCUCUCUAACAGGGCGACAAGGAGAGGAUCGCCGGGUAGGAUUAUGCUGUACGAUGCUACUUGGUGAACUUACCAUCUACUCUCUUCUACAUGCUGCAAGAUGGAGGCUCCCAGAAGUGUAGUCUUCGAUAGGAUUAGCUAUCCCCCUCUUAUUCUGGCAUUCUGCAGUUCAGUCCACCGAUAUGGCCCCUUUACACAUAUACCCAUGCAUAUGUAGUGUAGAUCCUUGCUUGCGAGUACUUUGGAUGAGUACUCACGGUUGCUUUGCUCCCCCUUCCCCCCCUUCCUUUCUUCCUGGUUGCCGCAACCAGAUGCUGGAGCCCAGGAGCCAGACGCCACCGUCGACAAUGACUCCUACUACACCGGAGGUGCCUACUACUACGUACAGGCCGCUGACGACGACCAGGAGUAGUUUAGGAGGAUCCCGGGCAGGAGGCCUGCGCCUCUUUCGAUCUGUAUCCCAGUUUAUGCUAGCCUUCUUAAGGCAAACUUGUUUACUUAUGUCUGUACUCCGAUAUUGUUGCUUCCGCUAACUCGUCUAUGAUCGAGCACUUGUAUUCGAGCCCUCGAGGCCCCUGGCUUGUAUUAUGAUGCUUGUAUGACUUAUUUAUGUUUUAGAGUUGUGUUGUGAUAUCUUCCCGUGAGUCCCUGAUUUUGAUCGUACAUGUUUGCGUGCAUGAUUAGUGUACGAUCGAAUCGGGGGCGUCGCAAGUUGGUAUCAGAGCCGACUGCCUGUAGGAAUCCCCCUUCCACACUCCUUGGCCGAAGUCGAGUCUAGAGAUUGCAAAAACUUUUACUAACAUGGCUGUGUGUCUUACGGGCCCACGCCGCCGUUGGGUGGUACUAGGAUCUUUUACUCCUCGAUCUUUACUCUAGGACUCUGAACUCUCUUCUACUCGGGUCAAACGAAUUUACUAACUCUAACACUAGGAUCCCGUGACCACAUUCACCCCAAAGUCGGAUAAGCCAUAGUUAUUCCUUCGAAUAGUAUUUUGAACAAUACCCACACUGUCAUUUGACUCCUUUGAAACAUCUUUGCUUUCAGAUGGAACCCACGAGGCAGGUCGUGCGCCACACGACGGCCAUUGGUGCCUCGGGAUCACCUGUUGUGCUAGCUGAGAUGAUGACCUAUCUGGGUUAUCGCUGGCACCCUGAGUACACCGUCUACGAGGAGUACCAGGACUUUAACCAGGAGCAGUACCAUGCCAUCGUCCACAUCUACUCUCGGGAGUAUGACUCCACUACUGUGCUACACACUGCUCAUGGUGAUGGGGUGACCAUCGAUAUGGCAGUUCACGAUGCUGCUUAUGCUGCUCUGACACGUCUUCAUGGAGAGUAUCGGGAGUUGGACACCUCCCCUUUCAGGCACAUUGCUAUCGCAUCUGAUGUUGGUGCGGAGGGAUACUACACUGCUGCCUACUCCACCAUCACCCGAGAGCCCUUCUACCAUCAGAACCUGGUUCUGCAUGCUGAUGGGCUGGAUCGAGUUAACCAAGCUCUUCGCCACGAGUCGUACACCACCCGUCAGCACCUUUACCGUGCUCUGACGCUGUUGCACCCCUUAGUCCGAUCUGGUGGGUUGUCGCGAUCUGCGGUCUACCCAGCCAGGACCGCGAUGCCCCAGGGUGUCGGCUGGCCAGAUGUGGGAGGCUACUCUCCCGCACUUGGUCCUCUUCUGCCACCUAAGCGUCGGGUUCUGCACCAGAGUAUCCGCGGACCCCAGGUUGCUGACGUGGAGUUCCCGAUGCGACACUACCAGCUUUCAGGCUACACCUACCUCCACAGUUCCUCCUGGGACUGAUGUAGUCUUGCUUGUUAGUGUUAGAUGCAUUCGCCGCGAGCCUGCGUGCCGCCUAUGAUGUCUUUAGUCUAUGUACUAAACUCUGUGUACCGAACUCUAUGCAUGAUCCCUUUUGUAAGAUAUGCUGACUACUAUGUAGUAUCUAUCGUGCUCCUUUCAUUAUGCAUGUUUCAUCAUGAAUGAUUCUUGUCCUUGCAAAUUUCUCAAUGCUGAACUACCCCUGUUAAAUUUUAGCAGGAUGGUUAGACCAGGUGGUCGUGGUCGUGGUGACCAUGCCCCACCACCACCUGAGUACAUGGCUGGUAUGAUCCAACAGUUCGUGCUGAAUCGACAGUUCAUGGAAAAUUUGAUGGCUCAGUUCCCUCGCCCCAAUAUGAACCAGCAGCUAGCCCAAGUGACUCUACAGGAUUUCAUGCGCCUCAACCCAACUGUGUACCGUAGCUCAACUCAGCCUCUGGAUGCUGAUGACUGGCUCCGUGACAUCACCUAUGAGAUGGAGUCUGCUGAUGUAGCCCCUGCCAGCUAUGUCACCUUUGCUUCCUUCUUCCUAAAGGGACCCGCAGCUCAAUGGUGGGACAGCCACAGGCGUACUCUGCCAGCUGGAACAAUCAUCACCUGGUCAGACUUCCAAGCUGCUUUUCGUGCCCGCUUCAUUCCUCAAGGAGUCAUGGACCGGAAGAAGCGUGAGUUCCGCAACCUCACCCAAGGCAACAAAACUGUUGAAGCUUAUCAGCGGGAGUUUCUGUACUUGUCCCGCUAUGCUGAAGAGGACAUUGCAACUGAUGCACGCAGACAGGAGAAGUUCCGUGAUGGCCUUCAAGCUGACAUCAAGCUCGCACUUCUAGUGCAUGACUUUGCUGAUUUCGCCACCUUGGUGGACAAGGCUAUCAAUGUCGAGACUGGUCUGCAGGAACACCAAAGCUCUCAUAGGCGCAACCGUGACACGGGCUCAUCUUCGGGCCAGCCCUCACAGAAGCAUAGGAUAUGGAUUCCCAACAGCAUGUAUCAGCCAACUGCACAUGCUCCAAGACAGUCCUAUGCUGCACCUCGUCUGCCUCCUCCACCACCUAGGCAGCCAAGGCUUCCAGCACCACCACCCCGAGCUCCUGCUCCCGCUCCCAAUAAUGGUCUGUGCUUCAGGUGUGGUCAACCAGGGCACCGUGCUAGGGAAUGCAACCAGAACCAGAAUCAACUGGCCCUUCCAGCAACUGGCCAUGGAAGCAACCAGCCCCGCAACAACAAUGCCAAGUAUUAUGGUUAUGUUCAUGCCAACCACGUUGAUCUGAACGAAGCUUAAGACCAGCCUGCUACUGUGAUGGGUACACUCCUUGUAAAUUCAGUACCAGCAUCCGUUUUAUUUGAUACAGGUGCAUCGCAUUCAUUCAUGUCAGAAGAUUUUGCAUACAAGCACGACGUUAAAUGUGAGGAGAUGAACACUUCGGUAGUGGUAAAAACACCCGUGGGACAAUGUCAAACCUCCAUGGUUGGCAUCGACGUCCCCAUGGAAAUCAAAGGGCUGGAAUUCUAUGCCUCGCCCAUUAUCCUGAAGUCGUCUAACAUCGACCUCAUUUUGGGGAUGGAUUGGUUGAAAGUGCAUACUGCUUCUAUAGUUUGCGCCACUAAGACCGUCCAUCUGCUACACCCUUCAGAUGAAAUAGUUACUUACCAAGCUCAUCUGGUGCAAAAUGCCGAGGCACGGCUUUAUGCCUUGAAUGCAUUGAACGCUGCACCCCUCGAGGGCAUUGAAAACAUUCCUGUCGUUCGCGAAUUCCAAGACGUCUUUCCUGAAGAACUUCCAGGGAUUCCCCCUGCUAGAGCUGUCGAAUUCAUCAUCGACUUGAAAUCAGGCACCACUCCUAUAGCCAAACGACCCUACAAGAUGCCGCCGCAUGAACUCAUUGAGCUUAAGGAGGAAAUCGACAAAUCUCUUCGCAGUGGUUUCAUUCGCCCAAGUUGCUCUCCUUGGGGAGCACCUUCUCUCUUUGUCAAGAAGAAGGAUGGGACAAACCGAUUAGUUCAAGACUACCGUCCUAUAAACCAAGCUACCAUUCAGAACAAAUAUCCCCUUCCUCGGAUCAAUGAUCUGUACGAUCAACUGGCUGGUUCGUCGGUAUUCUCUAAACUCGACUUGAGGUUGGGUUACCACCAGAUCCGUGUUCGUGAAGAGGAUAUCCCAAAGACCGCAUUUGUGACUCGCUAUGGUUCAUAUGAGUACACCGUCAUGUCUUUCGGCUUAACCAAUGCUCCAGCCACUUUCUCUCAUCUGAUGAACUAUGUAUUCAUGGAUUACCUCGACAAGUUCGUCGUGGUUUAUCUGGAUGAUAUCCUGGUAUAUUCCAAGAAUGAAGAAGAACAUGCUGAACAUCUUCGUCUUGUUCUGGAAAAGCUUAGAGAGCAUCAACUCUAUGCCAAGUUCUCUAAGUGUGAAUUCUGGCUUCUCGAAGUAACCUAUCUUGGGCAUGUCAUCUCUAAGGAUGGUAUUGCCGUCAACCCUGAAUGAGUCCAGGCUAUUCUUGAUUGGACUCCUCCCAAGAACGUUAAGCAAGUCAGAAGUUUUCUCGGGCUUGCCAGCUAUUGUCAUUGAUUCGUCGAGAACUUCUCCAAGAUCGCCAGGCCUCUGACUAACCUGUUGCAUAAGGGCGUCAAGUUCCAAUGGACAGACAAAUGUCAGGAAAGUUUCCAGGCACUCAAAGACAAGUUGACUUCUGCCCCAAUGCUAGCUCCACCUGAUACUAAGAAGGACUUCGUCAUUUACUGCGACACUUCCCGUCAAGGAUUAGGUUGUGUCCUACUACAAGACUGCAAAGUGAUUUCUUAUGCCUCUCGGCAAUUGCGCCCUCACGAAGAGAACUACCUAGUUCACGAUCUUGAGCUUGCUGCUGUCAUUCAUGCGCUAAAACCAUGGCGACAUUACCUUCUCGGUAAUCGUUGCGAGAUCUUCACCGACCACCAAAGUCUGAAGUAUCUGUUUACUCAGCUAGACUUGAACCUCCGUCAGCAGAGAUGGAUGGAGAUUGUUGCAGACUUUGACUUCGGUAUUUCCUAUACACCAGGCAAGGCUAAUGUAAUGGUUGAUGCCUUGAGCUGCAAGUCUUACUGCAACCACCUCCAGGUUCACAAAGUUCAGCCCUCGCUUCUUUAAGAAUUUAGAAAGUUGAACCUCCAUAUUGUUCCUCCUGGUGCACUCGCUCCCCACCCCUAAGGAUUUUCGCAAGAUGAACCUCCGUGUUGUUACCCAGGGUUCCCUCAAUACCCUGGCUGUCGAACCAGAUCUCUUGGACUCCAUCAAGAGGAUUCAGAAGUAUGACUCUCAAGUUGAGAAGAUUAAACGCUACCUCGCAGAAGGAAAACCCUCAUUCUUCACUAUUACUGAUGAUGGCACUUUGUACUUCAAAGGCCGCCUAGUAGUGCCAUGUUCAGAGAAAAACCUGGAUAUGACACAGGAGGUUAUGAAAGAAGCUCAUGAUACGCCUUUGUCUAUUCAUCCCGGUAGUACAAAGAUGUAUCAAGACAUUCGUCAGAGAUUUUGGUGGUCUAAUAUGAAGCAAGACAUUGCUCGUUAUGUUGCUGAGUGUGACGUUUGCCGUCGUAUCAAAGCAGAACAUCAAAGGCCUGCUGGAACUCUGCAACCUAUCUCUAUUCCUGAAUGGAAAUGGGACCAUGUCGAGAUGGACUUCGUCACUGGAUUUCCCAAAUCACAGAAAGGUAAUGAUGCAAUUCUAGUCGUCAUUGACCGGCUUCCUAAGGUUGCACAUUUUCUGGCAGUCAAAGAAACAAUCACUGCUAGUCAGCUGGCAACGUUCUAUAUGUCCAGGAUUGUUUCACUCCACGGUAUUCCAUUGGUUAUCAGCUCAGACCGUGGCAGCUUAUUCACUUCAAGAUUCUAGGCAAGUUUCCAAGAAGCUAUGGGAACUCAUCUGUCAUUCAGUACUGCUUUCAUCCUCAGUCGCAAGGGCAAGUGGAACGUGUCAACCAAGUUCUCGAAGACAUGCUUCGAGCUUGUGUUAUUUCCUUCGGCAAGAAAUGGGAGGAAUAUCUCUCGUAUGCUGAGUUCUCUUAUAAUAAUAGCUAUCAAGCUAGUCUGAAGAUGGCCCCCUUCAAAGUGUUAUAUGGACGAAAGUGUCGAACCCCUCUGAACUGGUCAGAAACUGGGGAACGUCCACUCUUUGGUCCGGAUAUCAUCCAACAUGCCGAAGAACAAGUCCGCAUUAUUCGUGAGAAUCUCAAGACUGCUCAGUCAUGUCAGAAGAGUCAGUAUGACCGUCAUCAUAAAGACAUGGUCUAUCAACUUGGCAAAAAGGCCUAUCUUCGAGUUACACCAAUGAAGGGUGCUCACCGCUUCGGGAUCAAGGGCAAGCUAGCUCCUCGCUAUAUUGGCCCAUUCACUAUUCUGGAAAGGCGUGGAAAAGUGGCAUAUCAACGGAUCUCCUGCCGAACCUUUCUCAGGUUCACGAUGUGUUCCACAUGUCACAGCUCCGUCGCUGCUUCAAGGACCCAAUCCGAGCAGUGGAUCAUGAAGUGCUCGCAUUGCAACAGGACCUCUCCUAUAAAGAGCAUCCAGUCCGCAUUCUCGACCAAGCUGAACGCCGCACACGUCAGAAGGCACUCAAGUUCCUCAAGGUCCAGUGGUCGCACCAUUCUGAAGAUGAGGCCACUUGGGAACGCGAGGAUCGCCUGCGUGAUGAAUACCCCGCACUGUUUCCUUCUACCUCCUAAAUCUCGGGACGAGAUUUCUUGUAGUGGGGGAGAUUUGUAAUGCCCGGAUAAUUAAGCGACAGUAAAACUCUGCUAAUUAUGCCAUGUCACCUCCAUUACUGUUGCUAAUCUUUCGUUAGUUCAAAACCAAUUCAAAAAUCAAUUCAAAAUAUGGCAAAUGACAAAAGUUUUCAAACCUUGAAACAAAAAUGUUCGGUGGGUGCCAAAUAUUGCACUGGUAAUUAUUGUGGAGAAAACAAAUUUUUUAGAAAGUGCCUAAAUAUUUAAAAUGAAAUAAAACAGAAAAGAAAAUAAAUAAAAAGAAAAGGUGAAAAUAAAACAAAAGGAAAAGACCCCCCCCCUUGAAAGUGCAACUAUCCCUGGGUGGUUUUGGUAAUUCCUAACAACAUAUAGCUCAUUGAGCUAAUGCUAUUUCAAGAUAAAUAUUUCAGGAAAGCUCAAUGAUUGGCAUGGCAUGGAUUAGAAAAUGGACCCCUCAAAAUUCUAAGGACAAAAGAUUGGCUCAAUCUCAAAGCACAAGACUCCACAUUUUCAUUUUAGUGAUCCAAGAUCACAUUGAGUCCAUAGGAAAAGCCAAUACUAUCAAGAGGGGGUGAGGUGUUGCUUAAUGAGUUUCUUGCUCAAAGUGCUUAGUGAUAUGCUCCAAACCCUCAACUACUUUCUCACAUCCACAUAUGUCCCAAACCAAAAUUCAAACUCGGCCCCACCGAAACUUUCUAUCUGGCGCCACCGAGUUCUCUUGACAUAGCCACUGCCAGAAACCCUAGUCUUUUCGGUCUCACCGAUAGGGAUCUCGGUCUCACCGAGAUGGGAUUGUAAUCUCUCUGUUUCCCUUCGUAAUAUUUUGGUCAAACCGAGAUGAGCGAUCGGUCCCACCAAGAUUGCAAUGCAAACUCUCUGUUUCCCUUUCGUAACGUUUCGGUCCAACUGAAAUGAGCGAAUCGGUCCCACCGAGUUUGCCUGACCAACUCUCUGUUAGUCUAUUACAAAAAUCGGUCUCACCGAGUUUGUGUAAUCGGUCUCACCGAGAUUACGUUAUGCCCUAACCCUAACGAAACAGGUCCCACCGAGUUGACGUGUCGGUCCCACCGAAAAUCCUAACGUUCACAUUUUGAACUAAAUCUGUCCGACCGAGUUUCAUGAUUCGGUCCCACCGAGUUUGGUGAUUUGUGUGUAACGGUUAGAUUUUGUGUGGAGGCUAUAAAUACCCCUCCAUCCACUCUUCAUUCGUGGAGAGAGCCAUCAGAACAUGCCUACACUUCCAACAUACAUUUUCUGAGAGAGAACCACCUACACUUGUGUUGAGGUCAAGAUAUUCCAUUCCAACCACAUAAAUCUUCAUCUAUAGCCCUCCCCAAGUUGCUUUCCACUCAAAUCUUCUUUCUACCAAAUCCAAUCCUGUGAGAGAGAGUGGAGUGUUGGGGAGACUAUCAUUUGAAGCACAAGAGCAAGGAGUUCAUCAUCAACACACCAUUUGUUACCUCUUCGAGAGUGGUGUCUCCUAGAUUGGCUAGGUGUCACUUGGGAGCCUCCGUCAAGAUUGUGGAGUUGAACCAAGGAGUUUGUAAGGGCUAGAAGAUCGCCUACUUCAUGAAGAUCUACCCGAGUGAGGCAAGUCCUUCGUGGGCGACGGUCAUGGUGGGAUAGACAAGGUUGCUUCUUCGUGGACCUUCGUGGGUGGAGCCCUCCGUGGACUCGCGCAAUCGUUACCCUUCGUGGGUUGAAGUCUCCAUCAACGUGGAUGUACGAUAGCACCACCUAUCGGAACCACGGAUAAAAAAUCUCCGUGUCAACAUUGCGUUUGCUCCCUCAAACUCCUCCCUUUACCUUUAUAUGCAAUUGUUUUACAUUCCGCUGCUAUACUCAUAGAAUUGCAUGUGUAGGUUGAUUGCUUGACUUGUGCAAAGUUGCUAAAAUCUGCUAAGAACUAAAAUUGGGAAAAGGCUAGAUUUUUAUUUGGUCAAAGUAGUCUAAUCCCCCCCCCUUCUAGACAUACUUUCGAUCCUACAAGUGGUAUCAGAUCUUUGGUCUCCAUUUGCUUUGAUUUCCAUAGCUUUUGGUAGUCAUAGCCUUGGUUUCACAACCUAGGAGAGUAUGGAGUCUAGCAAGGGAAAUUACCACUGUAGAGGUCCUUACUUUGAUGGUACAAAUUUUGCUAGUUGGAAGCAUAAGAUGAAAAUGCAUAUUCUUGGAAAUAACCCCGUUGUUUGGGCUAUUGUGUGUAUUGGCCUGCAAGGUGAAUUCUUCGAUGGGAGAGAACCAAACCGUGAAGCUACCGCGGAAGAGUUGAAGAUGCUACAAUACAAUGCUCAAGCUUGUGAUAUUCUCUUCAACGGAUUGUGCCCCGAAGAAUUCAACAAAAUCAGCCAUCUUGAGAAUGCAAAGGAAAUUUGGGAUACUUUGAUUUAUAUGCACGAGGGUACCGAUUCCGUCAAGGAAUCCAAAUUGGAUGUGCUUCAAAGUCAACUUGAUAAGUUCAAAAUGAAGGAUGGUGAAGGCAUCGCUGAAAUUUACUCUAGGCUUGCUCUCAUCACAAAUGAGAUCGCCGGCUUAGGAAGUGAAGAGAUGACCGAUAGAUUCAUCAUCAAGAAGAUCCUAAGAGCCUUGGAUGGAAAAUAUGAUACCGUGUGCACAUUGAUUCAAAUGAUGCCCAAUUACAAAGAUCUCAAGCCAACGGAAGUUAUUGGAAGAAUUGUUGCUCAUGAGAUGUCACUCAAGGAUAAGGAAGAGCUUCACAACAAGUCAAGUGGUGCUUACAAAGCCUCGUGUGAUGCUCCCACAUCAUCAAGUGAGAAGCAAACCUUCAAUGAAGAAUUGAGUCUAAUGGUGAAAAACUUCAACAAAUUCUACAAGAGUAGAAGCAAGGAAAGAAGUUCCAAGUCAAGGUCCUACAAUGACAAAAGAUCUUCUAGUCGUGAGCAUAAUUGCUACAAUUGUGGAAGACCCGGACACUACUCCAAUGAGUGUAUGGCUCCCUACAAAAGAAGAGAAGAUUCUCCCAAAAGAAGGAGUAGAAGAGAAGAAUCACCAUCAAGAUAAAGAAGGCGUAGAGAUGAUCGUUAUGAACGGAGACCCUCUCGUAGAAGCAAGGAUUCGGAAAGGAAGGACAAGUCAUCAAGGAGCUACACAAAAAGAAGACAUCAAGCUCAUGUUGGUGAAUGGAUAUCCGGCUCCGACUCCGACAAUCACUCCGAAAGAAGUUAUCACUCGGACUCCGAAUAUACUCAAGAUGAAGGUGUUGCCGGACUAGCGCUUGUGACAACCAACUCCUACGACAUAUUUGACUCACCAAAUGAAGGAAUUGGGAGAUGCUUCAUGGCUAAAGGUCCAAAGGUAACACACCCCGAGUAUGUUGAUUUCAACAGUGAUGAAGAUGAUUUGCUAGGAGAUGAUGAUUUACUUGUUGACAACUCUAGUUAUGAAAACUAUGAUGAGCUUGCUAUUAAUCAUGAUAAUCAAGAUAAAACGAAUGAUGAUGAUAAGAAGGAGAUUGAGUGUCUAACUAAAGAACUAAACACUCUUAAGUUAGCUCAUGAAACUACCUUGGAAGAUCAUCGAGAACUUUUAAAGACUCAUGAGAAGCUACGCUUUGAAAAGCUCAACCUUGAGCAAGAGCAUGAGUUUUUAAAGGCAAUCAAUGAUGAUCUUCGCAAGAAAAUUUCUUCUUACAUUGCCAAGCGUUUACUCUUGUCUACUUACAUGCCACAAGUUAAAUCUAGCAACAAGAACAAGAAAUAUUCUUCAUCUAGUAGUAACAACAAUCAUGCUAAAUCCAAUGAUGUUGCUUCUACUAGUUCUCUUGAUUCCACUAAUGAUUCUCUUAGCCAAGUUACACUUGAGCAAGAAAAUAUCUUAUUGAAGGGAAUUAUAUAGAAAGGUGUUUACAAGAGCCUUGCCGGAAGUAAGCAAUUUGAGGAAAUUGUACGCAAGCAAGGAAGACACCGGAAGAAUCAAGGUGUUGGUUUUGAACAAAAGUUCAAUGCCAAUGGAGUUGAGUGGGAAGAAGAUCAAUACCCCAAGACGAAGUUUGUUCCUCAACAAGAGAAGUAUGAUCCUACUUCUUUCAAAGGAACACAAGCUCAAGAUGAUCUUCCACCACAAGACCACAAGCAAAAAGGCAAGGACAAGCUUCAAGAGGAGAUUGAUGCAUUUGAAGAAGCACCCAAGGCCUUGGUCAAGUGGAUUCCCAAGACUACAUCAAGUUCUACUUCAUCAAAUACGACUACAACUCCAAGGAUUCCCAUCAAGAUGGUGUGGAUCCCGAAGAAGAAGAACUAGAGAGUUCUUGACGGUGACUCCGCCAACGUACCUCACUCUCAUCAUUUUGGCAAGGACAAGUGCAAACAACUUUCAUAUCUUGCACCAGUUCAAUGAGUCGCAAACCCUCUUGUUGGUAAGACAAGGGACAAGGUAACCUAAUGCUUUCAUGGACAUCAUCUUUUGUACACAUCACUCUAUGUCUAUGGAUAUCCUUGUUUGUUCCUUGUGGGACUAACCCGUGUAGGUAUUGAAAGUGCAACUCACUCCAAUGGAUUGCUCUGAAUGAUCUACAUCAACAUUGAGCAUUCACAUCUUCAACACCUACAUGAAGUCAUCAUCGACAAAACCCAAGGUUAGUACAUCCCUCUUAGGGGGGAUAUCACAUCUAGGGGGAGCAUUACUCUAAUCAAAUGAGCUAAAGCAACUCUAAUGAUGUGAGCACAACAAUGCUUUAUGUAAAAGUGGCAACCCCACUUGUGCUUAAACGAUGAGUAUGACCUAUGAUCAAAUAUUCUCAUUUGACUCCUAAGUCAAUAUACUCAUAUAUAGAUGACCUAGUCAUCGCCAAAUUGCUUGAUAGAUGCUAGAGUGUUUGUGCAUGCUUUGUCACAUAUUUCAUUUGUCAGUUUAUUGUGUGAGCAUGUUGGAUGCAUAUUUUACUCAUUCAAGGACAUCCAUUUGUUGCUUUGUUUGUUUGGAUUUUUCUCUUUUGCCAAAUGGAUGGACAAGAAUGCCUAAGAACUCCCUCUAGCUAUCUAUACUUUUCUCGUCUCAAACUCUAUUCAUGCUACAUCACAAAGUUUGAUCAAGUCAGAUUCGAACCACUCUGUGUGAGGAGCACUCGGAGUCCCCGAUUCGUCAUAGACUUAAACUUCCAAAACCUCUUUGUGCAUUUCGGUCUGACCGAUUCAUCCUUUCGGUCCUACCGAGAUCACUAAGUUGAUCUAGGUUUUCAAUCUCGGUGCAACCGAUUAGAACCUUUCGGUCACACCGAGUUGCAGUAACUGCCUGCAGUUUUGCAUCUCGGUGCCAUCGAGUUGUUCCACUCGGUCACACCAAUAGUGUCAGGUUAAUUAUAUAUACCGACGGGUCAAAUUUUGGAAAUUUUUUCGAAACCCUUCACCCGCGCGUAACCCGCUCUGCCUCUUCGGGUCUCCGGAUCGUCUUCUCGCCGCCAGCGACCUCCCGCCGCUGAUCUCCGCCGCCGUCAACGGCAAUCUGCCCCGCCGUUGCCGCCGUAGCGAACACUCGCCGCUCUAGGGUAAGUGUUCUAUCCCUUGUGCUGUCUCUUUCACUCCGAUUCCUAGCACAAGGACAAUGCCAUGUUUCUUGCCACGAUUGAGAUUGAUCUAUCCAGCUAAAACUUCCUUAGGUCUAGAUUGAUUCGAAAAUUUUAGGGUUAGCUCUCCACAGAACUCAUCUCGGACCGACCGAACUGUAGAAAUCGGUCUCACCGAUUCGGCCUUGGCCAUUGCACAUGCGCUCUUCGGUUUGACCGAAAUGUGCAAAUCGGUGUGACCGAGUUCAAGAUUCUGUGAAACCCUAGCAAUCUCGGUGCCACCAAACUGUGACUCGGCCCUACCGAGUUCACUAGUUUAGGUUCCAAGAGUUGCUUCGGUAUCACCGAGUUUGUCAAUUCGGUAGCUCCGAGAUCACUUCUGUAGAGAACUAAAACUAAGCUUUUUGACUCAAUUGUUUUGCAAAACCUCUGUACUUUGUGAUGCUCAUCUUCUCUACCUCAUCUAUAAUCUAUUCACAGGGUCUGCUGACAGUUUGCCUGCAAGAUGUCUGACCAAAGUGACAGCCGGAACAAGUCUGAACAGCAGGUGCAGAUGAGUGAGGGUUCUGAUCCCUCUAGCAGCUAUGAUGAGGGCAGCAGGAGCACACCUAGUAACUUGCCAAAGGCAGCUACCCGGACAAGUAAGAAGAAAACUUCUGAUUCAGAGGAUGAAGAUUAUGGCUGUUGAGGAUGAAGCCACUUCAAGGAAAAAGGUGCUAAAAGAGGAGUAUGGCACAGCUGCUGCAACAAAGCCUGGAAUGAAAACAAAGGCUCCAGCAAGAAGAGUUCCAAUGUCAAAAGCCAGAGCCUCCACUCAAGAAACAAUGGAGUUCACUCUUGAACCCAAAGAAGGAGGUGAAGGCAAGAAGAGGAAAGAAAGGGUCAAGAAGACCAUUGCCAGAGUUAUUGGGAAGCCCUCCAUGAUGAGAGAUGAUGAUGAAGAACAGGAGGAUGCUGCACCAGCACCCAAAGCUCAGAAGCUCAUGGGAGAUGAAAUCAGAUCAGGGGCUGCUCCAUCUAAGCCCAAAACUGCUCCCAAGGCUGCUGCUCCAGCUCAGAAGUCUGCUCCAAAGAGAAGCACUAGAAACAUUCCAGCUGCAGAAAAGAACAAGGCCCCAGUGCCUCAAGUUGAAGAAGAAGAUGAUAAAGCCCAAGUGCUAAGGAAGCUGAAGCCCAAGAUCCCUGACCACAAUGAUGCACAUCCUGUUGCAGGAAACAUGGAAAUCAGGAAGGAUGCAGGACUGAGGUUAUGGAGACAGUCUAAUCCAUAUGUUGUCAGGAGAAGGACUGCUGUUGACUACAGGUUUCACACUAAGGAACAUCAAGACUUUUAUGAGGCAAUUUUGCUUGACAAGAAGCCCAUUGUGUGUGACAUGAGAUGGGUUGACUGGGAGUACAUUAAGAAAAAUGAAGAUCACUAUCCAGGAGUAUAUGACAGCUUCAAAGCAUGUGGAGUUGAUACAUUUGUUGCCCAGAAGCUCACCAAGUGGAAUGAUGAGCUGAUCAUGCAGUUUUACUCCACUGCCCACUUCUAUCCAGAUGGAAAGAUAGUUUGGAUGUCUAAAGGUACAAGGUACCAAUCCACUGUUGAAGAAUGGGCUCAGUUGAUCAAUGCCCCGGAAGAAAUUGAGGAUGACUUGGAUGUUUAUGCUGAGAAGAAGAAAGACCACAACACUAUGGCACACAUGUACAGAGAGAUCCCAGAUGAUGCUUUGGAGAAUCACAAGUUUGGAUCUGUCCACUUCUUGUUGUCUGGUCUGCCUACCAUAAAUUGGAUCCUAAGGCACACUUUGCUACCCAAGUCAGGUGAUCACAAAAUGAUCAGAGGACAUGCUAUCAACUUGCUACAUUUAUUUGAUGUGCCUCAAACGUUCAAAGUCAUGAGUCUGAUUGUGGAGACAAUCAAAAGGACAACAGCUGAUCAGAAGAGAAGUUGUGGGUAUGCCCCACACAUUCAGGAGCUCAUCAACUCAAAGAUGGGCACAUGCACAUAUCUGUUGGAUAAGGAGCAUCUACCCUUAUAUCCUGAGUUUGAAGACAACACUGUAGUCAUGACUGAGAAUGAACCAUCAUCAGCUCAAGCACAUGAGAAGAGAGAGAAGGCAAGGGCAGAGAAAGCUGCAAAGAUGCCAACUGCUGAAGAGGCAUCUCAAUUAUUCUUGAAAAACAAGCAAGAUCAGUUAGCAUAUCUGAUCCAAUCCACCUUGAGGAUUGAGAAGGGCUUGGCCACCCUGACUCAAAACCAGGAGAGCUUGGAGAGGAUUAUAGAGACCAAAUUCUAUGAUCUUGAUCUGAAGGUAACUGAGAUCCAAACUGCAGUUGAGCAGCUUCAGGAGGAAGCAGAGGAGAAGAAGGGCAAGUCCACUAUAGAUGCUUUUGCUAGAGUGCCCAGAGGACAAAGAUCUGCUGCAGUGCCUGUGACAGAUACUCGAGCUACAGCAUCAGCACCAGCAGCUACAGCUCCAGUGCCACCUCCAGCAGCCACUCCACCAGCUCCAGCUACAUCAUCUGAAGCCUUCGUCCUUGGAGUUCUCUCAACACCACCUCCCGAAGAUCAAGCCUGAGAGACGUUUAGCAUUAUGCAUUUUUGAACUUUUUGGUAACUUGUUGCCAAAGGGGGAGAAAAAUGUAUAGAUCAUAGGCUUCGAGAGAUAGUGUUGCUUUUUAUCUCUCUUGCUAUUUUGGUUGAACUUCUUGAUUGUGUUCUUGUGUGAGAUACUUUAUGUCCUUGUGAGAUACUUGUUUGAUCCUGUGGUUGAUCAUAUGCUACCCUUAAUUCUUGUUGGAUGAUAUUAUCUCUUAUAUUCUUAUAUGAUCAUUCACUUGCUUGGUGAUGAGUGCAUGCUUUUAUUUUCUGUCUUUUUGAGCGCUCCACCAAGAUGUAUGUGACAUGAAAGAGUAACCCAUGAUCCUAAUCGAUUGUGCAUUUGCAUUCAAAAGCAAAUUUUAAAUAAUGCACAAAUUUAGGGGGAGCUCUUGCUUAUCACAUACUUCUCAAAGCGACGAUGUUUUUCAAUCUUAUUAUCCUUUGUCGAAGCUUUGAUCUAUAUGUUGUCAUCAAUUACCAAAAGGGGGGGAUUGAAAGUGCAACUAUCCCUGGGUGGUUUUGGUAAUUCCUAACAACAUAUAGCUCAUUAAGCUAAUGCUAUUUCAAGAUAAAUAUUUCAGGAAAGCUCAAUGAUUGGCAUGGAUUAGAAAGUGGACCCCUCAAAAUGCUAAGGACAAAAGAUUGGCUCAAGCUCAAAAAACAAGACCCUACAUUUUCAUUUUAGUGAUCCAAGAUCACAUUGAGUCCAUAGGAAAAGCCAAUACUAUCAAGAGGGGGUGAGGUGUUGCUUAAUGAGUUUCUUGCUCAAAGUGCUUAGUGAUAUGCUCCAAAACCCUCAACUACUUUCUCACAUCCACAUAUGUCCCAAACCAAAAUUCAAACUCGGCCCCACCGAAACUUUCUAUCUGGCGCCACCGAGUUCUCUUGACAUAGCCACUGCCAGAAACCCUAGUCUUUUCGGUCUCACCGAUAGGGAUCUCGGUCUCACCGAGAUGGGAUUGUAAUCUCUCUGUUUCCCUUCAUAACGUUUCAGCCAAACCGAGAUGAGCGAUCGGUCCCACCAAUAUUGCAAUGCAAACUCUCUGUUUCCCUUUCGUAACGUUUUGGUCCAACCGAAAUGAGCGAAUCAGUCCCACCGAGUUUUCCUGACCAACUCUCUGUUAGUCUAUUACCAAAAUCGGUCUCACCGAGUUUGUGUAAUCGGUCUCACCGAUAUUACGUUAUGCCCUAACCCUAACGAAAUCGGUCCCACCGAGUUGACGUGUCAGUCCCACCGAAAAUCCUAAUGUUCACAUUUUGAACUAAAUCGGUCCAACCGAGUUUCAUGAUUUGGUCCCACCGAGUUUGGUGAUUUGUGUGUAACGGUUAGAUUUUAUGUGGAGGCUAUAAAUACCCCUCCACCCACUCUUCAUUCGUGGAGUGAGCCAUCAGAACAUGCCUACACUUCCAACAUACAUUUUCUGAGAGAGAACCACCUACACUUGUCUUGAGGUCAAGAUAUUCCAUUCCAACCACAUAAAUCUUGAUCUCUAGCCCUCCCCAUGUUGCUUUCCACUCAAAUCUUCUUUCUACCAAAUCCAAUCCUGUGAGAGAGAGUUGAGUGUUGGGGAGACUAUCAUUUGAAGCACAAGAGCAAGGAGUUCAUCAUCAACACACCAUUUGUUACCUCUUGGAGAGUGGUGUCUCCUAGAUUGGCUAGGAGUCACUUGGGAGCCUUCGUCAAGAUUGUGGAGUUGAACCAAGGAGUUGUAAGGAAUAGGAGAUCGCCUACUUCGUGAAGACCUACCCGAUUGAGGCAAGUCCUUCGUCGGCGACGGCCAUGGUGGGAUAGACAAGGUUGCUUCUUCGUGGACCCUUCGUGGGUGGAGCCCUCUGUGGACUCGCGCAACCGUUACCCUUCGUGGGUUGAAGUCUCCAUCAACGUGGAUGUACGAUAGCACCACCUAUCGGAACCACGGAUAAAAAAUCUCCGUGUCAACAUUGCAUUUGCUCCCUCAAACUCCUCCCUUUACCUUUAUAUGCAAUUGUUUUACAUUCCGCUGCUAUACUCUUAAAAUUGCAUGUGUAGGUUGAUUGCUUGACUUGUGCAAAGUUGCUAAAAUCUGCCAAGAACUAAAAUUGGGAAAAGGCUAGAUUUUUAUUUGGUCAAAGUAGUCUAAUCCCUCCCCUUCUAGACAUACUUUCGAUCCUACACCCCUGGACCAGACGGCCCAGCUCACAGCCAGGCCGGCCCACCUGGCCCAUCCGACCGACCCAGCCCGUUCCCCCGGUCGCUCUCUCCCCUUCCAUGUUCCCCCGACCAGGGUCGGAACAGGGGCGCAUCCCCGCCCGACCGCCUCACCGGCACCGACGCCGGGAGGGGAUAAGGCCGCCAUGCCCCCGCCUCCUCGAUCCCAUCUCCCACUCGCCCCCGCUCUCCCUCUCGGUCCCUGCACCUCUCUCUCCCCUCAGAUCCACCUCGUUGCCUCUCCUUCCCCUUUGCAUCCGAGCGCCACCGCCGCCAUGGCUCCGGCCUAGCCACGGCCACCGUGCUCACCUCGCGGCCCCACUAUGUCUCCAAGGGCCGCCAUCGUCUGCUGCUUCGACUGGUGCACCCCAUUGGAGUUCGGAGCCACCGCAACGCCCACGACGCCGUCGUCUUCCUCCUCUGCUCCGACGAGCUUCGCCGCCGCUCUUCACCAACUCCGGCGAUGCCCCUGUUGCUACUAAAUCCCCAAGGGCCACCGUGUGUGCCACUCGGUGAGCCCCCGCUGCCUCCUCUCUCUCUCUCGCGCGCCCUAGCUAGCUGUCGCCGUAGCACCCGAACUCAGCGCCGCAGAACUCGUCGCCGACGAGUCUCCGGUGACCAAAUGGUCACGGGCCAGUGCCGGCGUGAUUCCGACGAGUCACCGGCCGUCGCUGAGCUGGCCUGACGCGUGGGCCCCCUUGUGUCGCUGACGGGUGGGCCCCGUUGAAUCAUUGACUCGGUCAGCGCUCACGUGGCUCCCCUGUGUCUAUGACAUGUGGGCCCCACGCCAUAGACGAAUAAAAAUAAAUAGAUAAAUAGAUAAAUUGCUAAUUAAUUAAAACUUUAAUCUCUCACUGACUACUGGGCCCCACCCGCUAAUUAACCCAUUUAGUUAGUGUAAACCCCCCUGUUAGUGCCCCUGACAAUGACAUGUGGGUCCCACUGGACCCACCUGUCUAGUUUGACUGGUCAACCGACCAGUUGACCUGUUGACAUCACCCUGAUGUCAUGCUUACGUCAUCAUUUACUAUUCUGGAUAAUUCGAAUCUAAAUAAAUAAUUAAAAUCAGAAAAUGAUUAAAACUUUAGAAAAUCAUAUAAAAUAAUCCAUAACUCGAAUGAAAAUACUUUGUACAUGAAAGUUGCUCAGAACGACGAGACAAAUCUGGAUACGCAGCUUGUUCGUCCGCCACACAUCCCUAACAUAUCGAACAUGCAACUUCCCCCUCCGGUUCAUCUGUCCAGAAACGUGAAACACCGGGAAUACUUUCCCAGAUGUUUCCCCCCUUCGCCGGUAUCACCUACUACCACGAUUGGGCACCACUAGCAACGCUCAUUGUAAUGUCAUGCAUCGUCAUGCAUGUUUGCUUUUAUAUUUAUUGCUUCUUCCCCCUCUUCUCUCGCUAGACACCGAGACCGACGCCGCUGCUACCCAGUACGACUAUGCUCUUGACGACCCCUCCUUCUCGGCUGAGCUUCCAGGCAAGCCCCCCCUGAUCACCAGAGAUCGCCUAUUCUACUCUCUACUGCUUGCAUUAGAGUAGUGUAGUAUGUUACUGCUUUCCGUUAAUCCUAUCCUGAUGCAUAGCCUGUCCUUGCUACUACUGUUGUUACCUUUACCUGCAAUCCUACAUGCUUAGUAUAGGAUGCUAGUAUUCCAUCUGUGGCCCUACAUUCUUGUCCGUCUUCCAUGCUAUACUAUCGGGCCGUGAUCACUCAGGAGGUGAUCACGGGUAUAUACUUAUAUACAUAAUAUAUGAUACCUGUGGUGACUAAAGUCGGGUCGGCUCGUAAGAGUACCCGCGAGUGAUUCACGGAUAGGGACCGAAAGGACGUUUGUACCGACGGCCCUCUGAGUGAACCUUUGUGGCGGAGCGGCAGGGCAGGUUGAGACCACCUAGGUGAGAGGUGGGCCUGGCCUUGGUCGGCGUUCGCGGUUACUUCAAAAUAACACGCUUAACGAGAUCUUGGUAUUUGAUCUGAGUCUGGCCACUGGCCUAUACGCACUAACCAACUACGCGGGAACAGUUAUGGGCACUCGACGUCGUGGUAUCAGCCGAAGCCUUCGUGACGUCAGCGACUGAGCGCCGCGCGCCGGAUUAGACUGGAACACCUGCUCUUGUAUUAGGGAGGCUAGGUUUGCUUCCGGCCGCGUACGCAACGUGCAGGUGUGCAAUGGGCGAUGGGCCCAGACCCCUGCGUGCAUAGGAUUUAGACUGGCGUGCUGACCUCUCUGUUGUGCCUAGGUGGGGCUGCGUCGUGUUGAUCUUCCGCGGCCGGGCAUGACCCAGAAAAGUGUGUCCGGCCAAAUGGGAUCGAGCGUGUUGGGUAAUGUGGUGCACCCCUGUAGGGAAGUUUAUCUAUUCGAAUAGUCGUGUCCCUCGGUAAUAGGACGACCCGGAGUUGUACCUUGACCUUAUGACAACUAGAACUGGAUACUUAAUAAAACACACCCUUCCAUGUGCCAGAUACAACUCGGUGAUCGCUCUCUAACAGGGCGGCGAGGAGAGGAUCGCCGGGUAGGAUUAUGCUAUAUGAUGCUACUUGGUGAACUUACCAUCUACUCUCUUCUACAUGCUGCAAGAUGGAGGCUGCCAGAAGCGUAGUCUUCGAUAGGAUUAGCUAUCCCCCUCUUAUUCUGGCAUUCUGCAGUUCAGUCCACCGAUAUGGCCCCUUUACACAUAUACCCAUGCAUAUGUAGUGUAGAUCCUUGCUUGCGAGUACUUUGGAUGAGUACUCAUGGUUGCUUUGCUCCCCCUUUCCCCCUUUUCCUUUAUUCCUAGUUGUCGCAACCAGAUGUUGGAGCCCAGGAGCCAGACGCCACCAUCGACGACGACUCCUACUACACCGGAGGUGCCUACUACUACGUACAGGCCACUGACGACGACCAAGAGUAGUUUAGGAGGAUCCCAGGCAGGAGGCAUGUGCCUCUUUCGAUCUAUAUCCCAGUUUGUGCUAGCCUUCUUAAGGCAAACUUGUUUACUUAUGUCUGUACUCAGAUAUUGUUGCUUCCGCUGACUCGUCUACGAUCGAGCACUUGUAUUCGAGCCCUCUAGGCCCCUGGCUUGUAUUAUGAUGCUUGUAUGACUUAUUUAUGUUUUAGAGUUGUGUUGUGAUAUCUUCCCAUGAGUUCCUGAUUUUGAUCGUCCACGUUUGCGUGCAUGAUUAGUGUACGAUUGAAUCGGGGGCAUCGCAAACAUCAUGUCUUCCUCACCCUCCAACAACGGAGAAGAAGACGCAGGGGUGGUUCAGGAGGAUCUAAGGAGAGGGGCAGCUGAAGGGGUUGCUAUGGAGGAAGAAGAGGAACAUCCUUUUGGGGUUCACUCUCCGGCUCCCGAGAGAGGCACAUUGGCUGGCAUCUCCACUCAUCUGAAUCCUCAUCAAGCUAUGAGAUCAUCAAAUAAUCAAGAGAGCCUCGAAGUGCAAGAAGAAAUCCCACCAAGAAGGCCUUUACACAGGUUAUAUUGUAACAAUUUUCGUAAUUUGAUUCACAAUUAUGGGUUCAAGACUCCUCGUAGGCACAUACCGUCCAAUUGGGACAUAUCUCGCCCAAGAGAAAACAGUGCAGGAACAAACCCGUGGGGCCCGGAAAAUAAACACAUAAUGGCUGAGGUGAAGAAAACAGUGAGUUACUUCAUCAAGCCCUUUGGGAGAUUCAAGGUUUGAAGGAUCUACUCAUGGUUAUAUUGGAGAAUACUACUUCACCACCACAUUCUUCUUCAUCACCAAAAGAAAAUUGAGUAACCGGUAUGGGCACUCCCCUUGGCUUCCGCCAAGCUUGGGGGAGGUGCCCCGGUAUCGUAUCAUCCCCACUAUCUUUAUUUAUUUUAGUUCGAUCUUUUGCUUUAGAUGAAUCAAAGCUUAGUUUGAUCCUUUAUUUUCGAGAGUUUGCUUAGUGAUUUAUCCUUGUAAUCGUGUGCAGGGAUGGAGCCAGGAUUGUACCAUCGGGGGGGCGAAGACAAUGACACAAGAUAUUUUUCUUCCACUAGGUUAAUCCGUUGUUCACUAAUUUCUUAACAGAAUUAACUAGCUUGUUACAGCGAUAAUAGGAAAAAGAGAUAGCAAAUCUGAGUACUAAUAGAAAGACAACGACACAAGAGAUGUAGGUUCAUGAAAUUUUACUAGUGACAUUUUUUUUUAUUCGGAGCUUGCAUAUAAAUUAAAUUAUGAUCCGGCUAUUACCUUGAUUCUUGGAAUCCUCAUAUUCACCAUUUCCUCUAAAAGGACAUGCUUGAAACAUUAACCGGUGAUGCAAUCAACAGAGUAUUAUGUAACAAGAAAUUUCGAGUGUCUAAAAAUUAAAUAAUUCUUGCUUACCUCAUAGCGUCAAUGGAGGUCUUUAGCGUUAGUUAGGAUUAGUCUGGUUUGCUUCGCUAGAUUGCGUAGUAGCAUCAUGUUCUCAUGGUGAGAGCUUGAACCAAUUGGUUUGAAAAUUUUAUUAAUCAAUUCGGCUGUCUUUCUCUUCAUGUCUACACAAGCGCAAAUAUAUAACUGGAAAUUUUAUAUUUGAUAAUUAAUGCACAUAGUUUGUAUGAUUAUACUUCUAAUCGGAUGUGAAAACAAAUUACCUUUUCCCUUUGUGUUGUUGCCGCUCAACCACCGUAUGCUCGAGCUGCCGGCUGCCGCAACCGGCGACGUGUCCGUGGAUUGGCGCAACGGCACCCGCCUGUCCUGGUGUCUCCUUUCCUUCUCUGCUUCUCGAUGGCGGCGGUGCGGCGCGAUGGAGAGAUCCCAUCGGAGUGGAUCGCAGCACGGCUUGGAACGAACAGACGUUCAGCGAUACUUGUGGGUUCGUGCUGUAAUGAACAGGGCCUCCUUCUGUUUCCACCAUGGCCUGCUUGGCGUUUUUGUGCUCCAUAUCUAAUGGGAUGUACUAGUACAUGGGCUGAGAAUUCACACUAAUUACCAUGGCCGAGCGGGAUAGGGGGGCGAAGCAUGUUACGUACAUGUACGCAAGCAGAAAUAUCAGGGAAAACCUGAUCGCUAUCGAGGGACGACUCGAUCGUUAGGGGGGUCUCUCCCCCCUCGUCCCCCCCUUAAUCUGUCCCUGAUCGUGUGUGAGAUAUAUAAUAAAGUUUAGUUUAAGUUUUUGCUUUCUUUACUUUCUUGUUGCAAUAAAAAGAAAGGAAAGAAAAUAAAUCAAGAAGAUCAUAUGCUAAUCUUAUGGUAGGUGAUGACACCACAUAAGGAAAAGUAUAAGUAGAAAAUUUUAUUAGAGAUUGACAAACAUAACAUUAGUCAAUGUUGCAACUCAUGAAAGAAUUAAUAAGGGAAAAGAAGAUUCACAUAUAAAUAUACUAUCCUAGAAAUCUUUUGUGAUUGUGAGCCCCCAUCAAAAUAUUAUAUUUCAAAAUUGUUGACGUUGGACAAGGAAGACAACAUAAUGAUUUAUGUUUGUUCAUAUUCACACAGAAGUCAUAUUGUUAUAGAUCCUUUAACAUGUGGUGCUUGCCCCCUAUCUUUGCUAGCCAAAAAUUCUGCACCAAGUAGAGAUACUACUUGUGCAUCCAAAAACCCUUAAACCCAAAUCUUAUUUUCAAGAGUCCACCAUACCUACCUAGGGAUUGAGAAAGAUCCCUCAAGUAAGUUGUCAUCGGUGCAAAAAGGCAAUGAAAAUUGCUUCUAAAAGUGUGAGAUCAUUUAGUGUAAAAGAAAAUUGAGCGAUGUGAUGGUGAAGAAUAAAAGCGACAGACUGCAUAAUAAAGGUUGCCAUCACAAGGGGCAAUACAACGUGAUGUUCUUUUGCACUAAGGGGUUGAGCAUACAAACAAAUAAGCGCAUGGCAAGCUCUGCUUCCCUCUGCAAAGGGCCCAUCUUUUACUUUUAUGUAUUUACUUUUAUGCAAAGAGUCAAAGUUUUCUCUCUAUUCCUUUUUAUUUUUCUCCUUUGGCAAGCAUCAUGUGGUGAGGAAAGAUCUAGGCACAUAUGUCCAGCUGAAUAUGGGUAACAUGAGUUAAUAUUGUUGACAUCACCUUUGAGGUGAAUACGUUAGGAGGCGAAACUAUAAGCCCCUAUCUUUCUAUGUGUCCAGUUGAAACAUUUUGCUCAUGACUAUGCGGUGAGUGUUAGCAAUCAUAGGAGACUAUAUGAUGGUUGAGUAUGUGGACUUGCCUAAAGGCUCCGAUACAUGACCCUUCCUGAAAAGAUGAUGAAUUGUAUUUGCAAAGUUGACGGAGAACAUAGUUUGUUGGUUUCUAAUAGAGUUUUUGCUUUACACUUUGAUAGUGUGAUGAAUUGUCACUUAUUCAUGAGAAGUCUACGAUAAAAGUUCUAUGAUAAGAGUCUUAUGUCUAAGUUUGUUGCUGUUAUAAUAAUCAACAUGAUGCUUCUAUGUCCGUAUUUUAUUUUUAUCGACACCUCUCUCUCUCUCUAAGCAUGUGGACAUGUUUUUCGAUUUCGGUUUUCGCUUGAGGACAAGCGAGGUCUAAGCUUGGGGGAGUUGAUACGUCCAUUUUGCAUCAUGUUUUCCCACUGUUAUUUUAUGAUGUUUUUGUGCAUAAUAAUGCUUUUUGUAGUAAUUCUAAUGCCUUUUCUCUCAUAAUACGCAAGGUACACACAAAGAGGGAGAAUUCCGAUAGCUGGAAAUCUGGACCUGCAAAAGCUACGUCAGGCUACCUAUUCUACACAACUCCAAACAAGCUGAAACUUUACGGAGAAUUUUUAUGGAAUAUAUGAAGAAUAUUGGAGCAAAUAAGUACCAGAGGGGGCCCACCAGGUGGGCACAACCCACUGCUACCUCUUGAGCAUGCGUUGGUUUUCCCUUGAAGAGGAAAGGGUGAUGCAGCAAAGUAGCGUAAGUAUUUCCCUCAGUUUUUGAGAACCAAGGUAUCAAUCCAGUAGGAGACUACACGCAAGUCGCCUAGUACCUACAAAACAGUCAAGAACCUUGCAACCAACGCGAUAAAGGGGUUGUAAAUCCCUUCACGGCCACUUGCAAAAGUGAGAUCUGAUAAAGAUAAUAAGAUAAAUAUUUUUGGUAUUUUUGUUGUAUAGAUUGGAAAGUAAAGAUUGCAAAAUAAAUAGUAAACUAGAAUUGUAGAUUGGAAACUUAUAUGAUGUAAAGUAGACCCGGGGGCCAUAGGUUUCACAAGUGGCUUCUCUCAAGAUAGCAUAUAUUACGGUGGGUGAACAAAUUACUGCUGAGCAAUUGAUAGAAAAGCGCAUAGUUAUGAGAAUAUCUAGGCAUGAUCAUGAACAUAGGCAUCACGUCCGUGUCAAGUAGACCGAAACGAUUCUGCAUCUACUACUAUUACUCCACACAUCGACCGCUAUCCAGCAUGCAUCUAGAGUAUUAAGUUCAUAAGAACAGAGCAAUGCAUUAGGCAAGAUGACAUGAUGUAGAGGGAUAAACUCAAGCAAUAUGAUAUAAACCCCAUAUUUUUAUCCUCGAUGGCAACAAUACAAUACGUGUCGGUUCCCUUUCUGUCAUUGGGAUCGAGCACCACAAGAUUGAACCCCAAUGCUAAGCACUUCUCCCAUUGCAAGAAAGAUCAAUCUAGUAGGCCAAACUAAACCGAUAAUUCGAAGAGACUUGCAAAGAUAUCAAAUCAUGCAUAUAAGAAUUCAGAGAAGAAUCAAAUAUUGUUCAUAGAUAAUCUUGAUCAUAAACCCACAAUUCAUCGGAUCUCGGCAAACACACCGCAAAAAGUAUUACAUCGAAUAGAUCUCCAAGAACAUUGAGGAGAACUUUGCAUUGAGAUCCAAAGAGAGAGAAGAAGCCAUCUAGCUAAUAACUAUGGACCCGAAAGUCUGUGGUAAACUACUCACACAUCAUCGGAGAGGCUAUAGCGUUGAUGUAGAAGCCCUCCGUGAUCGAAUCCCCCUCCGGCAGAUCACCGGAAAAGGCCCCAAGAUGGGAUCUCACGGGUACAAAAGGUUGUGGCGGUGGAAAAGUGGUUUUUGGCUCCCCUGAAUGUUUUCAGGGUAUAAGAGUAUAUAUAGGCGAAAGAAGUAGGUCGGUGGAGCUACGAGGGGCCCACGAGGGUGGGGGCCGCGCCUACCCCCUCUGGGCGUGCCCUCCUGCCUCGUGGCCGCCUCGUUGCUUCCUUGACUUCCACUCCAAGUCUCCUGGAUUGCAUUUGUUCCAAAAAAGAUCCUCGCGAAGGUUUCAUUCCGUUUGGAUUCCGUUUGAUAUUCCUUUUGUGCGAAACACUGAAAUAGGCAAAAAAACAGCAAUUUGCACUGGGCCUUCGGUUAAUAGGUAAGUCCCAAAAAUAAUAUAAAAAGGUAUAUUAAAGCCCAUUAAACAUCCAAAAUAGAUAAUAUAAUAGCAUGGAACAAUCAAAAAUUAUAGAUACGUUGGAGACGUAUCACCCACCUGGGCGCGCCAGGGAGCCCAGGCGCGCCCUGGUGGGUUGUGCUCACCCAGGCCCACCACCGGUGCCCAUAUUCUGGUAUAUAGGUAUUUUUGAACUAGAAAAAAUAAGGAGAAGAUUUUCGGGACGGAGCGCCGCCGUCUCGAGGCGGAACUUGGGCAGGAGCACUUUUGCCUUCCGCCGGGGGAACUUCCCUCACGGAGGGGGAAAUGAUCGUCAUCAUCAUCACCAACAACUCUCCCAUCUUAGGGAGGGAAAUCUCCAUCAACAUCUUCAACAGCACCAUCUCAUCUCAAACCCUAGUUCAUCUCUUGUGUUCAAUCUUGUUACCGGAACUAUAGAUUGGUGCUUGUGGGUGACUAGUAGUGUUGAUUACAUCUUGUAGUUGAUUACUAUAUGGUUUAUUUGGUGGAACACUAUAUGUUCAAAUCCAUUAUGCUAUUUAAUACCCCUCUGAUCUUGAGCAUGAUUAUCAUUUGUGAGUAGUUACUUUUGUUCUUGACGGGAGAAAUCAUGUUGCAAGUAAUCAUAUGAACUUGAUGUGUGUUUGAUAUUUUGAUAGUAUGUGUGUUGUGAUUCUGUUAGUGGUGUCAUGUGAACGUUGAUUACAUGAAACUUCACCAUAUUUGGGCCUAAGGGAAUGCAUUGUGGAGUAGUAAUUAGAUGAUGGGUUGCGAGAGUGACAGAAGCUUAAACCCCAGUUUAUGCGCUAUUCCAUAAGGGACCGAUUGUAUCCAAAAGUUUAAUGCUAUGGUUAGAAUUUAUUCUUAAUACUUUUCUCGUAGUUGCGGAUGCUUGCAAGAAGGUUAAUCAUAAGUAGGAGGUUUAUUCAAGUAAGAACAGCACCUAAGCACCGGUCCACCCACAUAUCAAAUUAUCAAAGUAGCGAACACAAAUCGAAUCAACAUGAUGAAAGUGACUAGAUGAAAUUCCCGUGUACCCUCAAGAACGCUUUGCUUACUAUAAGAGACCCUUUUGGCCUGUCCUUUUCCUUAAAAGGAUUGGACUAUCUUGCUGCACUUUUGCUACCAUUAUCAUUACUUGCUCGUUACAAAUAUCUUGCUAUCAAACUACUCUAUUACUUAAAAUUUCAGCACUUGCAGACAUUACCUUGCUGAAAACCACUUGUCAUUUCCUUCUGCUCCUCGUUGGGUUCGACACUCUUACUUAUCAAAAAGAGCAACAAUUGAUCCCCUAUACUUGUGGGUCAUCAACAACAUACAUCAAAGCUUCAAAAAAUAAUGUAACAAGAAAUUACAAUAAAGCUUUGAGAAGCAUGUAGCAUGAGUAAGUGUAGGAUCGUAAGUAGGUCUAGAGUGGGGGUGAUUAGACUACUUUACCAAAUAAAAACCUAUCCUUUUCCCAAUUUUAGUUGUAGGAAAUUUUUAGCAACGAUCAUAAGUCAAGGAACACCCUACACAUGCAAGUAUAGAUGGUAGGCAGCGGAAGGUAAAGACUUUGCAUAUGAACGUAAAGGAGGGGAUCGAAGAUAUCAAACGCAAUGAAGAAGCGAUGAUUUUUGGCAUGGUUCCGAUAGGCGGUGUGCUACUUGUGAGCUGUAUUGGGAUUUCCUCAAAGAGGAGAGGAGAUGUAGUGCAGUAGAGAUAAGUAUUUCCCCUAGUUAAGAACUAAGGUUAUCAAUCCAGUAGGAGAAUCACACAAAGCCUCGUGAACAACACCUGCACAUACAAAUGCAAAUACUUGCACCCAACGCAAACAAGAGGGUUGUCAAUCCCCUUGGCGGUUAUUUGCAAGGAUUAAAUCUUGUAGUGGUAGAUAGAUAAAUUGCAAAGAUAAAAUAAAAUAAAAUAGAAAAUUGCAGCAAAUCUAUUUUUGUGUUUUAUAUAUGAUAAAAGUAGACCCCAUGGGCCAUAGUUUUCACUAGAGGCUUCUCUCUCGAACACAUAUCAUACGGUGGGUAAACAAAUUACUGUCGGGCAAUUGAUAGAAAAGCGCAUAGUUGUGACGAUAUUCAAGGCGAUGAUCAUGUAUAUAGGCAUCACAUCCGAGAAAAGUAGACCGACUCUUGCCUACAUCUACUACUAUUACCCCACCCAUCGACCGCUGUCCAGCAUGCAUCUAUGGUAUUAAGUUAAUAAAAACAGAGUAACACCUUAAGCAAGAUGACAUGAUGUAGACAAAGUAAACUCAACUAAUAUGAAUAAACCCCAUCGUUUUAUCCUUAAUGGCAACACUAAAAAUACGUGUCUUGACCCUUUUUGCCACUAGGAUACAACACCGCAAGAUUGAACCCAUCACAAGGCACCUCUCCAACUAAAGAUAAAUCAAUCUAGUUGGUCAAACCAAACAGAUAGAUCGGAGAGAAAUACAAAGCUAUGACAAUCAUGCAUAAAUAAGUUCAGAGAAGACUCAAAUAUUUCUCAUGAAUAUUCAGAUCAUAAACCCACAAUUCAUCGGAUCCCAACAAACACACCCCAAAAGAAGAUUAUAUCGAAUAGAACUCCAAGAAGCUCGAGGAGAACAUGGUAUUGAAUAUCAAAGAGAGAGAAGAAUCAUCUAGCUACUAGCUAUGGACCCGUAGGUUUGUGGUAAACUACUCAUGCAUCAUCGAUAGGGUCGCAAGGUUGAUGUGGAAUCCCUCCGUGAUCGAUCCCCCCUGUGGCAGAGUACCAAAAAAGGCCUCCAGAUGGGAUCGCGGAAGAACAGAGACUCACGGUGACGGAAAAAGUAUUUUGGGUGGCUCUCUGACGGUUUCCCAAUAUUUAAGAAUUUAUAGAAGUAGAAUUAGGUCAGACGGAGCCACAUGGGGGCAACAAGGAAAUAGUGUGUGCCUAGCCCCCCCCCCCCCAUGGUGCGCCCUGUUGCCUUGUUGUCUCCUCGUUUGUCGUCUCGUCUCCUCCUGAAGCUUCCAGGCAUUGUUUUGUCCAGAAAAAAUCAUCAAAGAGUUUCGCAGCGUUUGGAAUCCGUUUGGUACAGAUUUCUUGGAAAACCAAAAACAAGCAGAAAACAACAAUUGGCACUAGGCACUGGGUUAAUAGGUUAGUCCCCAAAAAUAAUAUAAAAUUGCAUAUUAAAGCAUAUAAAAUAUCCAAGAUUGAUAAUAUAAUAUCAUGAAACAAGCAAAAGUUAUAGAUACGUUGGAGACGUGUCAGGUACGAAGGGAGAUGAUGUUUAACCAAGUUCGGGCCCUUUCAAAUAGGUAAAACCCUACGUCCUGUAUUGAUUAUAUUAAUGUGAUGGAGUACAGAGUACAAGAUGAUCUACCUCGAUAUCGUAUGAUUGUGUUCUAAACCCCAAGGCUGGUAAUCGCGUUCCUAAAGACUAAACCCCUCGGCUUAUAUAUGCACCGGUGGUACUAAUGAGUGAUAUUUUUACACUCAUUUCACCUUCGUUUAAACCGAGAUAUUUCAUUUAAAAAGAGAUAUUCGCUCCGAUAUUGGUACUAAUGACUAAUGAAUGCAAAUGAUUCCACAAAUCCUCUCUUUGAUGUGUUUCCACGGGAAAUGGGCUAAAAGGAAAGAAAUCAUGUGUGGAAAUGGAAUGGAAGGAGAAUGGAGGAAGAAUGAAUCAACCGGAGUCAUUGCUGCGAAAAAAGAAAAAAAAACGGUGUUCCAUACGGGCGCAUGCGCCCGUAUGAGUGCCCAUUUGGCGUGGAUUUCGAGGCAGAUCAUCCACCUGAAAAUCUUUCGUUUAAGGGACCCCGUCGAAUUCUCAACAAACAGACGAGCACAGAAGCCAGAACCUCUUCAUCAUCAUCUUCAUCCACAAACCCUAGCCGCCGCCAUCUCCAUAUCCAUAGCCAUCUCCAGCUCCACCAUAGUGCUCUCUCAUCGCAUUCAUACUUGUAAUCGUGUAUCGCACAAGGUAGCCAUUGUAAGACAUAUAGCAAUCAAUCAAUCUGAAGAUGUGUUCCUCAAUGUUUUCUUCACACGAUCUGAUCUCCAUGUGUGAGUAGUUCUCUAAGGUAUGGGUUGAGGCAUAAGCCUUGCAACCCAAAGUAUUUGUUGAGUGGAUCAAUGUAAGACUUUGACAUAACGUUUCGUAUAAGGGACCUUGAUGUGUUAUAUCGGACACCAGUGACAGCAAGGUUCACUAGGGUAACAUGGAUCACAUCCUUGGGGAUAAAUGAGGUGUAGUCCUUCAACGCCGAAAGCUCUUGUCUGAUUUCAUUAUCUUAAUUAUUGAGGCAACCCCGCGUGAUGGAUAGGGCCCGUGGUAGGACAACUAAUUCUUAAUGCAGGACUCGUGCCGGUCAAGAUGUUAUUUGGACAUAUCCCCCACAUCGAUCCAUAACAAGCACAUGUCGAUGGGUGACUUCCAGCAAAGAAUAAUAUAUUAUUUGAUCCCAACGUAAAUACAAGGUUGUAAGCAUAAGACUGAUGACCCACAAGUAUAGGGGAUCUAUCAUAGUCCUUUCGAUAAGUAAGAGUGUCGAACCCAACGAGGAGCAGAAGGAAAUGACAAAUGGUUUUCAGUAAGGUAUUCUCUGCAAGCACUGAAAUUAUCGGUAACAGAUAGUUUUGUGAUAAGGUAAUUUGUAACGGGUAACAAGUAAUGAAAGUAAAUAAGGUGCAAAAAGAUGGCCCAAUCCUUUUUGUAGCAAAGGACAAGCCUGGACAAACUCUUAUAUGAAGGAAAACGCUCCCUAGGACACAUGGGAAUUAUCGUCAAGCUAGUUUUCAUCACGCUCAUAUGAUUCGCGUUCGUUACUUUCAUAAUUUGGUAUGUGGGUGGACCGGUGCUUGGGUGCUACCCUUCCUUGGACAAGCAUCCCACUUAUGAUUAACUCCUAUUGCAAGCAUCCACAACUACAAAAGAAGUAUUAAGGUAAACCUAACCAUAGCAUGAAACAUAUGGAUCCAAAUCAGCCCCUUACGAAGCAACUCAUAAACUAGGGUUUAAGCUUCUGUCACUCUAGCAACCCAUCAUCUACUUAUUACUUCCCAAUGCCUUCCUCUAGGCCCAAACAAUGGUGAAGUGUCAUGUAGUCGACAUUCACAUAACACCACUAGAGGAGAGACAACAUACAUCUCAUCAAAAUAUCGAACGAAUACCAAAUUCACAUGACUACUUAUAGCAAGACUUCUCCCAUGUCCUCAGGAACAAACGUAACUUCUCACAAAUCAUAUUCAUGUUCAUAAUCAGAGGGGUAUUAAUAUGCAUUAAGGAUCUGAACAUAUGAUCUUCCACCAAAUAAACCAACUAGCACCAAUUACAAGGAGUAAUCAACACUACUAGCAACCCACAGGUACCAAUCUGAGGUUUUGGGACAAAGAUUGGAUACAAGAGAUGAACUAGGGUUUUAGAGGAGAUGGUGCUGGUGAAGAUGUUGAUGGAGAUUGGCCCCCUCCCGAUGAGAGGAUCGUUGGUGAUGACGAUGGCGAUGAUUUCCCCCUCCCGGAGGGAUCUUUCCCCGGCAGAACAGCUCCGCCGGAGCCCUAGAUUGGUUCCGCCAAGGUUCCACCUCGUGGCGGCAGUGUUUCGUCCGAAAAGCUUGCUUAUGAUUUUUUUUCUAGGGUAAAAGACUUCAUAUAGCAGAAGAUGGGCAUCGGAGGCCUGCCAGGGGGCCCACAAGGCAGGGGCGCGCCCAGGGGGUAGGGCGCGCCCCCCACCCUCGUGGCCAGGGUGUGGGCCCCCUCUGGUUGAUUCUUUCUCCAGUAUUUUUUAUUAACUCCAAAACAUGUCUCCGUGAAGUUUCAGGACUUUUGGAGUUGUGGAGAAUAGGUCUCUAAUAUUUGCUCCUUUCCAAGCCCAGAAUUCCAGCUGCCGGCAUUCUCCCUCUUCAUGUAAACCUUGUAAAAUAAGAGAGAAAAGGCAUAAGUAUUGUGACAUAACGUGUAAUAACAGCCCAUAAUGCAAUAAAUAUCGAUAUAAAAGCAUGAUGCAAAAUGGACGUAUCAACUCCCCCAAGCUUAGGCCUCGCUUGUCCUCAAGCGGAAGACGAUAUCGAAAAAUAUGUCCACAUGUUUAGAGAUAGAGGUGUCGAUAAAAUAAAAUACGGACAUGAGGGCAUCAUGAUCAUUCUUAUAACAGCAACAUAUAUAUAUUGUCAUAUGAUUUCUUAUGCUAUAGUAACAAUCUAUUCACAAUGUAAGGUAUGAAUCGGAAACUUCAUUGAGAACCAACAAACUAUAAUCUCAGUCAUUGAAGCAAUUGCAAUUUAUCAUAACAUUGGAAAGAGUCAAUAUAAGAGCUUUUCGGCAAGUCCACAUACUCAACUAUCAUUUAGUCUUUCAUAAUUGCUAACACUCACGCAAUACUUAUGGGUAUGGAGUUUUAAUCGGACACAGAGAAAGAUAGGGGCUUAUAGUGUUGCCUCCCAACCUUCUACCUCAAGGGUAAUGUCAACAAUAAUAGUUCAUGCUAACUUACAUCCAAUUGGAUAUAUAUAUAUAUUAGGAUCUUUCCAACACAAUGUGCUUGCCAAAAGAUAAAAUGUAAAAAAGAAAGGUGAAGAUCACCAUGACUCUUGUAUAAGGUAUAAGACAAGAAUAAAAGAUAGGCCCUUCGCAGAGGGAAGCAGAGGUUGUCAUGUGCUUUUAUGGUUGGAUGAACAAAAUCUUAAUGCAAAAUAACAUCACUUUAUAUUGCCACUUGUGAUAUGGACCUUUAUUAUGCAGUCCGUCGCUUUUAUUGCUUCGAUAUCACAAGAUCGUAUAAAGCUUAUUUUCUCCACACUAAUAAAUCAUACAUAUUUAGAGAGCAAUUUUUAUUGCAUACAACAAUGACAACUUACUUGAAGGAUCUUACUCAAUCCAUAGGUAGGUAUGGUGGACUCUCAUGGCAAAAACUGGGUUUAAGGAUAUUUGGAAGCACAAGUAGUAUCUCUACUUGGCACAAAGAAUUUGGCUAGCAUGAGAGGGAAAGGCAAGCUCAACAUGUUGGAUGAUCCAUGGCAAUAUACUUUAUUUCAGAUAUAAGAGAACAUAACUCAUUGCGUUGUCUUCCUUGUCCAACAUCAACUUUUUAGCAUGUCAUAUCUUAAUGAGUGCCCACAAUCAUAAAAGAUGUCCAAGAUAGUAUAUUUAUAUGUGAAAACCUCUCUUUCUUUAUUACUUCCUAUUAUUUGCAACGAUGACCAAAACUAUGUUUGUCAACUCUCAACAACUUUUAUUCAUCAUACUCUUUAUAUGUGAAGUCAUUACUCUCCAUAAGAUCAAUAUGAUCUCUUUACUUCUUUUUAUUCUUUUAUUCCCUCAAGAUCAUAGCAAGAUAAUCAAGACGUUGACUCAACACUAAUAUUUAUUAUAUAUAGCUCACGGACUCGAUUACAUAGAAGGCUCAUAAAGCAAAACUCAAAACUAAAUCAUACUAAAAUUUUAUUCUACUAGAUCAAAAUAUAACCAAAAGGAUCGAACUAAGAAAAACGGUAGAUAGGAGUGUGAUGGUGAUACGAUACCGGGCACCUCCCCCAAGCUUGGCAGUUGCCAAGGGGAGUGCCCAUACCCGAUACUCAGUUUUCCUUCCUCGGAGGUGGUGAUGAUGGAGUUGUUGAUGAUGUAGGCUUGUCGUCCCUCUUCCAAGGCAUAGGCUCACCAUCAUAGAAAGAUGACCGAGUCUCCGGGAUCCUCAAAUCUGCAGCCAAACUCAUCCUCUUGAAUCUAUAUUCAUACUCAUAGUUUUGAUUUUGCAGGUCAUAGAUAUGGGCUUGGAGGUGCUCGAUUUUCUCGUGAAGCUUGAAGAUGGCCUACCCAAUGUUGUUGGCAUCCAGCUUGUGGUUGUUGGUGAACUCCGUGAUCAUCAUGUGGUUGGUGUCGAGUCCGCGUUCCACCAUCCCUUGGCACUUGAAAACUUGCUGCUCCAUUGCUUCGAGUCUUGUCUCCACGCUUCCGGUCCUCCUGGGUCCCUCAACAUCGCGGAUGUGCAACACCCCCUCAUGCAUCUCAAUGGUUUGAGGAUGUUGCGGCACUUCCGCGAGGUAGGGGUUGAUGACCUUCUCGAAGAACUUGUCCUUGGGGGCACUUGGAGACGUCAUGGUGAUCUAGAUCUGUCAGAAAAACAGCUUGAAACAAAAACAGAGGAUAUUUGCGUGGUACGGUGGUCAAAACCUUCGGGAUAUUAUAUAAUGAAUUUUUACCGACUAAAAGAAGUACCGUGCAAGAAAACGGAGUCCGGAGGGCACACGAGGUGCCCACGAGGCAGGGGGGCGUGCCCAGGAGGGUAGGGCGCGCCCUCCACCCUCGUGGGUGCCUCGUGUCCCUUUCGGACUACUUCUUAUUUUCCUAUUUUUUUAAUAUUCCAAAACAGAGAAAUAUUGCUAUUAGAACUGUUUUGGAGUCUGUUUACUUACCGUACCACAUACCUAUUCCUUUUCGGAGUCUGAAACGUUCUGGAAAGUGUCCCUUAUAUAUUCCUUCGGGGUUACAGUUUCAAUAACAUUGGUUUCAACAUUUAUAGGAUUACCUCAGAUAUAAUGUUUGAUUCUUUGACCGUUCACCACCUUUGGAUUUGUGCCUUCGAAGUUGUUGAUUUUUAUGGCACCGGAACGAUAGACCUCCUCGAUAAGGUAAGGACCUUCCCAUUUAGAGAGGAGUUUUCCUGCAAAAAAUCUUAAACGAGAUUUGAAUAGCAACACAUAAUCACCUACGUUAAACUCACGCUUUUGUAUCCUUUUGUCAUGCCAUGUUUUAACUUUUUCUUUAAAUAGUUUGGCAUUCUCAUAGGCCUGGGUUCUCCAUUCAUCAAGCGAGCUUAUGUCAAAUAACCUCUUCUCACCGGCAAGUUUGAAAUCAUAAUUGAGCUCUUUAAUGGCCCAAUACGCCUUAUGUUCUAGUUCGAGAGGUAAGUGACAUGCUUUCCCAUAAACCAUUUUAUACGGAGACAUACCCAUAGGAUUUUUAUAUGCAGUUCUAUAGGCCCAUAAUGCAUCAUCAAGUUUCUUAGACCAAUUCUUCCUAGAUCUAUUAACAGUCUUUUGCAAAAUUGACUUGAUCUCUCUAUUACUCAAUUCUACUUGACCACUAGACUGCGGGUGAUACGGAGAUGCAAUUCUAUGAUUAACAUCAUACUUAGCAAGCAUCUUACGAAAAGCGCCAUGAAUAAAAGUGAACCACCAUCAGUCAUUAAAUAUCUAGGGACUUCAAACCUCGGAAAAAUAACUUCUUUAAGCAUCUUAAUAGAGGUGUUAUGAUCAGCACUACUAGUUGGAAUAGCUUCUACCCACUUAGUAACGUAAUCAACAUCAACUAAAAUAUGUGUAUACCCGUUAGAGGAAGGAAACGGUCCCAUAUAAUCAAAGCCCCAAACAUCAAAUGGUUCAAUAACAAGUGAAUAAUUCAUAGGCAUUUCUUGGCGUGUACUAAUAUUACCAAUUCUUUGACAUUCAUCACAAGACAAGACAAACUUACGGGCAUCUUUGAAGAGAGUAGGCCAAUAAAAACCGGAUUGCAAUACCUUAUGCGCAGUUCUAUCUCCAGUGUGGUGUCCUCCAUAAGCUUCGGAGUGACACUUGCGUAGGAUCUGUUCCUGUUCAUGCUCAGGUACACAACGUCUAAUAACACCAUCUACUCCUUCUUUAUAAAGGUGUGGGUCAUCCCAGAAGUAAUGUCUUAAAGCAUAGAAAAACUUUUUCGUUUGCUGAUAUGUGAAACUAGGUGUUAUAAAUUUAGCAACAAUGUAAUUAGCAUAAUCAGUACGAGAAGCAUUUAUGACAGCUAAUUGUUCAUCAGGAAAGCUAUCAUCAAUAGGUAGUGGGUCAUCAAGAACAUUCUCUAACCUAGACAAGUUGUCUACAACGGGGUUCUCAGCUCCCUUUCUAUCAAUAAUAUGCAAAUCAAAUUCUUGUAGCAAGAGAACCCAUCUAAUAAGUCUAGGUUUAGCAUCUUUCUUUUUCAUAAGGUAUUUAAUAGCAGCAUGAUCAAUGUGAACAGUUACUUUAGAAUCAACAGUAUAAGGUCUAAACUUAUCACAAGCAAAUACAACUGCUAAGAAUUCUUUCUCAGUAGUAGCAUAAUUUCUCUGGGCACUGUCUAGAGUUUUACUAGCAUAUUGGAUAACAUUUAAUUUCUUAUCAACUCUUUGUCCUAGAACAGCACCUACAGCAUAAUCACUAGCAUCACACAUCAUUUCAAAGGGUAAAUUCCAAUCAGGUGGCUGAACAAUAGGUGCAAAAAUCAAGGCUUUCUUAAGUAUUUCAAAUGCUUCUACACAAUCAUCAUCAAAGACAAAAGGAACAUCUUUUUGUAAGAGAUUAGUCAGAGGCCUAGAGAUUUUUGAGAAGUCUUUAAUGAACCUCCUAUAAAAAACGGCAUGACCAAGGAAACUUAUUAUACCUUUAGUGUCCUUAGGACACGGCAUGUUUUCAAUAGCAUCAACUUUAGCUUUAUCAACUUCAAUACCUCUUUCAGAAAUUUUAUGCCCCAAGACAAUACCUUCAUUAACCAUAAAGUGGCACUUCUCCCAAUUCAAGACAAGAUUAGUUUCUUCACAUCUCUGCAAAAAUCGAUCAAGGUUGCUUAAGAAAUCAUCAAAAGAAGUUCCGUAAAUGGAGAAAUCAUCCAUGAAAACCUCAACAAUCUUUUCACAAAAGUCAGAGAAUAUAGCAGUCAUACAUCUUUGAAAGGUAGCAGGUGCAUUGCAUAAACCAAAAGGCAUAUGUCUAUAAGCAAAAGUACUAAAAGAGCAAGUAAAAGUGGUCUUUUCUUGGUCCUCUUUUGACACAGGUAUUUGAGAGAAACCAGAAUAACCAUCUAGAAAGCAAAAAUGUGUAUGUUUGGAUAAUCUUUCUAGCAUUUGAUCAAUAAAAGGUAAAGGGUAAUGAUCCUGUUUAGUAGCUUUAUUUAAUUUGUGGAAAUCAAUUACCAUUCUACAACCUGUAAUAAUUUCUUUGUGGGAUCAACUCAUCUUUAUCAUUAGGAACAACAGUAAUACCUCCCUUCUUAGGGACACAAUGGACAGGACUUACCCACUGACUAUCAGCAACGGGAUAAAUUAUACCUGCCUCCAAAAGCUUUAGUAUUUCUUUUCUUACCACUUCUUUCAUCUUAGGAUUUAACCGUCGUUGGUGAUCAACAACCGGUUUAGCGUCCUUCUCCAAUUUUAUUUUGUGUUGACAUAGAGUGGGACUAAUGCCCUUAAGAUCAUCAAGAGUAUAUCCAAUAGCAGCACGGUGCUUCUUUAGAGUUUUCAAUAAUUUCUUUUCUUCAUGCUCUGAAAGGUUAGCACUAAUAAUAAUAGGAUAUAUCUUCUUUUCAUCAAGAUAAGCAUACUUAAGAGUAUCAGGUAAUGGUUUAAGCUCAAACACGGGAUCACCCUUGGGUGGAGGGGGAUCCCCUAGGAUUUCAACAGGCAAGUUGUGUUUCAAAAUAGGUCCCUGUUUAAAGAAUACUUCAUCUAUUUCCCUUCUUUCAUUCAUAAACAUAUCAUUUUCAUGGUCGAGAAAAUAUUGUUCUAAAGGAUCAUUAGGAGGCACGGCAAUAGAAGCAAGACCAAUAAUUUCAUCUUUACUAGGCAAUUCUUUAUCAUGGGGUUGUCUACGAAAUUUAGCAAAAUUAAACUCAUGAGACAUAUCCCCCAAACCAAUAGUAACAACAUCCUUUUGCAGUCUAUCCUAGCAUUAACAGUAUUCAAGAAGGGUCUACCAAAUAUAAUGGGACAAAAGUUAUCUUGUGGGGAACCAAGAACAAGAAAAUCAGCAGGGUAUUUAACUUUCCCACACAAGACUUCAACAUCUCUAACAAUCCCAACUGGUGAAAUAGUGUCUCUAUUGGCAAGCUUAAUUGUAACAUCAAUUUCCUCUAUCUCAGCAGGUGCAAUAUCAUGCAUAAUUUCUUUGUAUAAGGAAUGAGGUAUUGCACUUGCACUAGCACCCAUAUCACAUAAGCCAUGAUAGCAAUGAUCUCCUACUUUAACAGAAAUAACAGGCAUGCCAACAACAGGUCUAUGUUUACCCUUAGUAUCGGGUCUAGCAAUUCUAGCAGCUUCAUCACAGAAGUAAAUAACAUGCCCAUCAAUAUUAUCGGCCAAGAGAUAUUUAACCAUAGCAAUACUAGGUUCAACUUUAAUUUGCUCACGGGGUGUAGGUGUUCUAGUAUUACUCUUACGAACCACAGUUGAAACUUUAGCAUGAUCCUUUAUUCUAAUAGGGAAAGGUGGUUUCUCAAUAUAAGCGGUAGGAACAAUAGGAUCAACAUUAUAAGUGAUAGUCUUUUCUUCAACUUUAAUAGGUGCAACUACUUUUACUUCAAUGGGAGGAUUAUAUUUAAACCACUUCUCCUUAGGGAGAUCAACAUGAGUAGCAAAGGAUUCACAGAAAGAAGCUACUAUCUCAGAGUCAAGUCCAUAUUUAGUGCUAAAUUCACGGAAAACAUCGGUAUCCAUAAAAGACUUAACACAAUCAAACUUAGGUGUUAUACCUGACUCCUUACCUUCGUCGAGAUCCCAAUAUUCAGAGUUGCGUUUAAUUCUUUCCAAUAAAUCCCAUUUGAAUUCAAUAGUCUUCAUCAUAAAAGAGCCAGUACAAGAAGUAUCGAGCAGGGAGCGAUUGUUGAGAGAAAGCCGAGCAUAAAAAUUUUGAAUAAUAAUUUCUCUUGAGAGCUCAUGAUUGGGGCAUGAAUAUAACAUUUACUUAAGCCUCCCCCAAGCUUGAGCGAUGCUUUAUCCUUCGUGAGGCCAAAAAUUAUAUAUAUAUAAUUACGAUCACGAUGAACAAGAUGCAUAGGAUAAAACUUCUGAUGAAAUUCCAAUUUCAAUCGGUUGUAGUUCCAUGAUCCCAUAUCAUCACAUAGCCUAAACCAUGUCAAUGCCUUUCCCUUCAAAGAUAAAGGGAAGACCUUCUUCUUGAUAACAUCCUCGGGCAAACCUGCAAGCUUAAAUAAUCCACAAACUUCAUCCACAUAGAUUAGGUGCAAAUCGGGAUGUAAUGUUCCAUCUCCUGUAAAAGGAUUAGCUAGCAGUUUCUCUAUCAUACCCGAAGGAAUUUCAAAGUAAACAUUUUCAGUAGGUUCAGUAGGUUGAGGAGCAACUCUUUUCUCUACUGGUCGGGGUGAAGAUACCCCGAACAAGCCCCUCAAAGGAUUAUGUUCCAUAGUAACAAGGGACAGUAAAUUUCAGCACACUAUAUGAAUUUUUCCUUACCAAAUUCCACCUACCAAAGGCGCUUCACUCCCCGGCAACGGCGCCAGAAAAGAGUCUUGAUGACCCACAAGUAUAGGGCAUCUAUCGUAGUCCUUUUGAUAAGUAAGAGUGUCGAACCCAACGAGGAGCAGAAGGAAAUGACAAGCGGUUUUCAGUAAGGUAUUCUCUGCAAGCACUGAAAUUAUCGGUAACAGAUAGUUUUGUGAUAAGGUAAUUUGUAAUGGGAAACAAGUAAUGAAAGUAAAUAAGGUGCAGCAAGAUGGCCCAAUCCUUUUUGUAGCAAAGGACAAGCCUGGACAAACUCUUAUAUGAAGGAAAACGCUCCCGAGGACACAUGGGAAUUAUCGUCAAGCUAGUUUUCAUCACGCUCGUAUGAUUCGCGUUCGUUACUUUGAUAAUUUGGUAUGUGGGUGGACCGGUGCUUGGGUGCUGCCCUUCCUUGGACAAGCAUCCCAUUAUGAUUAACCCCUAUUGCAAGCAGCCGCAACUACAAAAGAAGUAUUAAGGUAAACCUAACCAUAGCAUGAAACAUAUGGAUCCAAAUCAGCCCCUUACGAAGCAACUCAUAAACUAGGGUUUAAGCUUCUGUCACUCUAGCAACCCAUCAUCCACUUAUUACUUCCCAAUGCCUUCCCCUAGGCCCAAACAAUGGUGAAGUGUCGUGUAGUCGACGUUCACAUAACACCACUAGAGGAGAGACAACAUACAUCUCACCAAAAUAUCGAACGAAUACCAAAUUCACAUGACUACUUAUAGCAAGACUUCUCCCAUGUCCUCAGGAACAAACGUAACUACUCACAAAUCAUAUUCAUGUUCAUAAUCAGAGGGGUAUUAAUAUGCAUUAAGGAUCUGAACAUAUGAUCUUCCACCAAAUAAGCCAACUAGCAUCAACUACAAGGAGUAAUCAACACUACUAGCAACCCACAGGUACCAAUCUGAGGUUUUGGGACAAAGAUUGGAUACAAGAGAUGAACUAGGGUUUUAGAGGAGAUGGUGUUGGUGAAGAUGUUGAUGGAGAUUGACCCCCUCCCGAUGAGAGGAUCGUUGGUGAUGACGAUGGCGAUGAUUUCCCCCUCCCGGAGGGAUGUUUCCACGGCAGAACAGCUCCGCCGGAGCCCUAGAUUGGUUCCGCCAAGGUUCCGCCUCGUGGCGGCGGUGUUUCGUCUGAAAAGCUUGCUUAUGAUUUUUUUCCAGGGUAAAAGACUUCAUAUAGCAGAAGAUGGGCAUCGGAGGCCUGCCGGGGGCCCAUGAGGCAGGGGGCGCGCCCCCCACCCUCGUGGCCAGGGUGUAGGCCCCCUCUGGUUGAUUCUUUCUCCAGUAUUUUUUAUUAAUUCCAAAAACGUGUCUCCGUGAAGUUUCAGGACUUUUGGAGUUGUGCAUAAUAGGUCUCUAAUAUUUGCUCCUUUUCCAGCCCAGAAUUCCAGCUGUCGGCAUUCUCCCUCUUCAUGUAAACCUUGUAAAAUAAGAGAGAAAAGGCAUAAGUAUUGUGACAUAACAUGUAAUAACAGCCCAUAAUGCAAUAAAUAUCGAUAUAAAAGCAUGAUGCAAAAUGGACGUAUCAAAGACCUCAUACAUGUACCUCUUUUUAUUAUAAGUGUUUGAAUCACUAGUUGCUUGCUGAUCCGGUCAAAAGCUGGAUUUGACACUUUGACAAAAGCUCGCUAGAGACCAUCACUUCAAGGGAAUCUUCCUCUCGUGGGUUCAAUAACCCAGGGUCACCUUCGGGGAAAUAGGUGCGGGAUACUCUUUUCUGUUCCAAUACCGGAUCAAUAAAAGGAGGUAUCUGAUGUCUACUACGCAACUUCAUUCUUGUAGACUCGUGUUGGGCCUCCAAGCGUAGAGUUUUGUAGGACAGUAGCAAUUUUCCCUCAAGUGGGUGACCUAAGGUUUAUCAAUCUGUGGGAGGUUUAAGAUGAAGAUGGUCUCUCUCAAACAACCCUGCAACCAAAUACAAGAAAUCUCUUGUGUCCCCAACACACCCAAUACAAUGGCAAAUUGUAUAGGUGCACUAGUUCGGUGAAGAGAUGGUGAUAAAAGUAUAGUAUUGAUGGUAGAAAUAUAUUUUUAUAAUCUGAAUAAAUAAAAACAGCAAGGUAGCAAAUAGUAAACGGGCACAAAAACGGUAUUGCAAUGCUUGAAAAUGAGGCCUAGGGUCCAUACUUUCACUAGUGCAACCUCUCAACAAUGCUAAUAUAAUUGGAUCUUAUAACCACCCCUCAAAGUGCGAUGAAGAAUCACUCCAAAGUUCCUAUCUAGCGGAGAACAUAAGAAUAAAUUGUUUGUAGGGUAUGAAACCACCUCAAAGCUAUUCUUUCCGUUCGAUCUAUUCAAGAGUUCGUACUAAAAUAACACAAAGCUAUUCUUUCCUUUCGAUCUAUCCUAGAGUUCGUACUAAAAUAACACCAAAGCAAAUUCAUAUUCAUAAUACUCAAUCCAACACAAAGAACUUCAAAGAGUGCCCCAAGAUUUCUACUGGUGAAACAAAGACAAGAACGUGCAUCAACCUCUAUGCAUAGAUUACCCCAAUGUCACCUCGGGAAUCCGCGAGUUGAGUGCCAAAACACAUAUCAAGUGAAUCAAUACGAUACCCCAUUGUCACCACGAGUAUUCAAUUGUAAGACAUAUAUCAAGUGUUCUCAAAUCCAUAAAAGUAUUCAAUCUGAUAACAACGAAAUCUCAAAGGGAAAAACUUAAUUCAUCACAACAAGAUAGAGAGGGGAAAACACCAUAUGAUCCGACUAUAUUAACAAAGCCCGCGAUACAUCAAGUUCGUGACAUCUCAAGAACACGACAGAGAGAGAGAUUAAACACAUAGCUACUGGUACAAACCCUCAGCCCCGAGGGUGGACUACUCCCUCCUCAUCGUGGUGGCCACCGGGAUGAUGAAGAUGGCUACCGGAGAUGAUUCCCCCCUCCGGCAGGGUGCCGAAAUGGGGUCUAGAUUGGUUUUCGGUGGCUACAGAGCCUUGCGGCAGCGGAACUUCCGAUCUAGGUUAACCCCGAGGGUUUUUGGAAUACUUUGGAUUUUAUAGGGUAAAGAGGGGGUGCGGGAGGCCACCGAGGUGGGCACAACCCACCUGGGCGCGCCUGGGCCCCCCAGGCGUGCCCUGGUGGGUUGUGCCCCCCUCGGGGCACCCCCAGGUGCUGCUCUGGCCCAUUGGUGGUCUUCUGGUCCAUAAAAAAUCCACAAAAAGUUUCGCGGUGUUUGGACUCCGUUUGAUAUUGAUUUCCUGCGAUGUAAAAAAAAGCAAAAAACAGCAACUGGCACUAGGCACUGGGUCAAUAGGUUAGUCCCAAAAAAUGAUAUAAAGUUUCUAUAAAAUGAUUGUAAAACAUCCAAGAAUGAUAAAAUAACAGUAUGAAUACUUCAUAAAUUAUAGAUACGUUGGAGACGUAUCAGUAUCUGGUACCUAGGUUACACAAUCGUUGGUUGCCAACGUGCAGGCUAUAGACCUAUCCUUGAAGUACACGCCAAGUCUUCGGAGAUUUCCAUCUUGAUCACGCCAAGGUUCACAGCUUUGGUAGUCCUUCCAGUUAAUGAUCAGCGGGCCAUAAGCCUGGCCCAUGGACUGUGGGUCGUAUAGGGUAGCACCCCCUAGUCCAGGACACCGUCAGUCUAAGCGGAGAGAAACGACGGCCCAAUGCGCGGAUGCAAACCCAAAUCACGUCUGUUCGGUGUCUGUUUGAACGCAUUUCCUGCCCAAAUUUGGGCCAGGUUUGUGUCUAGACGGACACGAGACGGAUGCACCGCACGUACUCUCGAUGUCCGCCUCGGGCCCGCGUGUUGGCCGGCAACCACCACCGUUGGUCCUAUUAAAGGCCACGCAUGCGCCCGGGCCCGCACGUCAGCCUCAGGAAGUGUCCCACGCGUCUCCUUUAUAAUGCAAGCGUGUGGGGCCAGGUCUCAUCCACUUCUCGCCACACCAAUCCACAUCGAGAGCUUGCUCCCCCGUCGCCCAGCACGAACCCUAGCCCGCUGUCAUCGCCAUUGGCUUCUUCGGUCACGGCAACAAGCAUGGCAAACAAGGCCAUGGAGUCAGCUCAUCGUGUCGCCCGACCAACUUCACGUUAGCGCCGUAGGGGGGGCAUCACGCGCACAUGACCAGCUAUACAUCCCAGUGCACUGGGUAUAACUGCGUCCCGCUGUCGUCGUCGGACGUCAACCUCCCGCACGGCUGGCACCUCGACCCCAACCGCAUUCCCGUCUCGGCUAUGUUGUAGUCUGAGCGCACACGUGCAUUUGAGGUCCGCAACCAUCGUUCCCUCCUCACGCCGGAGCAACUCCGCGACCCCGCGUACGCUCAGGACUCCCUGAACUGGUACUUCUGGUUCGCGAUGGAGCACGACGUACACCACCGUGGGCUCGUCCAGAUGGAUGCCUAUCCUCCACCUCUGUCGGUGGUGGUGAGGGAGGAGGAGGAGGCCGCAUUCGAGGUGACCCUCGAGGAGACAACGUGGAGAGCCAUGGAGGAGUGCGUGCGCACGGAGAUGGCCAUGUGGUCUGGCCUCUAGCAGGCACACCAGGAGUCUGCAGCCGGCGUCUAGGCACCGCCGCCACCAUCGGCAUCGCAACCGCUACCGCCCUCACCCGCACUAACGCUCAUCCCCAAGACCUAUCAGUGGACAAGCGCACGGCCGAUCUACGCCCCUGCGCCACCAUUUAGUUGGGCGCAACGGAGGAGGAGCUGUAGCACAUCGACGAGUGGGAGGGACGCACGUUCGCAACCGAGCGGGCAGAGGCGGAGUGCCUGAUACAGUGGGGGCGCGAGGAAGAGGUCGAGCGGCGCGAGGAAGAGGUCGAGCGGCGCGAGCUAGAGAAGGAGGCAGCACAACAGCAGACGUCGGAGGCUGUGGCGCUGGCGGCUUACCAGCAGGCCUUCCCAUGGGCGCUGCCGCCGGCGUUUGUCGACCUGACCGAGGAGGGCAAGGACGACGACGCCUAGGGCGGCGAGCGGCGAGAUGUUUUUUAAGUUUUAAUCUAUUGUUUUAUGUUUUAAUUAUUAUAAGUGGAUUUUGGCACGAUGUUUUAAUAUGCAUGUUUCUAUUUUAAAUGUUUUAUGCCUAUUUAUUUUUUUUAAGUUUCCGCGUGGACCAAAUGGGUCGGGCGCAUUGGACGCACCUACGCCCCCCCUCCCCACCCCCCGGCCAAAAUUGGACGCAUUCGUCCGCAUGGUCGACCCAAAGGGACAAAGAAAAAGACAAAUAUCGUGUUCGUUUGCGUCGGCCCGGUUGGACUUGACCUAAGGUCCUUUAAUUAGAUUCUACUGCAGCCGCCUCCUCCCCCAAGAAAAGCUUAGGGUUCCUCUGCCUCCAGCCGGUCCGCGUCGUCUCCCGUGGCCUUAGGGCCAAGGCAGCGCGGUGGAUCCCGGCCCUUGCCAGCAGGAGAGCUCUAUUUUUAGAAGUUCCUUCGAGUUUUGUUAGGGUUUGUGUCCUGCUCAGGAAGACGAAACGGUGGCGGCUCCCUGAAGAUGGAAUAAGGUUCUCCUCGCCUAACCCCUGUCCCGGUGGUGUGUCUAGUAUCGUCGGUAGGCGUGCGGAGGUGUGUCUCCGACGGAUCUGUCCUUGAUGGAUUUGCUCGGAUCUGGUCGUAUUUCGUCUACAUUUGUGUUUAUUGACGGUUGUUCUGCUACGAUGUUCCUAUUGGGUCUUAGCACGACGACUUCCAGACUGUCUACUACAACAAGUUUUGACCGGCUCCGGUGAGGGAGGGGCGAUGACGGCGGCGUGUCUUCGGCUCGCUUCAUUGCUUGUAGUCGUUGCUAUAUGGUCUACGGAUCUGGAUAUAAUUUUUAUUAUUUUUAGUGUUCGUUAUACUGCCAUGAUUGAAGCAAAAUAGAUCGAAAAUUUUCUCGCAAAAAAGAAGAUUCUACUAACCCACCUUAUUUAAAGAUGUGCAUGGUUAUGUGAAAAGUUGUGAACCUGAAUAAUGUUAAUCGCUACUAUGAUUGCCAGAGAACAGAUUUUUAAUGCGGAUAUCAGUUCAGUGUGCUUGUACUCUGCCACCUCUAUUUGGGUCAUCGGUUGUACAUUGUCAUUGAUAGAGGUGCUGUCAACAGGUAGAGCCAUCAGUCUCCGUCUCAGUGUCAUAUAAUGAAGACACGGAUGGAUGCGUUUAAUUUUUAUAGAGAUAUUUUUCCAAGAGAAUAUUUCACUUUGUGUUGCAGUGUGUUGUUAUUUCCUUGUGUCAUACAGCACAACAGUUGUACUCACACUUCCAAGUGACGGUGAGCACGGCUGUAUGGAAUAUAUCUAUCUUUGGUUUCAUCUGAUUCUGAUGAUAGUAUUGCCUGUCAUCGCCCCUUGCUGUGUUAUUGUGUUACUAGUGUUUUUCAUGUUUUCGUCGAGUGCUACUUGUGCUUAACCAGCAUCACAUGAACCGCAAAUGCACUAGUCAUUGUCAUUUUCCUUACACUCUAUCUCGUUUCUCUGUUUGUUACUUUUCUUAAAUUUUCAGUUCAUUCUUCUAAUAUUUGUUUUUCAAUUUAUAAUUCUUUUCAAAGAAGUUGCGAACGCCUGUAACUCCAUGGCCCAAUUAUGUUUGUAUCUCUAUGGUCUCAGCUAUGUGUGGGUUUCAAGGUUGGGCAGACCUCCCGCAUGGCCUACUUCACUCUGUUGUUGCUCUGUAACUCUACUGGAAUCAUUCCUUUUUCCUCCGAUCUCUCCAAAUCGAUGUUGUUGCCACCUCCCCUCCUCCAGCCUCAUGUCCCUCUGUGCUCUCCUCGUCCGUGCCCAUUUAGCAGCAGCCUCGUACGUAAACGUUCAUGUUAUGUUACUGAUCUUGCCAACCAAGGCACCUAAACGUUUUGGUGACAGCAAAUCCCCACCUAGUCCGAUCCUCUGGAUAGUUCUCCUUAUGUAUGUCUUCACUAGUGUUAGUAUCUCAACUCCACAACUACCGGUCAACGGAUACAUUCACUUCUAUGACUACGAUGCUGCCCUCACGGCCCAUCUUUCGCCACACUACUCCCUCACAGCCCAAUUACUUUUGAGACCUUUUACGGUGCAUCAAAUCAAUUUGGGCCGGUAAACUCUUGCUUGUAUGUUCUCCUCGAAAUGAAACGAUUAAGAAGAUCGUGGUCUUCAAAGGCCAGGCCUUCGGCAUGGAUCAUGAUCAAGGCUGUUUCUCGUGCACUUAGUACCCCGAAUUCACAUACAGAAAAUAGCAGUUGAUUUCAAUGGAAGCAUGACCAGCAAAUGGCAUCUUGCCCACCCGUGGCCUGUCGCGUGCGACGACUGCUUCUCAUGCUUGGUUACCAGGCCGUUUUGCCAACCGCCGACAUGAACGAAAUCGAAUUUCAUUGCGGGAAAUUAGGAAUAUUGUCCAUCAACAGGGGAUACCUUUUUCCCGCAACAAAAAGAAAACAGGGGAUACCUUGGAAGCCUUCCGACUCGACUUAAUCGACUGAACCUACAAAGUGGGUCAAGGUGGAGAAGUGGGAACUGAGCUAUCUUCAUCAACAUCAAAGAGACAAGUCAGCCCCGUUGCUGCAUGAACCUAGAGAGAUGGAAGGAAGGAGCCACGGAUCACACGUUUUUAAUUUUUAUUUUGAAUGGUGAGUGGAUCACAUGUGAGUUGGGUCACUCACUGUAGGAAGGCGUCUCCAUUAUAAAUUGUGGCAAAAUGAUGCAACCCAUGUGGGUUGUGCCCAGUAUGUUUUAUUCGUAUCCGUGAUGAUCGGCGGUCGCCAUGGAUGGUUAUUAGUGCUCUGCAUAUGAGCUCCACCCGUAAGAUAUAUCGACUUUAUGUAUGUAGAUGUGAUUCAACAUUGAACCUUUGAUAUGUCGGAUCAUGUUGGCAAUCCUCAAGUAUAUUAGGAGUAUCGUCGAUUUGUGGCCUCUUACUUCAGCAUUCAUGACAAUGCUGAAGCCAACUCUACCAGCUUGUUCCGAAAAAUUGCUCUUCCAGCACAGAACAGAACAGUGGCUCUUUCGAAGUCUGUGUAAUAGAUGUUCGUGGCGGAUCUGAAGUUUUUGCGGCUAGUUCCAUCCUCGAGUGUUUGGAGCAUGGCAAGAGAUGUUCCUUUUAUCAGUCAGAUGUGUUGUUUAACUACUUACUGAUUCUUCUGCCUUUUGACUUUGGUGGAGCUGACAAAUUUCAAGUGUAGUUUUGGCUUAAGAGGCAUGCUGGGGCCUUAUUUAUUUUGAAUGCCCGGCCUUGUGAAUUUAUCAAUGUGUAAGCAAAGGAUUCUUCUUCAGGUGCAUGGUUUUGGUCUUAGGUUGCUUGCAGCUGUUGAAUGGCUGAAUACGUGUACCGGAAAAAUGAAUUUUGUUUUGUUUGGUGUCUGGUUGCUGGCCCUGAACAUGAAGAAGACAUGUAUUGCACUGAACCACUAGACUGAUGCUAAGCCACUAGACUGCAGUAACUUCAGUCGGUCCAGACUACAUGUUUCUGCAUGUGUUCUUGUCAAGUUUUACUUAGUUGCAACAGGAAAGCAAAGAGCAGCAGAACAUACAGCCUGCCAGCACCAGAUGCAUAUGUUAGGUCGCUCAGAAAUUUGGAUCAGAACCCCCAGCAGGCAUGAGAAAUUGCUUCUAGCUGCCUCUCGCUGUGCAACAGAAGGACCAGACAAGGGACUGGAUUGUAAAAAACGACCUAGUAUGAAGCCGGCCAGGGACCAAAAUGUUGUAAAACCCGACCUUGCAUGUAGGUUGGGCCGACCGGCCAGGGACCAAAAUUUAAUUUUCAAGGAUUGGCAGGGGCCGCGCGAACGCGUACCCCCUCUACCACAAAUUAUGACGUCCACUCUCCCACUUGGGGAGAUGGUGGGCCAGCGCAUCCACCAAAUGCAAUGUUGACCACUGACCCAGGCCACGAGCCUUCUUGAUCGCUCGUCGACCCCGUCCAGGUAAGUAUGGAACAACGUCGCACCUUGCCCUCGUUUUAUAGCCAGCGCUCCCGCCCGGUGCUCCUCCGCUUGGCGAGGUGGGACUAAAAACCGAAGCGCAGCAAGCGGCAGCAGCGGGCGGUGCGGGAGCCAGUCACGGAAGGCUGCUCGUUUGAAAUGGGCUGGCGUUUGCUAUAUCUGGGCCUCAAUUACGGACGAAGUAUAGACCUGGGCCUUGAAAGCCGUAGCAGGCUAGCAGCAGCUUUGUGCCCGUGUUGUUACUGAGCUUCUCCUCGUGUAAAUCCUGUUGCACUCUCCUCUAACGCUCAAAAAAAGGUUGAUGAUUUCCUCAAAUAUAAAAUUUGCACUCUGCUCUAUAAAAAAUCCUCCCAUGGGAACUCUUUCCCAAACAAAUAAAACGAUUUCAUGGCAAUUCUUAAGAAAUUUCAUGGUGUAUCCUAAAAAAAUCAUGGUAAUCUCAUGCUUCCUUCCUUUAUUUUAAAAGAUUUUCUUUCUUUCUUGUGCGAAAGAUUUUUAGUUGUUCUUGUAACAAAAGAUAUUUAGUUGUUACUCCAUCCACCUGAGUUUAUAAGACCUAUAUUUCUAAUAUUUACUAUUAUCGUUGUUAGACCAAUAAUAUAGGAUACAUAUGUCGUAAAAUAUACCAUUAGAGACUUCCAAAUACAAAUUCGGUGGUAUAUUUUUAUGCUAGUCAUCUAAUAUCGUUAUUGGUCUAAUAUAUUGCUGAGGGAAUAACCAAAAUCCAAUUAGGGGACCCACCCCAAUCCUACAUGGCAUGUCAUAUAGACAAGCCCCUACAUUAGCAAAUUGACCUGAUUGAUCAUUCCUAUUCACAUAGGUAUAAGUUGAAAAUACCAUUUUAUAAUAAGAUAUGAUAUGUAAAACCUAAUGCAUUAGAUGUAGUGACACACCGGACCUAGUGGCGUCCCUCCUUUUUCUUUUUCGUACCUGAGGUAGGUUGAAUGAUUCCAUUGUCCACGCAAGUCACCCAGUCUAUACAAGUCCAAACAAGACUAUGGUCAACGAGUCAAAGGAGGAAGAGCUUGUAAAACAAUAAGGAGAAAACCCCGCUAAUUUUUGAAAGAAAUCAACCGCUUGUGUCACGUGACACAUGUCAUGGGCCCUUGCAUGUUAAUUUCCCCUCCUCUCCUUCUCGAAAUAUUUGGACGGAUUUGGUCAUUUCUCCCUCGUCUGACCCCCUCGCUCUCUCUCUCUCUCUCUCUCUAUCUCUCUCUCGCUCACACACACACACACACACACGACACAUAGGCACGCAUGCCCCUCCAAUCUACUUCCCAAAUCCUCCACGGCCCAAGCUCCAACCAUGGCGCUACAAACUUCCGCUCCUCUUGACCGGUCACCCACUAUUUGCGAGUCGAGGGAGACGACCAUGAGCAAAAUGCGUAGCCACCUGCCGCUGCAAAAACCGUCUUCUUCCCAAAUCUUCCAUGGCCCAAGCUCUAGCCAUGGUGCUGCAACCUCCCCUCCUAUAGAUUGGCCACCCGCUAUGUUGCGAGCCGGGGAGACGACCUUGCACAAAACACACAACCACCUGCCGCUACAAAGACCAUGGCACCGAUGCUGCCAGUCAUGCGCCAAAUGUUGUAGACAGGUGCCGGAGCUGCAAGGAUGACCACACUUGCCGCACUAUUGCACACGAGCCACCGGGGUGGGGGGGUAAGUUCCAAUUUGUGAGAAGACGUACAUUUGGGAUGGCUGACGAGUUGUUGCAACAUCAGUCAUGUUGCAAACCUCGAGCGCAACAUGACUCAUGUUGCAAAAGCAUCCAUCUUUGCAAAAUCUCCAAGCGCAACAUGGAUCAUGUUGCAACCCUUUGAGCGCAACGUGGCUCAUGUUGCAAACACUCGUCAGUUGAAAUGGACGGCCAUCACUUGGUGCAUCCAAUGACUCGUGACCCGACCGAUCUUUGCAAAAGAUCAGCCGGUGAACGCGUAGCGCGAGCCACAAAUAAGCCAAGAAUGAAGUCAAAAGAGCAAAGAGGCACAAGCCCGAGCAAAAAGGCAUCAUAUGAUGGAGGGGAUCUCCCCCUAGUGGGCCAAAACCUAUCUCCUGGCCCAAUUAGAGGCACAUGGACUAGGGGACUAAAGAUUACCUAGUUCUAUGCUUCCACCUCCUCUUUUCAAGGAUAGCCUUGAUUAUUUUUCAAGAACACCUAGGAUAUAUAAUGACACCAUGGGCAUGCAAAUUACUCACUCCCUACUUGAGUAAAAUUAAGAGGAGGGUCACUCUUCCCCUCCAUACAACUCAGGCUCGAUCGGAGGCUAGGAAUCGGAGUCCGAGGGGCCUCAAAGGGCUCAUGCUAGCCAGGAGUCGUGAGACAACACUCAAAGUGUUAUGUGUGCCAGACACCACUUUUAGUGACUAUUGGGAGUCAUGCGACUUCGAAAAGUGCUGACACCCUAAGUGUCUUAUGUGUCGAGCACCACUCUCGACAACCCUUCUGUUGGAAAUAUGCCCUAGAGGCAAUCAUAUUUGUAUUGUUAUAUUUCCAUAUUCACAAUUAUAGAGCUUAUAUUCUAUGUUGUAAUUGCUAUGAUCCUGGAAUAUGCGAUUCAGUGGGAAACUCGUAUGCACGUGUGGAAUAAUAAACUAUAAAUAAAAGAUUCAUAGUCUUGCCUCUAGGACUAGCUCAAGUGUUGUUGGUGAUCACGUUUCCGGAUCCUAAGAUAUUGUUAAGUGUAACGAUAAUCCUAGAACAACAUUGAGAUUAUGAUGUUACUAGAACGAUCAUAUUGCAUCGACCCAAACUCGCUUGUUAUGAAUUGAGUUAAUAUCUUAUGUAUUCAAUUGUAAUAACGUGAAGUGUUAACAUGUGUGAAAUAUCGAGAAGAGGGGUCUAGAGGGGGUGAUUAGACCUUUAACAAACAAAAGUGGCGUUUUUUACAAUUCUCAAGUUAAGGUUGAGUUUAGCACAAGUUAAUGGCGCACAAUACAUUCUACACAAGCAUGGCAAUAGUAUAGGCAGCGGAAAGAGUAAAGCAUGCAAUUGCAAUAAUGUAAAGGGGAUGUGAAAUGGAGUGUGCAAACGCAAUGGAGAUGCGGAUAUUUUUGGCGUGGUUCCGAUAAGUGGUGCUAUCGUAUGUCCAAGUUGAUGGAGACUUCAACCCACGACGUGUAACGGCUGCUCGAGUCACGGAGGGCUCCACCCACGUAGGGUCCACGAAGAAGCAACCUUGCCUAUCCCACCAUGUCCAUCGUCCACGAAGGACUUGCCUCACUUGGGUAGUUCCUCACAAAGUAGGAGAUCUCCUUGCCCUUACAAACUUCUUGGUUCAACUCCACAUCAUGUCGGAUUAUCCCAAGCAACACCUAACCAGUCUAGGAGACACCACUCUCCAAAAGGUAAUAGAUGGUGUGUUGAUGAUGAACUCCUGGCUCUUGUGCUUCAAAUGAUAGUCUCCCCAACGCUCAACCCUCUCUCACAGAUUUGGCUAUGGUGGAAGGAGGAUUUGAGUGGAAAGCAACUUCGGGAAGGCUGGAAAUCAAGGUUCAAAUGGUAGGAAUGGAAUCUCUUGAUCUCAACACAUGAGUAGGUGGUUCUUUCUCAGAAAAUGAGUGGUGGAAGUGUAGGCAUGUUCUGAUGGCUCCCUUACUAGGUAAGAGGGGUGGAGGGGUAUAUAUAGCCUCCACACAAAAUCCAACCGUUACACACUUUUGACCCAACUCGGUGGCACCGAUCAGAAAUCUCGGUGGCACCGACCGGUGGAUCCGAUUCGUUAGGGUUUGGCAGUGGCUAUUUCCAGAAGAACUCGGUGGCUCCGGAUAUGGAAAUUUCGGUGGGGCCGAGUUGGAAUGUGGGGUUUGGACAUAUUUGGAUGGAGAAUGUGGUGAGGGUUUUGGAGCAAUAUCACUAAGCACUUGAGCAAAUAGAUCAUUAAGCAACACCUCGUCCCCUUUAUAGUCAAAAAACACCUCAUCCCCUUUUAAUAGUAUUGGCUUUCCUAUGGACUCAAUGUGAUCUUGGAUCACUUAACCAUAAAUGUAGAGUAUUGAGCUUUUGCCAAUCCAUGUCCUUAGCAUUUUGAAGGGGGCUCCACAUCCUCUUGUCCUUGCCAUGCCAUUGUUGAAUUUAUAUGAAAUAUACUAGAUAAAAGCAUUGGUCAAACAAAAGAUAUGUUGACAUUAAUUACCAAAACCACCAAGGGAGAACUUGUGCUUUCAAUCUCCCCUUUUUGGUAAUUGAUGACGACAUACAUCAAAGCUUCAAGUAGUGAUAUGAAGAGUGGUAUAUUUAAAGCUUUGGAGAAACUUGUAACUUGCAUAAGCUCCCCCUACAUUGUGUGCAGACAUGUGAUGAUGGAAUCAGAAGACAUUUGAAUGCACAGCAUGACAGAGUAAUGAGCUACAUGUAUAUUGGCUAUAUGCAUCAGAGCGAAAAGUAAUGAGAAAUGUACCUUCAUGUUUAUGAUUCCCUCUUGCAAACAAUAUGUGCAAAAGCAAGAGACAAUCAUGCACACGAGCGAGAUGCAUAUACUUACCUUGUGGUCCUUGAACUGACUCUUGAAGAAGCAAGCUUGAGAAAAUAGGGUUAGGUAACACAAGAGAACUUCAAACAAGAAAGAUACUUCAAGAUCCACAAGAGUACCAAGACUGGGAUGACAUGUAAUUAGUGAGUAUCAAAGAGUGAGUACUCCUUUUGAAUAUAGACAUGUCCCCAAAGAAUUAAGGAAUUGCAAUAAAUUUUCAAGGAUUUUUAUCCCCUAAACUUAAACUUCCUCUCCCCCUGAAUCUAGCAUUGGACAAUGGGAGUAGGUAGGGUGAGAUAAAACCAGAGCAGAAAUAAAUCAGAGCAAAUAAAGGGUCAAGUAAAAUAGCUGACAUGUCUCCAUUACUAGGAGAAAGCUUAUAGAUAGAAUUUUAGCAGUAGCGCGGGAUAAUCCAGAAGCGUUAUUGCUAAGUAGUAGUAGCGCGGGGCUAAAACCGGCGCUACAGGUAGCCAGGUAGCAGUAGCGCGGGCUGUUUAUCCAGCGCUACUGCUAAGUGGUCCCAUCGCCACCGAGACGGGCUACCUGUAGUAGUAGCGGUGGUGGAAAACCAGCGCUACUACUAAUUCCAUAGCAGUAGCGCAUGUUGGCGGCCCACCGCUACCGCUAUGUGUGCACGGUGCUAACAGGUGAGCCCGAUUAGCAGCAGCGCUGGGCCACCAACCAGCGCUACUGCUAUGGCGCUUAGCAGUAUCGCUCUUCGGCUUCCAGCACUACUGCUACCAUAGCAGCCACCUUUUCCCUCCCCUCUCCUUUACCCUCUCCCUCCUCUACCUCCCUCACUUAGUUCUUCCUUAUCCUACCUCUCUUCUCUCGUCAUUAAUGCCCCCAUCCACCAUCUCCUCCAUUAAUGGCUUCUUCUUCCUCACUUGAAUUUAUUAGUCUCUCCUCCUUCUCUCUUCUGGUCCCACUCAUGCCUUUGUCUCACUAGCUAGCUUUCCCUCCCUCUCCACUAGUUAGCUAGAGCAUCUCCUUCCAACUAGAUCUACCAUGCAUCUUUGUCCUACUACUUCCGAUCCCUAGCUAGCUAGAUAGCGGCACAUGCCAUCUACUGUACCUUUGCUCGAUCGACCUUCUCUCGGGACGAAAGGUGAGCAAAAAGUUGUGUUUUGCAAGAAUUAAUGGAAAUAUGUGUGUUUGCGCUAUGACGGUGGGAAUAUGUGUGUGUGGCAUGAGUUGCUGCCUAUGUGUAUUUGUCGGAUCGUGCGUGACAUGAGUUGCUUAUGUUUUGCCGAAAUGUUGAUUUAUUUCCGUUUCGACGAAUUUCGGGCAAACUCUACAUGCCCUAUUUUUAGGGAAGGUCAUGCCGAAAUAUUGUACGACUUUGAUAUAUGCAUGCAUGGUUAAAAUUCUUUUGCUUAUUAUACCGCGCAGGCAAUCAUGAAGGUCAGUGGAAGGGUGGUGGAAAGAUGGUUGCGGUCUAUGGUGCACGGCAUAUAUUUACAUAACCAGACUGGGGUUAUAUGUCCGUGUAGAAGAUGCAAACUAAUCGUCAUCUUGGACCCCUUUGACCGUGGAGUUUGAAGGUGCACCUGCUUAUGCAUGGUUUCAUGGAUGGCAAUACUCGGUGGAUAAUUGAAGAUGAUGAUGAGGAUGUCCACAUGUGGCAGACAAUAACGACAUGGUGGUAGACGAAGAGAUGCCUGAUGAUGAUGGACCCGAAGAAGAGUUUGAGGGCAGAGGAGAAGAGGCCGUACACGGCGGAGGAGAAGAGGCCGUACACGGCGGAGAAGAGGUCGUACAUGGCAGAGAAGAGGCCGGACAUAGCGGAGAAGAAGCGGAUACGCCGAAGUCUUCGACACAACUAAGUUCAGUCACGCAGGACCCUCAUGUUCAAGAACUGCUUCGCAAGAGUACGACUAGCGAAAGAGCCACUUUAAGAGAGGAGGCCAAGCUGGCGCAGCUGGAGGUAGACUCGAAUACUCCAUUGUAUGACGGUUGCGAUCCCGAGGUGACCCGCUUGAGUUUCACGCUCGAACUUCUAAAGAUGAAGGCCAAAAACAAAUGGACGGACACAAGCCUCGAUGAGCAUUUGAAGUAUCUACAUAAUAAAGUUCUGCCCUCGGGGAAGCUGUGUCCUACUAGCGUCGAUGAGGCCAAGAAGAUCGUCUGCCCUCUUGAUCUGCCCCACAUUAGAUACCAGGCAUGCAUCAACGAUUGCAUCAUUUAUCGGAAGGAGCACGCGGAAAAAACCAGCUGUCCGGUGUGCAAUGCUACUCGAUACAAGAAGGCCGGGAAGAAAUCUCCUCAGAAAGUUGUAUGGUACUUACUGAUCACUCCCCGUCUGCAACGUUAUUUCAUAGAUCCUAAGGAAGCAAAGCUCAUGCGCUGGCACGCGGAGAGGGUGAAGUCCGACGAUGGAGAUAGGCAUGGGGGACAUCGUGAGCACGUGCUCCUCCCGCUGUUGUGCUUGACACGGGUCAACUUGAGGAUGUGACGGCCAAGCAGCCCCUUAGGUAAGUAGUCCGCCAGCGCGGAGCAUGGGGCUUCCACGAGAGUGGGCGGGAGCUCUCGCGUGCCGAUGGCAGCGCGGGUAGAGAGAGCUCUGGAGCGUGUAUAGCUCCAUUAAGUAGCCCGCCAGCGCAGAGCAUGGGGCUUCCACGAGAGUGGGUGGGAGCUCUUUCAUGCCAAUGGCAGCGCGAGUAGAGAGAGCUCAUGAGCGUGUACAGCUCCAUAAGUAGUCCACCAGCGCGGAGCAUGGGGCUUCCACGAGAGUGGGCGGGAGCUCUCGCGUGCCGAUGGCAGCGCGGGUAGAGAGAGCUCUGGAGCGUGUACAGCUUCAUAAGUAGUCCGCCAGCACGGAGCAUGGGGCUUCCACGAGAGUGGGGGGGAGCUCUCGCGUGCCGAUGGCAGCACGGGUAGAGAGAGCUCCGGAGCGUGUACAGCUCCAAGUAGUCCACCGGCGCGGAGCAUGGGGCUUCCACGAGAGUGGACGGGAGCUCUCGCGUGCCGAUGGCAGUGCGGGUAGAGAGAGCUCCGGAGCAUGUACAACUCCAUUUCACUCGUAUCUGUGGGUCAUGGAUAGAACUUAUGGAGAUGUUGGAUGUGAUGACCCACAAGUGUAGGGGAUCUAUCGUAGUCCUUUCGAUAAGUAAGAGUGUCGAACCCAACGAGGAGCAGAAGGAAAUGACAAGCGGUUUUCAGUAAGGUAUUCUCUGCAAGCACUGAAAUUAUCGGUAACAGAUAGUUUUGUGAUAAGGUAAUUGGUAACGAGUAACAAGUAACAAAAGUAAAUAAGGUGCAGCAAGAUGGCCCAAUCCUUUUUGUAGCAACGGACAAGCCCGGGCAAUUUCUUAUAUGAAGGAAAACGCUCCCGAGGACACAUGGGAAUUAUCGUCAAGCUAGUUUUCAUCACGCUCAUAUGAUUCGCGUUCGGUACUUUGAUAAUUUGAUAUGUGGGUGGACCGGUGCUUGGGUGCUGCCCUUACUUGGACAAGCAUCCCACUUAUGAUUAACUCCUAUUGCAAGCAUCCACAACUACAAGAGAAGUAUUAAGGUAAACCUAACCAUAGCAUGAAACAUAUGGAUCCAAAUCAGCCCCUUACGAAGCAACGCAUAAACUGGGGUUUAAGCUUCUAUCACUCUAGCAACCCAUCAUCCACUUAUUACUUCCCAAUGCCUUCCCCUAGGCCCAAACAAUGGUGAAGUGUCAUGUAGUCGACGUUCACAUGACACCACUAGAGGAGAGACAACAUACAUCUCAUCAAAAUAUCGAACGAAUACCAAAUUCACAUGACUACUAAUAGCAAGACUUCUCCCAUGUCCUCAGGAACAAACGUAACUACUCACAAAUCAUAUUCAUGUUCAUAAUCAGAGGGGUAUUAAUAUGCAUUAAGGACCUGAACAUAUAAUCUUCCACCAAAUAAACCAACUAGCAUCAACUACAAGGAGUAAUCAACACUACUAGCAACCUACAGGUACCAAUCUGAGGCUUUGAAACAAGGAUUUGAUACAAGAGAUGAACUAGGGUUUGAGAAGAGAUGGUGCUGGUGAAGAUGUUGAUGGAGAUUGACCCCCUCCCGAUGAGAGGAUCGUUGGUGAUGAUGAUGGCGAUGAUUUCCCCCUCCCGGAGGGAUGUUUCCCCGGCAGAACAAUUCCGCCGGAGCCCUAGAUUGGUUCUGCCAAGGUUCCGCCUCGUGGCAGCGGAGUUUCGUCCCGCAAGCUUGCUUCUAAUUUUUUCCAGGGUAAAAGACUUCAUAUAGCAGAAGAUGGACACCGGAGGCCUGCCAGGGGGCCCACGAGGCAGGGGGCGCGCCCAGGGGGUAGGGCGCGCCCCCACCCUCGUGGCCAGGGUGUGGGCCCCCUCUAGUAUUUUCUUCGCUCAGUAUUUUUUAUAAUUUCCAAAAAUAACUUCCGUGGAGUUUCAGGACUUUUGGAGUUGUGCAGAAUAGGUCUCUAAUAUUUGCUCCUUUUCCAGCCUAGAAUUCCAGCUGCCGGCAUUCUCCCUCUUCAUGUAAACCUUGUAAAAUAAGAGAGAAAAGGCAUAAGUAUUGUGACAUAAUGUGUAAUAACAGCCCAUAAUGCAAUAAAUAUCAAUAUCAAAGCAUGAUGCAAAAUGGACGUAUCAACUCCCCCAAGCUUAGACCUCGCUUGUCCUCAAGCGAAAGCCGAAAUCGAAAAAUAUGUCCACAUGUUUAGAGAUAGAGGUGUCGAUAAAAUAAAAUACGGACAUGAGGGCAUCAUGAUAAUUCUUAUAACAGCAACAUAUAUGAAUAUUUGCAUAUGAAUUCUUAUGAUAAAGUAACAAUCUAUUCACAAUGUCAAAUAUGAAUCAGAAACUUUAUUGAAACCUAACAAACUAUAAUUUCAGUCAUUGAAGCAAUUGCAAUUUAUCAUAACAUAGGAAAGAGUCAAUAUAAGAGCUUUUCAGCAAUCCACAUACUCAACUAUCAUUUAGUCUUUCACAAUUGCUAACACUCACGCAAUACUUGUGGUUAUGAAGUUUUAAUCGGACACAGACAAAGAUAGGGGCUUAUAGUUUCGCCUCCCAACCUUUUACCUCAAGGGUAAUGUCAACAACAAUAACUCAUGCUAACUUACAUCCAAGUGGAUAUAUAUAUAUCAGGAUCUUUCCAACACAAUGUGCUUGCCAAAGGAUAAAAUGUAAAAAGGAAAGGUGAAGAUCACCAUGACUCUUGCAUACGGUUGAAGAUAAAAGUAAAAGAUAGGCCCUUUGCAGAGGGAAGCAGAGGUUGUCAUGUGCUUUUUGGUUGUGUUGGGGAUAUUAUUACUGGGUAUAAACCGGCCAUGAGAGGCCGGGUUAUCCCCAUAAGGAUUUAUUCAUAUUUGAAGCCCAUGAAGACAAGGAGUGUGGCGCUUUACGACGGCCCAGGGCCCAACGGCGGAUUAGGGCAUGUAGACAUGAACCGCCAUGUGAUAUGUAGCUUGUAUUGUAAGAUAAGAAAAGGUAGAAACCGAGCCGGACACAUUGAUGAGCCGGCCUCGGUAUUCUGUAAACCGCCGGGCGUCAACCUAUGUAUAUAAAGGGACGACCCGGCGGCGAUUGAGGGACAACAAAUAACAACUCGAGAGCCAGGCAUAGCGGAUUCGUUCCCUGGUCAUCAAAACCCUAGCAAUUCCACAACAACUGGAUUAGGCCUUUACCUUCACCGAAAGGGGCCGGACCAGUAUAAAACUCCCUCCGUCCUUUGUCCGCUUUAACCCCUUUAAGCUAACCUGUCGCGAUGGCUCCACGACUAAGUCCUUUCACUAGGACAUCUGCCGUGACAAAACCACGACAGUUGGCGCCCACCGUGGGGCUAUUGCAUGAUGGUUUCGAGUUCUUAGAGGGCAGCUUUGAAGGGCUCAAGGGAUACGCUAUGGGCCGGAUGACCAAGAGUCGUCGCGGCAAGCUCUACAUCGACGGCGCAGGCUGGGGCCCCGAGGCCGGCUCAAUUGAGUACGGGUACCGGGUCCCCUUCGGCGGCAUCCAUGUCUUCAUCGGCAAGAUCGGCGAACCGGGCCGUGAGCCGGACAUAUGCACCGACCUCGUCGAAACGGCUCAGCGUGAGAGAUCCGCCCGGGUUAAGCCUGCCAUGAAGCGUGCCUUCGUGGGAGUCAUCCACGGAGCGGAAUCUGAGGUUAGAUCUGAAGGAAAUAUGCCCUAGAGGCAAUAAUAAAGUUAUUAUUUAUCUCCUUAUUUCAUGAUAAAUGUUUAUUAUUCAUGCUAGAAUUGUAUUAACCGGAAACAUAAUACAUGUGUGAGUACAUAGACAAACAGAGUGUCACUAGUAUGCCUCUACUUGACUAGCUCGUUGAUCAAACAUGGUUAUGUUUCCUAGCCAUAGACAUGAGUUGUCAUUUGAUUAGCGGGGUCACAUCAUUAGGAGAAUGAUGUGAUUGACUUGACCCAUUCCGUUAGCUUAGCACUCGAUCGUUUAGUAUGUUGCUAUUGCUUUCUUCAUGACUUAUACAUGUUCCUAUGACUAUGAGAUUAUGCAACUCCCGUUUACCGGAGGAACACUUUGUGUGCUACCAAACGUCACAACGUAACUGGGUGAUUAUAAAGGUGCUCUACAGGUGUCUCCAAAGGUACUUGUUGGGUUGGCGUAUUUCGAGAUUAGGAUUUGUCACUCCGAUUGUCGGAGAGGUAUCUCUGGGCCCACUCGGUAAUGCACAUCACUAUAAGCCUUGCAAGCAUUGCAACUAAUGAGUUAGUUGUGGGAUGAUGUAUUACGGAACGAGUAAAGAGACUUGCCGGUAACAAGAUUGAACUAGGUAUUGAGAUACCGACGAUCGAAUCUCGGGCAAGUAACAUACCGAUGACAAAGGGAACAACGUAUGUUGUUAUGCGGUCUGACCGAUAAAGAUCUUCGUAGAAUAUGUGGGAGCCAAUAUGAGCAUCCAGGUUCCACUAUUGGUUAUUGACUGGAGACGUGUCUCGGUCAUGUCUACAUAGUUCUCGAACCCGUAGGGUCCGCACGCUUAAAGUUUCGAUGACGGUUAUAUUAUGAGUUUAUGAGUUUUGAUGUACCGAAGGUAGUUCGGAGUUCCGGAUGAGAUCGGGGACAUGACAAGGAGUCUCGAAAUGGUCGAGACGUGAAGAUUGAUAUAUUGGACGACUAUAUUCGGACAUCGGAAAGGUUCCGAGUGAUUCGGGUAUUUUUCGGAGCACCGGAGAGUUACGGGAAUUCGCCGGGGAGUAUAUGGGCCUUAUUGGGCUUUAGGGGAAAGAGAGAGGAGAGGCUGGGCGCCCCCCCCCCCCCAAGGCCUAGUCCGAAUUGGACUAGGGGGAGGGGCUGCGCCCCCUCCUUCCUUCUCUUCUCUCUCCCCUUUCCUUGACUCCUACUCCUACUACUUGGAAGGGGGGAAUCCUACUCCCGGUAGGAGUAGGACUCCUCCUAGGGCGCGCCAUAGAGAGGGCCGACCCUCCCCCUCCUCCACUCCUUUAUAUACGGGGAGGGGGCACCCCUUGGAGACACAACAAUUGAUGAUUGAUCUCUUAGCCGUGUGCGGUGCCCCCCUCCACCAUAGUCCACCUCGAUAAUAUCGUAGCGGUGCUUAGGCGAAGCCCUGCGUCGGUAGAACAUCAUCAUCGUCACCAUGCCGUCGUGCUGACGGAACUCUCCCUCAAAGCUCGGCUGGAUCGGAGUUCGAGGGACGUCAUCGAGCUGAACGUGUGCUGAACUCGGAAGUGCCGUGCGUUCGGUACUUGAUCGGUCGGAUCGUGAAGACGUACGACUACAUCAACCGCGUUGUGCUAACGCUUCCGCUUUCGGUCUACGAGGGUACGUGGACAACACUCUCCCCUCUCGUUGCUAUGCAUCACCAUGAUCUUGCGUGUGCGUAGGAAUUUUUUUGAAAUUACUACGUUCCCCAACAAGAUCGGCAUCUGGUGGUGAGACCGUCGUUUACUCUGAUGAAGAGUCAUCUAUUGGAGAGACCGAGUCACUGUACCAGCUGCAAGAUGGCCGGCUUGGGGGCUGCUCCGAUGCCGACAGUAUUCCGAACCCCCUUGAUCCGCCAAGCCGAGUCGCGAUCUUCAUGGCCGGUACACAUUCAGCGCCGCAAUCUUCGACCGCAGUAGUGAUGAUCUCCGGUUCAGCAGCGGCGACAGCGGCUGGGGCAGGAGGCCCUGCACCACCGCCGGCUCAGGUUUUGUCCGAUUUAUUCGACACCUUGGCAGCAUUGCUGGCGGCUAAAGUCAGCCCAACGAAUCAGGAUCAGAAUAACGCAGAAGUGGCGAAGGUGAAGGAUCAGAUAGCUCAAGCCAAGGUGGACUUGCCACCUGAAAACGCCAGGAUGGCGACAGAGCGGGCUGAGUUAGAUGCACAGGCUUAUCGGCUUAUGUUGGAUCAGAACGCGUCAAAUGACGUAAUGAGGAGAAGGUACCAACCUCACCUGCCUCCGGUUUAUGAAGCCAAGAAUCUCUUCAACACGCCCGGAGCAGGAACCAGCAACCAGCCAGUGGUAAACCGGGUAGAAGCACCUGGAACGGGGACGCCGGUUCAGCCGCGCGCAAUGGAUCCGCCUCCUCAAAAUGUCCCGUCCCAGCACGUGCCGACGCCUCCGGGUCAUUACUCCAACCCCUUGGAUAACAUAGUCGCAGCCGUUUCACAAUUGGUAGCCUUCCCAGUCGAAGGUGAGACCCCCGUAGCGGUGGAGACGCGACGGGCUAGGGAGCUCCUUCAGAUAGCUUUGACUCAGCAGCAGGCUUAUUCAUACAGUCGCGAAAGGAUUCAUUCCACCCCCCAACUAAGCCAGAGUUACAGCCAGCAUAUUGAUGAACUGGCCGUGUCGAACAGUGCGCGGAAUCGUAAUCCGCCUCGUGGUCAUAACCCGGCGAGUGGUGAUGCUGAUGCUCAGAACGUGGUGGACCGAGCAAGGGCACGUCGAGAAGCCGAGUUAGCGGCGCAGCAUGCGGCCCGUCAGCUUACUCCGGUUCGUCCAACAACUUCGGUGGAGCCAGGAGUUACCUCCGGUUCUUUGGGGGUGCCGUGCCUCACCCCAACUUUACAUAAUGUGCGGCUACCCAAGGAUUUCAAGGGUCCACAUAAGGUGCCCAAUUACACCGCCGAUUUAUCCCCCGAGUCAUGGAUUGAGACCUAUGAGAUGGCGAUGGAGAUGCUGGAUGUGGAUGAUGCGGCAUGUGCUAAAUACUUCACCAUGAUGUUGGAGGGAACAACUCGCACUUGGUUGAAGAAUUUGCCAGCUAACUCCAUUGGGUCAUGAACUGAGUUGAGGGCCCGGUUUAUUUAGAAUUUUAAAGACACGUGCAAGCAACCCAUGUCAAUUGUGGACUUAGCUGCAUAUGUCCAGGAGGAAGGAGAAUCAACAAACCAUUGGGUGCGCCGGGUUUCAGAAAUUUUGCAUUCAUCGGACUGCAUCAACGUUGAUACAACAGUUUUAACGUUGGAAGGCAAUUGCCGGUUUGCACCUCUGAAGUUAAAAUUGGGACUGCUCAAACGUCACUGUAAUGACAUGGGGACGCUUAUGGCAGCUCUGGUGAAGUAUGCCGACUCUGAUAGUACCAAGGACCCUGAGUCUGACGAUGACAAGACAGGAAAGGGAAAGAAGAGCGGCAACACCAAAGGGCAGCAGCAUAACCCGGCGGGUCAUGGAAAUAGCGAUAAGCGUAAAGCGGAUAACAAUUUAGAUUUUGUGGCUAAUACCAGCACGCAGGAUAAUGGUCAGCGUCGUAAGGGUAAACCGCCCCCGCGUGGUGGAGGACCAAGUCCCAAUCCGGAUCGCCUAUCUUACCUGUUAAACCAGCCUUGCCCAAAACACGGGUCGCGGGAAAAGCCAGCCACGCACCUCUGGAAGGAUUGUUUUAUUAUGCGGGAGUUCAAAAAUUCGGAUUUUUUCCGGUAUGAUCAUGGACCGGCCGGCGGUUCAGGCCCCGGAUCUCAUGGGCCGAGUUAUGGUGGUGGCAGUUCCGGUUCAGGAUUUCAAGGUGAUCAAAGCGGACAUGGCAAUCAAGGCAGUCAGGGCAACCAAGGUGGUUAUAAUCAUCAGGGGAAUCAGUAGCAGCAGCAGCAGCAGUCGGGUUACCAGAGCAACCCGAAGGAGUUGAACAGUGGGCAAUAUCAUGUUUUCACCACUAGCCUGUGCAAGCGCGGUCAAAAGCUUCAUAAAAGGGCAGUGAACUCCGUUGAACCGGCGGUGCACCGUUACUUGCGCUAGUCUGAACAGCCCAUUGUGUGGAGUCGAGAGGAUCAUCCGCCCCGGGUUGAUAAUCCGGGUCAUCUAGCAUUGGUGGUGGCGCCUCAGGUUCGAGGGUAUAAGUUCACCAAGGUACUCAUGGAUGGAGGGAGUAGUAUCAAUAUCCUUUAUUAUGAAAACUUCCGUCACAUGGGGUUAACAGAUAAAAAUCUUAAACCGUCAAACACCGUUUUUCAUGGUGUGGUGCCUGGUAAAUCGGCGUAUCCAGUUGGUAAGAUAGCUCUGGAGGUUGCUUUUGGAGAUGAGCAUGACUCGAGAUCAGAAACAUUGACUUUUGAAGUGGUGAAGAUCAAGAGCCCAUAUCAUGCCCUGUUUGGACGGCCGGCUUAUGCCAAGUUCAUGGCAAGGCCCUGUUAUGUUUAUCUGCAGCUCAAAAUGCCGGGUCAUAAGGGGACCAUCACAGUGCAUGGAAGCCGUAAGAUCGCUUUGGAAUGUGAAGAAGGUGAUGCGGCUUAUGCUGAGUCGGUUUGUGCAGUAGAGGAGUUGAAGUUCUAUAAGGACAAUGUUGAUCCGGCGGAUAUGACUUCCUUGAAAAAGCCAACUACAGAGCAUGAUCCGGCCUUGAAGUUUAAAUCGGCUAAUGAGACUAAGCUGGUUGAUUUUGUUCCUGGCGAUUCAUCCCAGCAAUUUAGCAUCAGCGCUAACUUGGAUCCGAAAUAGGAAAGCGCGCUCAUCGAGUUCAUCCGUGAGAACCGGGACAUCUUUGCGUGGAAGCCUUCUGACAUGCCAGGUGUACCGAGGGAACUCGCUGAGCACACUCUUAAUGUCGAUCCCAAGUUUAAACCGGUCAAGCAGUUUCUCCGCCGGUUCAAUGAAGAAAGACGCAAGGCCAUUGGUGAGGAGGUAGCCAGUCUCUUGGUGGCUAGAUUUAUCAUUGAAGUAUUUCAUCCUGAGUGGUUGGCUAAUCCGGUGUUAGUACUUAAGAAGAACGACGCCUGGCGUAUGUGUGUGGACUACACAGAUUUGAACAAGGCUUGUCCAGCGGAUCCUUUUGCCCUCCCUCGUAUUGAUCAAAUCAUUGAUGCUACGGCGGGUUGUGAGCGUUUGAGCUUUCUGGAUGCAUAUUCUAGUUACCAUCAGAUCAAAAUGGCAGUUAAGGACCAGGAGAAGACAACUUUCAUAACUCCCUUUGGAGCCUUCUGCUAUGUAUCUAUGCCUUUUGGGCUCAAGAGUGCCCAGGCGACUUAUCAGCGCUGUGUGCAGAACUGUCUUCAUAAUCAGAUCGGCCGCAAUGUUCAUGCCUAUGUGGAUGAUAUUGUGGUGAAAUCCAGAAAGGAGGAGACAUUGAUAGAUGACUUGAAGGAGACUUUUGAUAACCUCCGGGUUUAUAAGAUGAUGCUUAAUCCGGCCAAGUGUGUCUUUUGUGUACCAGCAGGCAAGCUCUUGGGCUUUCUGGUGUCUAACAGGGGCAUUGAAGCUAAUCCGGAGAAAAUCAAGGCUAUUACUUCCUUGGCUAAACUGAAGUGUAUCAAUGAUGUUCAACGCCUGGCAGGCCGGAUUGCAGCCUUAAGCCGGUUUAUCAGUCGCCUUGGGGAGAAGGCCAUCCCUUUAUAUCAGAUGCUGAAGAAGACAGAUAACUUUGUCUGGAGUGACGCCGCCAAUGAAACGUUUGAGGACUUAAAGCGUCAGCUAGCCGAGCCACCUAUCCUUGUUGCUCCUGUUGACAAAGAGCCCUUGUUGUUAUAUGUGGCUGCUAAUGCCCGGGCUGUUAGCGUGGCUAUUGUGGUGGAGCGCAAGGAGGCCGGAAAGGAGUAUCCGGUUCAACGGCCGGUUUAUUAUAUCAGUGAGGUACUUAUCGAGUCCAAGCAGAGGUGCCCACAUUGGCAGAAGCUAGUGUAUGGAGUUUUCAUGGUGAGCCGGAAGCUUAAGCAGUAUUUCUAGGGUCAUCCCAUCACUGUGGUCAGUUCUGCUCCUUUGGGGGAUAUAAUCCAGAACAGGGAAGCAACUGGCCGGGUUGCCAAGUGGGCCAUUGAGCUUGGACCUCAUGGGUUAAAAUAUAUGCCUCAGACGGCAAUCAAGUCCCAAGCGUUGGUGGAUUUCAUCAAUGACUGGACAGAGUUGCAGGCGCCAGAGGAGAAGCCGGAUCAUACUUAUUGGACUAUUCACUUUGAUGGGUCCAGGCAAUUGGAGGGCUCGGGGGCUGGAGUCGUAUUAACUUCGCCACGAGGUGAUAAGUUUUGUUAUGUUCUCCGUUUAAUGUUCCCUUGCACUAACAAUGCAGCUGAAUACGAGGAUUUACUCCAUGGUCUUCGAAUGGCUAAGGAGAUGAAUUUAAGCCGGGUUAAGUUUUUCGGUGACUCAGACCUGGUGGCUCAACAAGUGUUUGGUACUUGGCAUUCCAAGGACCCGCUCAUGGCAGCAUAUCGUCGAGAGGUGGAUAUUGUUGCAGGUCACUUCAAGGGUUAUCAGGUUGAUCAUGUGGACCGGCGGAAGAAUGAAGCGGCGGACGCUUUAAUCCGUUUGGGUUCCCAGCGUAAACCGGUUCCACCCAACGUCUUUCUGGAUGUGCUACAUAAUCCGUCGGUCAAGCUCCCCACAGAGGAGGAUCUGGCUGUUCCUGAUCCGGAGGCUCAGUUGGUGGCGGCUCUUCAUAUCAUCCCGGAUUGGACGGUCCCAUAUUUGGCGUAUAUGAACCGGGGUGAGUUACCAGAGGAUGAAACUUUGGCCAGGCAGAUAAUCCGGCGGUCCAAGUCAAUGACUAUAGUCAAUGGAGAAUUACAUCAUUGCAGUGUGACAGGGGCGUUUCAGCGUUGUGUGUCUCCUGAAGAAGGCCGUGAGAUUUUGCGUGAGAUCCACGAAGGAGAUUGUGGUCACCAUGCCAGUUCAAAGUCCCUGGUAGCCAAGGCUUUUCGUCAUGGUUUUUAUUGGUUGAUGGCUCAUGCUGAUGCUGAAGACUUGGUCAAAAAUGUGAUGGCUGUCAGAAAUUUUCAUGCCGAGCUCAUGUUCCGGCUCAAGAACUGAGAAUGAUUUCAAUCACUUGGUUGUUUGCAACUUGGGGGCUGGAUAUGGUUGGACCCUUCAAGAGACCCAAGGAUAAGAAGACCCACCUGUUGGUGGCAGUUGACAAGUUCACUAAGUGGGUGGAGGCAGAGCCAGUAAGUAAGUGUGAUGCAGCUGAAGGAAAUAUGCCCUAGAGGCAAUAAUAAAGUUAUUAUUUAUUUCCUUAUAUCAUGAUAAAUGUUUAUUAUUCAUGCUAGAAUUGUAUUAACCGGAAACAUGAUACAUGUGUGAAUACAUAGACAAACAGAGUGUCACUAGUAUGCCUCUACUUGACUAGCUCGUUGAUCAAAGAUGGUUAUGUUUCCUAGCCAUAGACAUGAGUUGUCAUUUGAUUAACGGGAUCACAUUAUUAGGAGAAUGAUGUGAUUGACUUGACCCAUUCCGUUAGUUUAGCACUUGAUCGUUUAGUAUGUUGCUAUUGCUUUCUUCAUGACUUAUACAUGUUCCUAUGACUAUGAGAUUAUGCAACUCCCGUUUACCGGAGGAACACUUUGUGUGCUACCAAACAUCACAACGUAACUGGGUGAUUAUAAAGGUGCUCUACAGGUGUCUCCGAAGGUACUUGUUGGGUUGGCGUAUUUCGAGAUUAGGAUUUGUCACUCCGAUUGUCGGAGAGGUAUCUCUGGGCCCUCUCGGUAAUGCACAUCACUUAAGCCUUGCAAGCAUUGCAACUAAAGAGUUUGUUGCAAGAUGAUGUAUUACAGAACGAGUAAAGAGACUUGCCGGUAACGAUAUUGAACUAGGUAUUGAGAUACCGACGAUCGAAUCUCGGGCAAGUAACAUACCGAUGACAAAGGGAACAACGUAUGUUGUUAUGCGGUCUGACCAAUAAAGAUCUUCGUAGAAUAUGUGGGAGCCAAUAUGAGCAUCCAGGUUCCGCUAUUGGUUAUUGACCGGAGAUGUGUCUCGGUCAUGUCUACAUAGUUCUCGAACCCGUAGGGUCCGCACGCUUAACGUUACGAUGACAGUUAUAUUAUGAGUUUAUAUGUUUUGAUGUACCGAAGGUUGUUCGGAGUCCCGGAUGAGAUCACGGACAUGACGAGGAGUCUCGAAAUGGUCGAGACAUAAAGAUUGAUAUAUUGGACGACUAUAUUCGGACACCGGAAGUGUUUCGGGUGAUUUCGGAGAAAAACCGGAGUGCCGGAGGGUUACCGGAACCCCCCCGGGAGAAGUAAUGGGCCUUAUGGGCCUUAGUGGAGAGAGAGAGGGGCAGCCAGGAGGGGCCGCGCGCCCCCUCCCCCUCUGGUCCGAAUUGGACUAGGAGAGGGGGGGCGGCGCCCCCCUUUCCUUCUCCCUCUCCCCCUUCCUUUCCCCCUCCUAGUAGGAGUAGGAAAGAGGGGAGUCCUACUCCUACUAGGAGGAGGACUCCUCCUCCUGGCGCGCCAACAAGGGCCGGCCGGCCUCCCCCUUGCUCCUUUAUAUACGGGGGCAGGGGGGCACCUCAUAGACACAACAAUUGAUCUAUUGAUCUCUUAGCCGUGUGCGGUGCCCCCCUCCACCAUAUUACACCUCGAUAAUAUCGUAGCGGUGCUUAGGCGAAGCCCUGUGUCGGUAGAACAUCAUCAUCGUCACCACGCCGUCGUGCUGACGAAACUCUCCCUCAACACUUGGCUGGAUCGGAGUUCGAGGGACGUCAUCGAGCUGAACGUGUGCUGAACUCGGAGGUGCCGUGCGUUCGGUACUUGAUCGGUCGGAUCGUGAAGACGUACGACUACAUCAACCGCGUUGUGUUAACGCUUCCGCUUUCGGUCUACGAGGGUACGUGGACAACACUCUCCCCUCUCGUUGCUAUGCAUCACCAUGAUCUUGCGUGUGCGUAGGAAUUUUUUUGAAAUUACACGUUCCCCAACAGCAGCCACGGCGGUUCAAUUUAUCAAGAAGGUGAUUUUCCGGUUUGGGUUUCCACACAGCAUCAUAACUAAUAAUGGCACUAAUCUGUCCAAGGGUGCUAUGAAAGAAUUUUGUCAACGGGAGCACAUCCAGCUUGACGUAUCAUCAGUGGCUCACCCCCAAUCUAAUGGUCAAGCGGAGAGAGCCAAUCAAGAGAUCUUGAGAGGCAUCAAGCCCUGGCUCAUGGUUCCUUUGCAACGGAUGCCGGGUUGUUGGGUGGAGGAGUUACCUUCUGUGUUAUGGAGCAUCAAUACCACGCCCAACAGAUCUACGGGUUACACGCCUUUUUUCAUGGUUUACGGAGCAGAGGCGGUUCUCCCUAGUGACAUCCGUCAUGACUCGCCUCGUGUGGCGGCUUAUGUCGAAGCUGACAAUGAGAAGGCACGACAGGAAGCACUUGAUAUGUUAGAUGAGGAGCGUGACAUUGCAGCAGCCCGUUCGGUGAUUUAUCAGCAAGAUCUGCGUCGUUAUCACAGCCGUCGGGUUAGAACCAGAACUUUUCAAGAAGGCGAUCUGGUGCUCCGACUCAUCCAGGAUCAGACUGAUACGCACAAGUUAUCCCCGCCUUGGGAAGGACCCUUUGUGGUCAGCAAGAAUCUACAUAACGGGUCAUACUACCUUAUCGAUGCUCGAGAGCACAAAGACUCACGUAAUCGGAGGAAGAGACCCACCGGCCGUGGAAUAUCGCUCAUCUUCGGCCUUACUAUACUUGAGCCACAGGCUCUGCUUAUGUACAUAGUCAUGACAAUGUAUAUAUUAUGAUCAAUAUAAUAAACCGGAGCCUCAACUAAAGCGGGGUCUCUGUUGUUUUUCUUACAUCAUGUGUGGUUACAUGGGGGCUUCUGUUUAUAAAGCGGAGUCCUUUUUACCCAUUGAGCCGGCUUAUAAAGCCAUGUAUAUAUAUAUAUCAAAAAAUCAUCUGGGGGCUUGGUCGUAUUCGAACCAUAGCUACACCUCUUGAUCGGCGCAAGGCCACCAUGGAAAUCACUUGGGGGCUUGGUCAUAUUUGAACCAUAGCUACACCUCUUGAUUGGCGUAAGGCUACCAAGAAAAUCAUCUAGGGGCCAAAGAGAGUGUUGCAAAAGCACAACUCAAACAUAGGCACCCACUGAGCACAGCUCAAAAUAUUGCUUGGGGUCUCUUUGCUUCGCAAUGAACGAAGAGUCUACACUUGUAAUAGGCUAUCAAGCCAGGCUUGGAAGCCAGGUGUAUUCACCUAAAACCCGGGUUAUCCUACCUUAUUUAAGUAAGCCACUCCGUCCAGGUAAACCUGGUAUGAGGGGGAAAGGCAAGCUCAACAUGUUGGAUGAUCCAUGACAAUAUACUUUAUUUCGGAUAUAAGAAAACAUAACCCAUUACGUUGUCUUCCUUGUCCAACAUCAACUCUUUAGCAUGUCAUAUUUUAAUGAGUGCUCACAAUCAUAAAAGAUGUCCAAGAUAGUAUAUUUAUAUGUGAAACCUCUCUUUCUUUAUUACUUCCUAUUAAUUGCAACGAUGACCAAAACUAUGUUUGUCAACUCUCAACAACUUUUAAUCAUCAUACUCUUUAUAUGUGAAGUCAUUACUCUCCAUAAGGUAAAUAUGAUCUCUUUAUUUCUUUCUCUUUCUUUUAUUCACUCAAGAUCAUAGCAAGAUAAUCAAGCCCUUGACUCAACACUAAUCUUUAUUAUAUAUAGCUCACGGACUCGAUUACAUAGAAGGCUCAUAAAGCAAAACUCACUACUAGAUCAUACUAAAACUUUAUUCUACUAGAUCAAGAUAUCACCAAAAGGAUCGAACUAAGAAAAUGGUAAAGAUAGGAGUGUGAUGGUGAUACAAUACUGGGGCACUUCCCCCAAGCUUGGCAGUUGCCAAGGGGAGUGCCCAUACCCAUGUGAUUAUGUCUCUUUCUUCGGAGGUGGAGAAGAUGGUGGUGAUGAUGGAUAGUCGCACAUCGAGCGUAAGAGAUCCUCCAACUUGCGAAUGAUGCCCUUGAGUGCGACGAUAUGCUCCUUCAACAAAAUAUUUUCACUUGUGAGAUACUUGUUUUGUAUACGAGCUAACUCAAUCAUCUUGAAAGCUUCAAUCUCAGUCGGGGUAAAGAGAGGUGGAAGGAUGUUUUCUUCUUUUGCUGCCGGAGCUUGAUCCUCCAUGGCCUUCUUGAUCCCAUUAUCCUUGUUGAUCUCCACGGGUUCUUCUCUCUUCAACUCAAUCUUCAUUAGCCAAGCAUCAUUGUCACCAUUGUUGGAGGAGGGGGGCGACAUGAUGCCUGGCCUUGACAAAUCUGGCAGAAAACAGCUCGAAACGAAAACAGAGGAUAAUUGCGUGAUACGGUGGUCAAAACCUUCGGGAGAUUAUAUAAUGAAAUUUUACCGACCGAAAGAAGUAACGUGCAAGAAAACGGAGUCCGGAGAGCACACGAGGUGCCCACGAGGUAGGGGGGCGGGCCCAGGGGGUAGGGCGCGCCCUCCACCCUCGUGGAAGCCUCGUGUCCUUCCCGGACUGCUUCUUAAUUUCCUAUUUUCUUAAAUAUUCCAAAACGGAGAAAAAUUACCAUUAAAACUGUUUUGGAGUCAGUUUACUUACCGUACCACAUACCUAUUCCUUUUAGGAGUCUGAAACGUUCUGGAAAGCGUCCCUUAUGUAUUCCUCCGGGGUUACGGUUUCAAUAAUAUUGGUUUCAACAUUUAUGGGAUUACCUGAGAUAUAAUGUUUGAUUCUUUGACCGUUCACCACCUUCGGAUUUGUACCUUCGAAGUUGUUGAUUUUUAUGGCACCGAACGAUAGACCUCCUCGAUAACGUAAGGGCCUUCCCAUUUAGAGAGAAGUUUUCCUGCAAAAAAUCUUAAACGAGAGUUGAAUAGCAACACAUAAUCACCUACAUUAAACUCAUGCUUUUGUAUCCUUUUGUCAUGCCAUCUUUUAACUUUUUCUUUAAACAGUUGGCAUUUUCAUAAGCCUGGGUUCUCCAUUCAUCAAGUGAGCUCAUGUCAAAUAACCUCUUCUCACCGGCAAGUUUGAAAUCAUAAUUGAGCUCUUUAAUAGCCCAAUAUGCCUUAUGUUCAAGUUCGAGAGGUAAGUGACAUGCUUUUCCAUAAACCAUUUUAUACGGAGACAUACCCAUAGGAUUUUUGUAUGCAGUUCUAUAAGCCCAUAAUGCAUCAUCAAGUUUCUUGGACCAAUUAUUUCUAGAUCUAUUAACAGUCUUUUGCAAAAUCAAUUUAAGCUCUCUGUUACUCAAUUCUACUUGACCACUAGACUGUGGGUGGUAUGAAGAUGCAAUUCUAUGGUUAACAUCAUACUUAGCAAGCAUUUUACGGAAAGCACCACGAAUAAAGUGUGAACCACCAUCAGUCAUUAAGUAUCUAGGGACUCCAAACCUCGGAAAAAUAAGUUCUUUAAGCAUCUUAAUAGAGGUGUUAUGAUCAGCACUACUAGUUGGAAUAGCUUCUACCCACUUAGUAACGUAAUCAACAGCAACUAAAAUAUGUGUAUAUCCAUUAGAGGAAGGAAACGGUCCCAUAUAAUCAAAGCCCCAAACAUCAAAUGGUUCAAUAACAAGUGAAUAAUUCAUAGGCAUUUCUUGAUGUCUGCUAAUAUUACCAAUUCUUUGACAUUCAUCACAAGACAAGACAAACUUACGGGCAUCUUUGAAGAGAGUAGGCCAAUAGAAACCGGAUUGCAAUACCUUAUGCGCAGUCCUAUCUCCAGCGUGGUGUCCUCCAUAAGCCUCGGAGUGACACUUGCAUAGGAUCUGUUCCUGUUCAUGCUCAGGUACACAACGUCUAAUAACACCAUCUACUCCUUCUUUAUAAAGGUGUGGGUCAUCCCAGAAGUAAUGUCUUAAAUCAUAGAAAAACUUUUUCUUUUGCUGGUAUGUUAAACUAGGUGGUAUAAAUUUAGCAACGAUGUAAUUAGCAUAAUCAGCAUACCAAGGAGCAGUACGAGAAGCAUUUAUGAUAGCUAAUUGUUCAUCAGGAAAGCUAUCAUCAAUAGGUAGUGGGUCAUCAAGAACAUUCUCUAACCUAGACAAGUUGUCUACAACGGGGUUCUCAGCUCCCUUUCUAUCAAUAAUAUGCAAAUCAAAUUCUUGUAGCAAGAGAACCCAUCUAAUAAGUCUAGGUUUAGCAUCUUUCUUUUCCAUAAGAUAUUUAAUAGCAACAUGGUCAGUGUGAAUAGUUACUUUGGAAUCAAAAAUAUAAGGUCUGAACUUAUCACAAGCAAAAACAACUGCUAAAAAUUCUUUUUGAGUAGUAGCAUAAUUUCUCUGGGCACUGUCUAGAGUUUUACUAGCAUAUUGGAUAACAUUUAAUUUCUUAUCGACUCUUUGCCUAGAACAACACCUACAGCAUAAUCACUAGCAUCACACAUAAUUUCAAAAGGCAAAUUCCAAUCGGGUGGCUGAAUGAUAGGUGCAGAAAUCAAAGCUUUCUUAAGUAUUUCAAAUGCUUCUACACAAUCAUCAUUGAAGACAAAAGGUAUAUCUUUUUGUAAUAGAUUAGUCAGAGGCCGCGAAAUUUUUGAGAAGUCCUUAAUGAACCUCCUAUAAAAACCGGCAUGACCAAGGAAACUUCUUAUACCUUUGAUGUCCUUGGGACACGACAUCUUCUCAAUAGCAUCAACUUUAGCUUUAUCAAAUUCAAUACCUCUUUCAAAAAAUUUAUGCCCCAAGACAAUGCCCUCAUUAACCAUAAAGUGGCACUUCUCCCAAUUCAAGACAAGAUUAGUUUCUUCACAUCUCUGCAAAACUCGAUCAAGGUUGCUCAAGCAAUCAUCAAAAGAGGAUCCAUAAACGGAGAAAUCAUCCAUGAAAACCUCACAAAUCUUUUCACAAAAGUCAGAGAAUAUAGCCAUCAUGCAUCUUUGAAAGGUAGCAGGUGCAUUACAUAAACCAAAAGGCAUGCGUCUAUAAGCAAAAGUACCGAAAGGGCAAGUAAAAGUGGUCUUUUCCUCAUCGUCGGCUGACACAGGUAUUUGAAAGAAACCAGAAUAGCCAUAUAGAAAGCAAAAAUGUGUAUGUUUGGAUAAUCUUUCUAGCAUUUGAUCAAUAGAAGGCAAAGGGUAAUGAUCUUUUUUAGUAGCUUUAUUUAACUUACAGAAAUCAAUUACCAUUCUAUAACCUCUAACAAUUAUUUGUGGUAUCAAUUCAUCUUUAUCAUUAGGGACAACAGUAAUACCUCCCUUCUUAGGGACACAAUGGACAGGACUUACCCACUGACUAUCAGCAACGGGAUAAAUUAUACCUGCCUCAAGGAUCUUUAAUAUUUCCUUUCUUACCACUUCUCUCAUCUUAGGAUUUAAACGUCGUUGGUGAUCAAUGACCGGUUUGGCGUCUUUCUCCAAAUUUAUUUUGUGUUGACAUAGAGUGGGACUAAUGCCCUUAAGAUCAUCAAGAGUAUAUCCAAUAGCAGCAUGGUGCUUCUUCAGAGUUUUCAAUAGUUUCUCUUCCUCCUUCUCUGAAAGGUUAGCACUAAUAAUAACAGGAUAUAUCUUCUUUUCAUCAAGAUAAGCAUAUUUAAGAGUAUCAGGUAAUGGUUUAAGCUCAAACACGGGAUCACUCUUGGGUGGAGGAGGAUCCCCUAGGAUUUCAACAGGCAAGUUGUGCUUCAAAAUAGGACCCUAUUUAAAGAAUACUUCAUCUAUUUCCCUUCUUUCAUUCAUAAACAUAUCAUUUUCAUGAUCAAGCAAGUAUUGUUCUAAAGGAUCAUUAGAAGGCAUGGCAAUAGAAGCAAGACCAAUGAUUUCAUCUUUACUAGGCAAUUCCUCGUCACGGGGUUGUCUACAAAAUUUAGCGAAGUUAAACUCAUGAGACAUAUCACCCAGACCAAUAGUAACAAUAUCCUUUUCGCAGUUUAUCCUAGCAUUAACAGUGUUCAAGAAGGGUCUACCAAAUAUAAUGGGACAAAAGCUAUCUUGUGGGGAACUAAGAACAAGAAAAUCAGCAGGAUAUUUAACCUUCCCACACAAGACUUCGACAUCUCUAACAAUCCCAAUCGGUGAUAUAGUAUCUCUAUUGGCAGGCUUAAUUGUAACAUCAAUAUCUUCUAUCUCAGCGGGUGCAAUAUCAUGCAUAAUUUCUUCGUAUAAAGAAUGAGAUAUAGCAGCACUAGCACCCACAUCACAUAAGCCAUGAUAACAAUGAUCUCCUAUUUUAACAGAAAUAAUAGGCAUGCCUACAACAGGUCUCUGUUUAUUUUUAGAAUCGGGUCUAGCAAUUCUAGCAGCUUCAUCACAGAAGUAGAUAACAUGCCCAUCAAUAUUAUCAGCCAAGAGAUCUUUAACCAUAGCAAUAUUAGGUCCAGCUUUAAUUUGCUCAGGGGGUUUGGGUGUCCUAAUAUUACUUUUGUUAACAACAGUUGAAGCUUUAGCAUGAUCCUUUAUUCUAACAGGUAAGGUGGUUUCUCAACAUAAGUAGUAGGAACAAUAGGAUCAUUAUAAGUGAUAGUCUUUUCUUCAACUUUAAUAUGUUCAACUACUUUUACUUCUAUGGGAGGAUGAUAUUUAAACCACUUCUCCUUAGGGAGAUCAACAUGAGUAGCAAAUGAUUCACAGAAAGAAGCUACUAUCUCAGAGUCAAGUCCAUAUUUAGUGCUAAACUUACGGAAAACAUCGGUAUCCAUAAAAGAUUUAACACAAUCAAACUUAGGUGUUAUACCUGACUCCUUACCUUCGUCGAGGUCCCAAUAUUCAGAGUUGCGUUUAAUUCUUUCCAAUAAAUCCCAUCUGAAUUCAAUAGUCUUCAUCAUAAAAGAACCAGUACAAGAAGUAUCGAGCAUGGAGCGAUUAUUGUCAGAAGGCCGAGCAUAAAAUUUUUGAAUAAUCAUUUCUCUAGAGAGCUCAUGAUUGGGGCAUGAAUAUAACAUUGACUUAAGCCUCCCCCAAGAUUGAGCGAUGCUUUCUCCUUCGUGAGGCCAAAAAUUAUAUAUAUAAUUACGAUCACGACGAACAAGAUGCAUAGGAUAAAACUUCUGAUGAAAUUCCAAUUUCAAUCGUUUGUAGUUCCAUGAUCCCAUAUCAUCACAUAGCCUAUACCAUGUCAACGCAUCUCCCUUAAAAGAUAAAGGGAAGACCUUAUUCUUGAUAACAUCAUCGGGCAUACCUGCAAGCUUAAAUAAUCCACAAACUUCAUCCACAUAGAUUAGGUGUAAAUCGGGAUGCAAUGUUCCAUCACCUGCGAAAGGAUUAGCUAGUAGUUUCUCUAUCAUACCCGAAGGAAUUUCAAAGUAAACAUUUUCAGUAGGUUCAGUAGGUUGAGGAGCAACUCUUUGCUCUACUGGACGGGGUGAAGAUACCCCGAACAAGCCCCUCAAAGGAUUACUUUCCAUAGUAACAAGUGACAGUAAAUUUCAGCACACUAUAUAAAUUUUUCCUUACCAAGUUCCACUUACCAAAGACGCUUCACUCCCCGGCAACGGCGCCAGAAAAGAGUCUUGAUGACCCAGAAGUGUAGGGGAUCUAUCGUAGUCCUUUCGAUAAGUAAGAGUGUCUAACCCAACGAGGAGCAGAAGGAAAUGACAAGCGGUUUUCAGUAAGGUAUUAUCUGCAAGCACUGAAAUUAUCGGUAACAGAUAGUUUUGUGAUAAGGUAAUUGGUAACGAGUAACAAGUAACAAAAGUAAAUAAGGUGCAGCAAGAUGACCCAAUCCUUUUUGUAGCAAAGGACAAGCCUGGACAAUUUCUUAUAUGAAGGAAAACGCUCCCGAGGACACAUGGGAAUUAUCGUCAAGCUAGUUUUCAUCACGCUCAUAUGAUUCGCGUUCGGUACUUUGAUAAUUUGAUAUGUGGGUGGACCGGUGCUUGGGUGCUGCCCUUACUUGGACAAGCAUCCCAAUUAUGAUUAACGCCUAUUGCAAGCAUCCGCAACUACAAGAGAAGUAUCAAGGUAAACCUAACCAUAGCAUGAAACAUCUGGAUCCAAAUCAGCCCCUUACGAAGCAACGCAUAAACUGGGGUUUAAGCUUUUGUCACUCUAGCAACCCAUCAUCUACUUAUUACUUCCCAAUGCCUUCCCCUAGGCCCAAACAAUGGUGAAGUGUCAUGUAGUCGACGUUCACAUGACACCACUAGAGGAGAGACAACAUACAUCUCAUCAAAAUAUCGAACGAAUACCAAAUUCAUAUGACUACUAAUAGCAAGACUUCUUCCAUGUCCUCAGGAACAAACGUAACUACUCACAAAUCAUAUUCAUGUUCAUAAUCAGAGGGGUAUUAAUAUGCAUUAAGGAUCUGAACAUAUAAUAUUCCACCGAAUAAACCAACUAGCAUCAACUACAAGGAGUAAUCAACACUACUAGCAACCUACAGGUACCAAUCUGAGGCUUUGGGAAAAAGAUUUGAUACAAGAGAUGAACUAGGGUUUGAAGGAGAUGGUGCUGGUGAAGAUGUUGAUGGAGAUUGACCCCCUCCCGAUGAGGGGAUCGUUGGUGAUGAUGAUGACGAUGAUUUCCCCCUCCCGGAGGGAUGUUUCCUCGGCAGAACAGCUCCGCCGGAGCCCUAGAUUGGUUCCGCCAAGGUUCCGCCUCGUGGCGGCGGAGUUUCGUCCCGCAAGCUUGCUUCUGAUUUUUUUCAGGGUAAAAGACUUCAUAUAGUAGAAGAUGGACACUGGAGGCCUGCCAGGGGGCCCACGAGGCAGGGGGCGCGCCCAAGGGGGUAGGGCGCGCCCCCCACCCUCGUGGCCAGGGUGUGGGCCCCCUCUGGUAUUUUCUUCGCUCAGUAUUUUUUAUAAUUUCCAAAAAUAACUUCCGUGGAGUUUCAGAACUUUUGGAGUUGUGAAGAAUAGGUCUCUAAUAUUUGCUCCUUUUCCAGCCCAGAAUUUCAGCUGCCGGCAUUCUCCCUCUUCAUGUAAACCUUGUAAAAUAAGAGAGAAAAGGCAUGAGUAUUGUGACAUAAUGUGUAAUAACAGCCCAUAAUGCAAUAAAUAUCAAUAUCAAAGCAUGAUGCAAAAUGGACGUAUCGGGAUGUUCCAUGCGUUUUGCACUGGAACACCCUCCUCCGUCUCCAGUCGUGUCGCACCGGGCCUGAAGAUAUGCUUUACCCUGAAAGGGCAUUCUCACGAGGUAGGCCUCCCGAGGCGGCCUCGCGAGGUAGGCCUCCCGUGACGGCCCUCUUCAGCCUUGGCGCAGUGGUCGGUGAGGACAAACAGCUCGGCCGUGGAGUCGAGCUCGUCGUUGAUGGUGAGCUUCUAGCACAUCGUACGCUAAGAAGUUAAUACGAUACUCUCAUGGGCCAAGGAACUAAACACACUUAACACUCCGUGUUAUAGCAAUUGACUUAUGACCAUAUUAUCUCAAAGUAUAACAAACAUGUUUGGGUCGAUUCAAUAUGAUCGUUCUUCUAACGUCAUACUCUCAAUGUUGUUUUGAGACUAUCGUUACUGUUAAUGAUAUCUCAAGAUCCGGAAAACGUGAUCAUGAACAACACUUGACAUAGUCCUAGAGGCGAGACUAGGAAUCUUAUUUUAUCGUUUAUUGUUCUACAUGUGCAUAUGAGUUUUUCACUGAAUCACAUAUUCCAGGAUCACAAUAGUUAUAGCAUAGAAUAUAAACUCUUAAUUAUGAAUACAUAAAUAUAAUAAUACAAUAUUAUUGCUUCUAGGGCAUAUUUCCAACACAGACCUCGUGCGCACAAGGUGUCCAGAUACAUCGCCACUAUCUCGUGCGCACGGGGGCCCGAGACACCGUGUGCACGUCAGGCCCCGGUGCGCACGGGGUGUCCAAAGAGCAAAGUACUACCCCGUGCACACACGGUGUUCAGAGAGUAGGGCAUGAGCCCGUGCGAAUGGGGUGUCUAGAGACUUGGGCAUCACCCCGUGUGCACUUUGAGACGUGGUUUCGGAAGUUAGUGAUAUAAGGGGGCACGUGUAGGAAGGUUGUUGUAUAUCUUAUUUGAAGUGUUCCCACACCGUCAUUCGAGCACCUUGACACCUCUUGAUAGUGCGGUUGUCCCACGACUAAAGACCCCAAAACCAAAGCUUCGUGUCGCCAGAAUAUCAUGCCUUUUACUUUUUUGAAGUGGGUGGGUGGGGGGGUCAACCAUCUCAUCGCUAAAUCCCUAAGGAACCAAUGACCCAAUAUAAAUCAUAACAACCGUCAUUAGUUCCACUAACCAUAUUGUCAUCACACCAAAAUACCAUUUACAGAUAAAUACAUGUUCACCCUCUCUUGCUCUUCAUUAUUCUUCUAUUCAAUAUCCUCCUUUACUAUAUUUUGGUAGUUCAUAUGAUGCACAUGUUUCUCUUGGAAACCAAAUAUCCUGUUCACAUCAUCAACAAGGUUGUUGUACUUAAGGUUUACUAAGUAUGAUCCUUAAGCUUCUUGGUGACCUCUUCAUGAGCUUGAUUAUCCAUCAACCUACCAUACUUGCUCUCAUCAUGUAUACUCCAAAGCUAAUAAGGCACCUAUGCAGUGAACAAUAGUACUACACCUACAAAAGGUCUACAAAAAGGUUACUUAACUUUCCAAACUAACUAACUCCCCCUGGAUUUCAUUGGGGUGGGACCCAUCGUUUACCCGUUUCCAAUCCCAACACUCCUCAUCAGCGAGUAUGUAAAAUCCUUAAGUAACCUUUAGUAGGUCUAGCAUUGUUCCUGCAGUUAAUCAGGCCAGACAUCAUUCACCCACUCCACAAGUCCAGUGUUUACACCUCCAUGAAAAUAGAAAUAGAAAUUUUAACACGAUGAACAAUUAAAUAUCCAUGUAAUAAAGCUUUCAUCUUUAAGCAAACUUACUCCCUUCAUCCGCGAAUAGGUGUACAUCUAACUUUUGUCCUGAGUCAAAGUUUUAAAAAUUUGACCAACCUUCUAGGAAAAAGUAGCAUCAUUUAUGGCAUCAAAUUAGCAUCAUUAGAUUCAUUUUGAAAUGUACUUUCAGAAUAUACCAAUUUGAUGUCAUAUAUGCUACUACUCUUUUCUGUAAAUUUGGUCAAACUUUUAAAACUUUGACUGAAGACAAAAGCUAGAUGUACACUUAUUCGCGGACGGAGGGAGUAGUGGUGAUCCUUUGUAUUACUAACAUCACAUUAAAUAUCUAUGUGAUAAUUUGACUUGCAUGACGAGCAAAACUAUCAUGCAAAUUGAGCACUAACUAACUACUGCUCACUAACUCAUUACUUUGCUCACUACACAACUAACUAGAUUAAACACUGACCAAUAGACCAUUCACGGAAUAAUCUGCUAAUUAGUUACAUAGCAACCGUGACCUCAUUACUUUGCACAAUAGUAGCAUCUAACUAAUUAGUUUACAUUUGGAGCAUUCCUUGACAGUGAGCUAAUUUCAGCACAGGUCAAUUAUUUCAAACAAACUCGACAGUGUGCUAAUUUCAACAAAGAUAAAUUGUUUCGUACAAAUCUGACUGUGAGCUAAUUACACAAAAGUGCAAUUGUUUCAAACAAUAUUCCUAAUGAACAAUCAACCCUGAAUCCGCUUCCACUACUUUCAACAAUUCAAUUACAAUACACGUAGGAUUUAAAGUAGAGGAAAUACUCACAUUCACAACACACCCGUAGAACUUCCUCCCAUUGUGGAUCUCUUCAAAAACCACACAUCUCUAAGUCUAGCAUUGUGGAGGAGGCAUUACAGAGGGACAUCCACAUCAACACCAAAGAAAUCUAAGUCUUUAGUGGUACCAUGAACCUGCUAACGGAAGCAAAACCAGAAGAAAUCGAAGCAACACAAGUCAAAUCAGUGCUCAAAUUGAAAAUCCCCAAACACAAACCCUAGUACAUAAAUUGCGCAUGUACGGGCUCAGAUUCAUGUUCGUUAUUCCACGACGACAUUGCACAACGGUAGCGAGCAGUCGCAGGGCCGGCAGCGGCGGCGGUUGUGAGAGAGGAGAGAAGGAAAAGAGAAAGUGAGGGCACGAGAGAGAUAAAGAGAGAGCGUUGAUCAUCUUCCCCAUCCGACGUGGCGCUGACUAGCAGGCCCGGGCUGUCAGAAACGUGUUUUAAUCGCCGGCGACUCCUAUUAACGGACGUUUGGGUCACGCCGUCUUCCCCGUCCGACGUGGCCCUGGCUAGCGGGCUCAGGCUGUCAUAAACGUGUUUAAAUCGACCAAAUCGGUUCACUACCGUUUCCUGAGAAAAAUCACGUCAAGGUUGAUGGUAUUGUAGCGGACGAGAAUGUUGUAGUUUUAUGCUAUUUAUCACUCAGCUAUUUAUCCAGGCAGAAACCAAUAUCCCGGAGAUUGGUGUGACGCUCAAGAUACAUAUACAAUGGUGCAGGACGAGGCAGCACGGCGACUUCUGCUUCCAGCCGCUCCAUCGCCGGCAGACUUCUGCUUCCAGCCGCUCGAUCGAUCGCCGGCGACGUUCCUAUGAUCCUAUCGCAUAGACAGAGCUGCUGGACGGCACAACACAAAGGGUACGCUUUCACCGGCGCAGGUCUCGUCCCUCUCGGUGACAGACAAGUUAACGGCCACUCGGUGUACAUGCACGCACGCGUCAUCAUCAAGCGAACAUUUGUAACCGGUGGACGUGCUGUAAUCAUACGAUGUGCUGAUACGGAUGGCAAGCUGCUUGCUCCGUGACAAAUGCAUCUUUUUAGGUUCUAUAAAAAGAGAUGGGACGGUGUAAUACAUACAAGGUGGAAAGUGAUGUCAAAUUAGGUGGAGAGGUCAACUUUCGGGUCACAUUAUAACUUAUAACCGGUGCAGCAAGUGGAAGAAUUACACUUGCAUGGUUAAAUUAUACCGCUAGAUGUUCAUGUUAACUCCAAUUCCAUGAAUCAAUGGAGUGAAACCAAUCCAUGGCGAUGUUUAAUAAGCUCACACAUGUUUGCCUGAGCCGAUGGCACACCUCACACCUGCAUGUACAGCGGUGGCAAGAACACACCAUCCAUGCCAUCCUCUUGGUCGAUCUUGUCCGGACGCGAUCAAUCCCGCAGCUUAGGAUUCAUCAAAGGUUGAAUGUUUAAGAUCGAUCUCCAUGAACCAAGUUCUUGAGUUUGCGUAUGUUACACGGGUCACCCAGGAAGGAUCACCAUGAGCCGAGACCAUGCAACUAUAUCUGAUAGCAGUACCAAUCAGUGUGGUACAAAAUAAAUAAUCAUCCUCUUGGCAUACUUCAAUUGGCUCGUCGUUUGCAUUUUGGAAACUUGAUGGAUUCAUAUGUGUUGGGAUGUUGCCGUGAUCAGCUCGAUCGAACGAUCAUGGUGUUUGGCCGAGAGCACUAUACACCCAACCCCACUCUGAUCUCUUCCUGGACAGAAUUCUUGAUCCCAACUGUAGCCACGACUUUCAAAAUUUUCAUUCCAGUUUGUCGUUCCAGGGAAGAUUAGAUACAAAUCUGCGUCGUGCAUCGAGAAAUCAUUCGAAGUUAUGAACAAUUUUGAUCCCGCAUGUAGAACAAAGCCAGCUUGUAUCACCUGGUAGACUUUCCCCAGCCACAAGAACAAACACUGAUCAUUCCAGUGCAAAUUAAUCUGGACUCAAGUGUGACAUCGCAAAUGCAGCAGCUGGGAAGCCUUCCCCAUGUCCACGCCUGCGGGAGCACGGCGGUCCUCCGGCGAGCCGGCCGGCCACCGCGCCGGUGAAGGGAGCAAAGCUGGGCUGAACUCACACACCACCAGCAAAGGUUGCCACAGAGUUGUGCAACUUGGGUCGCGUUCCAUCGCCUCGUAGCCUAUCGAAACCAUGUCGGACCAGCCUGUUUCUUGUACGCAGAUGUUGCUACGUUAUCCUGCUACAACACCAUGCCGGAAAACCCCAUCGUUCGCCGGUGCACCCCGUGCCGCCGGCCGGAAAUCUCCAGCAAACUCACACGAAGGCACCAUCCUGACCAGUCCCUGAUCACCGACGCAUUUCUCCCAGAAUACAGAACCAAAUCACACAAACCCGACCUUGUUACAAAGACAUUAUCCGUACCUACACAAUGCAGAAAAUUUCGGUCGAAUCGGUGGAGAGGAGCCGGAGAUAUUCGACCGGAAAUCGAGAGGAGAAGCACACUCUGGAAGCCUGGAGGCUGGUUCGCGAGCCGGGGAGGCCAGCGAGGGGGGCGGCAAUCCGCGGCAUCGGAUGCGGCGCGUGGACGGCCGUUGGAUGGAGACAGAUCGGACGUCGCGCGUUUGAUGCGGGGCGCUAGGGGGAGUGAUCCGCGGCAACGCCCUCUCGACCAAUCAGCGCGCGGCUUUCGGCACCCUCCGGCUCUCCCGUCUUCCCGACGUCUCCCACUAUUUAACCAGCGCUCCCUCCGCCCCGACCUACUCACCCAGCUCACAAGCAUCUCUCUCUCACCUCCGGCGAAUAACACACCAGAGCUCACCUCUCCCCUCGCUUCCCCGCGAAAAUGUCGACUGACGUGGCUGCCGCUGACAUCCCGGUGCCUCAGGUGGAGGUAGCCGCCGACGCUGCCGUUGACACACCGGCGGCGAAGCCGGCCAAGGCGCCCAAGGCGGCCAAGGCCAAGAAGUCCACUGGCCCGAAGAAGCCCCGCGUCACCCCGGCCCACCCGUCCUACGCCGAGGUAAGCCCCCCGACCCCUUCGCCGUCGUCCCUCGUUUUGUCUGUUCUUCCAUGUUUCCCCUGAUCUGACUUUGGUUUUGGUUCCUGUGCGCAGAUGGUGUCGGAGGCGAUCGCCGCCCUGAAGGAGAGGAGCGGGUCGAGCACCAUCGCGAUCGGCAAGUUCAUCGAGGACAAGCACAAGGCGCACCUCCCGGCCAACUUCCGCAAGAUCCUGCUGACCCAGAUCAAGAAGCUCGUCGCCGCCGGCAAGCUGACCAAGGUCAAGGGCUCCUACAAGCUCGCCAAGGCCCCCGCCGCCGUCAAGCCCAAGACGGCGACCAAGAAGAAGCCCGCCGCCAAGCCCAAGGCCAAGGCGCCAGCCAAGAAGACCGCCGCCAAGUCGCCGGCCAAGAAGGCCGCCGCGAAGCCCAAGGCCAAGGCCCCAGCCAAGGCCAAGGCCGUCGCGAAGCCCAAGGCGGCGGCGAAGCCGAAGGCGGCCGCCAAGCCCAAGGCCAAGGCCGCCGCCAAGAAGGCGCCGGCCGCCGCGACCCCGAAGAAGCCCGCCGCCCGGAAGCCGCCCACCAAGCGGGCGACCCCGGUGAAGAAGGCCGCGCCGGCCAAGAAGCCCGCGGCCAAGAAGGCCAAGAAGUAGAGCCCCGCAUGACGGACCUAGAUGCCCUGGCGGUAGUAUUGAG